rnacentral:lncRNA from 1 species
CCUAAGAGACUAUUUAAGCCAUAAAUGGCCUUCUAUAGCUUGCAGACCUCAUCAAACUGCACUUGUGAGACAUGCUGAGAAGAAGGUUGCUCCAUGUGAAUUUCUUCCUAGACAUCACCAUGAAGAACUGGAUCCAACCCAUAGGAGGAUUAUAAUUUGGAAACUAUGAGAGACAAACACAUAUGAAAAAUGUCAAACUGGUUGAGAACCCAAAAACAAAUUGAAUGGGAGAACAUCGGUGGGUCAGUGACAGAGCCAGACCCUAUGAUUUCAUACAGUUAAUACGAUUACAGAUACUACCUGUAUAAAUGCUAAAGUCAGUUACACUUAUAUAGAUCCCUUCCUUCCACUCAGCUGAUCAAAUCAAACAGGAAAACUUAAGAAAGCAAAGAUGAAGAUGAAGAUUGACAUUUGGGAAAAAGGAGAGCAACAUAAGUUGUAUCACUUUCAUGUUGUUGCAGUAUUACUGGGAAAAAGCUUCUUUAUUUCUUCUAGUCUUUUCUUUUUUGUUUUUUUUUUUUUUUUUUGGUUGGGCAGUAUCACACAAAACCAGACCCAGAAUCUCUUGUGGACUGCCUCUUGAACCAGUCCUCAAGAUGCCUAGAGAGUAAAACAAUAAAUCCUUUAACAUUCCCAAGAAAGGCAAGUAAUGACACACACUACCAAAUGAGACUGUAAAGUAAAUGGACGGUUGAAAAUUAAAUAAUACAUGCAUUUUGACCAUACAAAUUUUGUAGACACACGGUUAAUUAACCAACAAUUUGCACUGUGAAUUUAACAGACCUUACAUCCAUCUUAUAACUACAAUGUUAAUUGCAAUGACUUGAUGAUAUAUCAUACUAAAUCAAGUGUCCUAUGCAGCAUAUGAAGCAAAACGGAUGCUUGGACCCAGGUCCCAGGGUCACAUAAAACCACAAAGUGAAUGGAUAUAACUCCACAAUAAAUCAACUGUCUUAUAACACUAAUUUGGGAUGAGAAAUUGAAUCAAAUCCAAAAUUCUAGUAUCAACGAGCAGGCAUCUUAAUCAAUAAUAUAGGAAUACUAAAUAAAUCUAGGUGUCUACCCAUCCCUUUUAACCUCCCUUACCUAUUCUAGCACAACCAGUUUAUACCAAGCCCUCACCAGCACCAAUGACCUCCUUUGGACAGGACAAAACAAUCUUAAUUGAUUCCACACCAUCUUAUCAUAAAUUGUGGCCAGGAUAAUGUGAAGGAUACACAUCUUAGCAAUCUGAUCUACCAAUGCUUUUAUACAACCACCUUGGUUCCCACUUCAAUGAUACCUUAUAAGUUGUUUUCCACCCAACAUCUAUUAGCCAACCAAUUUUCUCCACAUCAACAACAAUGUUCCUUUUGCAGCAAAUCAAUAAAUUGCAAUUCUCACAAGUCAGAACAAAGGGGACACUUUUAAUGAUGAUUUUAAGCCAGGAAACCUACUGCAAAUUAUUCUAGUGAUAUUCAAAUUGAACAAACAAAUAACAAGAAGUGUACAAAGUCAGAGAAGCUCCAAUGAAGCAAGUCAAAGCAUGGUAGCUAAGUGAUUAUUGAAGAAGAUAAAUUGUCUUCAAAACAUUAAGCAGUAAGAAAUGCCAAACACAGCACAAGUUAGCAAGAGUCAAUCCACACAUAAUAUCGCACAAAUGCCUUGUCAAUCUAACCUUUAAACUUCUUAUCUCUUCUUGUAGCUUUUCAUUUGCAUCUUCAAGAUCCUUAGCUUCAUUUCUCAGCUGGUUCAGUACUCGGAUGGCAUCCCCAAGUAUGGCCAAUUUGUCAGUUUUGGCAGAUUUACCAGGUUCUAAAAUGGAACUCAAGUCUAGAAACCUAAAUCGGACAAACAAGAUUUUUCCUUUGAGACACCAUCCAUCACCUUAUAGAUUGAUCAAUGGAUAGAUACACAAAAAGACAUAGAGAGCACAUAAGAAAUCUGUACAAGUAUCAAACUACAAGAAAUCAAUAAAAGAUUUGGACUACUCAAAUGGUCACAUUUCCCGAUGACAGAUAACAUACGCAAUGAUGAUGAAUCCCAUACCAUUAAAGAUUGUGUUUUUUGAAAUAAUUUUUUGAUAGGUAAGCAACUUAUCAAAAACACCAAACAGGCUAUAAACCAGUACAUGUGAUAUGUGUUAGGCACACAAAGGAAAGGAAAAGGAAGAAGAGAGGAAGACACCCUCCCUUAGUUAUACAGCAGAAGCAAUAAAUAGAAUCCAAAAUUGAUGUAUCAUCAGCAUAUUUCACAGACAAAAAAAAAUAACAAGCUUAAGAAGCAUUUCCUUCAGCUCAAAAUUGGAGGUUCCUCAUCCCAAACAUGUUCCCUAUUUCUCUCUCCAUAUGAACCACAUAACACAUGAGGGUACAAAUCUCCAAAACUUCCACCCUCCCUCCCCAGCUUCCUCCCACACCUACAAUUACCAUUCUGGCCUUUGUGAAAUGCAUCAUCUGCUCCAAAGAGCGUAAAUGAAGGUUCACAAUUCUUGCUAUACUACAAUAAACAAAGAGAUGAUUGCAAGCAUCAUAUUCUUUUUACCUUACAUAACUCCUGCAACAGAUUAAAGGCACGUAGCUGGGAAGUGAAAGACCGUUAUUUUUUUAACCUUAGACAAAAUUAAUCUGAUCUAAUAUGCCUCACCUAUUCUUGAACAAAUGCAGUUGCACAUCAGUCAAAUAAAACCAUGACAUCAAAAAAAAAAAAAAAAGGAAUCUGAUCCAACAAAACACAUGCCUGUCAUUCAAUCUUUCCCUUCGCAAUUUCUCACGGCAAGCUUUGGUUCCAGGCCUGGUGGAUGAAUCAUUGCGUCCCCUACAAAUAGUCAACAUGAAAUUAUCAUGAAAAUCUAAUUACAAAAUGAAAAAUAUGGAUCAAGUUAUUCUACCAGAAAGACUUAUAAAAUGAUAAACAAGGAACCAGCUCAUUUGAUAGUUUUCUAUCUUUUUUCAACUCAUAGUGUAAAACGGUCAUGCAAAUGAAAGCAUUCAUAAAGAAUAUCACACUUCUAUUCUAGCAAGAUUAAAAUAAAAAAAUAAAAAAUAAAAAAUAAAAUAAAAAGAUUGCUAUGAUGGAGACAACUGACAGCCACCUUUACAAGUUUACAAGGAGUAAAGGAAUGGGCUUUAAGGCCAAUCUUUAAUUUGGCAUUCUCUAGAUGACAUUGAGCUUACUUGCGAUCUUAUAUAGUUCAACAUGGACUCAGCCUAGAAGUACUUUCCAGAAAUCAGAUAAUGGGCUUCAUCAAUGGUCUUAAGUUCUUACUUUCAGUCGUUUAUGUUGUCAUUUUCCAAGAGUCUUUUAAUAUGGUCAAGUAGUCAUUCAAAGUCUCUGAUAUUUUCAAUCUUCAUUGCUACUGUGUGAGUAUUUCUAAGAAGUUAUAACUCUUUAGAGAAGUUCUAUAUAGUAUUUGAUAAAAUCAAUGAAUGAAUGAUAAAAAUUUCCAACACCAUUAGUAAUAAAUGAUACCACCAUUAGCAAGCACCUAUUAUACAUUUAUUUUUUAGAAAUUUAGAAAAAACAUUAAAAUAAAAAACCAUGAGAAGAACAACUUGAAUCAACUCAAUGACUGGACAAGUGCAACAAUGUUUAGAACAUGAGAGCUCCACAUGUUCAAAAUAUAUAUCCCAUAUAGGUAAUGCUAAAUAGCACAAUUUUCCCUUUUCUACUUUCACCAGUUACAUGGAGAAUAAGAGCUUUAAAGAACAUAUUAAGAGGACACUUAUUCCCUAAAACUUGCUCUUUUGAUUGUCUCAUUUAAAGUAAGGUAAGAACAUUGAAAAACAAAUUUGUGACACUAUCCAACAAUUCAUGGAGCAAUGUUAUAUAGAUACCAGUAUGAGCAUCAAAUUUUCCAUGAGCCCUUAGAUUCAACACCAGAAGAACCUUAGGAUUUGACUAUGAGGCAGAAUAUUUAAAAAAUGUUUUACAACGCAAGUACAUUUAGAGAAUGUUUGGCCUUCAAUGUGUUACAUCUUCUUACCCAUCUACAUCUGAGAUCACAGAAUUCAAAAACUUAACAGUGUAAAGGUUAUGGGGUUGUUAAGCAUAUAAUUACAAACUACAGUCUAGAAGUGUAAACUUCACCAACUCAUGGAUGCAACAAUCAUCAUCCUUAAACCCUCAUGCGAACCAAAUACACUUAUCCAACCAUGUUCAAUAUCAAUCCCUCAAUAUUCUAUAAAAUCCCGAAAUAUAAAUAGCAAUUCAUAUUAAUUGCAUAAUUCUCUGACCACAUACACCAUUGAAUUCAAUCCCAAAGGCAAGAAAAUAAAAAGACAACAAGGGGAAGAAACACAUUGCUACAUGAUGUUACUCAAUCCCGAUAGCAUAGUUUUCCCACAUUUAAAAAAAAAAAAAAAAAAAAAAAAAAAAAAAAAAAAAGCUCGCAUAUUAUUCAAAUCAUACAGUUCAGCAUUGAUAAGAGAUUUCAUUCCAGCAUAUUGCACAUUAGAGUUACAAAUUACCUCUUCUGUCUGCCUUCAUUUUCUUGCGACGCAGCACAAAUACGCGAAAGAUCAAUAUCGACACCAGCACUGAAAUAGAACAAGCAUACCAAUCACAUUAACACGCCGAUCUAAAGUAUCCUCAUUUCAAUUUCACGAUUAAAACAAUUUCAAACAACUUUAGGUCAAAAUGACUCGGACCGAUAUUCUAAUUAUCCGAGGUGAAGCUGAGUCGCCAAGACAACAAUUAACUAUCAAACUUAUAAAAUCAAUCACACAAUUAUGUUUCGCCAAGCCGCUGAUUGGCUGCCGAGAAAGCAAAAGAAAGGAAGAGAAAAUUUAAACAUACAGGUACCCGUCGUUUAUCCAAGAGAGAUCGUUGGAUGUGACGUCGUCUAUCAAUUUAUGAUUAAGAAAAUCCCAAGUAUCAUCGUCGAAGGAAUCCAUGGAUUUGGGAUAGGCAACAGGAAUCCAGCACCUAGUUUGGAGGGGGAGAUGGAUAUUUUGAAAGAAAAUUGCCCAGCAAAGGCCCUAAAGUGGCACCACGUGGAACACGUUUGAAUAAGUAUGACGGCGAGUUGCCGCUUCCUGUUUUGACCAACACGUGUGUCUGCACCUACUCCUUUCCCACGCGCCUCUGUCGUCGUCGAUUCGGGUCCGGUGACCCUCUCAAUUUUAAUUAACUGGAAAAUACGCGAUUUACUGAUUUGAGUGAUUUCCAUUUUUAUUUUUGAAAAAUAAAAAUUAGGAUAAAAAAUAAGUUUCGACUUUAUCUUUUUUAUUUAUUUAAAAAUAAAUAAAAUAAAAAUUUUGGAAAAGGCUUGAUGUUUUAUUUUUCAAAAUUUCUUGAGACAAUUAAAAAUUAUCUUUUGUAAAUAAAAAAGAAUAAAAUUAUAUCUUAUAUUGGGUAUAAAAGGGAUACAUAUAUUAUAAAUAUGAAAUACAUGGAAAAGUAGGUUUUUAUUCACUAAUUUAAAAAAAUAUAGAAAAAUAACCUAAAUUUUUAUUAAUCAUAUUUAUCUUUACCUAUUUAAAAAAAUUUUAAAAUACAUGUAUUUUUAUAAUUUAAAUAAUUUUUUCUUAAAAUGAUCAUUUGACAUAUUUAUAACACUAAUUAACAACUUUUUAUUGUGAGAAAUGAUUUAAGAUUAAUAAAAUAAGAAAUUCAAAAAAUUAAAACUAUAAUACUUUAAUACGAAAAAUACAGCAUAAAAUAUUAAUUUUUACUUCAUUAAAACACUUUGAUAAAAAAUAUGAAUAUCAAAAAAGAGUUGGAAAUAGAAUGAGUAAAUAUUUUUAUUUUAAAAUUUUUAAGUUUUUUUGUUUUUAAUUAUAUUUAAUUUUAAUUGUAUUUUUAAUUUUAAAAUUUUGUAAAAAAAAAUUAUUUAAUUUUAUUAAAUAAAAUGAGAAAUUGAAAAGAUUUAUAUAAUAUAUGAUAUAAAAUCAUUAUUAAUUAGAAGAUUAAAAAGAUUAUAUUUAUCACUUAUGAAUUUUGAAAAAAAAAAUCCACAAAUCUCAUAUUAUAUAAUAAAAAAUUUAUAAUAUAUUUAUCAGUCAAACACCUUUAUUAAAUUAAAAUAAUAAAUUAAUUUUAAAUAAUUUUAUUUAAAGUAAAAUGAUAUUUCAAGAAAUAACUAUUUAAAUUAUGAAAAACUACGUUUAUUUUUAAAUGGGUGGAGAUAAAACUAAUUUUUUUUAAAAAAAAUUAAAGUUAUUUUUCCUAUAUUUUAUCAAAUUAAGGAAUUAAAACCCACUUUUCCUAGUAAAUAUUAGGAUAAAGAAAUAUUUAUAGACAUCAAUUUCAUUCAUUGUUUUGAAUGAAAUUGGAUAUGGGAAAUUCGAUAACAGGCUAAAAUGAAAAUUUUAUUAAACCAGGAUUUCCAUCAGUUGUAUACAUGGAUUUCUGUGUCAAUUUAUAGUUUCGAAACAGAAUCAUUUGAUGAGAAGCGGUCAGCAGAGAGGACUUCCAGCCAAAAAAAGUUGAAACAUAAUCAAAUGACAUGAGCUUCAUUCUUAAGCUGGUCGAUCAGCUCAUCCACGGAAGAAACAAUAACUCCUGCUUUUCUCUUGGGAGGCUCAGUGACCUGAACAACCUCCAAAUCGGAUUUGAUAUCUACAUUCAAUUCCUGUGGAGUGAACUUCUUUAUUACCUUCGAUUUUGCUUUCAUAAUGUUGGGGAGUGUUGCAUACCGAGGCUGGUUCAGUCUCAAAUCAGUGCUGCAUGAGGUACAAAAUAUCAGGUCAAGUAAUGAGAUGAAACACAGAGCCAAGUUGCAUUUAUGCUAGCCUAUGGCAAAUAAUUGCAGUCAGCUUUCUGAUAAUAGCUUUGUUCAUCUGAGAAACACUUCCUAUUCAUGUGUUAUCAGCAUUUCCACAUGUUGCCUACUGCCAUUGGGCAAAAGCUUGGAUGAAAAAGAAGCAUGUUUUUGUCUUAAUUCUCUUAAGCAGAAUCAAGGAAUAGGGUUUUUGAGCAGAACUUCAUGUUACGAGUAGAUCCUUCCAUCAUUUGAGCACUAGCUAGCUAGGAAUUCUUACAAGUACAGAAUAUAAAGCUUGUAAUGACCAUGAAUGGGCUGCAAAGAACACAUGAAUAACUUCAAGAGUUCAAAACAGACAACAAAUUUUGCCCAUAGCAUAUAUUUUUAUACAGAAAAAUCAGUUGCAUACUCUUAAAUGGUCAAUUAAAGCUCAUCAACCAAAUCUGAAGCGUCACAAUUUAACAUUUGCUUAAGCCCACAUGACUUGCAUCAGGUACUCAGUCAAUAACCACAAUAAUCCCACUAGGACCUCCUCCUCUGUUCAUCAUUGAAGACCUUGGAAUUAGGGGACAUCAUUUACAUGGAAUUAGGGGAAUUAGAAGACCUUGGAAUUAGGCAAUAAGCUCAUAUGCUCUCACACUUCCCAAAGACAGUCCUCAUAGAUGGGCAAUCCUCAUCUUAAAAGCACAUCAAUCCCUAUUACAUUUGGUUUCUAACUUUAUCAUAUGCAAACAAUAUGAGACCUUUGACGCUACUGAAAUAUUAAUCUAGACAGACAUUCAUUAACUACAUUUUUCCCUGUUAUACAGAGUAGUGAAAGGUUCUAGAAAGUUUUUAAGCCAAUACACCACUGCAUACACAUCGGAAUAAAAGUUCUGCUUACAGAAACAACGCUACAAUACAUCCUAUUAAGUCCCAUACGAUAUGAAUAUUAUUAACUAUUUUCUGAUAACCCAAGAAAGAAAAGACUAGAAUAGAAUAAAUAUAUUUUAAAGCAUAUUUUCAAACUGGAAGUUAAUUAUAAUCAGUAACACAAUUAAAUAAUGAAUUUAGAGUCACAUGUUUCUAAACCAAAAAAGACAAGUUGUUUAAUUAAUAUGAAUAUAAAUUUAAAAAUAAAACUUUAAAAAUAUGAUCUAUCUAUGUUUCAAAGGUUUGUUAUAGAGAUUUCAGAGAUUUCACGCUUUCUUUUAUAAGCACAGCCAACCAAAAUACAUUAACAAACAGUUUUUCCAAGAGAGAAGACGAAUAAAAACUUCAAGAAGAAAAUUUGUUUAAGUUCAGCAUAAGAAAAUAAUUUGAGUUUAAAUCCCCAAAUCUACAUCAUUCUGUACAUCACCUAGAAUUUUUUUGAUAGGUAACCCAUUUUCCUUUUAUUUAUUUUAUUUUAUUUUAUUUCAUUGUUAAAACUUGAACUUGGAACCUCCCACAUCCAAGCUACAACCCUUUCUCACUUGAGACAAGCAUGAAGGAGUAUAUUUCACCUAUAAUCCUUAGUUAUGUUUGGUUCCUAGAAAGUACCAAGGAAAGAAAAAAAAGGGAAAAUGGUUUCUUAUGUUUGGAUGCUACAGAAAAAGAUAAGGGAAAAAAUAUUGAGGGAAAAUGCUAUAGAAAAAAGAUUUUCCUCCUGAUUUUCCUUAAAAAAUGAUGAGGAAAGUUGGCACAAUGUGCAUUCCUCACAAUUUUACUUCCCUCAAUUUUUCAAUGCACAACCAAAUAAGAGAAUUUUUUUAAAAUUUCCUCAUAUUUUUCUUUCCUUCUAAUUUCUUUCCCACAAACUUUCCAAAACCAAGCAUAGCCUUGAUUUUUUGGUCGAUGGAUCCUAAUAUUUUUUUCCAUGCAAGAAGAACCGAUGGAUUAGUCUUCUCCAUUUAUGGUUCCAAAGGUUUAGAAUUUCUUUAGCAUUUUAUUUUGCUUAAUUGAAAAGACAGAGAACAAUAAAAGUAUUUCAAGAGCUUCAUCAAAAUUUUAAACCACAAAGCUCAAUGUAAGACAUGAUGGCAUGUAAGACAGAAAACAAAAACAAAGACAGAAAAACAGUAAAUAGCAUAAGAAGAACAAAUAGAAAACAGAGUGAGACAAUUACGUGAUUACUGCUGGUAAGUCCAAACAUAAAGUUUCAAGACCACCAUCCACCUCUCUCUCCACUGUUGCCACCUCUUUCUCCUUGUCCAGCACAACCUACUAGAAAGCAGCAGCCAGGUUGAACAAUUAUUAAAGGCAAAGAAGAAUAACUUUUAAAGAGAUCAUCUAAAUGUUCUAUCAACACCAAUUGCCAAUACAUCUCAAAUUCUCUAGGGAAAGUGGGGAGAGAUACAAAAACAUAAGCUAUGUUUGGUUCCUAGAAAAUUUGAAGGAAAAUGUAAGGGAAAUAAGAUAGAAAGGAAAAGUAGAAGGAAAGACAAAGCAAAGAAAAUGCAUAGGUUUCUAACUAAUUUUAAUUAUAUUUGAUUUUAUUUCUUAUUUUUUUAUAGUAAAACAAAACAUAAGAAAAUAAUUUUCCUUAACAUUUUUUUUCCUUAAUACUUUCCAAGAGCCAAAGGUAUCAAUGGUUUUAUUGAUGCACACAACAUAAUUCUUUCAGGUAUGCCCCUUGCAGCUGGAGAACAAAAAGAAUAUAGGUACAAAAUGAUUUAAGAAAACAAAGAUUACCACCAUAGAAAAGCUAAAGUUAAGUUGAAUUCUAUUGCAUACAGAAAUCCAUGAAUCAUGACAGAAAUCCUAAUAAUAUUUUCCAUGAGGAAAAACAUCCACAUUUAUAAUACUACUGAAGAACCACAGUAACAGCAAUUUUAGGGAAAAAAGGACCACUGGCAUAUGAUGGUACCAUAAGAACAAUCUCAGCCCAAAAAACCCUUCAUAGGGGGGGCAAAUUGCUCUAACUCUUGAAAUCUACCCAAAGAAGGGAAACUACCUCUUUAAUCCAUCUUGGUUAGGUACCAGUUCCACAAGGGGCCAUGGUCCCCAGAUCCUUAUUUUUCCUUGUCCACAGUGCUUUUUACAUUCGGAGUAAUUACAAUAUCAGAAACAAGAAGAACAUAACAUCGAUUGAUGUAUUUGGAAGCAAAAAAAAAAGGUUAAAAAAGCUGUCUUAAACCUUUUGGGGUAUCUGUUAUUUUGCUUUCAUCAACUCAAUUGAUGCUUUUUUCAGCCUUUCCCUCCUUUCAUGGCCUUUGAUAUACUCUAUGCAUGCCUUGCUGAUGCUCUUACCAUUCAGCCUAAGGCCACACAACUAGCCUUUCGCAAAGACAUGACUCCAGUUUUCAGCUUUCUCAUCUUUUCAUGGCACACUCGCUAACACUGUCUUCACCCUAAGUGAUAUGAUGUGUCUCACUCAUGCAACCAGUAUUCACCCAAAGAGAUAGAUCAGAGAAAAUUUCUCUGUGUUAAGUUUCUUUAAAAGCAAACAGAGUCUUUGAGAGUUUCUUGUUAUUCCAUCUAUGACCAAAAGGGUUGAGAUUCAUGGCCCCUUGCAAUGAAUUUUCCAUUAUCAUCUUCAAAUCUGACAUUUAAAUCUUGUUUUCUUGUUUUCCUGUUUUUACUCUCAAAAUAAUCCAAAAACAGUAUUUUGGAAACCCUCAAUUACUUCAAACGAUCAAUGAGAGGCAAAUUGGAAACCAUAAUUCACAAGCGCUGGCAAAUGGAAAUGGACUCUAAAAAGAUGUUAGCUGUAAACUAAUUGCUUGUUGGCUCUGGUGGCAUCCAUCAUCAAAGAAAAAAGAUAAAUAAACUGAGACAUGGAAUUUCACUAUCCUUUUUUUCUUAUAGGUAAGCGAAGCUUGUAUGAAAGGAAUAAAGAAAAUAUAUACAACAUAUACAAAGCAACCAAAAUGGAAUUUCACCAUCCUAGCUGAAAAGUGGCGCACUGUUACCCUACUUGAUGUUGUAAUAAGCUUUUUCAUCCUAAACUAGGGGAAAAUGCCACUAGCAUGCACCUUACAAGUCUUUCUAAACAUUUCUGCAUCUCAUCAUGAGAGUUUUAUGGCAGUGAAACCCCAUCCCAUGCCUCCGUCAGUGAGGAUUCUAUAACAACAGAUUCAUAUAUAUCAUUCUCUAAUCCUUUUCUCUUGUAUGUGAAUAGAACAUAGCUCUGUUUGGAUCCAAGAAAGAAUGACAGAGGAGACCAAAACACUCAAAACACUGAACAUAACUUUAGAAAGUUCAAAGUUAUUUUCAGGAUUUGCCUUUUAUUUCUCCCAUUCUCUCUGAUAUAAAGACAAAACCUAAUACUUGUAGAAAGACACAUGGUUAAAUUUUUGUUGUCAACGCCAACAAAUCCAUGUAAGGUGAUGCUUUUCACUAAGAAGAGACUCUAAGAUUAGAUUCCCAAUGUAUAGAGUGUUUGCGCAGUAAACAAAUCAAUCACUUAUCAUUUAUAUAACAGUAGAAGUGUAUGGAGAGUGGGACUAACCUUGGAAGCAAAGGUCCCCUGAGGCCAGUUGAGCAACCCGGCAACCAUUUGCCCUGUUUGAUUGCAAUCGUCAUCAAUGGCCUAGAAAACCCAUGCCCACAUCAGAAAACAACAAUCCACCAUAAAAAGAGUCUAGGAUUUUCACGGAAUCCGCAAAUUUAUUUUUAAAUCGUUACCAAAAACCCUAAUCUCUGGGCACGAAUUCACAGACCUGUUUGCCCAGAAUAAGGAGGCCAGGCUUCUCCACAUCGACGAGAGCUUUGAGAAGCUUAGCAACUGAAAGUGGGUACAGAGUGGCGGAAGCUUCGACGUGGAUGGCCCUAUCGGCGCCCAUGGCGAGACCCGUUCUGAGCGUGUCGACGCACUGGCUGGGACCCACACUGACAGCGAUAACCUCCGACGCCAGACCCGAUUCCUUGAUCCUCAGAGCCUCUUCCAAACCUAUCUCACAAAAGGGGUUCAUCGACAUCUUGACGUUGCUGGUCUCCACGCCGCUCUGAUCGUGGGUUGGCGAUUGUUAUUGGAUGAUGAUGAAAUUACAGAUACUGAAUAACUUGAGAGUUUGGAUUUGGGUUACCUUGUCGGAUUUGACUCUGAUCUUGACAGCGUAGUCCACAACACGCUUUAUCGCCACCAUUAUCUUCAUCUCGUAUAUGGGUGGUUAUCUUCUCCGGCACAAGGGUAUUGGCAAAUGACUGAUGAUGAAGGACGAGGAUAUUCGCCCGAGCCCUACUGCACGACACCACAUCCGCUUAUAAAAUCUUUUGAUACGGAUAAGUACAAGGGAAGUGGAAAAAAAGGAUUAUUAAGAAAAAUAAAUAUAUUACCAAAAAAAUUAUUUAAAAUUUUGUUCAUGUAGAAAGAACCCGUGAAUCAGAUCGAAAAAAUUAUAUUAAAACUGCUGUAUAGCCGAAAAUUGUGUACAGAAUUUAUUUUAACAUUGUAUUAUUGAAUUUUUUAUUCAAAAAUUGCUUAACGUGAGAUAGAAAUUAAAAAAUCAUUAGUAAUUUUGUCCGAAAGUUGUUAUAUUUCAUGUGUUUUAAAAAUAGAUGUAAUUUAUUCCUAUUUGCAUUUUUAACGUACAUUUAAUUAAAUAACCCAAAAAGUUAUUGAGUUCACAUCAUCUAUGGAGUCUACCUCUCUUUGCUUUUGUUGCUUCCAAAAAUACCAUACUCCCAUAUUUUUUUGGUUCUACUCAUUUUACUUUAUUUUUUUCAUUCCAUUCAUUCCACGUGAAGUCUUCAAUCCUAAUAACAUUUACUAUAUUACAAUUAAGUUUAAUUUUUAAAAAACUUAAUUAGGGUUAAAUUUCCUUUGAGAGAACUUCAUUACAAUUAUUUGAGUUGUACGUUAAGUUUCAUUUAAAAAUAACUUAUUUAAAAAGAUGUUAAGCUUCCCCUAUUUUAUUUAUAAAGUUUAAUAUCUAUUUGAUUUUAUAUUUGAAAUCCAACUAAAACCUAAUAACGAAUUGUUGUAAAAAAACUCCAAUCAAAAUACUAACAAAAAUUAAAACAUAAAACUCUGAUAAAAAAUUGUUAAAAAAUCCAACAAAAAAACAAUCAUAAAAAACCCUAAUCAAAAACAUCAUGGAAGUUUAAAUGAAAUUGCCAAAAAAUAAAAAGUAUAGAAAACCCUAACAAAAAAACAACACCAAAACACCUGACAAAAAACAAUUACAAAUUCUAGCACAAAAACCCCCAAUUAAAAAUAUCUAUAAAGAAAAACCUAAAAAAAACCAAUUAUAAAACCUCCAACAAAAAAUAAAGAGAAAGAUGAAGAAUAUGAAAAAUUUUGAAGAAGAAAGAAACAUGAGAGAACUAUCAUUGAUCUUUAUUUGUUAAUCUUUGUUAUAUGUUUGAACUUCACUAGAAAAUGAGAGAGAGAGCAUAAACCUAAAGAGAGAAAGAGCUGAAAAUGAGAGGAGAAAUGAAUCACAAUGAGGGGAAUGACAAUUUGAGGAAAUAUAGAAGGGUUAAAUCAUUUGAACUAGGUUAACGUUUUUAUUAAAAAAAAAGAGUAAUGAAGGUCCUUGUUCUAAUUUCAAGAGUAUGUCUGUUAAUUACCAAAUGUGGCAACUCUAAAUAAAAUCCUUUGUUAUCAACUAAAACUAAAAGUCCCAUUACAUCAUAUCCAACUUUCAUUUGUUAUCAACAAAGUAAAACUAUAUACAACUAUUAUCACCAUCUCUCCUAUUUUGAUGUUAUUUUCUUAGAUGAAUUUGUAAAUCAAAAUUUACACCACCCAUAAAUUUUUUGAGCUUCCUAUUUAACACAACUUCAAUUUGUUAUACUUUGAACAUCACAAAGAUAAAGUAAUCAACAUUUUGCUUGGACAAGUUUUUCUUCUCUAAAGUUUAGAGUCCUAUUUCACUUCCCGUUUAUGGGUUGUUAGUUCAUCUAAUAUCUCACCAUCAUCCAUUCCAUGUACUGUGUUUCCGAAAUGAGUUGAUUCCACAUCCUAAAUGUCUGUGCAAAUUAAUAAGGAAUGUCGAGUUACCAAUUUUCUUAAAAGCUUAAUCUUGCAAGAUUUGGAUUCAAAAUGCAUAUCAUGCUCUCUUUAACACCCCUCCCCCCUCUCACAUGUAGCCCUAUACCCACACGUAGAGAAAUAGACUUAUAGGAAAAUUGGUAGUUUAAUAUAGUAUCAGCACUUGGUUUGGUGGGAGGUCUCCUGUUUGAGUCACCUCUCCACAAUUUACAUUUCUCCUAUUUGUUUAAUUUACAGUUCUUCCCUUAAUCUGUAAUUCUUUGGAUAUAAAUUUUCCCCCUAAUUUGUAGUUUUGUGGAUAUGAAUCUCUCUUCCAUGUUCAGGUAUGGGGCCACACAUAAGAGAGGGUGUUAAAGAGCAUGAUAUGCAUAUUAAACCCAAAUCCUAUAAGUUAAAACUUUUAGGAAAAUUGGUAGUUUAACGCUUUUAGGAAAAUUGGUAGUUCAACAUGUGUACACCCCAUUUUGGGGACUGCUAUUGCUCCCACUUCUUUUUGUCAAAUGGUGGAGCUUUUUAGGAGCACAUGUUGUAUUUGGAAAGGCUAUUAGAAAAUGGCAACAUGACUGUUAAUGGAAGUAAUGAUUUUCUAAAAAGGCAACCAUGGGAAGACACAUAACAAAGAUGUUUGGGGAGGAGGGAGAGUGUGCAUCAAGACUACUCAUGAGGGGUAAGAAACAAAAAAAAAAAAGUGUCGAAGAUAACUAAAAAAUUGGAGAAACAUAAAGGAAUAAGGAUUUUAGGGCUAUGGAUGGUGAACAAGAGUGAAUUAUGGGUGUCUAGGACAGCUAGGAAUGGUGAGAGGAGUAGGGAGCUGUAGAAGGUGAUGAGCUAGGUAAGAUGUAUUUUCGAGAAAGAAAAGAACCAAAGAAAGAAGGUGGUGAAUUAAGUGAGACACGUCUCAGAGAAGCAGAGAAAGUUGGCUUGAAGCCAAGCAAACUUUUGCUUGAGAUGAGCAUUGCCUAGUAAGAUUGUUUCGAUUCAUCGAUUAUUACUGAUCAUCAUACUUCUCUUGUCUUAUAUUCAUGUGAUUAUUUUACAUUGAUUGUGGGGUUGCUUUGGUUUGGUUAUUAUGGCUUCAUCCUCUAUUUCUUUAGUUUUAUUCAAGGAUAAAUCUAAUUGUGCUUUGAUUAGUUAUUCCAUAUUUGAAAAUCUUUGUGUAUUUUGGGUUUUUUCUCUUUAGAUAUUUUCUAGAUUAAUCCACUGACCUUUAAACCCACAAAUAAAGAAAAAUGAAAUGAGUUUUUUCAUAUUUGUUGGGUGUUUGGCCCUUGUUUAUCUUUUUUUAAAGCUUUAUUCCUUUAUAUUCUCUAUUUCUCCCCAUUUUGUACAUGGGUGUUUCAAUCAGAGUCUCUAUUUUGGCUUCCACAUUUGAGAUUUCUUUUAUGAGCGAAGACCCAAAAAUGGAGACUGGCUUCUUGUAAUUGAUAAAAUAGUUAGUCACCCAUUAGCUUAGAUGAAGCAUAGAUGUUAACCGGAUUGUGAACAUGGAUACUCUAUUUUGGGCCUAUUAGGCCUUCCAAUCCUCUCUUAGUUUCAUUAUUCUUGAGGAUAGUGUUUGGUUGUGUCUGCUACUUAUUCUGUGGCUUCGGUGGUCUGUUUGUUUAUUCUUGGCUAUUAUCAAUGCUAACAAUGGGAAAGAGACUGGUUUUGGUUAUGCUCUUACGGAUUUGAAGGUGAUCAAAGGGUCCAGUGAAGAGAAGAUUAGUAGGUCAUAUUAGGUUAAUUAAUUAAUUAGGACAUGUUUUGAGUUAUAUUAAGUAAUACAAGCUCUUAGUGGGCUUAAGUAACUUAAGCCUAGUGGGGAAUGCCAUAAAUACCCCUUAGGGGUUAGCAUUUCCAUAGGUUUUUCUAGAGAGUCAUCUUUCACCUCCAAAGAAGGAGAGUCAUAGCCUUUACCAUUUUUUCCAUCAUUAUCGAAGUGUGUCAAGAUUAAGGUUUAAGUCAUUGAGCGGAAGACUCCAGGUUUAUGAGACUUCAUACAACUUCGUUUUUCAUUUUCAUCAAAUGGAAUUAAUUUGAAAACAUUUGAAUCUGAAGUAUGGUUUUUGUUAGCAUAUUUCGAAUCCCUUUAAAGUUUAAAAAUGCAAAUUUUCCACUAUGUAUAGGAUUUAAAAUCGCUUAAGAUAGUUAAACAUGUUCCCCACUUGAUCUGAAUUGGGAAACGGAGAAAUCUGAUAUUUUCCCAUCACAAGGUAGGAUAAGAACUUGUGAUUGAUCUUUAUGGAUUGGACUAAUUAAUUAAUUGGAACCUAAUUAGGCUAAUUAAUUAAUUAAGACCUAAGCAAACUAGUUUAAGUUACACAAGCCUAGGAUGGACUUAAGUGACUUAAGCCCAUGGGAAGCUUAUAUAAACUCCUUUAGGGGUUAGGGUUUCAAACUUUUAUCAUCUAGUCUUCAAUUCCUUAAAGAGAAUAGAACUCGAGCCAACAACUCUCCUAAAGGAUUCUAUUGCUCCGUGUCAAGAUUCGAAAAAAAACUAUUUGAUGGAAGGUUGUUAUGUUUAUGAGAUUCGUUAUGUUUUUUUACACCUUUUCACUAAAUGGAAUUGAUAUAGGAAUGUUCAUAUCUCAAGUGCAACACACUUAUUCUCUUUAGAUUUAUAUUGCUUAUGGUUUUUUUUUUUUUUGUCAUGGUUUUCCGUUAAGAUUAGAUUAAGAGAGCCCUAUGUCAUAGAAUGCUUCAAAUGAGCCUCCCCGGGGGUUUGUAUAGAGCCCAUGAAGCUUCUAGAGACUCCUAUACUUAGCCAUUGGUGGGAAGAGUGUGAAAGGUUCUACAGAUGUCUAGAGAUAUUUACACAUCUCUACACUAUGGUGGAAGGCAUGAGAGGAGUCUAAGGCAUUCUAAAGAAUUAUAAAGAUCUCUUAUAUAUUCUUGUACAUAGGCUUGUACAUAGAAUUGUGUAGGAAGUUAUAGAUUAUUCUUGAGCUGUAAGGAACCCUCCAAGGUUCCAGAGAGUUCCAUUGGUGCCUAUAAAUAGGUGAAUGCCUCAUUUGGCCAAGACACUAAGCAAGUGAAUUCCAAAACACUUGUAAAGCUUCCUUUGAAUAAUAAAAGUUUCAAUUCUUCAAGAGUUGCCUAUUAUGCCUUCUAAAACUUCUAAGUCAUGAGCAUCUUAACCUAACAAGUUAAGCAUUGGGAGUAAUGCUAACUUAGCAAGAUCAAGGAUCUUGACUUGUCUAAGUGUUGCACGAUCUUAGGAAAAGAUUAAGUUUGUGACAGUUGGUUUCAAAGUGUGACUACGAAGUGAGCAUAGUAAAGGAAACAUGUCGAGCUUCAACAUGGAGGAAACUAGUGAGCAAACCCGUGGGAAAGAAACCGAGCCUACUGCAUAGGACAGGGACAUGAAGGAUAAAUCUCGUAAUGCCAUAGCCAACGUGGAGGCAAGGCUAGCCAAGGUGGAGCUAGCCAUGGCAGACACCCGGGAAGGGGUGGACUUAAUCGAGCAAGGCAUGGAAAAUGGCUUAGAGGAUCUAAAUGAGCAUAUCCAAGACCUUCAUGAGAGAGUGCUAGGCUUACAAGUUCGGCCGAUGUCAUAUGAGGAGUUCAUGUCCUUCCAAAACGAGGUCAUGAGCAUGUUUGCUAGCAUGGAGUCGAAGGUGGAGGCCUUGGCUGCACGCAUAGAGGCCCAAGACCAAGAGGUUCAACAAGAGCUAGCUAUCUACAAGACUGUCUUAUCAGCACGAGUCAUGGCCACUCAUGAGGCACUAAGGGUGGAAGUGCCCAAACCACACACGUUCAAUGGCAAGAGGGAUGCCAAGGAGUUGGACAAUUUCUUGUGGCACAUGGAGCUCUACUUUGAGGUUAUAACACUAAUAGAUGAAGCCACUAAGGUAUGUACCACAACCCUCUACCUCACCAAUAAAGCUACUCUAUGGUGGCGUCAGAGGUUUGCCAAUAUAGAAAAAGAAAUGUGCACCAUAGACACAUGGGAUGCCUUUAAGCAAAAGAUCAAAAAACAAUUAUACCUUAAUGAUGUGGCUUACCUAGCAAGGAAAAACACAAAAUGUCUUAAGCACACAGACUCGAUCCGUGAGUAUGUCAAAGAAUUCUCUACACUUAUGCUUGAGAUACCCAACAUGUCUGAGGAAAAGCUACUAUUCAACUUCAUGGACAACUUGCAAAGCUGGGCCGAGCAAGAGUUAAGGAGAAGUGGUGUCCAAGACCUAGCCACGGCCAUGGCGGUAGCGAAGUCCUUGGUGGAAUACAAAAAGGGAGACUCUUUUAAGCCCAAGCCACAGUCUAAGGGUAAUCAUGCUAAAGGUGGGGAAACAAGGGAUCAAGGAGGUACACUCCUAAGGAAUGAUCAAGCAAGACCUCUGGUGGCAAGGAUGGUAAGGGUAAGGAUAAACGGAAAUAGUUCACGCCUAAGAUCAAUUGCUUCCUAUGUGAUGGUCCACAUUGGGCGCGAGACUACCUCAAAAGAAAAGCCCUAAAUGCCAUGAUCGAGGAAAAGUAGAAGGAAGACAAUGCUCAUGUGGGAUCAUUACAACUCUUAAAUGAUAUCAAGGCUAAGUCAGUGCUUAAGACACCUCAAAGUAAAAGUCUAAUGUACAUAGAAGCCCUUGUAAAUAGGAAGGCUACCAAGGCUUUGGUGGACACUAGUGUCACUCAUAACUUUGUCUCGAAGGAUAAGACAAAGAACUUAGAGCUCCAAGCAUCUAAGGAAGGAGGUUGGCUCAAGGCAAUUAAUUAAGUUUCCAAGCCAUCACACGAAGUAGCACGCAGGGUGGCAAUGCACAUUGGCUCAUGGGAAGGAAUGGUCGACUUCACAGUGGCACCCAUGGACUACUUCAAGAUGGUACUGGGAAUGAACUUCCUAUAGAAAGACAAGGUCAUGCCACUACACUUCCUACAUUUAAUGGUUAUCCUAGAGGAUGAAAAGUCAUGCAUAGUCCUUACGGUCACCGAAGGUUCACCCAAGACCCCUAUGAUAUCGGUUAUGCAAGUAAAGAAGGGAUCAAAGAGGAAAGAGGUGACCUACCUCACCACUCUUAAGGAGGAAAAUGAUGAUGAGUUGGGGGAGCCCAUGCCUAAGGAAAUCAAGAGAGUCUUUGAUGAGUUCAAGGACGUGAUGUUGCCUAAGUUGCCUAAAAGACUCCUUCCUAGAAGAGAGAAAGAUCAUAAGAUCGAGUUAGAUGCAGGAACUAAGCCCCUUGCUAUGGGGCCAUAUAGGAUGGCACAACCCAAGCUGAAAGAGCUAAGGAAACAACUUAAGGAGUUGUUGGAUGCAGGGUUUAUCCAACCAUCCAAGACUCCCUAUGGCGCACCGAUUUUAUUUCAAAAGAACCAUGAUGGGUCCCUACAGAUGUGCAUCGAUUACCAAGCACUCAAUAAGGUAACAAUAUAGAAUAAGUACCCCAUUCCACUCAUUGUUGAUCUAUUUGAUCAACUUGGUAAAGCAAGGUAUUUCACUAAGUUGGACUUGAGAUCAGGCUACUACCAAGUGAGGAUUGUGGAAGGAGACAAACUGAAGACUACAUGUGUGACCCGAUAUGGCUCAUAUGAGUUCUUAGUGAUGCUCUUCGAUCUCACCAAUGUACCAACAAUGUUUUGGACACUCAUGAAUAAGAUCUUCCAUCCCUAUUUAGACUAGUUUGUGGUGGUAUACUAAGAUGACAUAGUCAUCUACAAUAGCAUCUUAGAGGAGCACGUGGAGCAUUUAAGGAAGGUCUUCAAGAUCUUAAGGUAAAACGAGUUAUAUGUAAAGAAGAAGAAAUGCUCAUUUGUUAAAGAGGAUGUGAGCUUCCUAGGGCAUCGCAUCAAAGAUGGCAAGCUGAUGAUGGAUGACAACAAGAUGAAGGUCAUCUAGGAAUGGGAUCCACCUACUAAGGUACCUCAACUAAAGUCUUUCCUUGGCUUGGCUAACUAUUACCAGUGGUUCAUCAAGGGUUACUCUACAAAGACAGCUUCACUCACUAAUCUUCUUAAGAAGAACAAGGCAUGGGUGUGAGACAAAAGGUGGCAACAAGCCUUUGAAGAUCUAAAAAGUGUUGUGAUUGAGGAGCCAAUGUUGGCAUUACCCAACCACAUGAAGGUUUUUAAGAUACACACAGAUGCCUCAAACUUUGCUAUUAGGGAAGUUCUGAUAAGAUAGACAUCUAAUCGCCUUCAAGAGUUGCAAGCUAAAUGACAUAGAGAGACGCUACAUGGUACAAGAAAAUGAUAUGACUGUCAUUGUCUAUUACUUGCACACCUGAAGACACUAUCUUCUAGGGUCUCACUUCAUAGUGAAAACCGACAAUGUUGUCAUUAGUUACUUCUAAACACAGAAAAGUCCUAAGUAAGCUAGGUGGCAAGACUUUCUGGUUGAGUUUGACGAUGCGCUGGAGUAUAAGACAAAAAGUACUAAUCAUGUGAAUGACGCCCUAAGCCGUAAUGUAGAGCUAGCAUUCAUGACGAGCCAGCCCCAAUGAGACAUAAUAGAUCUUCUAAGAGAGGGGUUGCAACAUGAUCUAGUGGCUAAGAGCCUUAUUACCUUGGCCCAUGAGGGAAAAACUAAGUGUUUUUAGGUAGAGGACGACCUACUCUACACUAAGGGGAGACUACUCUACGUGCUUAAGUGGGGGAACAUAAGGUAGAACUUGAUUAAGGAGUGCCAUGACACCAAGUGGGUUGGGCACCUUGGGCAACGACGCAUAAAGAGCACUACUCGAGUCAGCUUACUACUGAUCUUAGAUACAAGAUGAAGUUGAGGCAUAUGUGAGGACUUGUCUUGUGUGCUAACAAGACAAGGUAAAACAACAACAACCUAGAGGCUUGUUGGAGCCACUACCUAUAGCAGAGCGUCCAUGGGAGAGCAUCACCAUGGACUUCAUCAUCGGGCUACCUAAGUUGGAGGGCUAUGGCUCGAUCAUAGUGGUAGUGGAUAUGUUCUCUAAGUAUGUGACCUUCAUAGUAGCCUCUACUGACUGUACUGCAAAGGAGACAGCAAGGCUAUUCUUGAAACACAUGGUCAAAUACUGGGGGUCGCCUAAUUACAUCAUCAGUGAUCGCGAUUUGCAUUUCACUAGGAAGUUUUGGACAAAGCUCUUUAAGCUUAUGGGUUUGAAGCUUCACUUCUUCACAAGCUUUUCACCCGUAAACAGAUAGGCAGAUUGAGAGGGUGAACGCCUUAUUAGAGUUAUACUUAUCCUUCAUGAGUGUCAACCAAAAGGAAUGGACUAAGUUGCUAGAUGUAAUCCAAUUUUCAUACAACUUGCAAAGAAGUGAGACAACCAACAAGAGCCCGUUCAAGCUAGCCAUAGGGCAGCAACCAUUGACUCCUCACACACUACCAAUAGGCUAUACGAAGAGAAGUUCAGCGGCUUUGAAGUUCACUAAGGGGUGACACGAGCCAACUGACAUAAUAGCUCAUACUUGGAUAGGGCCGCUAGAAAGAUGAAGAAGUGGGCUGACAAAAAGCGACAUCACACUGAGUACAAGGUCGGAGACAUGGUCUUUGUCAAGCUCCUUCCUAAAAAAUUCAAGUCACUAAGGCCGGUACAUAAAGGCCUUAUGAUGAGGUAUAAAGGACAUUUCCCCAUACUUGGAAAGGUCGGCAAGGUGUCCUAUAGAGUUGAGUUACCACCGAGGUUGAAGAUUCAUAUCGUCUUCCACGUAAGUUACAUAAAAUCAUAUCACGAAGACAAGAAUUAUCCAAGCCAAGGGAUGUCCUAGAUGACACCUACAUCGAUUAUGACCUUCUAUGACAAGGAAGUAGAACACAUCAUUGCAGGCUGAGUCAUCAAGAGAUGAGGCGUGCCUCCUGCUACGGAGUACUUGGUGAAAUGGAAGGGACUACCAGAGAACGAGACUAGCUGGGAGCCAAUAGAUGCACUAUGGCAAUUUCAGGAGCACAUUAAGUGGUUCUAGGUGGAAGGUGCGACAAGGACGUUUACGGUUUAGGUAGGGGAGAGUGUCAUAGAAUGCUUCAAAUGAGCCUCCCCAGGGGUUUAUAUAGAGCCUAAGAAGCUUUUGGAGACUCCUACACUUAGUCAUUGGUGGGAAAAUGGUGGAAGGUUCUAAAGAUGUCUAAAGAUAUCCACACAUCUCUACACUAUGGUGGAAGGUAUGAGAGAAGUCCAAGGCUUUCUAGAAAAUUCUAGAGAUCUCUUGUAUAUUCUUGUACAUAGGCUUGUACAUAGAAUUGUGUAGGAAGUUUUAGAUUAUUCUUGAGUUGUAAGGAACCCUCCAAGAUUCCAAAGAGUUUCAUUGGUGCCUAUAAAUAGGUGAAGGCCUCAUUUGGCCAAGGCACCAAGCAAGUGAGUUCCAAAGCACUUGUAAAGCUUCUUUUAAGUAAUAAAAGCUUCCAUCCUUCAAGAUUUAUCUACUACGCCUUAUAAAGCUUUCAAGUUGUGAGCAUCUUAACCUAGCAAGCUGAGCAUUGGGAGCAAAACUGACUUAGCAAGAUCAAGGGUCUUGACUUGUCUAAGUGUCGCACGAGCUUAGGAAAAGACUAAGUUCAUGACACCUAGGACUAGUAGCAUGCACCCUAAGUAAUCCAAGGCUAGAAAUGAAAUGAUACAAGGAUUCCCAACACUUGACUUAAUUCCUUAGAAAUUGAAACUCAAUAAAAAACAUUAGUGUCAUUAACCUCAUUUUUUUUAUUACCAAUACUUAAUUAGGGGAAACCUUGAGCUAACAACCUCCUCAUUUUUUAUGAUGAUAAAACUGUACCAUCUAAAGAAAGCUUUCCUUAAUGUAUGCAUAUUAUAAGCAAUUUAAACAUUCAUCAUAAAAGAUGGAAAACAUAAACUCAAAUGGAGACAUGGAUAUAUAGAUAUAAGAGACAUCAUAAAGGUUGCAACAUGAUCGUAUAUCCGAAAUAGCAUCCAAAAGCAUGUCAUCCAAAAAAAAAUCAACCAUAAUAACCAUGUUCAAAUUGUCCCAAAAAGGAAAAAAAUAUAUAUAUGAAACAAAAAGUAUUAAAUAGUUUACUAAAUGUUAUGCCCUAGAUACCUAAAGAUAUCUCCCCCUUAGGCAACAUCGAAACAAUGAGGGAACUAUAUGGCUCAAGGUUGAGGUGGUGGAAACAAGGAACAUAGGACAGCUAUUGAAGAAGCUAAAAUUCUUCAUAAAUGAUUGAAUUUUAUUUCACCAUGAGAAACAAUACAAAGAGGGAUUUUUUUUUUUUUUUUUUUUUUUUUAUCAAGGGGAAGACCCCUUUCUCUUUACUACUUAUCCCUUUUAAUAAAAAUUCUUCCACAUUUUUCCACUUUAUUUUGCCAACAUUCUUUCAACCCCUUUUGCACAAAAAUGCCAAAGAUAGUAUUAGGAUAACCUUUUACAACCAUUGCUAACUUUUGACACAAGUUGCUAAAAAUUGUUGAAGAUUUGCUUUUAAUGUCAGGUAGGAUAGCAGAUUGGUUCUAAUUGAAGGUCAUUUCUUGUGGAGGACCUUACUUAUAAGUGAGAUGAUUGUUCCUAUCUUCAUGGUUUUAUGUUGUAUAGUUAUAGAGACUUUUUAGAGGCUAUCAGCUUUAGAGCAAAUUUAUGUUGUUUGUUAGGGAUUAAGUAUUUUAUUCAAAUUGGGUGAAUGGUACUACCUCUUUACUUGAGAUGGCUUUGAGAUUGGGUGGUUGAAUAGUAGUACUUUGGAAUGGUCUAGUUUUUGUUCGCUUUAGCUAUCAUUUUCUUAUGCUGUGUCUAUAGACGAGUGGAGACGUCAUUUGGAAAUUGGUCAAAUUGCCCGUGAAAUUGAUCAAAUUGUCAAGUUGUCAUCCUAAAAUUGACUAAACCUAGUUUGUAAAAAUGAGAAACGACCGUCACUAGCGACUAACAUCUUCUCAAGCUAAGUAUUAAUAGAUCCAAUCUGAGCAUAAAGGGCAUCUUAAUGUUGCAGGUUCAAUGCUCAUGAAGCAUAAUAUUUUGGAUACUUGGUGUGAGACACCUCAGCAUAAGUCUAAUCCAUAAGGAUAGUCUCCUCAGGAGGUUGAGAUGUGGGCAAUUGAAUGGUGGCAUCCAUGCCCUUGGUUUGCAUCUCCUGUUGAACAUCCUCACCCCCUAAUCCUUUAUGGUCACCCUCAGUCUCUAUCUAUAGAAUCUCUGCCUCUUACUCAACCCGGUCUUCAUUCAUAGCAGGACCCUUUCUUUUUCUUUCCAAUGAUCCAUUAGGCAAUUUCUCAAACAGCAUUCGGUCUGGAUUUUACGUUAUAGGUAUCAUAGGAUGAGGCCUGAAUGUUUUUUUCUCUUCUUAUGUCCACAUUGAAUGCUUUCAGGAUUUUUGUGAUCAGUCUUCUUCCGUUGGCCACUACUUUAGAAUUGCUUUUACAACAGUUUUUCAUGUGUUGAAAGAUGAUAAGGAAACCUUAGAAUGGAUCGGAGUCAAUAGAAAAUGCUACAUAAUAGGACACCUUGUCUCUAUGUCCACCCUUAGGUAGAAAAAUAUGUUUGAUCAUGUGGUGGUGCACCCUAGAGAUAAUGCUCAAGGCAUGGGCAUGGAGCUUUGAAGUCACUGUGUCGAUGGGUAAGUUACAUAUCCUCUAGAAAGCCCUACCUAGGUUAAAACUAGACACUAUAGGCCAUCCCUUCGUCUCAAAUAAACAAAGUCCCCCACAAAGGAUCUCCAAAAUAUCACAAAGCAUAUCAAUAUUUAGUUUAAUUCAACUCCUCUAACAAAUGUGCUAAUUGGCCUUCAUAUAUUUUAGGUUCAAGUAAAAUACCUGAACAAGGUUGGGGUAUGUAGGCUCUCUUGAUGAGAUGGUAUUGGUGAGUAUUUUUUUUUCUUCAAUACAAAACUAUUACAACACUUGGUUUUUUUUUUUUCUAAAAAAAAAAGAAAAAUAAAAAUAGUUUUAUAUUAUACUUAGUUUCAAGAAAAAUAAUAAUCAAAGCAAAAUGAAAAAAAAAUUCUCAUAUUGGUUUCUCGUGAAAAAUAUAAAAGCAAAUAAAAUACAAUUAAAAUUAAUUAAAAUCUUAUGUAUUUUUAAAUUAUUAAUUUUUAUAUAAAAAAUGAAAAAUAGUAUAAUGAAUUUAGAAGAAUAUAUAAAAAUAAUGUAUUAACUUUAAAUCUUUUUUUCUUUAUAUAUAUAUUUUCCCUUCAAUUUUCUAAUACCAACACAUAAUAAGGUUAAUGUCUUCUAGCCAACCAAUUGUAAGUCAAUUUUCAUAGAGCUUUUUUUUUUUUUUUUUUUUACAUGCCACCAAGUAGUUAUAUAAGCAUUUUUGCAUGUUAUUGUUAUCCAACAUACAAUAACUAUAACAUCCAAUUAUUAUGAACAUGAACAAUAAAAUUAGAUGCAACUAACUAUUUAGUGUAUAACAAGAAGUUGGUGAAGUAAUUCAUCCUAACAUGAUUCAACAAUUUUUGUUUAUUUUUCAAGAUUAAUUAUAACAUACCCAUUCUAUUAAAGUUGUUGAGAUAUUUGAGCAAAACUAAAAAUCAACAUUAAUUCAUUUUAUACCCACAAGAGAAAUAAGAUUUGUUUUUUUGUUUGAUAAUAAAGUAGUUGUAGUUAUUAAUGAUAAUUUUGAUCCUAAUUUAAUAGGUAUCCAAAAAAAAAGGAAAAAUGCAAGUAAACCAAUUCUUAUCUAACACAAUUAUUACCACCUUAAAAUCCUGAGGGGUAGCUCAGUUGAUCAGUUCGAGUCCCUUUAGGACCAUGAAAAGCUUACCCGAUGGUUCACCUUAAGAAAAGCAAAGCAUUUAUAUAAUUCAACUGGUAGUUGAUAAGUCUUAGAAAGGGUUUUGCCAUCAUUGGCUUCUCAGUAAAGGGCAAAUUUGGGUUGUGGCUGACAAUUAUUGAAUUUGUGAAGAAAUAUGUGAAGAAAGGAAACAAAAAGAGUUGAGGACAGAAUUCUUCAAUUAAAAAAUGGUUAGCCCAUGAACCCAUUCUUCAAACAGUAAGCCAAUGAGCCAAUGAGCCAAAAAGAAAGAAGAACAGCUGGUUUCAUCUUUUUAUCUUAAUGACUUUGACAACCCAUCUUUCUUUUAAAUACUUGUGACUUUGGAAUAUAAUUAAAAUGAAACUUUGGAAUGCCCACAUCUGAUUCACGGCCUUUUUACCUGUUUUCUUGUUUAACAUUUUUUUAAAUAUUAUAACAGAUGGAAAAACAUGAUUCUAACAGGCUGGAAAAUAGUGGAAGUUGGAACACCAACCAUAACCAAACUAUACCUUCCAUCUUUCUCCAACACUCGGAAUUAUUGAUACAAGUUGGUGGUUUUAUGAUUGUUUCUAUUGAGGGGACCCCUCUCCAUUUCCAAUUUCAAUGGAAAGGUUCUUCUUUCCCUACUUUUUUUUUUUGUUUUUCAAAUUCUUGUAGUUUUGUCUGUCUCUCUCAACAAAGCAAACUGCAAUCACUAAUUCAAAGAAAAGGAAUCCUAAAUGAAAAGAAAAGAAAGGAAAGGAAUGGUAAUUUAGGCUAUGAUGAUGCUCCUAUAUAAUGGCUGUAAGUCAAUAACAACACACUGGACCCGCCUCCUAUCUCAAAAGAUCACAAACCCAAAUAUCAUAUACUUCCAAAUUUCAAUUUGGUUCCCUGUUUAUAUCACAAUCUGUCCUAUAUCCUCUUAAUACAUCUAAAAUCUCUCUAUAUCAUAAAAAUAAUGAUGGAAAAAAAAAUUAAAAAGAAAGAAGGAAAAAAUGACAAAAAAAAAAAAACCUUGGUGCUGCUAUGGGUCCAUAGGAAUUGGCAGGACUGCACUUCUGGAUCCCCUUCCAUGGCCAAAAGAAAAGAAUGAUCUUCGGAAUCUGCUGCUGCAACCUUCACUAGGGCUGAAGUCACUGACAGGCCUGUUCUGUUGCAAAAUCUCUUGAAUUGCUAAAUACAGCUGCCUGUCGUUGGAUGAGUCCAUUGAAAAAGACCUCCUGAUGGGUUGGAUUGAGAACUGAUCAUCUUUGCCUCUAGUGUCAAUGCACUCAUCACCCAUGCUUGCAACAUGAUGAAACUUCCUUGCCUUUUUAGGCACAAUUCUCUGCUCUAGCUUCCUAGGUGAUGGACUAAUUGAUGGCGCAGAUAACUCUCUGGAAUUCAGUCUUUCUGGUGGCCUAAGCAGUGAUGAAUCAGCAGAACUAUCAUUUCCCAAUUCAAUUACUACAAAAUCUUCAUCCCCUCCUAUGUAAUUAUUGGCGUAGGGGCUUGGAUCUUGGGGGGAAGAGCUAGGAGCAAUGAUUUGGUGAACAGGAAACCGGGGUGUGGUUGAAAUGCUUGUUCUGCAAAGUGGGCAAUUAGCAUUGCUUUGAAGCCACACGUCUAUGCAAUCUAUAUGAAAUAUGUGACUGCAGUUUGGUAUGAUUCUUAGCUUCUCUUCUUCUUGAAACUCAUUCAAGCAAACCGCACACUCGCAAUGGCUUCUUUCUCCAAACUCUCUGCCACCUCCUUUCCUGAACUGGAAUAUUGGGAUUGAUCUGAUGACUGACUCGUCCAGGCCUCGACUCUCGAUUGCUGGGGAGUACACCAUUAAAGGGUCUUCCGGGUGCCGACUCCUUGAGAAAGAAAAUCGUCUCAGCAGAUCAAUCCGGUGCCAAUUGAGGCAGCAUUUGAUUACAAAGAUGUAGUAGCUCACCAGCAAGAAAGCAGUGGCCAGGAUUCCUAUUACGGCAAUGGCUAUAAUGGGGAAACUGGUGUCCGAGGAAUGAGAGGGAGAAGGAAGCACUGAGCUCGCCUGGCUUUUGAUGGGAGAAAAGGCUUGUGAUCCAUGGAUGGAGGAGUCUGUGCUCACAAGAUCCAUGAGAGAGGCUAUGAAAAACAUUUAGAAAUGAGUCUAUUCGGAUCUUCAAUUCACAGAAACAUGCAAAUGCUAGAAUAAAAUCGACAGACACUCAGAUAUAGACCCUACAGUUGUAAUGCAGCAUACCAUAAAUGUGAUUGAGUGAGUGAGGCUGAAACAGCAAAUGGGUCACUUCAAGAUCUCAACAAGACAGAAAACCCAUGUUGAAUUCACCAGGAGAGUAUUGAAAAGGGAAAAAUUAAGGACAUAUAGCUGUAUUGAAAGUUGAAACAAAUGCAGAAACAUAGAGAAGAGAGAGAGAGGGAGAAAACCCAGGAGGGUUGAAUGAGAGCGCUGCUGGGGAAGACAUCAAAACGCUUCAAAUUCAAUGAGAAUCUGUUGGGGACCUCUUUAAGAGGACUGCACAAAGCCUGAGCGUAGGGUACGUGGUUGGUUGGUGAAUUUCUCGGCUUCCAAAAGAGAAAUUUGGUGAGAAAAUUUUCAAGUCUCUUGAUUAUAGUAACGUAGCGUUUAUUUUAAUUUUAUGUAACCGAAACUAAUGGGCUGGUUCAAAAAAAUAAAAAAUAAAAAAAGGAACUUUCUAGGAUAGGCCAGCAGUCCACCGUUGGUCAUGUGGUUUCUUUUGCAUGUCCACAUCUUCCAACUAGUGGAGGUCCCUGUCACAACAGUAAGAAAACACCCAAUUGAAUAAAAGUAUGAACUUUUGGCUCCCAAUAUUACUUAUGCCCUCAUUCAAUACCUCAAAUAAAGCAGAGAUUUUGUGUCCCAACUUUUAUGAUUUCAUUUCAUCUUACUUCAAAUGCUAAUGACAAAAGUCCAAGUAUAUUCUGUAAUCACCCACACCCCAAUAGUUUUGAAUCACACUUGAAAUAGUUCCCAUGCUUUCUUAAUAAUUUAGAUAAUUAUUUACAGAAAAAAAAAUUCAGAACAGGAUGAUAAUCAUUUUGUGAUAGCAUGGAAGAAACUUUACUAGCCACUUUGGCCCCAUGAAGUUGAGUACUUGAUGCCAAUUAAUGGCAGGGUGGAAAAUAGAGAAAAGGGAUCAUAGUCAAAUCUAGAGUACAAGGCAUUGAAUCUUUGUUAAUAAUUAACAAAUGGGUAAAGCAUGGGUCACAGGGUCUACAGUUUGGAUUGCAAAAACCUCAGGCUUCUAUAAAAAGCUCAUCCAUUAUCAAUCAUCAAUCUGAAAGCCAGAAAGUCCAAGGCACAUGCAACCCACGACAGGGGUAAGAUUUCUGCAUCAUGUCCCUGAGUUGCAUUCACAUCAUAUGUUUCCCUCCGGGCCGUUCCAAUUUGAAAUCUCAUGGAAAUCUUCAAGAGCAAGGCUACAGAGUUUAAGAUAAUACUAGGGGUGGGUCCUGAUGGGAAAAGAGGUAGUGUAGGAUAGUCAAUAAAGGGCAUGUGUCUCUGGUGUGAAGUCAAAUCCAGUGUACCAUCCUCAAUGGAAAAUUUAGAAAUAGAACCGACACUCUACAGACUGCCGUGUUGACAGAUUAGAGAAAGACAAACCCACUUACACUUGCCUCAAAACCCAGUCCUGCCAUUUCAAAGGCAAAAAAAAAGGGUUUCUUUUUAUAGUCAAAGGUUGAGGCCUGGCCUGGCCUAGCAAAGAAACUUCACCUACUCUUUUCUUAUUUUUCAAAUUAAGGCCAUUCAACUUUUCCUGUUUGCAGGCUUGCUGCCAUAUCUUACUCCAAAAAAGGUGAAAACCCAAAAGAAAAAGAGUGUUUGCUUCAAUGGAAAACUCAUGUUUAAUAAAUUCACCGCACGAGUUUUGUUCCAGCUUUUCCUAUGAAAGCUGUGAUGCGUUUGGUAUGAAGUUGAUUUUGUUCCUAAAAAUUUUGAUCUUGGCGUGGAAGGCAACUUUUUCCUUUUCCCCCUUUUUCUUUUUGAAAAGUUCGGCAUUAGUUACCAAAUGUCCUUUUACUUGCAUGUAGGACAGCGGAAGCAUUACACAUCGCAGCAAAAUCCCAUUUACCCGAAUUUUCCACUAACUCUUUUUAUUUUUUACCAUCAUUUUUUAAUAGAAGUGAUGCACUCUUCAAAUUACAUGAAGCUUUUAAGAAGGUAAUAACCCGUUUCAAAGCGAACUUAACCUACAGAGUAUGUUUUAAAAAUAUUUAGGUAUUUGAUAAAAUUUAAAAAAUAUUUUUUAAAAUCUUUAAAAUGAUUUGUAAUAUUGAAAAUUUAUUUAUACUUUUUUUAAUAAAAAAACAUUUUAUAGGUAAUUUUUCUAAAAUACUUUUAGAGAAAAUGUCUUCCCUUCACUAUAAAUAUUAUAUACUAUCAAAUACACUUUAAAAAUCUGUUUAACAAUAAUUUUAUAAAGUGUUUUUAAUUUUAAAAAUAUUUUUAAAAACAAAUUAAAUUUUUGAUAAAAUUUAAAAAAUCUUUUUAAAAAUUUUGAAAAAUAUCUCGUAAUAUUAAAAAAUAUAUAUAUUUAUAAUGUUUUUUAUAUAAAUACUCAAAAUUCAUUUAAUAGUGAUUUUAGGAAAUGUUUUUAAUAUUUCUAAUACUUGAAAAUUUUUUAUCAUUUAAGUAUUAAAAAUAUUAAAAACACUUUAUAAAAUCACUUUCAAAUGGACUCUUAAUGAUUUUACUAAAAACACUUUUCAUAGAAAACAUUUAUAAAAAAUAAUUAUGAAAUACACUCUAAAUUAAGUAAAAGUUGUUUUUAACAUUACCACUAUUUAUUAAUAGUGCAUUUGUUUAAAAUAUUUAUAUGAAAAAUUCAUUAGGGUGGGAUAUAAAUAUAGAAGUGUUUUUCUUUAUAUAUUUUUUAUAAUAAAAAAUGAUUUUUGAAAUUAUAAAAUUUGAAUUUAAGAAUCAUUUGAUAAUAAUUUUUGUUAAAGCACCUUUAAUACGUGGUGCUUCUAUUGAUAGCGCUUUCAUUUCUAUGAAUGGCUAUAAAUUAUAUUUGAAUAAAUUUUUUAUAAUGUAUUAUAUAAUAAAAAAAAAGUCAUUUUUAAAAAAAUUAUACAUUAAAUGAUUAUUCAAAUAGUAUUUCCUAAAUUUUAUUAAACAUUUUUUUCAAAAAAAAAAAAAAAGUUUUCAAAUACUAGAAAACGUUUUUAAUCUCUCACACGAUCACAUCCAAACAAGUCCUAAUGCUACUCCUAGAAACACUCCAAAACAAAAGUCUUCCUCUAUUAAUGUUCAUAAAAUCCACAUAUAUUCUUCCAUCGUUUUUUCAAAAUUCAAAAUCAUUUCUAAAACAUCAAAUCAUGUUCUUUGGAUUGGCUGACUUGUUUUUUGAAAAUAGAAGGCUCAUUAUUGACGUCCGUUGACUUCAUAACCCAGUCUUGAUCUCUUGAUGGAGGGCAUAAAUGUAAAUUGGACGAAACCCUAGGGUGCGCUAGAGUGUAGAGGAUGAAAGGUUGGAAAAAGGAUGAGGUGGGGGUGUAAUAAAGAGGAGGGUUGGGAGAAUGGGACAUGUGUAGGUGAAGCAUUAAAUUCAAGACUAUGCUUACCAACAACAUAUAAAUAAAUAAAUAAAUAAAUAUAGGAACAGCACAUGGGGUGAGUAGGAGACAUCAGAAGAUGUGAACAACCCCUUGUCAGUCCAAUUUGCGUCUUUUAUCUACUCUAUUAUCUAUAUCGAUUUUCGUAUUUAUUUAUUUAUUUAUUUAUUUUUACCAUUUGAUUUUGCAUGGAUGUCGAAGGGUUUAUUGGCUGCCACGUGUAGGGUUAUGGUCAAGAUCACGUGGGGUGCCUACAUGGGAGUCACGUGAGUGCAUGAGGCAGGCUUGAAUUGCAGGAGGAGCAGGAGCAGAGCAGUGGCUGUUGUCUUAAGACUUUGCUCUCUUGGUGGAACUGCAGCUUAAGCAGCAUCCACGUGUUGUCACGUGCAAUGCGAGCCAUCCACACCACCAGUUUCUUUUUAGUGAUUUUCUAAAGUCAGUUAAGGUUGCAGUCAAUACCUUCAAAUGUUGACAGAGUUAGGGAUCUUUGUUAAAUGGAUUUUAUUAAGAUAUUAGUAAGUUAAUUAAUUGAGGGUCAACAUAACAGAUGGGUCGGGUUGGGUUGAAUCUGAAUUUAAAACGAUUUAAUUUAUGUUUAAUCAAAUUUAACAUUUAACUCGAAGCACUCAACUUAAGUUUAAUUGAAUCUUAGUUUUCAAAACAUUAUUUAAAUUUGGGUCAUUUGGAUUAAAGUCAAAUGGGUUAGAUUAAUCGGGUUAUAUGGUUCAAAAUCCACUUACCUUAUUUUUUAUACAUUAAUAUUAAAAUUUAAAUAAAAAAUAUUAGAAGAAAUUUCAAACUUGGGAUUAGUUGAUUGUAGCCAUGCAUUUGGAUGUUGGUAUUCUUGUUUCUUGUCUUGUUUCCAAAUACCCUUUCAAAUCGCUUUGUUAUUCAAUAGCAUCCUCCCGAUCAUUUAAAAAUUUAAAGAGCAUUGGUAUGAUGGAGGAAUUCAGAAAUUUUAGUUGAAUAAGUAAAAUUUUUCUCUCAUAAAACCAAAUAGCCUCUAUAGCUCAGUGGUAGAGCGUCAGUCUUGUAAACUGAAGGUCUGUAGUUCGAUCCUGCAUGGAGGCAACUUUUUAUAUUUCAUGAUCCAUUAUGCUCUAGUGAUUUAGUUUUCAUUAUAAUUUUAGAUUAAAAAAUUACAUCAACAUUUGAUAAGUUGGUUAUGACUUUGAUAUAAGGAUGAAACUAUCAAUAAUAUAUAUAAAUAUUUUGACACAAAAUAUCUAAUAUAUUAAAAAAUUAAAAAAAAACUCUAAAAAACAUUAUAAAAUUAUAUAUAUAAUUUAUCAUAUUUAAUAAUAAUAUCUUCUACCCUAAUAAAAAAUAUAAAUUUUAUAAGCAUACAUUUAUUAUUACAUUGUAUUAUAUAUUAUUUUACAAGAAUAUUAUGAUAACAUGUCUAAUUUUAAAAUAUAUUUAAUAUUAAAAUUAUCAUCAAUUUUAAUUUAAAUGUAUUUAAUGAUAUCAAAUAAUAUAUAUAUAUAUAAUUUUUUAAUAUUUAUAUAUUUUUAUAUUUAAUAAAUAUAUAAAUUAUGUAAAAAAAAAAGACCUAUUAAGAAGAUUAUGUUUUUAUAUUUGGAUCAAAAUUAAGUUUUUCCGAUAAAAUAUAUGAAACUAUUGAUAAAUUAUUGAUUGAAACGUGAAAAAAAAAAUUCAAAAAAUAGAUGAGAUAUUAGUAAAAUAUCCGAAAAUAUUGAUUGAUGAAUAUAUCAUUUCAAAUUUUGCAUCAACAUCCACAUAUGUUGGAUAUAUUGGCCAAAUAUAUUUAAACCUUGUUUCCAUGAGAAGUCUUUCCUUCAACAAUUUCAAAAGGUUAAUGAGGUGGUUUCCAAGAGAUGUGUGUAGGGGUCUCCAACGGGCGGGCCGGGCCAGCGGGCUUUUUGAAAUAAGCCAAAAUGGCUUUCAAAAAAGGGAAGGGAGAGGAUUUAAACCCCUUCCUUCAUGCUUAAAUUUCAAGGUUCUAACCAAUUGAACUACAUUCCUUUAAUGUUUAUUAAUUGAGUUAGUUAUAUAUAUAUAUAAAAAUAAAGUAUAUUAUUUUUUAAAGGGGCGGGCCUACGGGCUGGGCCGGGCCGAAAGCGGGCCACGGGCCACGGGCUUUUUGGAGACCCUUGGAUGUGUGCAAUCACAUUUGGUAUUAUAGGUGACAAAGUUUGAUAAAUGAGUAAUUAUUAGGUUAACUUAUAAAAUCCGAAUUUGAUUUAAAUUGAUUCAUUUAAUAAUCCCAUUUAUUUACCCAAUUAAAACUUUAAAUUAUUUAACUUAUAUUUAAUUUAAUUAAAAUUUGUUUUUAAAUAAAUAGAUCAAUUAAAACAUAAACAUAUUUGAUUGAAACAUUAAUAAUAUAGAUUUAAAUAAGACCUAAUUCAACCUAACGAUCAAAUAGAAAUAUCUAAUUAUUAAAUAAAUUAAACAUGUUACUUGCUUAAUAAUUAUGUGACAUUUGAAUUUAUGCUUUUGAUAUAAUUAUUAUUUAUAUCAGGUUUAUAUAAUGAAAUAUCUAGACUUUGACACCAGUCAACAUUGUCCACCAAUACAGAUUGCAACUCUUAUAUGCUACAUCACAUCAUGUUGAAGGAAGAGGAUGACGUUCAUUGGCAGCAGAGCCUCCAAUCAUAAGGAGCUUGAGCAAAUUCAAUCUCAACACUGAAAUUCACUAGAAAAAAAGUUUAUUAUUGAUACUUCAUUUGUGUAAAAGCAUUAUAUUUCUUGCAUCAAUCGUAAAGCAUGACAUUCCAGUAGGUACGGAAGAGAAAAUUUGUUAUGAAUUGAAAAAUCUGUCAAGCUUAAUUUGGAGGGCCCAAAAUUGACACGUUUAAGAGCUCUAUCAUUAGCCCAAUGAUAAGAGUCCAUUUCUUGAGUUUCAAGGAAGGCCCAAGUUUAACUUAGAGGGCCCAAUCUUGGUACCUUCUAAAAGGUGCAAACUUUGGCCCAAUUAUAAAAGCUUAUCCUUGCUUCCUAAGCAUCAAUGAUAUAUUUGAUCGAAGUAUUCACAUAACUAUCACGAAAUGAAAUGAAAUGAAAAUGUAUAAGUAAAUGAUGAUUUUGAGUUAUUUACUGACAAUAAAGAAUUAGGUGGUGUUUGUUUUUUUUUUUUUGGCUUUUUACUAAAAGCAAUUUGUUUUCAGAAUUUAGGUUAUUUAUUUUUCUAUUUUUUCAUGACUUAUUAUAAACUUUUUACUAAAUAAGAAAAUCCAAAAUAUAUAGUUUUUUCUAAAUAGAAAAAAUAACAUAUUGGUUUUCUUUUUUUUUUACUUUUUAAUAUUUAAUAGAAAUAAAAUAUUAUAAAAACAAACAACCUAAUAUUUAACACUAUUAAGUAUUAAGGUUUUAUUUAGAAUUAAGUAAAAAAACAAACACUACCUUAAAAUGAAAAGUAUGUAUAAUGACCUUAUACAAAAAAAGUCUCAUUAUUUUCUUCCAAAGAACUCAUACUUUUGUUUUUCAACUAUUACUUUGUUUUUAUUUUUUAAAUAAUAUUUCAAGUUUUUUUUAAUAAUACCUUUCUCUUUAUUAGAUAAUUUUAAUGACUUUAAAAGUAUUUUAAUAUAUUAAUUUAUUAUAUAAUUUUAAUGAUUUAAAAAUAUUUAAAUGUUGAAAUAUUUAUUUUCAAGUCUAAUUUUAAUUAUUUAUUUUUUGAAGUAUUUAAAUAUAUAAUAAAUGUGGGAUUAUGUAAAUCUAGUUGUAAUUAUUUAUUUCAUUCUAUUCAUGUUUUUAGUUGAAUUUGCUCAAAAUUUACACCUCUUUAUUUAAAGAUCAUGGAUUAGUUAGGUGUCUUGAGAUUUUUUUUCUCUCAAGACACUACUUGUUACACUAGAAAAUAAUUUGUGGCUAUAUUUUUUAGGCAAAAAGAAUUAUAUGUUAAAACUUCCUUUAUUGACUAGUUUAUCAUAGGGUGUAGAGGAAAGUUUGUGAUGUCUUUUUAUGUCAACUUUGGGAGAAAAAUAUCACUUUAGCAUUUUCCUUAGAAAAUUUUCAUACAUAAUUGAUUUUGGAACUAUGGAGGAGCAUAAGUAGGGAUAGAUAAUUCGAUUUUGGAAAAAUUAUAAUAGCUUUUCAACUUGGUGUUAAUGAUAUAUUGUUUAUUUCUUAUUUUUUUUCCAUUUUAAUAUAUAAUUGGGGAUUUUAAACUUGUAGAACAAGGCUUUUUCAAUUGAAUUGACACGUACAUAUGAAAGUUCUCUUUGGUUGCUAAUCACAUUUUUUUUUCUUUUGCUUUUUGUUUUUAUCAUAAUGAAUAUUGAACUCGAAAUUCAGUUUUUAAAAUCUUAUGAUGUUUUAAAGUUUAUAAAUAUUAUUGAUUUUUAUAAAUGAUGUUAUUCAUAUCUUGGUAAAGACAAUAUUUUCAUAUCGGUCAAGAUGAUUAAUAACAUAUAAGUUCAUAAAGAAAAACCUAUUGAUUAAUGGAUAUUUAAUGAUUUUUAUUAGGAAUGUUUUUUAAUUAGUUUCAAUACUCAUCUUUUAGAGCAUACAUAUAGGGUUUUAGAUGCUACAUUGGUUUUCAGCUUGUGAUUUAAAUUAUUGAAGCAAAAAAUGAGGGUUUUGCUUUAUGGAACUAUCUAAAGGGAGGUGAAUUAGGCGGUCUUCCUUUUUAAAAUCCAAAAAUUAGAUUUUUAAUACUUAUAUUAGUUAUACAUGUGUUCAAUAAUUAAAACAAAGAACAAGUCCAUAAUUUACAUGUGAUGUGCAUGGAAAAACACCUACAAAUUCUCUCAAAUACUUUACAAAUGAAAAAAAAAUCAAGGAUCGAUCAAUCACAGAGCAACUUCACUAAAUAUGAAAACAUGACUAUACAAUUUUACUUGGAUGAGGUGCUACCUUCUCUUAAGGGUUUUUACACUAGCCAACAAUUACACUCACCUUCACUCUCACCAUGCACCUCUAUUGUGCUCCAUAGUAAACACUUUAAUGACUGUAGCAAGAUUGCGAUAAAUUACUGCGAUUAAUUUGAGAGUGUUGAUAAUGAACAAAAAAUAAUGAUAAUUAACUAGAGAGCAUAUGAUUUUGUAAAAACACCAAAAAGAGGCAUAGUUAUAAGUGAAAACUUUAAUGGAUUGGAUUGAAUAUAUAAUUGAAGUAUGAAUGAAAAAUUACCAAAACAAUGUUCAAAACCGUGCUAAUCAAAGCACAAUCACUUGAGUACUCUCAUGGGGCACUUGAAUGCUCCUUUUAAUCACCGUAAUGCUGAAAUUAAUAAUUUGUCUCAAAUUGUUUUUCCAAAACAUAAAGCAAAAUAUUAUAAAUUUAUAUAAUCAAACCCAAUUUCAUCUUAAAGCUAGCCUACUUAGUCUUAAUUCAUGUCCAAAAAUACUCAUACUUGUCAAAGAAUGAAUAUGGUAUAAACAAAUUCUUUAUUUUCAAUUAUAUUCAAUUAUUGAAAGAAUAAAUCGGUUUACAUACAUUUUGAACAAAGGUAUAUACACAUAGACUAAAUCAAGGAAAUGAGGAAAUCAAUCACAAUCAAAUCAAAAUCAAAUGAUAGGUUGAUAUCUAGGAGAAGGUUAAGUUAGAACCAACUCAUGUAUUCAAUAUUCCCCCUUAAGAUGGCAUAUGGAGAUCAUGAAUAUCAAACCUAGAAAGUAAGGGAUAUGAAAUAUCUAUACCAAGGGAUUUUAUGAAAUAUCAACCAAUUGUUGUUGUGAUUAAACAAAUUGAAUAAGAAUAAUUUCAUUUCGAAUCUUUUCAUAGAUCAAGUGACAAUCAAUUUCAACGUGUUUAUUCUGUUCAUGGAAAAUUAGAUUAAUAGCAAUGUAUAGAGUUGUAUUAUUGUCACAAUAUAGAUGCAUUGACCAAGGAUGAUGAACUCCAAAAUCUAUAAGUAAAUAUUGCAACCAAUGCAAGUAGUAAUCAUUAAAUAAUAUUUCACUUUUCUUCAUGAGUGUUAUAUCAUUGAUUGCUUUUUAGAUCUUCAAGAGAUUGAUAGGCCACCAAGUAAAAUACAAUACCCUAUAAUUGAACAUCAAGAUUAUGCACAAUAGGCAUGGAGGAAGGCAAAAGAAUUCCUUGACCUAGACGAUUUUUUAAAUAGUAUAACACUCAUGUACUUGUGAGAUAAUUGAGACUACAUUGGCUUGUCAAGAAUUUGAACAUAAUUAGCAAUAUUAAGCCCUAUCAUUAUGAGUCAAAGUAACUUCCCAAUCAAAUGCCUAUAAUAAGAAGCAUCCAACAAAGGUUCUCUAUCUAAUUUACUCAAUUCCAAAUUUUGUUUCCUAGGAGUUUUUAAAGUUACAUGUUCCAAGAAAACCAAAAUCUUUUAGUACUUCUAGAGCAUGUUUUCAAUAACUUAAAUAAAUCUCAUUCUUAAAAUAUGUCAUUUCAAUGAUGAUGAAGUACUUUAAUUUUCCAAUCUCUUAGUUAGUUUGAAAAUGCUAUAUAGGUUUUCCUUGACCACCUUAAUUCCUUUAAGAUCAUUCAUUGUAAUAAUUAUAUCAUAAAUGUAAACAAGAAUGAUUGUGAAAUAGUUAUUUGAGGCUUGAGCAAAUAAGAAGUAAUAUGUACGUCUUGGCUUGCUUGUAAACCAUAAACAUCAAUGUGAUAGAUAAUUUGGCAAACCAUCAACGUGAAGCUUGCUCAAGGCCAUAAAGGGAUUUUUUAACUUUGCAAAUCAUAUUUUUGGUUCUAGAUUUCCUACAAACUUGGUGGAAGCUGCAUGUAUACCUCUUUAUCUAAGUCUUCAUAAAGAAAAACAUCGUUGAUGUCAAGUUGGUGAAGAUGUCAAAUUCUAAUUAUACAAUAAUUAGGGGUGACAAUGUGUCUUAUCGUGUUGAGGUGAGAAAUAGUGAAAAUUUACUUAAUCCGACUAUGACCCGUUUGAUAAUCGUGUCAAAAUAACCUAACAUGAAUACAAUUAGUUUAUUUCAUGUAACAUGACCCUUUUAACAUGUUUAAUAAAUAUAUUAACUUGGAUUAUGUAUUAAUUGACAUGAAUAACUCAUUAACUUGAUUUCAACCCCUUAAACUCAUUAACACAAUUCCAACCCAAUAAACUCGUUAAUAUGAUUUAACUCAUUAAACUUGUUAAUAGGAUUAUAACCUCUUUAACCUAUUUAAAAUUUUAAAUUUAUAAAUAAUAAAAUACUUCUAGAAAGUUUAAUUUUUAAAAUUUGAACUAUAAUACAUGUAUGCACCAAUUUCAUGAAGUCCUGAAAAAUUAGCAAAAUUAUAGAAAAAUAAUAUAAACAAAAAUUUGUAUUAAAAUUAAUAAGUAUGGGCUACAAUAUUAGUCAUAGUACUGCUUAUUUCUGAAUGACUUUAUUAAAAAGCGAAGAAUACAUGUGUAGUUCUUAUGUGAUUUCUUAAACUUGUAAGGCGAUUUUAUAAAGUUUUUUUUUUCUUUGUGAAACCUCUUUUUCUAUGUGAAAUUGUUUUGCCGAUUUGAAAUCUUCAUUAAAGGAAGUUACUAUUAUUUAUAAUUGAAAUUAGAGAAUGAAAUGUGGAAUCCCCAUGAUUUAGUUGCUUAAUUCAAGGAAUUUGAUUAAUUGAUUUUGGUAACUUGUCUCAUAAAAUUUUCUAACAAGAAUAUUUAUUUUUAAUCUCUUUUAUUUCAAUUGGAAUAUUUGUUUCCUUUGUAAAUUUGUCAAUAGAAUAUUUAUUUAUUUAUUUAAUUCUCUUUUGACUACAAUGAGAAGAUUUGAUUUUGUUUGUAAGACUAAAUUUUAUAACCUUUCAAAUUUGGCCAAGUGACACCUUUUGAAUAUAUGUCACAUGUCAAAUGUGUGUGACUCAUUAGUUGUUGAACCUAAAUUUUCUUGAAUUAGAAAGCUAUACUUUUGAAGACUAAUUUAGUGAUAAUUUAAUUCAUUAAAUUUUUUUGGUGUCUACAGUAUAUUUAUAAUAUGAAAAGUAAAUUAAAAUUUUAAUUUUUUUACUUGUUUAUUAUUUUAUUUAUUAUUUAAUGAUAAAUAUUUUUAUUCUUUAUUGAAAUAUAUAAAAUUUUAAUUAAUAUUUUAAUUUUUUUAAUUUCUAUAUAUAAAAUAUAUAGAUUUAUAUGGUCUAAUUGAGUCAUUAAAAUAAAUAGGGUAAAUAACUCACACAUAAGUGAUGGAUCAUUCUAACAUGAUUAAAUUAACAAGUUAGAUGAAUUGAGUAGUCAAAUACAAACAUGAUUUGUUUAUUAAAUAAGUUAUAUGAAUUGAUACGAUUAUGACAUCAACUCAAUUAAACUUAACUCAAAUAAGCUUUGUCUUUUAUUUUAAGUUGUCUAGUUGUUCACACAAAUUUUCUCAAAAUAAAGAAAUUAUAUAUAAAAUUGUAAAUUUGAUUAUUUGAGGGGACCAUUUUCAAUACUCUUUUUUAAGUAAUCUGGUGUUUAAUUUUGAAUCAAAGGGGCUUUCAUUAACAAAUAAUAGACUGUAGUUUUCAUAUAAGAAGAAAUCUCAAGCCUUUUUUUCUUGAAGGAAUCUUUAAAUUUUCUUUGAUACUUUAAAAAAUCAAUCUUCUUUGAUUUUUUAAGAAAUCUUUGAAUUUUCUUAAAGUCUUCAAAAAAAAAAAAAAAAAAAAAACUGAGUUUAAGGAAUUUUUUUAAUAACUCUCCAAAUUUCUUUGAUAUUCCAAAGUGUCCUUUAGAAGGGGACAAAUCCUCUAUUUACAGGAUUGAGAGUUUUAUUUUAAUAUUAUCUCUUAAUUUUUAAGAAAUAACUCUCUUAUUUAUGAUAAUUACUAUUUAUUUUAUUUAUCAUAAUUAGUUGCCUAUGAUAAUUAUCAUAAUUAAUUUUUCUAGAGAUAAAUAAUUAUAUAUAUUUAAUUAAUCAUGAUAACUAUAAUAUUUAUUUAAUUUUUUAUUAAAUUAUUUUACAUAACAUAUCAAUAUAUAUUAUUAGUCAAUUAUUAACACCGAAAAUUAAUGAGUUGGCAUAAAAUUUAUCUCUCUAUAAUAGUAUCAAAGCGAGCCUUAAUAAUAACAUUGCUUAUAGUCAAUUUCACAUGCCAACUUUUUACUGGGCAUUGGCGAUUUCAAUUUUGAUAGUCCGGUUAGAAAAAGUAGGUAAAGAUUAUUUGAUGUGGUAGGUCAUUUCUUUCAUAAAGACGAUGGCGGUGAAUUCAUGAGACAGGUGAUAAAGGAGAGAUUCUUUCUUUUGGCUUUGGAAUUUUAAUGAGGUCCUCGAUCCUCAUCCAAAAUACACCUCUCCAAUUAUAAAAAUCUUAUUAAAAAAAAAAAGAUUUGACAUGUGCCUUUCGAACUGCUGGUUUUCUGUUCCAAAAAUGAGAAUGGUUUCAAGUGGAUGAAGGAAGGUGAAGAACCCUUGGUUUUGUUAAGCGAAAAGCCACAUGAUUAAAUAAACAUAAGGCGGCAAAGGCUGAAAAUUUAAAAUUAUACUAAGGAACCCACCCCACAGGGCGACUACACUUUUGGUGAAGCCACGAGAAUGAAAGAUAUCGAAGGUGACACCAAGACAUUAAGCAGCACCAAGGUUUCGAUAUAUUAUAAGAUGGGAUCUUAUGAAAGACGAUCUCUAAUCUCUCUCCAAUCUCUUCUUUAACCUUUUCUUACUUAAAUCCAUUUCCAUGGUAGGGCACAUGUCCAGCUGACCCUACCCCCUCACCUACCUAUACUGCUAUACCCUUUUGUAUAAUUUGAUAUGGAUUGGAAGCCACCCCAACAUCUUUCUAAUUGCUCGUAAAUGUUGAGGUGCCUUUCCAUUUUGAGGCUGCCCUAAUGUGUGGCUGAAGUACGUAGGAAAAAAAAAUUGUGAUACAUGCACUGACGAAUCAAAUCCCAAUGUCAAAUUAUUAGACUCACCUGGUUCUUAAAUUAUUGUGAAUGCCGCUGGCCAUGGAUAAAUGGAAUUAGUGCGUGGCUUAAUGAAAAUUUAUUUUGAAAGGGAUAUUAAUUUGAGAGAAUUUUGGCUGAUACUUGGAGUUGAACGUAAGCAUAUAUGACCUCAUUUCGGGUGUGAUAUUGUGCUUAUAACGAACCUUUCGUUCUUUCCAAUUCCAGUGGGUAUUAAAUAAUUAAAGAAUUCAUGGUUCGAAGGCGAAAGGUAGAAGACCAAAAAGGGAUUACAAAGCCAUCGGCUUGACCAUCCAGAUGCAAUGGAUACAAACUUUGGACUCUAUCGAAAGUUCUUUGGGCACGUGCCCAAGUGUCCUACCCAUAUGAUAAGUUACACGUGGCUAAUUGCGGACCGGUUGCUCGUGCUAAACAGGGUACUUUUUCUACGCAUAUAAGAUGUUUCACUAGUGGGGCUUCACCAUGCAAACUCAUGGAUGAAGACCCUGAGGCCAAGAUGAAGGAACAGAAAGAAGGCGGAGGAGAGGUUCGGUAUCGAGGCGUUCGGAGGCGGCCAUGGGGGAAGUUUGCUGCGGAGAUACGUGACUCGACUAGGCAUGGAGCGCGCGUCUGGCUCGGGACUUUCAAUUCUGCGGAGGAGGCUGCAAGAGCAUAUGACCGAGCUGCUUAUGCCAUGAGGGGUUCCUUGGCGAUUCUCAACUUCCCUAAUGAGUAUCAUACACCCGGCACGGCUAGCUCUUCAGCUUCAUCCUCAAUGCCCGAAGGUGAUCAGCAGGGAAAACAAGUCAUUGAAUUGGAGUACUUGGAUGAUAAGCUGCUAGAGGAUCUUCUCGACUCUGAAGACAAAAAGAACAAGAAAACCUGAAGUUUCUGCUGCCUCGAAUCCCCUGAAAUCUAGUGCUUCAUCGAAAAAAAAUCCCCUCGCUCCUGAUUAACAACAUUUUUAUUUUAGUCAAUGAAUGUGUUCUCGGAUCAUUAUAAGUAUUUCUGCCGAAGUCCAUUGAUUUUUGGAGACUGAAAAAUGUCAGAAAAAUUGGUGCGAACAGGUUUACUCCUUUCUAAAUUAUGCAAUUGAAGUAUUUGGAUUAGUGCGCAGUGUAAACAUCAAGGAAAGCAUGAUCCACUAUUUUAAGGAGCCUAAGUGCUUUCCCCUUUACUCUUUUAGGAUGUCUUUUCAGUGAAGAAAGUUGGGAGACCACCACUUACCCUUUUGAUUGGUAUAUAACUGCCAACUAAUAACUGGACUAACAUUUGGCCCGUCUGGCCCUACUUCUUUGACUUUGUUGUUAAUUUAUAACUUUAUGUGAAGUGGGGGCUGUUUGGGAAUGUGUGAAGCAAGGAUUUGAGCCGACUUCGCCUAAUCUGAUUCUCCAUAAGUGACUUCAUUUUAUCAUAUUGGUGUUUUUUUUCUUCUUCUUUUUAAAUGGCUGGGGAGGAGGGGAUUUGGGAGGGAUGCAAUGCCAUGGUUGCAUGCUGGAUUAUCCUUCCAAAUGAAACAUCCAUUUGGUUUCUAGUAACUAAUUGCAAACAAUUAAAGAGAAUAAAAUUUUAAGAUGAUUAAACAAUAAGUACCUAUGUCCAUGAAAAGGAGAGAAGUUCACUCAUGGGUGUUCAUGAAAGACAUCACAAAGAACCAUCAAUAUGAGAAGAAUCCUGAUACAAUUAACUUUCAUGCAUAAGAAAAGACGCUCAAAAAAGAAUAAUGCUUACAAGGAAAGAAUCUCACUACGAUCAACUGAAAAAAUAUUCCAAUUUAAUUGGAAAUCCUUACAUGGGAAGAAUAUCAAUAAAAUCAACUAAAAAAAUAUUUUAAUUUUAUAUCAAAAUAUUUGUGAUUUAACCCGUAUCAUUUCAUCAUGACUUCUUAUAAAUUUUGUUCCUUUUUAUCAACACCACCCCUUGAGUUGGAGCAUAAAUAUUUAUUAAGCUAACUUGAACAAGAUCUUGAGAAAUUUUGUCGCAGGAUUUGUUUGCACUUUUUUUUUUCAAAUAAAGUCAUAAUUAACUUUAAUAUGUUUAAUCAUUUCAUGAAAUACUAGAUUUUAAGCAAUGUUGAUAGCAUACUUAUGCCUGAAAGCUUUAUCCCAAAUCACAUGAGUACAUGAAGUGAUUGCAUCAUUAAUGGUAGUAUUAUUACUUUAUAUUCAACUUCUCCACUUGAUAGGAUGCAUGAAAGCAUUGUGCUUUCUUCUGUUUCAAGUAAUAAAGAUUAUCACCAAGAAAGGUGCAAUUAAUACCUAGUAACAGAGUACCUAGUGGUAGCAUGCACCUAUCCACUGAACUUGUACUCGACUCUAUGAGUGUACGUUACAUAGUCCUUUUUUCGAAGUCUAAAUGUCCCUUGAUAAAACCUUCUAAUAUUUGAGGUUUUGGUAACAUUCAUGUAUCAAUGAACAAAUUAAUUUACUAGCUAAACUUUAAAAUUAGGCAAUGUUUUUCAAUGGGUGAUCAAGAUCUUGGAAUUUUCAAUGUUGUUUGAAUAGCUUCCACACACAAGCAUAUUUUCUCCUAUUUAGGAAUAAUCCCUUUUUUGAAGGUGUGAUCUUUAUGCUCAAAAAAUAAAGAUACUCAAAAAUUUAAUAUUGACCUUCUCGUGAAGGAAAAGCUUUAUAACUAAUUUUUUUUGUGCAUUAUAUAUAUCCUCAAUAUAGACUUUAAAAAAAAAAGAAGUAACUCCCUCUACAAAGAGUGAAGAGUCAAUUAAACUUUUUUUUUUUUAAAAAAAAGGAACCAAUUACUCGUAAAAGUAAUGAUUAUUUUUACAUACCAAACUUGAGGAGAUUACUUAAGAUCACAAAAGUUUUUAUUAAAUUGCAAGCUAGAUGCAUUUGAAACGAUCGUUGAUGUCUUAGCAACACCUUAUGUAACUCAUCAAUCUUUAUGUAAAAAUGCAUUUUUAACACCCAUAUAAAAUAAUGAUCAAUCCUAAUUUAAUAGAAACAAAUGGUAAUACAUGAAUAUCAUUCAUAUUAAUGAGAAAAGUAAAUAUUGAUUUAUAAUCAACUUCUUAAGUUUGUGUCAAUGCCUUAAUCAUUAGUUUAACUUUGUCAUUCAAUGAUACCAUCAUUACGACAUUUAAUUAACUUAGAUUUGCGUAAAUCCCUUAAUCACUAGUCUAGCUUUAUGUCAUUCAAUGGUACCAUCAUUAUGGUAUUUAAUUGAUCUUAUACCCCCAAUUUGUAUACCCCAUGUUUUUCUUAAUUUACCAUACAUCACUUAACAAUGUUCCAUGCAUGGAUUUUGUUAAGUGCCUUAAGUUCCUUUUGCAUAGCCUUUCUCCAAAUUGGAUGAGGAUUGGCUUCAUUAAUGUCAUUAGACUCAUGAUAUAUGGAACUCAAACAAUUGUUAAGUGAUUUUGUAUAUAUAUAAAAAAAAAAUUGUAAUUAAUGUGGUAGGCAUAAAAAUCUCACAAAUGAGGAUUGAUUAAUUGUUAUAAUUGAGCAACAUGCUUGAGGCUUAGUCACAAUACUAGAACUUGAAGUCAGACAUUCUCUUCAAAUAAGGACGUAUAUACAUUAUAUUGGAUCUCCAUUAAACAAGUAAAGAACUAUUUAGUAGACAAUGAAACCUCAUUGAUCAAUGGUGGUAGAGAGACACAUGAUGACCAGACUAUUCCCCUGGAAAUGAGAAUAAAAAAUAUCAUUAGCCGCAAAAAUCUCAAAAAAAUUUAGAUAAUGGGAUAUAAAGAGUUUAUGAAUUUUACAAUCAUAACUCUUAUACUGGUUUAAGUGGUAGAGUAAUCAAGAACACAAAACGAGUUUGAUGAGUGGUUGAGAUAUGAACAAAGCAAAGAUUUCCAAAGACACCAAAAUCAGAAAUCUCAAUUUUUGGGCUAAGGAUUUCAAGAAGAAAUUUAAAAUUAACUACAUGACUAGAAAAUUUGUUCAUCAAGGAAAUAGAAGUAACGAUAUCAUAACAUCAUAAUUAAUCAAUAUUUUUAAUAACAUGCAUUUGGAACAUGAUAUACCGGCUUUCUAAUAAUCAAUGAUUUUUGGUUCAACCACACCAUUUUGUUUUGGGAUGCCAAUACAACAAGUUUAACGAANNNNNNNNNNNNNNNNNNNNNNNNNNNNNNNNNNNNNNNNNNNNNNNNNNNNNNNNNNNNNNNNNNNNNNNNNNNNNNNNNNNNNNNNNNNNNNNNNNNNAUGUAAGUGCCAAAUUAGGUAGUGUCGACAAUGAAAUGGAAAUUUUGGAAUAUAGAAACAACCUCAUUUUUAUGUUCUAAUAAGUAAACCUAUGUAGCAUAAGAAUAGUCAUUAAAAAAAAAGGUAACAAAAUGUUGAUUUCCAUCCUAUGGAUCAAUUAGGACACAACCCCAAGGUAAACUAAUUUGAAAGUUGCAACAAAAAUGGAAAGAGAUGAAAAAAUAAUAGAGGAAUUUAAGGUUGUUUCAAAAUUUCAAGACAUGCUAAGAAACACAUGAGAUUAUAGAUGAUUAGGUAACAACCUUGGUUAAGUAUAUUCAACAUAUAUAUCCCACGAGGAUAAAUAUCUUCACUAAACUUUUCCUAUUAUUCAAUCCCCUAAUACCAUACAAGUGAAAAAUUAAUGUCACGGUCAAAAAUUUUAAUAAGCUUCCAAAGAGAUAAUAAUUUUGGGGAAAAAAACAACCUAAGAAACCUAUGAAUUGAGAUAAUUUAGGAAAAAACUAAAUGUUCGUUAGCUCUAGAAGGGAAUUGAAGCUCAUCAUCAAUAAAGAUUGUUGCUAUCUCGAAUAAUAUCAAGUAAACCAUUAAGAUCGCUAUUAAUGGUAUGAUUAGCAGCACCAAUUAUCGACAAAAAAAUUAUUAAAAAUAUAAGAAAUGAGAGCUUUAAGAUUAUCUAAUUGAUUUGUAAACCUAGGUAAGUGAAUCAGUAUUACGUUUUGUUAAGGAAGCUUAGAUCCAAUUGGUAUCAUUCACCAAGUUAUUGGAUUAAAUUACACUAUCAAACUUUGGCUUUAAAUGAGAAUGAAGAAUCUAACCACAAUCCUUAUUGGGAUUAGAUAUGUUAUUGCAAUAAUGUUUACAAUCGGAUGAGUGCUAAUUUCUAUUGAAAUCAUGAAGCAAUCUCUGAUCAUUGGUCUUCUUUGUAGAAACAUGAGCAUUGAAUUUAAAAUUAAUAAUUGUUACUUGGGAUUCAACCUUCAUAAUCAUUGCCUGGGUUUCCUAAUCACUUUCAAGAAUUACUUAUAUAGUGAAGGCACUCGAAACUAAUCAAAUUUGUCCUCUUAUAAAGUUGUCAUAUUCAAGCUUCAGAAUAGCCAAUAAUUGAAAAACUUAUCAUACUCCGCAAUUUGUUGAAGAAUAUUUGGGUCUAUUGAAGGGGACAAUAUAGGGAAUAUUUGUCCCAUAUGCUCAAAAUGUUCAAUUAACAAAGUGUUCUGUAUGUUUAGGGAUUUGUUAGCUUUAAUUACACAAAACAUUAGCAGUUUUAGAGAAAAUUAAUUUUUUUUUGCAAUCUUAGGUUCCAUGAAAUUAAAAAGCCAAUAACAAGUCAAUAUGGCUUGAGACCCAGUCAUCAUAUUCAAAGUCAUCCAACUUAGAAGCAUUCAUUUUGCCACUAACAUGUGCUAAUUUCCAUUUUCUAUCUUUCAAGAGAAAAAGACUGCUCUUAACCAUGGCAAAUAAUUGAACCCAUUAAGAAGAUUGAGGAAAGUAUCAUAUGAGGGUUGUCAUUUUCCUCCAUGACAAAGAAAAAGCAACAGAGAAAAACUCAUAAUAUUAGAAAGAGAAUGAAAGAAAUUGAGUCAUAGAUACACACAGAAGAAUCCAAAAAUAAAGCAAUAAUACAACCACAAAUAUGAGAAGAAGCUCAAUUACAAAGAAAGGAACUCAAUACAAUCAACUAAAAAGCGUUCCGAAGUUCAUACGAAAAUAUUCAUAAUGUGAAGAUCAUUUCAUGAUUCCUACAAUUUCUUCCUUCUACCAGUCCACUCCAUACAAGGUUUGAUCAACAACUUCUUCAUUGAUUUUCUGGUCUCUCUCCGGUGUAUCAUAGAGCAUUUUUGACAUGUUUCUGCAAGAUACACUUGUUAACUUUAAGCGACAUAAGUGCAAAAAAAUAAGAUCAUGUUGUAUUGCCUGUGCUUCCACUCUGCCUUGUUUAGUACUAUUAUGGAGCAGUACUUCCAUAUAGAACCAGUGAUCUCCAGUUCAUUAUGUUGCCUUCUUUAAACUAACUUUAAUUAUCUAUACAUAUAAAACAAAGUGGUCCCAUCAAGGGGCUAAAUCAAGAAUCAAGUGGGGCGAACAGGAAACAGUGGCAUCAAUUUUUAAGUCCAUAAGCUUUAAUAAAAGGAAUAAAACCAAGGAUAUGAAUAUGUUAUUUUUUCAUUUGUUCAUGCACUGGAAGAUCUUUCCUCUUCAAGCAUUGAACCAGCAUCCUUCUGUGCAAGUUGCUGUCGGAACCUUCUAUAAUUGUCAGAAGUCUGUUUCUGAAAUAUACAGAUAAAACUUUUAGCAAGUCUUGACAUUGCUCAUCACUAGGACAUUGUACUAGGAUACCAAUUCAUCUAAUUAGGGUUAAGUUGGCAUCUCGUACACUAUUUUUUAUUUUUCCUUCAUCUUUUGUUCCCAUUUGCAGUGGAAGUGGCACUUAGAAUAUCUGAUCAUGAAGAAUUAGCUUUCGGUGAGAUGAUACUAGGUCAAUUGCCAUUAUCUUUUUGAGUUACUGUGCGAGCAAUCUUGAAAAUAUUUUGGGAUAAAUAGAAUUUGUGCUUAUCAUAAACAUGCUAAACAUCCAAAUCAAGUGCUUUUACUAUUGAUAUCAAAUCAGUAAUUGAUUUUAACCUUUAUGCUUAUCUUUCAGAUUCUCAAUUAUGUAUCUUGAAUAAUGAUAUUAAGCAGAAAUCAUGAAUUGAAUUGCUUUAAUUAACUGUGCCUUAUCAAGCUUGUCAGCAGUGCUAUUGCUACCGCGAAUCAAAUUCGCUGUGCUUCCCGCCUUCUCCAAAUAAGCCACAAGCCCAAUUAUAUCCGCCCUCCUCCCAUCUCCAAGGGAUCAAAAAAUAAAAUGACUUCAAUCAAUUUUCAAGUUUUCCAUCUUGAUCAGUAGACCACCCGGCAUGAAUGUUACCCUCAGUUUAGGAAUAGGAAUUCCUUUUACUAAUCAUUUGGCACUAAAAACUAUGACCCCUAGCAAUUCAUUCCCUCCAUUAGAUAUCUGGGGGCAUCUUGGCUCAGCCAAAAAUGAUAAGUCAUUGCAUUUCACAUUGCAUUCAUUUGUAUUAAUGAGCUAAUUUUUUUUCACAGAAUGUGAUGUGAAUCGAAUUACUUCCAACCAUGUGUCUCUAUAAGGGUUUAACAAAUGUAAUUUGCAUUGUCUGUACACUUUUUUUUCGGUUUCUUUUCUUUUUUAUGCAUGAUUCAUUAGUCCACGGAUCUUCUAUGCAAAGUGUGCAGGCCAAACACCUCCUUCAAUGCAUUAUUCUAGAAGUUAAGACUCAGUUUACUCCUUAAUUGAUCUGUUCCAUUUACUUCAAAUCAUUUGAUUACAUUAAAUGAAUCUUGAAAUUCAAAAAUGCAUCAAAGUUAAAAGACCUUCCAAUGCAUUAAGAAAUCAUCUGAUACAAAUAUAUGUGAACCUGCAACAACAAUAAUGUCAAAAUGGAAAACUUAGGUAGAAAAUAUUAGAACGGAAACUUACGACGAACUCAAUUUUUGGCGCCUUUCUUCUUCUCAUCUUCUGAUCCAAGAAGCUCUUCCAACACCGUGUCAUCCAAACACUCGAACUCAAUGACUUGCUUUUCUUGCCCAGAAGAGGAACCUCCCAUCUCUAAACUCCUACAAGGCCCAGAAGAUGACGAGGAAGACGAUGAGGAUGGUGAUGGUGGGGGGCGAUGGGAGCCCAUGAUUUCAGAAUAGUACUCAUUAGGAAAGUUAAGAAUGGCAAGAUGACCCCUUAAGUUAAAGGCCGCUCGAUCAUAGGCGCGAGCUGCAUCCUCCGCCCUGUCAAAUGUGCCUAGCCAUAGACGAGCACCUUGCCUAGACGGAUCCCUAAUCUCGGCUGCAAACUUCCCCCAUGGCCUCCUCCUCACCCCUCGGUAUCGAACUUCUUCCUUUUCCUUCCCUUCCUGCUCCUGCUUCUCAUUCCCUUUCGAAUGAUCUUCCAUGCUAAACGUGUCGAUUUGCUAGGCGCAAUUUUUUUGGUUUCAAAUGUGCUGGUUUACGAGAGGCAUGGAUGCUUAUGUAUAUAUAUGGUUGCCACAGUCAGGUCUGACGUCACCGCUCAAUGUAUGUUCCACAGCGUGGGUUGACGAGCUUUCUGAGGGGGUUUCCUCGAAUUCAAAGCAAGUAUAAAAAUUCGAUUCUCCGACCUUUCCAAUGAGGAUCGAACAGGCCUUUUAUUAGAACCGUAUGAUAACUCCACACUGUUUUCAAAUAGUCAAUGUGAUCUAGAUUCUUCGUUAAUUUUUUCCACCUGACUGAUUGUUUACAAUUUUAUUUUUCACCGUCCCAAAUUUAAACCAUUUACGCGAUUCCCUGGAUUGCAUUUUUCUUUAAUGUUGACUUUACGAGGCAAUAGGACCCCCCAGCAACCCCACUAGGGCGACUUCAUGGGAACCAGAUUACUUUUGGAUCCAGAUAUGGUCCAGAAGAAAUAAGACAAAUCAAUUAAUGUCCACUAAAGUUUUGAUGGAACCCUUAGUCCGUGUUUCCUGUGGAUGUAUGUAUUGUAUGCACCUCAAUUUUCACCAAUCCCUGCUACGAGUCCCUUUAAUUUUGACGUUAUAAAUGUUUUUCCUGACAUUAGCAGAGUGUUUUUCUGCCGUCUUUGAGGACCUUCCACGGCCCAUAAACUAAUAAGGAUCGUCCAGUGAAUUUAGUCUUCCCCAGUUAAUUAUCCUGCGAGGGAAACUUGGGCAGUAAGUUGCCUACAUGAGUGGCUCCCGCCUACAUGAGUCAAGGGACCAUACGUCAGGACGACAACCAGUGUGGUCACACCAAAGUGGGUUGCCUGGACUCCAGGGUGGUCGCUUCAAAGUUGUCAAAUGAAGGCUAGCUUGGCAAGUUUUGGAAAACAAUUAUUGAAAAACAUUUUUCAUGAAUAACAGUUUCUAUGAACAGAUUUUAAGAAAGUUUAUUUUGUGAUUUUUAGGAAUAUUUUUAAUUUAAAUUUUUAUAUUUUUAAUUUUUUAUUAAUUUAUUGAUUAUUUAAUAUUAGCUUAAUUAAUGGAUUUUUCUUGGUCCCAAAUUAUUAAUUUAUCAAGAUUUAAUCGCAUCCAUAAUUAGUCUAAUUUCUUUUGGAGUGAGUGUGACAAAGUGCAAAUUUCUAGAGUUUUAUUAAUGUUAUUCAAUGUCAUAAUUUAACUAAUUAUAUUAAUUAUUUAUUAAUCAAAAUAAAUCAUUCACUUGAAAUAUGAUAAUUUAAAUUAAAAGUUUCAAUUAUUUAUUAAUUAGCAAAGUAUGAACUUUUCUUCUUGUUUUAUUAUUGUUAUUCCAUGUAUAUAAUUUAAUUAACUGUUUCCAAUAUUAAUCAAUAAAAAUAGAAUAUAAGCAUGAGAAGAAUUAGUAAAAUUCAUUGAUUUGGAAUUAGAUAGCUAGAGGAAGAACUUCAUCAUCUUCCCAUUACUUAAAUUUGUAUAAAUUCUAAAUAUUUAAACCCCCCCCCCCCCCCCCCCCCCCAAAAAAAAAAAAAAUGGUAAAGAAAGACUCCCCAAGCUUUCUUGGUUGGUGUUACCCUAAAAUUUGUACAAUAAGAUGAACCAUUUGGCUUAAAGCUUGGUGCGAAACCCCUUAUCAAUUGAAAAUAUCAAUGAAGUUGUUGAAUGGUUUUAGAGGACUAUUCUUAUGCAGAGUGGCAUAAGAAGCGAGGAGAUGAAGAGCGGAGAGACGUUAACAUCGGAUGCUGCUACGAAGGUGGGAAUACGGUUAAUUAAUUAGAUUUUGUGAUGGCUUUGAGUUUGAAGGAGUUAGUUUAAUGGGUAUUAUUAGUGAACUGAUAAUUGGAUUUGAUGUAAAGAAGGUUGGUCCAUUGGAUUAGCAAUUGGUUUGGCCUUUUGGGGGCCCCAUUUCCAAAUGCAUUGCCUUUUACAAGCAUUCAACAUCGCUGGACGUAACCAGGCUUGGUUCACCUAAAAGUAUCGCAUGGAUUGAAUUGACUAAGUUUUCAUUGUAGACUAGCCUUGAUUUUCCCUUGACCUGCCCACCAAAUCCUGAUGCCCACGCGAGGGAAUACCUCAAUUUUCUAAUAAUUUAUGCAGUUUCUCUUCAAAGCUCGUGUGAUCACUUGGGUCGGUAAAAUAAUGCAUUCCUCUACUUUUUCUCCCUUCCUAGAUGCAUGUUAUACCAUUAAUUCAAAUGUGAACAUGGGCUUGGCUUUGAAACUUGGUUCAAGGCCCAACAUGUUGACCCACAAUUGAGGUGUAAUUGAAUUUGUACACUUUUCGACUUUGAUACCAUUUGUCAUUACCAUUGACAUUGGGUCAUUGUUGAUUUUGAGUCCACAACUUUUAAGGUUGUUAUUACAAUUUUAAAUUGCGCCCACCCAAUUUAUAUGCAUUAUCCCUUAUAAAUACCGAUAACCUCUCUUUCUUCGAUAAUAUAAAAUGUCACAUAUAUUAUAUAUCUCAAUGUUUUCUUUUACUUUUUUUUUUUUUAUCGAUCGACAUUCUCUCUCAGAUGAUAUGAGAUGUCACAUAUAUUAUAUGUUUCAAUGUUUCUUUUACUUUUUCUCUUUUUCCUCAUGAUUGACAUUGUCUUUCUCAAAUGAUAUGAGUUGUCACAUAUAUUUUAUGUCUCAAUGUUUUCUUUAACUUUUUUUCUCUCUUCUUUAAUGAUCGACGUUCCUUUUCUCAGAUGAUAUGAAAUGUCAUAUAUAUUAUAUGGCUUAAUGUUUUCUUUUACUUAUUCUUUCUUUAUUAAUAAUCGACAUUUUAAGCAAUAUGUGAAUAUAAAGCAUUAAAAUUAUCUCCAUCGUUUUUGGAUGUGGUAUAAAUACACAAUUCUUAUUUUUGUUUUAAAUAUUUCUAUUGCUAUCUAUUGAAAUUUUAUGCAUGAAGCUACCAAGUUAAUUAUACAUAUAUCUUAAGAUUUUUUUUUUUUUUUUUUAUAGGAUAUAUUGUCCAUGAAUAUUUUCUGCAAUGGUAUCUUGUUUGAUUACUAUAAGAAAUAAUAUAUAUAUAUAUAUAUAUAUAUAUAUAUAUAUAUAUAUAUAUAUAUAUAUAUAUUAUAUUUCAAUGUUUCAUAUUUGCUUAAAAUAAAAAUUAUAUUUUAUCACAAUAUUUGGUAUUAAAAAAAAUGAAAUCUCUCUCAUUUAUUAUUACAAAAAAAUUAUAAUUUAUAAUUUUCUAAAUAAGUUUUAUUUAUUUGCUAACUAUAUUCAUGAUUAAAAGAUUUAAAAUUUAUAAAUAAAAAAUAUUAUGUCAUGUCAUUAAAUAAAUAAAAAUAUAUGUAUAUAUUAAAAUUAUGUUUUAUUGUAGCUUUUAAUAUUUUUUUUUUUAUUCUUUUCUUUUUUGAACUACAAUUUUAAUUUUUUUUAAUCAAAAUUUUUUAAUUUACAAAACGAGUAACAUAAAACUUGCCUUUGAACUUUAUUGGAAUGUUAUAUACUACCAUUUGGCUUUCAAGACAUUAGAAAAGGCAUAAGUGUCCCUUUUAUUUUUCCGAAAGGCAUAUUAGACUAUAGUAGGAAGUGUUGUAUAGAGGCAACUAAAAGUUGCCUUUAACUUUAUGAAGUCAUAUACUCCUCUUUGGCUUUGAUGACAUCAACUAGCAAAUUGGAUUUUGUUUCCUUUGCAACAUUUUUCCAUCCAUUAGCCAGUUUUUUUAUACUGUUUGGUGCUUGCCAACAUGGCACACACUAUGGUUCUUAAAAAGUAUUUUUUUUUUUAAGAUACUACGAAAUAAAAUACACGAUUGAAAGAUGAGUCACAAUAAUUUUCAAAACUAAAUUUUUUAAUAUUGUUAAGAAAAUUUGACCACCAAAUGAUUGAUUUUAAAUUACAAAUACUUUUGUUAGCUAAGAAAUUUGUUGUUCUAUUUGUUUCCCUAUAAAUAUGACAACAAUCAUAAAUAUUUUCAUUUUAAGAUAAUUUUCAAAUAUCUUCCAUUAAUAAUAUAAUAGAAUUAGGAAUUUUUUUUUUAGUUAUAACAAUCUAUAAUUAUUUAAGAGUCUUCCUCAAUCUCUAGGUUUAAGAACUUAUUGUUCUUAACAACUAACAUGUCAUCUCUUAAAAUAAUACAUUCUGCAAUAAUUAUUGAAAUAUGAUAUAAUAUAUAUAUCUACUUACAACCAUUUUUGUAGUACCAUUAGAAUUUUUAAUUACCCAUUCUAAAGUAUUUUUAUUCUCUAUUCUUAAACCAUCAAAAUUUAAUUUAAAUCUUUCAUUAAUUGGAUAAAUCCAAUGAAUCUAACAAGUUAAAGGAUUAUGAAUCCGACAAAACAGUUGAUAAUAAAUUAAUAAUGCCAUUAAUAUGAUUUUAAUGUGAAACACAAUUAUCACAUUUAAUACAGUUAGUCCUUGUAUGAUUAAUGUUUUGGAAGCUAAAAUCAAUCUUUUGACUAUAAUAAGAGUUUCUACUAUUUCUAUUUUUGGAUGAUUUUAUAUUUUUCUUAUUGUUUUAGUUUAAUACAAAAAAUAAAAAUAAAAUUACAUUAGUAGAAUUUUUUUAACUUACUCAAAAACCUAUUUUAGUUGAAUGAUUUUUUUAAAAAAAAUAUAAAUAUUUUGUUAAAAGGGAUAAAAUAACCUUACCUUGUGAAAAAGACCUCUUCACCCAAGAUUACUUGUUCAUAAUCCUUUUAAGACGAAAAUGCCCCCUUCCUAAAAAAUAUUUCAUCUUAAACUUAUUUUUCUUUUUAUUGCCCUUUGUUCCAUCCUUCCGGCUUGGGAGAGAAAUUCAUUCUUCUUUUGCGAAGAAAAAUUCCUAUUGCGAUUUUUCAUUUCAAGUGGAAAAAAAAAUUCUUAUUUCAUUUUAAAGAAAUUGUACAUUUUCAAUCUUUCUCUUUGUUCCUAGUUGAGGGUUUUUUUUGUAAUUUUAUCUUAACACUACAAAUUUAAAGGUGAGAUUAAAUCUUAAUGGUUAUUAGUUAAAUCACAUAUCUAACUUUGUUUUUGUCAGGACCUAUAAUAUGAUUGGAACCACCAUCCAAACUUCAUUAGGUGGGAUACUCCCCACCCUCCCCCUCCCCCCGCGAAAUCCUUGGAUUUUAGUUUUGACUUGGAUUUCAAUUGCCCGUAUCAAUUUUUCUUUAUUUAUUAAUUUAUUAAUUUUCAACUUUAACAAAAGCCUUGAAUCAUAUUUAAAUUCAAAUAACUUAAUCCUAAUUAAGUUCUUUUUAAAUAAAAAUUAAUCAUUGAAAAGUUCAUGUGACUAUUAUAAUUGAGAAUUUAUCCCAAGUUGGGUUUUUUGCAAAUAAAAUUUUAUUAUAGGACAUCAUGAUGCAACAUAACAUAAGGUUGUUACUUAAGUUUGUUUUGACCUUGUAAUAUGUUAAAAUGAAAAUGAAGCCAUUGUAACAGGAGAGAAUGAUGAAGCUGUGGAGAGAGCUUAACAAAGCUUGGGUUGGAGAGACUUCACAGGAAGAGAGAGAGAGAAAUAAAGGGUAAAAUUAUCAAAAGAGAAAAGAAAAAAAAAAAAAAAAAAGAAGGUUAUGUCUUCAAAUAAUCAAUAAGAGAUGUCAUUUUUCUAAUUUUCAAAGUUCUUUUGGUCCUUCUCUACAAAUAUCCCUAUAAAAAUAUUAUAAUAUCAAGUUAAUUUGUCAAUACCAAAAUUUAUAUUUUAUAUUAGGGCGACUAAAUAACAUAUAGAAAGAAUUUUAAAUGAGUAAAUCAAAUCAAUUUUGAAACCAAAACUUAAUAAUUACCAAACUUGUAAUCUUAGUCAUUAAAAGUGUACGAUGAAAUCUAAAUUAUUAAGCAAUGAAACAAAAAAUUAAGAUUAAAAUACAAAACGUUAAAAUCAAGAUACAAACUAUUAAAAUGUAAGUGGGAUAUGAGAUGAUAUUAUAAAAAAUAGUGUGAUCCAACAAAAAGUCUAGUACAUCAUUAUCUUCACUUCCAACCAUGUUUAAAAGGUCACAAGUUCUAGCGGUUUCCAAGGACAAUGUUAAAAAUAAUAAAAAUAAAUCCAAUUAAAUAUUAAUUAAUUUAUUUGAAUUUGAGUCCGACAAAAUAGUUGGUAAUAAGUUAAUAAUGCCAUUAAUAUGAUUUUAAUGUGAAACACAAUUAUCACAUUUAAUACCCGUUAGUCCUUGUAUGAUUAACUUUUUAGAAAUUAAUAUCAAUCUUUUGAUUAUAAUAAGAGUUUCUACUAUUUAUAUUUUUGGAUGAUUUUAUAUUUUUCUUAUUGUUUUAGUUUAAUACAAAAAAAUAAAAAUAAAAUUACAUUAGUAGAAUUUUUUUUAACUUAUUCAAAAAACCUAUUGUAAGGUGAAUGGUUUUUUUAUUUUUUUUUUAAAUAUAAAUAUUUUCUUAAAAGGGAUAAAAUAACCUUACCUUGUGAAAAAAGGCCUCUUCACCCAAAUUUACUUGUGCAUAAUCCUUUUCAGACGAAAAUGCCCCCUUCCUAAAAAAUAUUUCAUCUUAAACUUAUUUUUCAUUUUUAUAACCCUUUGUUCCAUCCUUAUGAUUUGGGAGAGGAAGUCAUUCUUCUCUUGUGAAGAAAAAAUUCCUACUGCCAUUUUUCAUUUCAAGUGAAGAAAAAUAUUUAUAUUUCAUUUUAAACAAAUUGUACAUUUUCAAUCUCUCUUUGUUCCUAGUUGAGGUUUUUUUUUUUUUUUUUUUUUUUUGUAAUUUUAUCUUAAUUGUACAAAUUCGAAGAUGAGAUUAAAUCUAUAAUGGUUAUUGGUUAAAUCACUUAUCUAACUUUGUUCUUGACAGAUCGUAUAAUAUGAUUGGAACCACCAUCCUAACUUUAUUAGGUGGGAUCCCUUUUUUUUUUUCCCCAAACCCUUGGAUUUUAGUUUUGACUUAUAUUUCAAUUGUCUGUAUCACUUUUUCUUUAUUUAUUAAUUUUCAACAAGUUCUUUAACAAAAGCCUUGAAUCAUAUUUAAAUUCAAAUAACUUAAUCCCCAUUAAGUUCUUUUUAAAUGAAACUUAAUCAUGUGAAAGUUCAUGUGACUAUUAUAAUUGAGAAUUUAUUCUUAGUUGGGUUUUUUGUAAAUAAAAUUUAGUUAUAGGACUGUGAUGAUCCGUUCUCAACCGUAUAAAUAUUGUUCGUUUUGAAUUCAAAAUAACUUUUACGGCUUUAAAACAUGUUUACAAGAUUAAGAGGAGUCCAUAUUUAUAUAGCUUCACGAACUUUCCCCCCUAUUCGAUGUGGGAUGUCACAAGGACAUCAUGAUGCAACGUAUAACAUAAGAUUGUUUCUUAAGUUUGUCUAACCUUGUAAUGUGUUAAAAUGAAGAUGAAGCCAUUAUAACAGAAGAGAAUGAUGAAGUUGUAGAGAGAGCUUAACAAAGCUUGGGUUGGAGAGACUUCAUAGGAAGAGAGAGAGAGAGAGAGAGAGAAAUAAAGGGUAAAAUUAUCAAAAAAGAAAAAAGAAAAAAAAGAGGGUGAUGUCUCCAAAUAAUCAAUAAGAGAUGUCAUUUUUCUAAUUUCAAAGUUCUUCUGGCCCUUCUCUACAAAUAUCCCUAUAAAAACAUUAUAAUAUCAAGUUAAUUUGUUGAUACCAAAAUUUAUAUAUUAUAUUAGGAUGACUAAAUAACAUAUAGAAAGAAUUUUAAAUGAGUAAAUCAAAUCAAUUUUGAAAUCAAAACUUAAUACCUACCAAACUUGUAAUCUUAGUCAUUUAAAGUGUUCCAUGAAAUCUAAAUUAUUAAGCAGUGAAACAAAAAAUAUAAGAUUAAAAUACAAAACGUUGAAAUCAAGAUUCAAACUAUUAAAACGUAAGUGGAGACGUAAGAUGAUGUCAUAAAAAAUAGUGGGAUCCAACAAAAAGUCUAUUAAUCAUUAUCUUCACUUCCAAUCAUGUUUAAAAGGUCACAAGUUCUAGCGGCUUUCAAGGACGAUGUUAAAAAUAAUAAAAAUAAAUCCAAUUAAAUAUUAAUUAAUUUAUUUGAACAAUAGAUAGGACCAAAAUAAUAUUCUAAAAGGAAUCAUAGGGAAGUCCUUGGACAACCUACGACAUUGAACAAAGGUACAGUGAGACAAUGCACUUAGCCCUUCCUUGUCAUUGCGAUGAAUAUAAAAAGACACCCUGAUUGAGGGUGCCCCACUAAGCCAAGAGUGAUUCUUUUGUAUUGUAUAACGUGAAUAUUUUUGAACUUUGAAUGACCCUUCCUAUAGUCAUCAUUGUCAAAACUAGAAAAUCAGAAAGAUGCGAUGUACGAAGGCACCAUUGAAUAAGAGGCUUAAUUCUCUUUGGCAAUUAGGAUAAAGUUUCAAAAUAGAAAAAUUAAACAAAUGUACAGUGUACGGACACUUGGGCAUUGCCUAUUUGUUUUGUUCUUCUAGAGUUGUAUAUGGUAAAGGUCAUAUUGGGUUGGUUCUAUUUGGUUAUUGAAGUCGGCUAGAAUAUUAGAUUUGGUUUCAAUCUAAUCCCAUAUGAUAUUAGAAUACCAGCCCAUACAGAAUUUUUGACCAAAUAUAAUAUUUCUUUUAAAUAUAAAUAUAGUAAUUAAUUUUAGUCUAAGAUUAAUUAUGUAGUUUCCUAAAGAGACCACUUCCUAAACGGUAGCUAUGUGGAAGUUGGGCCAGGUCCUGCCGAGAAGGUUUCCACGAGCUGAGCCCAAAACUGAGUAGCUGUGAUGGGAUCAUUCUAGCAUUCAGCCUGAAACUUGUAACAUAACGGAUCGAGAGGCCUGAACUCCAAGACCAUGGUUCGUCAGCCCAUUAACUUCAACAGCACGCAUUUUAGAGGACUGGGCUUGCAAGGGGUGAGGUUUCCGGGCCGCGACCCCAAAUAUGAACAGCCUCAGAAGUGAUAUUGCUUACUGGCACGUGAAGAGCGCAAGCGUAACUAGAAGAUUUGUAAUGCCGCUUUAAUUGUUUGAUUAUAGAAUCCCACGCAUUACGCAUGGAAAGUGUAAAAGAUAAAAGAUGUAGAAUUUUUUCUUAGAGAAAAGUUCGUUUGGAUAUAGUUAUUGUUUUUUUUUUAAAUAAUAAUUGUUUUUUUUAUAAAUUAUAGAUAAUCUUAGAAAUUUAUCUUUAAAAAAAUAGUUUUUAAAAAUAUUUAAGGAGAAUAAAAGUGAUAAAAAAAAACUUUACAAUUUCAAAUUUUUAAAAAAUGAAAAUUAUUUUUAAGAAUAUAAGUUAAUCUCCUGCAUUUAAAUCUUAGGUGGUUUUUGUUUUUUUUACUUUUCGCUGAAAACAAUUUGUUUUCAAAAUUUAGGUCAUUUGUUUUUUCUAUUUUUUCAUGAUUUAUUAUAAAUUUUUUACUAAAUAAAAAAAAUCAAAAUAUGUAACUUUUUCUAAAUAAAAAAAAUAACGUAUUGAUUUUUCUUUACUUUUUAAUACUUAAUAGAUAUAAAAUACUACAAAAACAAAAAAUCUAAUAUUUAACACUAUUAAGCAUUAAAGUUCUAUUUAGAAUUAAGUAAAAAAACAAACACCACCUUAUAUUUUAUAUAAAAGUUACUUAUAUUUUGGUUUUUGGAAAUAAAAAAUAUAAAGCAUAUCCAAACAUGAGCUUAGCUAUUUUAAAUCAUAUCAAAAUAAUAAUCCCAAUAAGGUAAAUGGACUUUUAUACGGAGAAUAAUCUUUAAGGUUUUCAUUUUUAUUGGAUUUUUUUUUUGUGGUGUUUUUUCAAUCCAUCUUCUCAAUUAAUUCCUUAAAAUUAUUUUACUGUUUUUUUUUUUUUCAGUUUCUAAAUAUUUGAUUUUUCCAAAAUGCUUAAAUGGAAGACACUAAUUUUUCAAGAUAUUUGGUAUUACAAUUUUCCCUGUUCUCCCUAUUAUCUAUCAGAUUCAUGGCCCUUUUGUUUUUUCAUUGGUUUUCAAUUUAAUUUUCCAAAUAUUACAUUGUUGUGUUUUGAAUUUGUGAAACCAAUUUUAUAUAUAUAUAUAGUAUGUAAGUCUACUUUGGGUAACAUGUACAGAGAGGUUUUCAUGUGUUUGAAACCUUUUACCUCAAAAAUUAAUUAUUUUUAAUUUUAUAAUAAAUCUUUUUUUAUUUUUUAUUUUAUUUAGGAAAGCCUAUAUUUAAACUACAUGUUUGCAACGCAACACCAUACAUACUCCUAGUGGAACUUACCUUAGUGCUUGAGGGGGAUGCAGAUCUUCUUCUAAACCUAACUAAUAAGCAUAAAAUUGUUCACUAAUUAGCAUAUCUAGUAAAUCAUACAAAUUGGCAAUAUUUCAUGUUUUUCAUGUUUUGUCAAUAAAAGGCGUCUUGACCAUUUUGUGAGUUUUGUAAUAAAUAAAAAAAAAAAAAAAAAAAGGGCAAAAGGUGACUAAAAUGAGGCACUUUGGAAAGGUUAAUAACCUAAAAGGAAGAUGAAUUAAUACCCCCUUAUUCCUCUUCAAAAACCAUUGAGAAAAUGCAAGAAAUGCUCUUAGUUGUAUGCUAGGCUAACAGCCUAGCAACCAUAAUACCCUUCUUUGCAAUUGUAAGCAUUUUUUUUUUUUUUUUGAAGGCCAAACAACGUUGCAAACUUCCCAAAUCCCUUCUUUAUUUUUUAUUUUUUUAUUUUUGUUUUUAGAAGGAGAAUGAAUUUGAUGACAAACUCCUUGUCAAUCUUAUCCAAACCACGAUCGAACAGAACUCCUUGUCAAUCUUAUCCAAACCGUGUUCCACCUCAAAAACAUGUGUAGGACUUAAGGCAGCAACUGGCAAGCAUGACUGAUAGGGCCAAGUGCCCUUGUCUCUACAAUCCAUUAAGUUAACCAAGGGCAGUGAACCAUCAUUCUUUUCAAAAGCUUCAUUCCGUGUUGAAAAUGUGAGACUGAAGCAUGGUGCCCCCAAAAAUAACGAUCUAUUUACUAGCAGCAUGCCUGGACCCAUUAAAAAUACUCUACUUUAGGAAUAGAAAAAAUUACAUCUUUAUCCAAUAAUUUUAUAACAAUUCAGACGUUUCAGUCUAUAAAUAAUUGUACAUAGUUGCCAACGUUUAGCUAGUUUCAAAUGAAUAGCCUAGGUUCAUGCACCAGUUUGGCUGGUGGAGGAAAGGGAUUCGAGACAUUGAACCCUCUUUUUAGUGUGCCAAAUAUUCCACAAAAAUCACUACCUUCUCUUUGUGUUUGUUCACUUUUAGUUUAUAUUUAAUAAAUCUAUGUUUUCGAGUAGAGGUUGGGUUCAGGUGCGACCCACGUCACCUCUCGGACGGUCUUGAAAAAGGAGACCGGACCACGUAAUUUCAAAUGUAGUGACCAUCUCACUUUUACCUCCAUCCUUGAAGAUGGUUUCCCAAAUCAAUAUUAAUCUUUUGUUUACGACAAUAUCGAUCACUUUAUGUCUAUAUCGUUGUUAAUUUACCUUUUUUUUUUAGCCACAUUAUUUGAAAAUUGAUGCAAACUUUACCAACAUCUUGGUACCAUUUUAAAAUAUUAGAGUUAUUUGAUUAAAAAAAUAAAAUAAUCUCGAUAACUUGUUUAUAAAAUAAAUAUCUUUUAACAUUUAGACUAUUCUCACGCAUGCUUUAAAAUUGUAAAGAUAUUCAUAAAGUGGAACUUUAGACUUAAUCAAUAUCGAUCACUUUAUGUCUCUAUUGUUGUUAUAUUUUUUUUUUACAACAUUAUUUGAAAAUUGAUGCAAACUUUACCAACAUCCUAAUACCAUUUUAAAAUAUUAGAGUUAUUUGAUUAAAAAAAUAAAAUAAUCCCGACAACUUGUUUAUAAAAUAAAUAUCUUUUAAUAUUUAGACUAUUUUCACCAUGCUUUAAAAUCAUAAAGAUAUUUAUAUUCAUAAAGUGGAACUUUAGACUUAAACAUGAUAAUAGUUUUUUUACAAUAUUAUAAUUAUUUUAUCGUUUUAAUUAAGCCCUUUAUCAUACAUAUAAAUGUAAAUUAAUGCUAAAUUUUUAAAGCAACGUAUAACCUUUUACAUCUUUUUUUAAGAUGGUGCGAAAAUCCUAUGAAAAAUAAUAAAAGUCGAUGCAUAAGAAGAUUGUUUUGAUAAUUCAAUAGAAAAAUUCUUUUAAAAUGAUAUUAAAAAAUACCCAUAGAGCCUUUAUUAAAAAAAUCAAUUAUUUUCAUAAUAAAAAUUAUAAUUUUUUAUUAUGUAUUAUUAUUUUUAAGUAUCUUUAUUACAAAUACUUUUUUUGAGUUUAUGAGAGGAAUCAACAGGUUGGUACAAGCUUAGGCGUCCUCGUACAUGUUCCCGCUGUGCAAGGUUUUUGUCUUGUUUCGAGCUAGUCGGAAUUUACGUGUUUGAUAACGUUUUGUCCUAUUUUUGUAACGCUUUAAAGGGCGGCCCACCGUUGGAACAGUUCAAGCCAUCCAAAUCAGCCCGGAGGGUUAUGGCGACGUGGCAUGACGCCUACCACCUUAGUUCACAUGAACCCUAUGAUCGUACUACCCUCACAUGACAUCUGUGAUUCUUCACCUCCAAACCCUCUUUAACUUGGUAAUGUAUUCAAAGCUUCAUCAAAUCAUAGCGAUUAGCGACCCUCUUCCACCCUAAUUUUAUAAUAAAAAAUAAAUCUUAGUGGACAUUAAAGUAGUAUUUUGUGGGGGGAAAGAAAAACUCUAUGGGCGUAUCCACUAAAUACGAGCCAAGUAUAAGAGUUAUCACCAUGGAAUCAAAUUAUGAAGCAUUGACAUUUUAAUUGUAUUCAGAUUUGAGGAGGGCACCGCGGCACCAGCUGGCCCAGUGUAGUCUGCUAGCCUACCCGCCAUAAUGACCAAAUUAAUAAAGUAAAAAGGAUUACAGGGAUAUUCCCAACUUUAUUCUGGGUCUGAGCUGGAACUUGGGAGUUAUCACGAUCAACGGGAAAGAUGGUGGGUAGGGGACGAGGAUUGAGGGCUCCAUAUUCACAUCAGUGAAAAACGAAAUGUAUUGAGACAAGUCUUCUAAGGAUUUUCUAGCGUAUUAUAUGGUUUAAAUGAUUAUAAAUCUGUAGUUACUGGUAAAGAGUAGAGAGUGAAGACGAAAGACGUUGAGUGAAAAGGAAGGAGGAGAGGGGAUGGGGCCAUCUUACCGUGUCGGGGAGGAUCCAUAAAAGGACUACGUUCCCUGAAUCUGUAGGCAUCAUGCCUCGCCUAACGGGUUAGUCAAAAUACAGUGAUGUGUGUGAGUUGGGGGCCUCACUCCUCAUUUCUUUCCUUCUUUUCACCCCCACCCCCACUUUUUUUUUUUUUUUUUCGAAUUUUUCUUUGUCCUUUUCUCUCACUUGCGCACGCGGGAGAAGGACCACAAACUAGACAAUUCCUCUGCUCACGUGACCCCGAGUUUUUAAAUAUUUGCCUAUUUGGAAAAUAGUCAUGAAUCAUGAUCGUUAACAAACAAUCUUCACUUUAUUUAUUUAAGAUCUAUUUUUUGGAGCUCUAGUUUAGUUUAUUAUUAUUAUUAUUAUUAUUAUUAUUAUUAUUAUUAUUAUUUAGUAACUCCUCUUAUAUUAAUGAAAAAGAGAGGAGGAAUCCAAACUUGUUUAUUCUUCCUCUUUUAAGGUGUUUGUUUUUUUUAUUUUAUUUUUAUGCUUCAUAUGUCUUCAAUUUCUUAGCAUUUGUCUUAUAUUUCUUCUUAUCCGAUUCAUUAUUGCAUCCUUGGUCAAUCUUUCACGAGGAGUGCCUACUUUUUUCCUUUUUAUUAUUUAAUUCACUUUAUCUUUAUAUUUUCCUUUUACACUUUAUUUCCAAUUCAAAACGUGUCAAAAAAAAAAAUUGGUAACAAAAAAAAAAAAAAAAAUCAAUUGUAAUGAUUCUUAUAUAAUUUUAUUUAAUUUUUAUUAAACAAUAAAGAAAUUAAAAAUAUAUAAAUUUUUAAAUAAUUAUUAUAGUCUUUCAUUUUUGUGUAUAAUUUCUUUUGCAAGAAAUAGUGUAGGCUUUCCACGGUCUAAAGGAAAUGGAAUAUCAAAUGAGAAGGUAAUAAUAAUAAAGUGAGUUAUAGAUACUAAUCAAACUAAUCCACUAAUGAAUUAUUUAUUUUUAUUUCACAUGGACAAAUCCUAAAAGUUGGAGUUCUAAUUUACUUUUAUGUUAAGCUUUUUUAAGUAAAAAUCUUUUAUUAUUAUAAUUUAUAGACAAAAAGAAACCCAUUAAUGUGAUGGAUAAAAAAUUUCAAUUUAAAAAAAAAAAAAUUAAAGUUGCUAAAUUUUUGUAUUUAUUAUUUCAAACUCAUUUAAAUAAUUUAAAAAUAUGUCUUCAAUUAAUUUUAAUGAAACAAAGCAUGAUUUUUUUUUAAUUUUUUUUUCUUUACCAAAUAAAGCAUUAUUAUAAUACGUUGAUUAAAUUUUCAUCAUGUCUCUCAAGAUUUGGAUUAAAUAUACUUAGUUGUCAUAAAUUUGAAAUUUUAUUUAAUGUAUUUUUUAUUUUAAAUUAAAAAGAUGAAUGCAAAUAAAAAAAAUAUGUAUAUUUUAUAAAAUUUUAAAUUAAACGAAGGAUACGUGUAUUUAACCAAGGUGAAUGAAAUUAAUCCAAAUACUUUUUGGUAACUUGCAAAAUAUCUUGACGAAAUCAUUAUGGCAGGCAUCGUACAAGCUCAACCCUUGUCGCCUUGCUAGAAAUAGAGAAACAAAAAGACCCCCAAAUUGGGUUGCAUCCUAAAUAUGAAGAAGUGGUAACAAAGGAAGAAAAAAUGCUGUGUUAUUGAAUAGUUAAUACAUUGAACAUGAUAUGUUACAUAGAGAGCCAGAUUAAUCCUAGUGGAAUUCCACUGUCACGAUGGUAACCUAGGGUUAUGUUUGGUUAUUGAAAAUACCAAGAAAAGAAAAAAAAAUAUAAAGGAAAAUAAUUUUUUCAUUUUUGAUUGUCUUAUAAAAGAUAUAAAAAAAAAACAAAUAUAAUUAAAACUAAUUAAAAAUUUAGGUAUUUUUAAAUUAUUUAAUUUUUAUAUUAAUGAGCGAAAAUAAAUAAAAUAAGUUUAAAAUAACAAAAAAAAUAAUUUACCGAUUUUUAAUCUAUAUUUUAUUUUACUUUUUCUUUGUAUUUUUUUUUUCUUAUAUUUUCCCUCAAAUUUUCUGAAUCAAACAUAGCAAAAAAGGAGCUACCCCUUUCGAAAGAAACUCCCAAGAAUUUCAAAGAAACCUGCUGAGAUAAUGAAUGAGGGAUCACUGUCGGUAAACAGUAUCCAUUCUUUUGGGAGGACUUUCAAACUGAGAAGUUGUUUUCAUGACUUGGAAACAAAAUUUUGAGCUCUAAGGGGGUCUGUAUUUGGGCCCUAAAAUUCAAUCCAUCAAUCUGAAAAAUGCUUAGGAUAAUGAUUUGAUUUAGCCACAAUCACUAAACAAAUUCCAGAGGAAAAUUUCGCUACUCAUAGGUGGCUGAUUCUCAUAAAAAGACAUCGUGGUAGGGUGUCUCAAGUGCAGGCUCACCAUCAACUUGCUGCCCUUUUUAGAUUAUUGUAAAAUGAUUUCACAUGAAGCCCAAUGCAAAACUUUGAAAGAAAAGGUUGGUGGAGACGUGAAGAAUAUGUAACCCAUAGGCCAUAACUAGUACCGAAGAUUAUUGAACAAACAUUCAAGGUUUUUGUAUAGACGAAACUGAAAAGAAUGUGUACCAGACUCAGGCGUUCAGAUCAGAUGAUGCCGUAAUGUGGAUUGUGGAGGAGCAUUGUGCAGACAGAUAAUGAGAUUCUGAAAGCGAGGCCACUGAUGGGCCCUUGGAAGGGGGGCGUGCCUUCAAAAUUAUAUAUAUAUAUAUAUAUAUGUCAUUGAAAAUUGGAAGCAACUUUUCUUCUUAAGUUAUUUUAAUCGAAGAAGAAACAAAAAGUUAAAAACAUACAUUAUUCUUCCUUCUUACGAGGUUUCCGGGUCUAAAUUACUAUGGUCUCUGCAACUGGCGUCGUUUUCUCUCCCCUCUCUCUAUUUUCCCUUUAUUUUUUCACUUUUAGAAAGAAGCAUCCCAUCAAGAAUCUACUACAACCCUACGCUUCCAUUUUGAUUUAGAAAGUUAAAAAUAAGUUUAAGUUAAAAAAAAAUAUUUUCUUAUAUAAUUAUUUAAACUUAUUUCUUUUCCUUUUUAUAUAAAGAAACAAAUAUUUUGCAAAUAAAUAAAUUUCUAAUUAUUUUCAUUAACAUAAUAAUAAUAUUUUUCAUAUGACUUUAAUCACAAUUUUUUUUACCACUUGUCCAAGGCGGUGAGAGGUGAUAAAAUGUAUUAAAAAAACGAUUAAAUUGCAUUAGGUAUAGAAGUUUUGUGCUUCAAUUAUCACUUAUAAAAAUAAAAUAAAAAUAGUCAAAUUUGAGUGUGCAAGUUGGUAUUCGUAUGUAGAAGGAAUUGGGGGAUUUGGGGGUCCUAACAAAUUUGAUAUGAUUGAUGGAAGGAAAUGAUUAUUAUAGGAUAAAGUCCGAAUGAAACGCUGACGAGGGGGGAAAAACAACAGUGGCAAUGCACUAUCCACAGAUCCAUGAUUGAUUUAUGUUAGCAAUAAUGAAUUAUUUUGACUUUGAUAACCUUGGUUAAGAGAAUUUGGUCUUGUUAUUAUCAUUUUUUCAAAAAAAAAAAGUGUAGGUAACUAGGUAGUUGAUUUAUUAGAAUUUAGAAAUGAGGAUCCCCUCCUCCUGCAAGAGCCGUGACAGACAUGCCUGCUUUCUUGCCAGAUUAUACCAAUGUGCCCAAAUAAUCCCCCAUCUAUCAUCUCUGCACCCUGGAACACGUCACUCCCUCCUUUGAGCAAUAAAAUAUCUCUUUUAUUUUCUUUUGAACCACUCUUCUAUUUCUUUGUACCAGACUGGACCCAUUUAAAUUCUUCGCUACGCUGUUCCCAAGGACUACGAGAAUCAAAAUAGCAAAAUUCUUGAAUCAUUUUAAUGGGUUCAGAAACCACAUGUUUCUCUAGAUCAUAAGAGGAAAAUCUUUUUGGAUGGUGUUUGUGUUGUGUUGUGUUCAAUAUUAAAUACUCAAUUAAAUAAGCUAAAUCAAAUAUCACAUGAAAAAUAAUCAAAUUAAAAAUAGGGAGAAUUAUGUUUUGAGGGUAGAUGGACCCCAAAUUAACAAAAGGUUCAUGUAACUCUUCAAAUUGAGCCCAGACCCAAUGAAAAUAUGGAAAUUGAGUUGAAGUAUAUCAUCAUUCAGUAUUUCCAAAAAUGUCCUUUGUUGAUUUUGAGAAAAAAAUUAAUAUUUUUGAAAAAUAUUUUUAUGUAAUUUAAUAUUUUUUUAAAUACUUUUAUUUAAUUUAAUAUUUUUAAAAAAUAAAUUUAUUUAAUUUAAUAUUUUAAAAAAUAUUUAAUUUAAUAUAUUUUUUAAAUACUUUAAUUUAAUUUAAUAUUUUUGAAAAAAAUUUUAAUUUAAUAUUUUUGAAAAAAAAAUUAUUUAAUUUAAUAUUUUUUAAAACUAUUUUUAUUUAAUUUAGUAUUUUUGAAAAAAAAUUAUUUAACUUAAUUUUAUAAAAUAUUUUAUAUGUGUUCUUAAAGGGUAUAUUUGUCCGUUACUAUUUCAUAUCCUUCAACUCAAUUUAAAGAGUUAUAUGGACCUUUUGUUAAUUUGGGGACCCAUCUACCCUCAAAAGAUAAUUCUCCCUUAAAAAUAUAAAUUUAAAUAUGACAUAAUUAUUAAAUAUGUUAGAUCUUGUAUGAGUUUAUAAGAUUUAUGUUUCAAAAUAACAUGUUUAUAAUUCAUCUAUUGAUUUAUAAUCAAAUUUUAAAUAAAUUAAAGUUAUUCAAGUUAAUAAAUAUGAUUUAUGUUAUAAAGACUAACUAAAAAAUAAUUUAUUAAUUAAACGGAUCCUGGUCAAUAAAAAUUUGAUUUAAAUACGAUCAUACUUAAUCAAAACUUAGGUCAAAUUGUAUUGAUAAAUUACAUCAAAACCUUGUUGUGUUCAAUAUUUUAUAUUAAACUAUUUUUUAAUAAAAUUAUUUUUAUAAAUAUAAUAUUACAUCAUUUGGAGAAACAAAAUAGUAUUAUAUUGAUUUUACAUAUAAAGCAACCAGUUAACCCCUCAUUAUUUUGAUCCAUUUCACAUCCAUAUCAUUCUCAUAAUUUUUUUAUAAUAUAUUAACAUGAUGGACGGUAAUUGAGGGUAGAAAAAAAAGAUGAGAAGAAUAAAAUAAUGUGAAUCCUCUCUAAAUGUUACAUCUUCUGACAAAUGAAGUCUAUAGAAAUGUGUAAAAAAAAAAAAAACACUUAAUUGUGAGGUUCACUUGAUUUAGCAAAAAAUUAAUAUUUUAUUUGUUGUGUGAUUUAAAAAUAAUAUUUUAUUUUUAAAAAUAAAAAAUUAUUUUUAAAGUUUUUUAACACUAUUUUACUAUUGUUCUUUGAAAUAAUUUUUAAAAUUAAAAUGAAAUAACUAAUAAUUUUUAGAUAAUAAAUUAAAGUUGUUUUUAUUAGAUUUUAAAAAUAAAAGAAAAAUAUAAAACCAUUUGAUCAAAUUUUUUUAAACUUAUUUUUAAAAGGUUUUUUUUUUUUUUUUUUUUUUUCUAUCCUAAGUUAAAAGAUAAAAAAUAAUUUUUAAAGAUAGGUUACGAGCAAAUGCCACAAACUUUUUUCUUCUCUUUCCCUUGUUCGGAUAGAAGUGAAAAAUAUCCUCCCAUGGAUCGACAUUACGUGAGCCAUCACCAUUCCCCAACUGCAAUUCAACCGCCAAAGCUGAGGUGUCAUUAUUAGUUUGAACAAAAGUCAGCAUUGUCCACGUGGUGACAAGCGGAACUGACCCAACUUGCAAGGCAAAAAAAUAAAUAAAAUAAAAUGAAAAAAUCAGAUCACCAUUAUGACGUCAGUCCAAUUGCUGACCUGGCCGCCGUCCCCCAUUUGACCCACGUGUUCAUUUAACCCAUUCGCCGUAUGCCGUGGCUCCCCACCCAUAUGGCCAUAUCUGCCAUUUAUUUUAUCCGUUGCCUCCAUUCGGUUUUUGGAUUUUACCCAUUCGCCCUCGUCUAUUCCCAUUUCCGUAUUUGCCCACCAAGGAAAUUCAAUUCCCAUGCUUUUGUUUUACAUUCAAAUCCUCCCCCCUCUAUAUAAAGGAGGGAGUAGGGCUUGAAAGUUUCUCAAGCCAACAUGGACUGUUGAGAGUGAAAGACAGAGGAGCCACAAACAAAUAUCACUCACUCAAACCAAAGCCAAAACCAAUACCGAAUUCAAUUCAAAUGACUUCUUUCUCUCUCAUCAAUUCCCUGAAUUCCGAUUCCGAUUUCAAUUUGUUAUCGGAUUCUUUUUCCUGGGAAAACUCCCUACCUUUCAAUGAAAACGACUCCCAGGAGAUGCUCCUCCUGGGCAUGCUGGCCAGCUCCACUCAGGAAACCUCAGAAACAGUUUCUUUGAAUCGAGUGAAGGAGGAAGAAGUGACUUCCCAGGAAAAUCCCGAGAAGGAGAAGUCAUACAGAGGCGUUAGGAGGCGGCCAUGGGGGAAAUUCGCAGCAGAAAUAAGGGACUCGACCAGGCAUGGCAUAAGGGUGUGGCUGGGAACAUUUGACAGUGCAGAGGCAGCUGCUCUGGCCUAUGAUCAAGCUGCUUUUGCGAUGCGGGGCCCUGCGGCAGUCCUCAAUUUCCCGGUGGAAAGAGUGAAGGAAUCGAUGCAGGAGAUCAAGUGCAUCUUGGAGGAGGGGGGCUCACCAGUGGUGGCCCUCAAGAAGAGGCACUCUAUGCGGAGAAAAAGUCCUUGCAAGAAACAUAAAAGUGAAGAGGUGAGGUUAGAAAAUGUGGUAGUGCUGGAGGAUUUGGGUACUGAAUACUUGGAACAGCUCCUCACUUUCUCUGAGACCUCUAGUCCUUGAUCAUCAUCAUCCAUCACCUGGAUAGCUUCUUCUCUUUGCUCUGUUUCUUACUUUUCUCUCUCUCUCUCUCUCUCUCUCUCUUUUUUUUUUAUGUAAUUUUUCUUAAUGUAUUUUUGGAGAUGGCGGGGGUGUAGUGGUGGCAAUUAUCCAUCUAGAAUUUUUCAAAAGAUAUGUUCUUUUGUUUCUUUGUAUAAAGUUGAAAAGUGGGGAUCAAUUGUGAUGGUGCUCUAUGUUCAUCCACCCAAUUUAUAUAAUCAAGGUGAUUAAUGUUUUUUGAUAUCAACAAUUUGUGAAUGACAUAGAGAGAGAGAGAGAGAGAGACCUUAUUUUCUACACUCAUUACGGUGGUUUCCAUUUGGGGAAGGAAAAGGAAAUGGCUAAGAAUGUUACCAAAAGAAGUGGGGUGGCUUUCAUAUGCGUGGUGGCAUACUUGCAUACAAACUUUUCAAUUGUGUUCUGCAUGCCACUCGGGUCAAUUUCAUUUCUUUUACUCCUAGUAGCCUAAUUGGAUUUCCUUUUUCUCAUGAGACAUCAAAUAAAUUUCAUUUUUUUAUAUUUAAAUAGUUAGGUAAGUUUGAUAGUGAGUUAUAUUUUAUACAUUAAUUCAUCUUUUAGAAUGUUGUCUACAAUAUAAACAGUGUAAUUAAUUUCAUCAUUACAGAACAGUCAUCUUAUAAAAUAACAUAAAAAUUAUUGGAUCACUUGUAUGGCACCACUGAUUUGGACUUGGUAUGGCUCUGUUUGGCUUCAUAGAAAAAAUUUGGACCCAAUUUGAAUGUCUUGCAUAAAAAGAGAUACGUCCCACUUUGAAUGAUAUUGAAGAAAAAAAUUUCUGAUGAAGAAUAUAUUGUUGGCAGGGUCAUGCAGGCCAAUAGGGAAACGAUAAAUUCAGAAGAAUGAGUCCAAACCAGUGGGCUUGAAAAUUAAGAAGAGAAUUGCUGUAUAAAACAAUCAUUUCUUAAUCGAGUUCACUUUCUGAAUAAUCGUCACUUUGAGAAUGCAUACUUAGGAAGAUGAUGAUCCUUAAUGGGAAUAAUCAAAGGCAUCAAAAAAUUGUUCUGGAACAAUUCUUGAUUGUCUCCAGUAAAAUUCAAAGUCAAAAGUCAAAAGUCCAGUCGGUCAACACCAAACCAGGCCAGUCCAAAAGACAUUAAUUUGCAAUCUAGAAUCUAUGAUGAGGUGGCGAAAUCAAACCUUGGCUUUUCACCAGGGAAUGGUACUCUGAAUUUGGUCAGUUCACUGUUUCGAGUGAAUAGGGUGUAGUAAUUAGUAAAUCAUAUUUUAGAUUUGUGUCACAAGUUACAAGGGAUAUGGGCUGACGUUCAAUUUUGGCGACAAUUUGUGGGCCCGUAUAUUUGUUGAGAUGUGGAAAUUGGGUGUGUGCUUUUUUCUGCUACCACAUAAAUAUAUUUCUUUGAAUUGAAGAGUGUUUCAGACCAUUUUUUUUCAAGUCACAAAUGGACAACUGAUUGAGAUUGUAUUGGUGAGAGUAGGAGUUUAUUUUGGGCUGGUUGAGCGAAGUUGAAAGUCGAGUUGGACCUAACCCUUGAAUUCAGCAGACUACAGUCCGAUCCUGUAUUUUGGAUUUAGGGAACCUUCUUUCCCAGAAGCUUCGUCUGGGUUUUAAAGUCUAAAUGUGGCUACUCUUAAACAUUGGAGAAAGGAUGAGCGUUCACAAGCAAAUGGGUAAUUGUGGAUGGUUCAAGGACCUGGCCAGCUGGUCUUCAAGUUUGGAUGCCGGUUUGGGCCUGAGAGAGUCUUUGCAAAGUGACUUCACUUCAGCCUAUGAGAUCAAGAUAUCAUGGUGAUGUCCGAUCACUUAGGUUUCAUUUUCACCUCGGAUUACCGUUACCAUGUUCAUGAAUAAAAAUAAAUAAAUAAAUGAAGCCUUAUAGAGAAAUUAAUGAAGUGAGCUAUACAAGCAACUGGGCCAGGAGCCUACAAGGCAGAAAUUCCCUGCCCUAGACUAGGCCGAAUAAAUUAGAUGAAUGAAUUGGGGAAACCUGGGCCAGCCACACAUCCUCCUGAAGGCUGAUGUCGAACUCGCUUACGAGGAAUGGACAUGGGAGAUUGGGCUGGGACCAAAUAACCAAUUGACAGCCCUAUCCUUGUGGCAAGACGUCAGUAAAAUGGUUCAUUCUGAUUUUACGCUGCCAUUCAAUUUAAUUUUAAUUUUUGUUUAAAGCGAUGUACAAAUUGAAUGGUGUCUAGUCACUUAAAGAGUGGUUCAUAAUACACUUAAUUUAAACAAAAAAGAAAUUAUUAGAUAGGGGAUUCUCCAAUAAAAACCACCCCAUCUUGUCAGCAAGUCCGGAAACUUCCUUCACUUAGGGCGUAUUUGUUUUUUUAACUUUAAUAUUAAAGAAAGUUGGUUAAACCUUAUGACACUUUUAUAUUAUUUUAUGAAUUUUUUUUAAUUUUUAUUUUAAUGGAAUUUUAACUUUAAUACAAGUUGGAGUAAUUCUUAUCUUAAAAACAAAUCAAAAUUACUUUAAUUUUAUAUAGAAAUAAACUUACAGUAAAUUUACCAUGAAAAUUUCUAAGUCAAAUACACCAUAAGUGCUAGUAUUUUAUAAUAUUUAGAAACAUGUUAAAUUAUUAUUAUUAUUUUUUAAAAUUAUUAGUUUUCAUAUUAGUUUUAGGGAAACUUGUGCUUUAGGUCUUUUAUUUGCAAAUAAUAUGGUUUUCAAAUCCUAAGAAUAGAAAAUAUGAGAAUCAACUGUUAAUGUGGAAAAUAAUAUCAAUUUUGUGCAAUCUCUAUUGACUCAUUUUUUUGUGCCUAGAUUGCCUUCACCCACUUCCAUGUCAACAACCACAUUAAUAGAUUGUUUUUUUUUUAUAAAACAAAUAAUUAUUAUGUUUAAAAUUUUGGGGAAACUCUCUAUCUCUCUUACUUCUUCACUACAUCCGAGACCCAUCUUCCUUAAACGUUUGCCUCUCAUUUUGCCCUAACCCCAAAUCUCAUAAAUUUCUCAUUUUCUUGCCUCAUUUGAAAUAUGAAGAUGACCGAUUCUCAAACAUCUCUGUCUCUCUCUUCACGUUUUGACCAGUCUAAUUGGAAACCCAUUUUCCAAAAACCUUCUUUCUUUCAUUUUGCCCUAACCCCACUAUCUCCCUCUUCAAGACCUAAUCACCCAAACUCGAUAUCUAUCUUCCCAAAACCUUCAAGCAAACUGAACUAGACCCAUAUCUUCUUUUUUCAUCAUCAAAGGUGAAAUUUUUUUAAGGCUUUUGGAAACCGAAUUGGAGCUUUCCCUUCUUCUGGGAUUAAUCAUUCGCAAGUGAGUUUUCCAUUUAAGGCUUUGUUUGGCUGUUGAAAUCUUGGGAUCAAAGGUCUUUUAUUUUCAGGUUUCUUGUAUUUUGCUUUAUUUUCUUGUAUAUAACAAUAAUCAUUGUAACAUAUGCUAGUAGUUACCCUUGGUGCAACUUUACAUUUCCAAAUACCCUAAAGUCCAAAGCUUUUAAUUCCCUUUUCAAAGCUUUCAACUUUGAAAGCAGACUAAACCAUAAGAACUAUGAAACUUAUAUCUCUAUCACCACUAAUUAAGCAUGUCUAUGAAUCCUUCCACUUUAAGUCACUUAUUCUCAAACCAAGAAGGGCUCCUCUCAUUCUCACCCCACCUCAUCUAAAUGAGGGAAAUGAUCAAUUGCAGCCAUGCUUUGCACCAAAUUAGAGAAGUGAUCCUCCCAAUCAUCCAUUACCAAAAAUUGAUCAUGCUGAUGAGAUCAUAAGAGUCUAUUCGGAACUCCCAGUUUACUUGCCUCUUAUCUCAGGAUCCUCCAUUACCCCCUGUCUUUCCAACAUCAAAUCAACUUGCAAACAAUUCCUUUGUAGAUAAAAUGUUUUUAAUAUUGCAAAAGGGGACUUAUCAUAAUGGUUGAAUCGAUUUAUUUGAUAUAAUCACUCAAAUUCAAGCUUAAAAUUGAUCAUAAUAAAAUGUUUUUAAUAUUGUUAAAAGGAGAUUAUAAUGGUUUUAUUUGAUAUCAUUACUAAAAUUCAAGCUUUCAAACAUGCUCUACAAAGAAGUUCUAAAAGACUACAAGAAAGAGUUUCCACUAAAGAAAAACAAUGAAACCAUUUCUACUAAAGACAAACAAUGAAACCACAGAUGCUUUGUGAAAUAUGUACCCGCACAAUCCAACAAACUUUAGAAAUUCACAAACACUACCUAGAAUUUUUGCUGACCAGCAAAAAAUUUAUGCAAUUUAAUUCUUAUUGUUAUUAUUAUUUUCAAUGUGAACAAAUAUGAUUGAAUUAUGAAGUAUUUGGCCAGAAGAGGAUCUUGCCUAAUUAUAGUCAUUAAACAACCAUUUAUACCAUAGCCUCUAGACUUUAAAAAGUUUAUAAAACUCAAGGGCUUCCACCCAAUUUCUAGAUAUCUCCAUAACAUUCUUCUGACUAUUAGAAAGCAAUUACCACUUUAAUUUUUCAUUUCAUGAGUGUUCAAUUCAGAAAAAGACCAGGAUCGAACUUGCGAUCAUGCAGUCGAAAAUCCACCUGUGCAUGAAACUAUUGCCUCACGAUUGCAAACUCAAGUUGGAGUCCAGUAACAACUCUAGGUUUGCUGAUGUGCUCCAUUUGAAAUAAAGGAACUAAAGAAUACUUUAUAAAGAUUAAUUACCUUCAUAUUUUAGGUUGGGGUUAAGGCAAAAUGUGAUAGAUUGAGAGGAAGAAAAUAUAUCUUGUUCAGGAAGCCAAUAUUUUGGAGUUCACCUUUCCAUUCGAGUCCACUCUGCUAUAGCAAAAUCAGAGUCACAACUAUGCCUCUUUAAGCUAUCCUUUAAUUGGAUGAAUUGCAGAUUUGGUUGCUGAGAAAGUGGAUAAGAAAGAAAAAUGCAUACUGUAGCUUGAGAUUAAGAGUUUGUUUUCUAAAAUGAGAGAAAGGGAAAGAGAAAAAAUGCAUAUUGUAGCUUGAGAUUAAGGGUUUGUUUUCUAAAAUGAGAGAAAGGGGAAGAGAAAUGUUCGACAACUUUGAGAUGACAAAUUUUUAGAUUUGGAAAAUUUGAGAUGAGUCUCAGGUUUUUUUUUUUUUUUUUUUGUCUUUGUCUUUGUUUUUUUUUUUUUUUUUUGUUUUUUUCCCAAAAACAACCUGUUAAUGUGGUUGUUGACAUAGAAGUGGGUGAGGGCAAAAUGGGCAUAGAAAAAAGAGUCAACACAAAGUGCACAAAACCCAUAUUAUUUUCCACAUUAAUGACUGAUUCUCAUAUUUCUUGUUCUUGGGAUUUGAAAACCAUAUUAUUUGCAAAUGGACCUCCCAAAGCACAGGUUUCCCUUAGUUUUAUGUCUCCAUCUACAUUUUACAUAUAAAUAGAUUAUUUUAUAAAAUUUGUUUUGUAGAUAUAUUAGUUAAUAAUUAUAUAAUUAAUGAUAUAGAAAACAUAUAAAAAUCAUAUUUAAAAAAGAUAAUUACAUAUUCCUCAACAAUCCAUCCCAAGAAUUCGAGGUUGAGUUGAAAACAUGUAGAGUCUUUGAUGUUAUUAUAAUCAUAUCCAACACAUAUGAUUAUUGUUUAUGAGAUAUUAUUAGAAAGUUUGUCUUAAAAUAAUUGAUUUAUUACCCACCUUUAGCAAAUGCCCAUUUUUGCGUCUUUCAAAAUUUUCAUUUUUUUUUUGUUUAAAAGAAGUAUUGUAAAGAAUGAUGAAAUAAGAAAUUUGUUGAGAAAGUGUGAGUAAAUAAUUUUACAUAAAAAGAGAUUUAAUACUUGAUAAAUAAAAUAAUAAAAUCAUGAUUUCUAGUUGUAUAGGGCCGGGUGGAUGGAGUGGCUAAGAUGUAAUUCUUGAAAUAGAGGAGACAACAUCAAUGUAUAAAAGUUUAACAGAGAAGGAAAGUGUGUUUGAAUGACUUUAUUUUCUUCAUUUAAAGUUUUGACGAUGAGUGUUUAUACAAGAUAAAUUUUCAAAUGAUAGGACUCCUAUUUACAUGGAGUUUGUGAUAUACUAUGAUUAUACAAAUUUAAAAUUCAAACAGAUUCAUGAGUUGAUAGGAGUCUGCUCAAUACGCCCCUUCAAAAUGGUGGGAGAUAGCACACCAAUCUUGACUCGAAGGGCCUAAACUCGUGCAGAAGAUGAGGGCUUUGUUAGAGCAUCGACAAGUUGAUCCGUGGUUGACAUAUGGGACACCUUGAGCUCACCUGAUUAAACCUUGUUUCAAACAAAAUGAAAAUCAAUCGCCGAUGUGUUUCAUGGAGAGUGAAACAUGGGAUUUGCACAAAGAUAUGUUGCACCCACGUUAUCACAAGAGAUAGGAGGUGGUGAUAAAUUUGAAACACUAAGUUUUGAGAGAAGAGAAUUAACCCAAAGAACCUUUGAGGCUGUAGAGGCCACGACGUGAUAUUUCGCUUCAGUGGAAGAGCGUGCUAUGAACUUUUGUUUCCUCGAUGACCAAUACACAAGAUUGUGACCAAGAAAAACAAUGGGAGCAUUGGUGGAGGAUCUGACAUAAGGAUUCCUUGCCCAUUCAACAUUCGAAUAUGCAUGUAGAUUGAUGGGCGAUUUCUUAUGCAAGAACAGACCAUGCACCAUUGUGCCGACUAAGUAUCUAAGCAAUCUUUUAACACAAGACCAAUGUGUUGAUGUUGGAUGGUGCAUAAAUUGAGAUAAUUUAUUCAUCAAGAAGGUGAUGUCAGGGCUAGUAAGAGAGAAGUAUUGAAGGCUUCCAACAAUUGACAUAUAUUUAGUGGGACCAGGAAAAGAGGUGUCAUCACACAGAUUUGGAACAUUGUUGAGGAACAUCAAUGAUUGAACUGGUUUGGUAGCCACCAUUUGUGUUUUCUUAAGAAGCUCUCGAAUGUACUUGAGAUAAAAAUAAUCCUUUGGAAGUAUGUAUCAUUUCAACACCAAGAAUAAAAGAUGAAGUCCUGAGAUCCUUAAUGGAGAAUUUGACUGCUAAUUGAGAGAUCACGCGAGCACGAAAAACAUUAUUGUUACUUGUUAAAAUAAGAUCAUCAAUAUAAAUAAGUAGGUAAACAAUGAGACCACUCUUUUUAAAAAUGAAGAGGGAUGUCUCGGUUUAGGAGUUGACGAAGGCUAUUGAGAGGAGAAAUUGGCAAAGUUCAUGAUACCAUGAUCGUGGAGCUUGUUUAAAGCCAUAAAAAGCCUUACAAAGUUGGCAAAUGUGAUGAUGUGUGUAUUCGUGAACCCAGGAGGUUGAAUCAUGUAAACAUCUUCAUGAAGUGUCCUAUGCUAGAAUGCAUUAUUAAUGUCCAAUUCAUGAGUUGAUAGGAGUCUGCUCAAUACAAUGUGGGAGUGUGAUUUCAAAAUUAGGGUAAUUUCGAAAUGGAUUUUGUAUUCACAAGUUGAAUUUCAAAAUUAUUUUGAAAUGGUCUUUUAACUUUAAGCAGUUGUGUUCAAAAGGUCAUAACUUCUUCGUUUCAAUUUUGAUUUACACAUUGUUUAAAACAUUGGACUCUUUACUUCCCGAGCUUCAAAACGAUAUAUAGUAUGCUCAAAAAUGACAUCAGGAUUGGUUCAAAUUUCAUCUUGAUAUUAGAGUACAUGUUGUGAUUAGAUUUUGAGUUCCAAAUUUCCAUGUAAACUUGAUUGCAUUUGCUUCAAACCUCCUUCAUUAUGGUUGCUUGCCCUCUAUCUCACUUUGCAACAUUUGUUACUAGUAUUUUAUGUCCAUGACUUACUCAUUUCAACCUUUCUUGGAUUCUUCAUGGUUCACAAAUUAUGGAUUCUUCAUGGUUCACAAAUUGAGUCUUUCAAUUAUGCAUGUUUAACUCCUAUUUCCUUGGUUGAUAAUGACUUUUACACUUAUCAUUUUCUUUUAUUCUUUAAACCUGAAUUUAGACUUACAAAAAAAAGUUAGAUCCAUAACUAGGGUCUUAGCAUCAAUUUGAGUUAAGUUGGAUGAUUUGAAAAUUUUAUAUUACAUAAAUCAUAUCAUACAUGUGCCAUUGGAGUGCACAUUUUGGCUCUAAUCAUGUUCCAACCCAUUGUUUUACUCUUGCAUGAAGUAUGUGGCCAUUGAUUUUAAUUUUAUUUGCGAUUAGGUUCAAAAUGGUGCUUUUGUGUUGCUCAUGUGUCAUCAGAAGAUCAACUAAUGGAUUCUCUAACAAAACUACUACAUCAUAGUCAUUUUUUUUUUUCUUAAGACCAAGAUUGAGAUCUCCAAUCGGAGCCAACUCCAUCUUGGGGGCAUGUUAGUGAAAGAUAAAAUUUAUCUUUAAUUUAAAUAUUAAUAUUUAUCAGUUAUUAGUUUUAAUUAGAGUAAAAGAUAGAGUUUAAAUUGGAGUAGGAGAUAAACUUGUGUUUGAACUAGAAUAGAAGAUAAAGUAUAAAGAUUUAUGUUUGAAUUAGAAUAAAAUAUAAAGUUUGAAUUAGAGUAGAAGAUAAACUUGUUCUUUAUUUGUAUAUAAAUAUUCAUCAAUUCUUGAGAAGAAGAUUAUUUCAUAGUUUUUCUAUCUUCUUUUUUCUUCAUACAUAUCUGCAAGAAAUUGAAGAUUUCAAGUAAAAUAUUUUCUGUUUUAAAUAGUGAAAAAAGCUAGAAAUUCACUUUGUUAUCUCUUGGGGUAAAUUGACAAGGUUUAACGUUAAGAAGGUGAAUUAUUUUUUCAGAAAAACUGAAGUAGCUAGGAUAUCUGGCCAGUUGUGAUCGAUAAAAAAGUUGUAAAAUCUCUCAUAUACUAAACAGGUUUUGGAUGUUGGUAUGGUAAAUCCAUCUGCAGUCAUUCGUCAUCUCAUCUAGUGAGAUGUUUGGGAGGUGGUGACCGCCGGAUUGGGUUUCAUUUGGUUAAAUCUGUCAGUGGGUUGGCUACUACCCGAGCCUCUUGCUUUGGGGGAGGUGGGUUCUAGAUAUAAUGUUCAAACCAUUUUAGUUAUCAUAUGCAUGACAUGUAAGCAUAAUCUCUUUAUCACUUCUUCAAUGGGAGUUCAUGGUUAGGAAUUGACUUCUUUUCUUCUGGGAUGCUUGGCAUGUAAUGGACAAAGUUACUUUUAUAUCGAUCGAAUUUCUAGUAUUAUAGUGAAGACUUACCCUUUUGACAUUUUAUAUCGAAUUAUAGAAGAUGAAAGGGACAUACAUGCAAUCGACUGACGCUUUAGUGAAUAUGCUGAAAAUAUGCUGAUGCUGUGGAGAUCGUAUGAGGACAGAGGAAAAAGAUAGAAAUGGAUAUAUAAUUAGACCUAGGUUUUUAUUAAAUGAGAUGGGGAACAUAGAGUGAGGGAAAAUCAAAAUUUUUGGCUGCAGUUCACAUUGGUGAUAUUUUGGAUUGACAAAGACUAACGACUUUUCUAUUUUUCUUUUCGGCCUGACUGGAUAGUUGGACAUGGACAAUACAGAAUCCACAGAAGGAUUGUUGGGACCGCUGAAAAUUAGCUAGAAGAAGCUGAGGAAGUAGUCUACGUAGUCAAAUACCAAACACAAAGAAAGAAAGAAAUGGAUAUCAUGGAUGCCUAGAGUUAUACUCCUAAUACCGUCACAGGUAUUUUUCUUUCCUCCUUUUUUUUUCUACGAUAAUUAGAGCAUUUCUCCUCCUCCUCCUCCUCCUCCCCCCACCCCACCACCAAAAAAUAAAAAAAUAAAUUAUUGCAAGUAACACUUCAAAUAUUAAUUUAUACAUUCUAAAGUAUAUAUUCAUGAAAUAACUUGAGUAUCAUACAUUAGUUCUCAAAAAAAAAAAAAAAAAAAAAAAAAAAUUACUGGAAGAGAAAAGUUUAAGAAAACAUAAAAAUAUUCAACUACUAUUUUAAAGAGAAAAUUUAAUUUUUACACUAUAAAUUUGAAGAGAACUUUUACAUGCAUCUUAUAUAAACUACCAUUUUUUGCUAAAAGGCUUAAAUUUGUCAAAAAUACCCCUUAGGUGCUUAACGUUCUGGUCAUAAUAUAAUUGGCAUCUUUUCUCAAACAUAAGGCCUGUGUGUGGGAACAAGAUUUAAUGUUAAUGAGCUUCGCCACCGACAUUUAGUUCCAGAAAUCAUUAUUUUAAUAGAGUGGGCUCAAUUUACAACUUUAAUUAAACUCUAACCAACUGCAUUGUGAAAUGAAUAUGUUUCUUUCGUGGUGAAUCCAAUGAGUUGGGAGUCAAACUUUGCUUCAUUGUGUAUAGAUGAAAUGUUAAGACUCCAUGUAACCUCAAACAUUUCCGCAAUNNNNNNNNNNNNNNNNNNNNNNNNNNNNNNNNNNNNNNNNNNNNNNNNNNNNNNNNNNNNNNNNNNNNNNNNNNNNNNNNNNNNNNNNNNNNNNNNNNNNUUCUUUCGUGGUGAAUCCAAUGAGUUGGAGUCAAACUUGCUUCAUUGUGUAUAGAUGAAAUGUUAAGACUCCAUGUAACUCAAACAUUUCCGCAAUGAGCGGGAGUUCUAAAUUUAAUAAUUGAAAUUGUCAGUGGAACCAGUGGACAAGAGUUGGUUUGUGGUUGACAAACUUAUCCGUUUGAUCUUUACUUGAACAGUUCCAGUGUGUGGAUGGGUACUGAUGAAGUGUGCGCAUUUAUUUUGAGAAGCCUGCUUGUUCGCAUAGAUUUUAACGACAUGAACAUUGUGGUAAGGUUAGAGAGUAAUGCGAAUGUAGGAGCUUAUAUUAGAAAUGACACAAACACGUAAAUAGAAGUAAUCUAUAUAUGAUAUUACUCAUGGACUACAAGCAAAGAAGUACAAUACAUGGAGUAAGUGAUGAAAUGAGCAUUCCUCACUACUACUGCUUGACUGAUGGAACAUGAUGCACGAGAUAGCAUAAGUAGUAGUAGGAAGCAGCUCUUAUUUGUGGCGUCGGUAUACAUCAUACUAGGUAGAUGGUUCAAUUGGCAUGGAUGGGUGGUGGAGCCUUGAAGUGCUUGUGAUGGGGAGCCCACGGCUUCUUCUCAGGAGUUGGUGGCUUCUUGUAUGGAGUUGAUGGAGGUGUUUCUACUGGAGGGUGGCCAGGGUAGUGACCCUGGGGUGGUGAAGGUUCUUUUGUCGGUGGUGGCCUCACUAUUAUUGGCGGUAGAGUUGGUGGCUUGGGCGUUGGCGGUGGUCUCACUACUCUUGGGGGUAGAGUUGGUGUCUUGUGUUUUGGUGGUGGAGGUGGCUUAACAGGAGUUGGUGGCUUGUAUUCUGGGGGUGGUUUCUCCACCGGAGGUGGCUUAUAAACUGGAGUUGGUGGCUUGUAUUCUGGGGGUGGCUUCUCCACUGGUGGUGGCCUGUAAACAGGGGUUGGUGGCUUAUAUUCUGGGGGAGGCUUCUCCACUGGAGGCGACUUAUAAACAGGGGUUGGUGGCUUGUAUUCCGGGGGUGGCUUCUCUACGGGAGGUGGCCUGUAAACAGGGGUUGGUGGCUUCUCCACCGGAGGUGGCUUAUAAACGGGGGUUGGUGGCUUGUAUUCUGGGGGUGGUUUCCCCAGUGGUGGAGACUUGUAAACAGGAAGAGGUGGUUUGUGCUCAUAUGGGGGUGGCUUGUGGUCAUUAGCAAGUGAGGGAGUGGUGAGGACCACCAAUCCAAGGAACAACACGAGUGAGCAAGCAGAAGACAUGUUUGGGCUCUGGUGAUGCACAAGUAGAAGAAAUGGGAACCAUUUAUAAUGCUUCGAGACCUUGGUUAGCACCAAAAUAUGUCAAAAUCUUGAUUACUUCAUUUCAUACAUAGAUUUAAAAUUAUUUCAAUCAACCAUGAUCCUUAAUUUUCUGGGUGGUCCAUAAAUGUAAUGGGGUCAAUUUGGGACCUAACAAGCUGAGAAGUUUGACAAUGCUGCAAGGCUUCAUCCGAAAGUCCGGGGAAGAAUAUUAGGAGUUACACUCCGUUUCCUUUUUUGGGUGCAUUUUUCUCCUUUAACAUUCUAUUCCCUUUUACAUUAGCAUUUGAUCUUAGCUCAUUUCAAGUACAAGUUUCUUGAACCCUAUACCAUUGUCAAAGUUGAGUAACCAUCUCUACUUUGCUCAAGAAACAUAAAAGACAAUGACAAUAAAGAAAAAGGAGAGAGACCAUACGUGACUUGGUUUAUAGGUGGCUUUGUGUUGACAUUUGAGUAUGGAAGCCGACAUGCAUCUUAGCUUCGAUUUUAAUUAAAUUUGUACAUUAGUGUCUGUGUCAUUCAUUUUGGUAUAAAAGGUCUCUUGAUUUCGUAAGUUUGGUAAGAACCGUUGAAAAUAGCAGUAGCAGCACAUGGUCCACUUUCUUUCACAAAAUAAUUUUAAAAGUUUAGAAGCAUAGGAGGUAACAUUAGUGGCCUUGUGGCUCAGCCACGAGUACUAUGUGGUGCUCGAGAAAUUGAGUUUAAUUUCCUUCCGAUAGUUCAUGAUAAGGUCCGUCACUGUCCUGAGACAGAUUGCGUUUUUUCUUUUUUCCUUUUUUAGUGUUUUAUUGACUAGCUAGGUGUGACUUUUCCUACUUUAAGGCACGAGGCAGAAAAGAAACUGGGAUUUAGUGCUUAAGAAGGCAAAUUUAAUUCGAUUUGGAUCUAAAAUUUGCCAGCAACAUGAGAUUUUCCAGCCUAUCGUUGCUCCACAUAUAGACAAGGCACUUGUAGAAGUGGCUUGUUUGUAGCCAUUCCCGAUAUUUGGACUCACUUGAUUCACCGGACACUUUGAUAAAAUUUAAUAUUUAUUAUUUAAUAAUUUAAAUUGAUUUAAAAUUAAAUUAUACCGAAGUUGUGAUUUAAAAAUUAUUAUUUAAUUCUUACUUUUAAAUAUGAAGAUUAUUUGAUAAAAAUAAUUUAAAAUUUAUUAUAAAUUAUCAAAUUAACAUAUUUAUCCUUAUAAAUUAUAAUUAAAACAGAAAAGGUCAAAUGAUUUGAGUAUCCAUAGAUGUGGUAAAAUAAUAAAAAAGAUUAUAAAAACAAUUAUGAUAAAUAAAGAUAAAAAGUAAAAUGAAUAUGUGAAUUUAAAGAAUAAAUUAAUUAUUUUUAUUUAUUACUUAAAAUUAUUUUUGACUUUAAAUUAUAUUAUUAAAUUAUUUUACCAAACAUACUUAAUUUAGUUAAUAAUUUAAAUUUAAUUUAAGUUAUUAAAUUGAUUCACCAAAUACCCACUUAAUCAAAGACUGAAGUAUACAUUAUUUGGCCAAAUGCAGCUAUUGAAAUUUAACUUUUUCCAAACUUAUUCAUUUUGUGGAAAUAUUUUUAGAAAUGAUUUUAAAAAUGCACUAUUCUGUGUGUUGAUUUUAUAUUUUGGCAUUAAUCCAACAUAGAAAACGGUUCUUAUUUUCGCUGUUAAAUAGGUACCAGAUCCUUAAUUAGUGCCGUGAAUCCGGCAGCUUCCAAUGAGUAAUUUGGACUUGGGUAUUGACAAUGUGUGGCCAUGCUUCUACUAUUUUAUUAUUCUUGAAACAUAUAUGAUAUAUUGGACUUUAUACAGGGAAAAAAAAAAAAAAAAGUCUUCACCAAAAAUGAUUCCUCCUAAAAAAUAGACUCCACAAACUAGGUUUAACAGGAAAAUGAUUCUAAUCUAGUAGUUUCCAGCCACAUGAGCAUUUACGUAACAAUAGUAUAGUUGAUAACGACUUUUAUUUUAUUUAUUUUUAAAUAGUUAAAGGGAUAAUUUUUGAGCUUAAAUUUUAUUUUUUUAUUUAGAAACAUUUUACUUUAUUUUUUAAUCAUAAUUCUAUUAUAUUAAUGUUUUAUUUUCUAUUUUUUAAUAUAUAAGGAGAUACUAAAUUUAUGUGAUUAUUUUUUAAAAAUUUAGUAUAUGAAAUUAAAUAAUUGGAUAUAUAUACAUAUAUCAUAUAAUGUUUUUUAAGUGUGAUUUUUGAACUUUUUAGUCAUUUUAUAAGUUUAAGCUUUUGAUUUUUUUUUUUAAACUUUGGUAUUUUUUAUUUUAUAUAAAACUAUUUUGAUUUAAUUUUAUUAAAAAAUAUUGGUAUUAUAAAUUAUUGUAUUAAUUAUUUUUUUAUAUUAUAAUGUAACUGGUAUAUACUAAAAAAUGUAUGCAAGUUCAAUUUAAGUUUCAAAUUAAAAAAUUUCAUUUAAAUAUUUAAUAACUUGUUCAUAAUAAAAAAUUAAACAACAUAAUACAAAUGAAAAGAAACAUAAAAGAAAAAGGAAAAAAUGGUCCUCUCUGUGUGUCACAUUACUAGGUCAUCCUCUUUUUCUAUGACCCUUACAAUAGAAUGGCAUAUUUGUCAAAUCUACUUAUGAAAGUUGGAAUGUUUCUACAUGUGUAGGGUCCAUUGGAACUAAUGGAGGAAAGGCUUAACGUCUAUGUAAAUCACAACGUUGCCUAGGUGGGCAUAGAUCUAGUUGUGUAACAUGAGAUGGUGUGAGAGUACAAUAUAUGCAUUGUAGUCUCUAUGGGAAGAGAGAUAGGUAAUGGUAGGGUGGUAGACGGUAGGGUGAUCUCUAAUAUAAUGACAUUUGAUGUGGUGGCUUCUAAGAGAGGAGAUAUAAGAGAUGGUAGAAUGACAUUUGGUGUAAUGGUCUCUAGUGCAAUGACAUGUGAUAUGGUGACCUAUAAAGAAGAGAUAUAGGUGAUGGUGAAGUGGUAUGUGGUGUAGUGACCUUUGAGAUAGAAAAUAGAGGUAAUGGUAGGUUGGCAGGUGGAGUGGUCUUUGGUGUAGUGACAUCAAUUAUAAAUGUCUCCAAGGGAGGAAAUAAAGGUGAUGGUAGGUAGUAAAUGUUGAGGUGGUCUUUGAUAUGUUAUGCUCUAAGAGAGAAGGUAUAGGUAAUGAUAAUAGGGAAUUUGACAUAGUGGUGUUGGAAAUAAAAAGUGAAAGUGACCGUAGAGGUGAAAGGGCAAGUGUAAAAGCCUCAAGUACGAAUGGAGUAAUUAAUGUGGAUGGUGCUAACAUAGUCUUAGGUGGAUACACAAAUAGUCAUAGUCAUCAACUAGCUUGCCCACCAUCUGUCUUUCUGCUAGUGAUAGGUUACAUCUUAAUAGUAAUGGCCAACAUAAGUGGUGUGGAUCCGAUUUUUUUACGUGUGUCCCCACUCAAUCGACAAGACUUAUUUUUUAUUAGUGAAAAAUUAAUUUUGGAAAAGUUGGAGUCACCACUUAUUUUAUUUUAUUUUAAAAAGGAAAGUAAAACAAGAAAGAGAACUCUAAAGAAGUGACUUCAUAGUUUUGGAAAAGUUAGUCUUAAAAAAUCCAAGUCUUGGUCCGGAGAUCAGGUUACUUAUUGGGAAGAUACCUCUAAGAGGUAAUACCCCUCUAAACCCUAAAGAAGUCUCUAAUGACUAAGUUGAGGAGAAUGUGGUAAUUAAUUAAUUGAUUGAGGGUACCUAGGUAGACUAAGGUGAUUUCAGAAUUAACAUACCAAGCUAGAAAGUCCAAUCAUGAUCAUAAAAGAGAGUCAAAGUAUGUACCUGAACUGCUUCUCAAACGCUAUCAUAAAACAUCAAAGUUAGUAUAGAAAUAUAACACAUAAUAUUUGUUUUAUCCAAGCAAAUAAAGCAUACAUCUAAGCACCCAAGAAUCACAUCAAGUAUGGAUAUAGUCAUCAAUAGCAUACGUGUCCAUAGAACUAUCGAAAGUAAAUGUGGAGGAGCGUAUCUGGACAACAUAGAUAACUUAUAAUGUGCUUCCACAAGACAUGGGGGUUAGAUAAAAGUUAUAAUAAUAAUUAGUAAAUGAAAGAAUUCUAGCAUGUUUGGUAUCUAAAUAACAUAGCAAAAAUGAACAAGAGUACACGAAAACAUCAAUUAUCACACGAGUCAUAUUGGCUAGUAUUUAAUCAAUAAACCAACAAUAAAUGACUAUAAACAUAUAAAAUGACAUAUUCAAAGAGACCCAAACAUAAAGAGCCUAGAACACAAGCUUACACUAAAUUUAGAAAACUAAAACAUGGAAUUUUAAAAGCAUAAAUUAGCAAACAAAUUGAUGGAAACUAAAUUUAGAUAACUUAAGAAUAUUUUUCUUAUCCUUCAAUUUAAAUCAGUAAGCCAACAAUAAAAAAUUAUAGAAACAUGGAAUAUCAAGAUCAAUGGGAUACCUAAACUAUAAUUUUUAAAAGAAAAUAAACUAAGCAUAAUAUCUACAAAGCAACUAAACUAACAUUUUUUUAAAAAUAAAUUAAACAUGACAUUAAUGGAGUAACCAAACUAAAUUAAAGUAAACUAAAAACAUUUAUGAAUUUUCAAACAUGGAAUCAGCUUUCUUAGUAAAUUAAAAUUAUUAAAAUAAAAUCUAAGCUUAAAAAUGAAUUAAAUACUAACUAAAGCAAAUCUAAAACCAAAUAUUUAACACAUAGGAUCAAUUAUAUUAACAAACUAAAAUUUUAUAAGAACACUUAAACCUAAAGUUGAAUUAAAAACUAACCAAUUUUUAAAACUAGAUCUUUAACCCAUAGGAUCAAUUAUAUUAACAAAUAAAUAAUAAAUAAUAAAUAAAUAAAACUCAAACCUAAAGAUGAACUAGAAAUGUACCAAAGUAAAUUCAAAACAAGAUCUUUAACACAUUAGAUCAAUUAUAUUGACUAACUAAAAAAAAAAAAAAAAAACACUCAAACCUGAAACGAUGUAUUAGAAACUAACCAAAGCAAAUUUAAAAUAGAGUCUUUAACACAUAGGAUCAAUUAUAAUCACUAACUUAAAUUACAAUUUUUGAAACAUGAACUAAUUAGUGUUGGAUUAAUUAAACUAAUUAACUAAAAAAAACUAUAAACUAGAAUACGGUGAAUCAAGAAUUCAAAUCAACAAACAUAAAAUAUGGGUACAAUGAAAUGAAAAUCUAUUAAACUAAUAAGACGGAAAUAUGACAAACUCAUGAACCCACAUUUUGAUCAACUAGGAAAUAGAAAUUAAUAGACCUGUAGCAUGGAUACAAUGAAAUGAGAUCAGUUAAAUUUAUUUGCCGAAAUUCUAAAAAACACAUACACUCAAAUAAGAUCUAAAUCUAAGACCAAGCAAAACUCAAACUUUCUCAAUCUAAUGCAAUGAAUCAAAACUAAAAUUAAAUAGAAAUCAAACCAUUUUUUUUUUAUCUAAUAUAAUAAAUCAAAGCUAAAACUAAACAAAAUCGAAUUUUCUUAAUUUAAUAUGAUGAGUCAAAGCUAAAAUUGAACAAAGUUCAAACCUUUAUAUAAUGGAUCAAAGUUAAAUCUAAAUGAAAUCCAUACUUCCACAAUUUGAUAUAACAAAUCAAAAAUAAAACUAGAUAAAAAAAAAGUCAAAGCCUUUCAACUUGACAUAGUGAAUCCAAACUGAAACGAAACAAAAUUUUAACUUUUCCAAUGAAACCCAAUAUAGAAAAAAUUAGCUUACCUUCUUUAGAAUAUAUGUAUGGGCCAUAAAGAAGUCACCUUGGUGCAUGUGUUCCUCACUUUGACGCCAAUGGACGACUUUCUAUGGUAGCAAAUGGAGAUCCUUUUUGGUGGUAACUUGCGUGUGGAAACCUAUGGUACAACCAAUGUCAUCUUUUAUUGUGCGUGUGGACCAAUUUCUUCUCGAGAACUCAUGUGUGUUGUGCUCAAAAUAUGUUGCCUGUGAGAAUCUAUUGGUAUACCCCACAUAUGGUUUCCUUGAGAGAAUCUGUGGUUGUGUGUGGGCGUUUUCUUCAUGACAGCAUGUGGAUGUUCCCAUCUAUGGUAGAUUGGUUGUGAUGCUUUAGUGCAUGGUCUCCAUAGGAAUAGUGUGUUAUGGAAAUUUGGUUUUUUUAUUGGUGCAUGUUGUCUAGACUUUCCCAUAUGCGUGGACUGUGUGUUCAUGCUUUUCUUUUCGGAUGGUCGCCUGUGUUAAUGUGUGGCGGUGUCUACAAUGAAAGAUACAACCCUUUCUCUCCUUCUGCGUGAUAGAAAAGUCAAUCCCCCAUGGUGCGACUAUGUUCCCUCGUCCUUUUUGAAAAAUUUUGGUGUUUUCCCCCCAAAAAAUCCCCUCCAAAAAUCUAAUUAUAAAUGUCUGCUUUGGCCUAAUGUGUGUGCUACUUUUUUUUUCCUUCUUUUUAUGGUUGUGCGUGCUUUUCUUGAUACGUGGCUUAUUUCUUAAGGAUAUGAUUCGCUCCCAAUUGGUGUCUCAGCUGAUUCAUGUCCUUUCAAUGGUCCCUGACAGUGGUGCCAUUUGAUUCGUGUCCAGCUGGUGUCCCUUGAUUGUGGUCCUCAGAAGGGAGUAAUCAAUAAAAUUUAUAACCUAUUACACCAUGUAUUAGGAUAGCCUUAGCUAGCAUAGCAUAGUGGCUCUAGGGUCGUUUAUUGGGAUGAGUUUUCACUUCACAAUUGAUAUUAAUUCAAGAGCUGAAUUGGUGCCUUUUCAUUUCAAGGUUAGCUUUAAAAGAAAACAUAAUCUUUGGUGGAAAAAGGUUUGGUUUUAAACUAACCAAAAAUAGUAACUGAUUUUACUUACAAAGAAAAGUGUUCUUUGGAGUUUAGAUCACUAGGCUCAGGUUCCUCAUACAAAAAGGAGAGUUCCGAUCAUUUGUUUCUUUUCCUCGCAUUAGAGAAUUAACAUAUAGUUAAUUCUCUAACCGGUGCGGUACAUAUGCUUCCCAUUAAUGGGUUCAAACACUAAAUACCUCUCACUGAUGCACCUUGCAAUGGCUCGUGCCUCUCACCUAGCAUUUAUCAUUCAAGGUGAUCUUUAACCUUGGAUUACCCAUCAAAAGCUCGCAAGAGAUAACUAAAGGAUGUCUCCUUAGAGUCCAAAAGCUUACCAAGUGUUGGUUAUUCUAGAAAAUCCUACCUUCAAACCACCUCCCAAAGGCUCGCAAGAGAUAAACAAGUGCAUCUCAAUGGAUGAAGAUCACUUGCCUUACCAAGUUUUGGCCCAGAUGAUUUAAUGACAUUUUAAGUUAACUAAAAAGAUAAAAACCAUUAACGGGUCACACUUUCUCUUCAUUAAAAACUAAAACAACAAAACUUCCAAUUUAUGCAUGAGGAAACUUACCUGGCUUUCUUCACUUCAAGAGAUGAAGAGCCUAGCCACUCAUCAUUUGAGGAAAAAUCCUCAGAGUUUGAUUUGCUAGAAAUAAAAAUAAUGAGAAAACAAAAAUAUAUAUAUGAAAAACAGAGCAAGUUCUCUGUAAUAUAUUUUUCUUCCUUAUACAAAAGGUUGUCUCUAAGAACAAGUUCCCGAGAUCUAUCUGAUUGUAAAUAAAAUUACAACUAUAUAUAAGAGGUUAUUCACCCCUUUGUUCUUUCUUAAAGACUAAGGAAUCCUAUGAUAGGUGGGUUACAAGGAGAGUUUGGGGAUUUAGACAUCAAAUAUCUAAAGCAAAAUAUCUCAAGAUGUUAGUCGGAAAUAUCAGGAAGCUUCAGGAGAACACCGCGACACUGUAUACUGAGAGAAAAACUCUCCGGGUAAGCUCUAUCAAAGGAUCCAGACAUGUCUGACUGGGAAAGUUGAAACGUCCUUCUCUCCCAUCCGGAUGUGAGAUAUCCGGAGAAAGUGAAAUGUCGGUCGGACAGAAUUCUUUCCCCGGGUGGAAUGAGUUGUGUUGCGCGUCGCAAGGGGGACCGUCUGCGUGUACAAGUUGUAGGGACCCCUCUCCCGGAUGACACCGAGCGCGUAAGGCUAUCCGGAUCAACUCCAUUCGGAUUCCCCAAGAGGACAUGUGGCGUGCUCCCCUAUCAGGACUCCCUUAGGGAGAAGCACACGACACUCGUGAACAUCAUACCCGGACGAUAGCAUGUCCUAUCCGGAUGUGUUGUCCGGAUCAUUGACUAAAGUGAGCAAGCCUUGCUACGUCAUUCGGACAGCUUGCCACAUACCAUGUUCCGUCGCCAUCUGAUGGUGUGUCCGAACGCCUUGUCCGGACAUCUUUUGCUCCUUGCAUUCCGGAUUUGCUUAUGACAAAGGACUUCAAAGCUUCGGUUCUUCAUGUUUCUGAGCUUUCCAUUGCUUUGCCAUGGAUUCCAAAGAACUCUCCUUAAUCACGGAUUGCUUUGGUGAUCAAAAAGUUAUCAAAACACAAAAACUUAACAUAGUUUGAUUAGAAUUGAUUGCAAGGGUUCUUAAUAUGUUAAUUGGGUUAAAAGGUGAUAACUACUACUCAAAAGUGUUUAUAAGAAUUAAUUACAAGCUAUGAAAUAACACUUUUUGAGUAGUAAUCAGGAUACAUCCUAGUUUUUCAUGGAAUUGAUAGUGGGUUGUUGUGCAUGAAUGCCACCAUUUCAACUAUGCUGUUGUUAUUUUUAAAAAAAAUAUGGAUUAUGCGCGAGUGGCAAUUCUCCACUAUGGAAAGUGGAUUGCUCCUUCAACCCAUGCAUGGCUACGUAUUCCUAUGUCUUUCUACUUGUGUUUGAUCCUCCAAAAAAAAUUUCGGUUUAGUGCUAGUAGAUUUUAAGUGGUGGAUCCCCAUUUUUUGAAAAUGAAGUGGCAGCCUCCCAUUUCAAGACAAAAUGGUAGCCUGCCUUUAAUCUUUGGAGAAAAAUCUGUGCAUGACCUUUUUUUUUCCCAAAAAAUCCGUGCAUGGUGUCCUUUAAUAUUUGGAGAAAAAUCUAUGUUGGAUCUUUUCUUUUCUAGAAACAUUUGUGUGGUCUUUUUUGUUAGCCCAAGGGUUCUUCUAAUCAAGUUUUGAUGAUAACAAACCAUGGUUAAGUGACUAAUUGGUUUAAUGAUUAAGAAUCUCAAACAUAAAAUCGAAAAUUCAUCAAAGGACCAAAUGGAUACAAGAUCGAGACGCUUGGAAGACUUGUAAUCAUAGGAAACUAAUGUAAGAUGAAUGCAUGAGUGCACUUAGGAUUUUCACACGUUUCAUGCAACUUAGAAAACCCAGUUUAUUCUUUAAAACUUCAUCCCAGUUUAUUCUUUUUAUGGUUGUGUGUGCUUUCCUUGAUACGUGGCUUAUUUAUUAAGGAUACAUCCCAGUUUUUCAUGGAAUUGACAGUGGGUUGUUGUGUGUGAAUGCCACCAUUUCAACUGUGCUGUUGUUAUUUAAAAAAAAAAAAAAUGGAUUGUGCGCGAGUGGCAAUUCUCCACUAUGGAAAGUGGAUUGCUCCUUCAACCCAUGCAUGGCUACGUAUUCCUAUGUCUUUCUGCUUGUGUGUGAUCCUCCAAAAAAAAUUUUGGUUUAGUGCUAGUAGAUUUUAAGUGGUGGAUCCCCUUUUUUUGAAAACUAAGUGGCAGCCUCCCAUUUCAAAACGAAGUGGUAGCCUGCCUUUAGUCUUUGGAGAAAAAUCUGUGCAUGACUUUUUUUUUCCCAAAAAAUCCAUGCAUGGUGUCCUUUAAUAUUUGGAGAAAAAUCUAUGUGGGAUCUUUUAUUUUCUAGAAAAAUUUGUGUGGUCUUUUUUGUUAGCCCAAGGGUUCUCCUAAUCAGGUUUUGAUGAUAACAAAUCAUGGUUAAGUGACUAAUUGGUUUAAUGAUUAAGAAUCUCAAACAUAAACUCGAAAAUUCAUCAAAUGACCAAAUGGAUACAAGAUCGAGACGCUUGGAAGACUUGUGAUCAUAGGAAACUAAUGUAAGAUGAAUGCAUGAGUGCACUUAGGAUUUUCACACGUUUCAUGCAAUUUAGAAAACCCAGUUUAUUCUUUAAAACUUCAAUUUCAUUAAAACCCGAGUUUUUAACUAAUGUACCUUAGGCAAAAUGUUUUAUAAUUGGCUUAAUAAUUCACCUAAAUACAUUUUCUAAGUGUUAGAAAAGAAAGGAAUUAAAAAAAGGUUUUCGGGGCAAAAAAGGCUCAACCGGUCGAGGCUAUGGUCAACCGGCUCAACCGGUUGAGGAACCAAUCGAUCGGUUGUGCUUGUCCGAUCGAAGACCAAUCGAGGGAUGCCAAAAAAUUUCUCUCUCUCCUAGUGGCCUUCUCUUCCCGGUCGAGGUUCGGUCUAGGCAACGGUAACAUGUCAAGCAUUAAAUGCUCCGACGACUAGUGAAUCGGUCGACCCCUAGCCCGAUCGGACGAGGUUGCCUUUUGCUGUUUUUGACUCCCGAGCUUAGAAACCUAUAAAUUGAGAGCUCCACUUCAUUUAUUGAUAAAAGAGAACACUUGCAUUCAAUAGUCUACCUACCUUUUCUUGAUCAAAAAGCUCUCAUUUCCUUCAUAGUGCAUUAAAUCAUCACUUGCAUAUCCUUUAGUGCACUAUUGUGUGUCAUCCUAGCUUUGUUUUGUAUUUGAGCUAUCCUUAAGCUAGGUUGAGGGAUUAUUUCUUAUAAAAAUCUGAGUGUUAAAGCCUUCAAGAGAUUUGAAUCUUGAAGAGAUUGUGUAAGAGCCCAUUGGAGCCGGAGUCCAAGUGUAAGAAGAUUGGAAGCUUGGUUGAAGCUUCAAGUUAGUGGAACCCUCACUCGGUUAGGAGGUUGAGGAGAGUGGACGUAGGUAAGGAAGUGUCGAACCAUUAUAAACCCGAGUUUGAAUUCUCUAACUCUAUCUCUUUAUUUUGCUUAUAUUGUGUUUGAAUUUGUUGUGAUUGAAAAGAUUUUAAAAACCUAAUUCACCCUCCCCCCUUUUGGGUUUUUUUUUCUUAAUUAAGCAUAACCUUUGUUUUCUAAUUUUCUUUUUAGGAAAAUCCAUGCGUGGUAUGUCCAAACUCUCCAAGUGGCAGUCUGCCUUCUUCUAAAAAAUUUGUUUCUAUUUCUUUAUUCGACUACCUUCCAUGUCUUCCUAAUGAGUGCUUGUGCUCAAUGGUCAAUCCCUGGUGGUUGCCUCCUUUUCCCAUAUAUACGUGUUGCAAAAUCAACAUCCCACUAUAUGUGGGUUGCCUCUAUGGCAAGUUCACAUUUCCCACAUGAAACCUAUGAGUUUCCACCAAAAAUUGCCAUGAAAAAGUCUUUAUAUGCAUCUCAUGCAAUAAAAAGUCAAGCCAAUACUCAUCUUAUCUCGAAAAAUAAGUAACCAAAAUCAAGAUCAUGCCUAAGUGAACUAUGCCAAAAGAAGUGUCCAAGUGACCUAUUAUGAAAAAAGUGCCUAAGUGACCUAAGGUGAAUGUGUGUAAGCUGGAAGGUGUCUAGGAUGUUUAGGACAAUGCCUAAGCCUAAAAUAGGGUUGCCAAGGGUCACAAUGGGGUUAGAUAAAUCUCUCAAUCAGAGUCUCCAAGGUGGCUCAUAAAAGAUAAGCUACACGAGUAAUGAUGGGCCACCAGGGAAUUAUUGUAAAGCACCAAACGAACACAUAAUAGGACAUGUGUUAGAAUGAAAAAAUGGAGGGUUUACAAGUGGUCUCAUGGAUGAGCUUGAUAAUUUAAAUGACUCACAUAAUGAACGUAUGUGAUGUUUCUCUCCAAUAACAAGCAAAACAUCACUAGCAAUAUGAUGAAUGUCUCCUAAAUCACUUGAAGUAGUCCUAGCAAAUCAAUUAGAAAAAUCACACAUAUUGCUCUAAUGUAAUAUUAUAUACAUCUGUCAAUGAAUGGGAGAACUAAUGACACAACCAUCAUGUUGAUAUCUCGAACCCUCUAAUCUCAUAUGUAGGUGGGAUCACACUUAGAAACUCAUAACACAGUAAUGACCAAUCUAAGUCAAAAUGUGUUGGUGAUCGGAGGCCCAUGAAUAUGAAGUUCUAGGAUGAUAAUGACAUCUUAUAAAGUAAUGAUCAUCUCCUUAAUAGAUAGGUGAAAUGUGUGUGUCUUAGGACACCAUCUCUCAACAAGACUUGUGAUCAAUCCCCAGUCUAGUGUAACAUGCCUAUUAUGACAUCCAUCGUAAAAUCUAGACUAGAUAAUAUAAGGACAAAUGUGAGGGUUCAUCUCCCUUUCCCACAUAAAUUUAAAAAAUUAUUAUUGACAAGUUAAGACCAAACUAAGUUGCAAAAUAUAAAUAAGUCCAUUAGAUAACAAAUUUAUGUUUUCUCAUUUUCUCAUUUUUAAAGAGAUAUUAUGUGCUUCCAUGUACAUACAUGCUAAAGUCAAUUAUACGAGACUUAUAUCCAUCUUGUAGAACCAAAUCGAACCUAUCUAAUAGAUCCAGAUUAGAAGUAUGUCCUCUAUACUCCAUAUUUAUAACACAUUUAUAAAGAUAAAUGCUAAAAAAAUGUUAAAGAUAUAAAUUUAAUGAACCAUACUUUAUGAUUUUAAUUCUCAAUUAUUGUUCAUAUUUAUAAGAGAAAAGUUAAAAAAAUUGAUAGAGUUUUCCCUCUAUCAUGGACAUUAUCCCAAAUAAAAAUAAAUUGAUUAUGCAAAUUACAUUAAUAUUUGUAACCAAAUGAUCAAUAACUAUCUUGUAUCAAUUUAGUAAAUAAAUUUAAGUAUAUCUUUUCAUUUAUGACUAACAAAUAACUCAUACUUGUCCAAUAAAAGCCACACCUAAUUUCUAAAAUUUUGUCUUCACCUCAAGUGAGUGUUACAUUGAGAAAGAAAAAAUAUGAAAGAAAAAAUGAACACCUUUUUCUUUUAAUAAAAAAAGGCCAUAACGAAACAUUAAAUCUCACUGUUACACCUAUCUUCAAUGGAAACAUGAGGAUGUGAAUGGUGGCGGUGAUAUUCUUUGCUUGAAGCUCAUAAACAAAUAUUCCUUACUAAGCCUAUGCCAUUUAGUAUUUCAAUAGUGGACCCCCCCCCCCCCCCCCCCCCCCUCCUUGCAUUUCAGAUUUAGCAAACUUAGAACCAAAUAACAAAGUGCAUUUGAACCCAUAAAGAAGUAAUGAGACUCUCCUAUAUUGGCAAUAGAAGAAAUUUUUGGAGGUAUAGGAGAUUCACGGAUGAAGAAGUUGGGCCCCAAUUGAGAUAAGACCCAAGAAAAGAUGGGGUAGAGAGGGAUGGUUGGAAAUUGUAAAGUAAGAUUUUCAAAAUGUAGUUGAUGACUAAGAUUUUGACAAUUUAAAAAAGGUUUAAAAAUGUAGUUAGCAAUCGGGGUUUUGUAACAUUUAAAAAAUAAAAUAAAAUCUCAGGCCACAUGGUAGCCCAUGUGAUUCAGAAGCUUGAGAAUUAUUUUAUAAGAAGACUUAAUUUGUGAUUUUUUUAUAACUAUAUUAUUUUUUUUCUUAACACACGAAAAAAAUUAUGAAAUAAGACAAUUUUCCUAAGAAAGCAUGUAAGUGACUCUUGGUUAUUUUAUUUAACUUCUUCUAGUUUGGAGAGGAUUAAUACCUUUGCUUUUACUCACUUGCUUGGAUAUGUACACGUUGUUCAUGUCACUUUUCAUUUAAUUUUCUGAUUAAGGGAAUUGGAACCGUACGUAACUGUCUUUAUUCCCUCUGAAACUUGGACUUGGAGUUGGACUUUCAAUCUCAUCAGUCGUGUUUCCAUAAAAAAGAAGAUGGAUUAACCAAUUUUCCUAUGCCUACUAAUCAUACACAAAACUCCACUUCCAAAUAAAAAGGAAUGGGAUAUCACUUGUUAAUAGUGGCUAAAGACUAUUAAUAACCAUGCAAAGAAAUGUCACAUUUUUUGUUCUACGCAAAUUUUAUUCAUCAACUACUAGAACCAUUUCAUACAAUAGUAGCUUUUCGAUCCUUUGAUAAAUGGACACUUGAUGUGAUAACACCAACUACACCUAUAUAUUCAAGCAAUCAUGCGUAUAUAAUAGUGGAUAUGGAUUACUUCUCUAAAUGGGCAAAAGUUUUGUCAUUCAAGGAAAGUGAACGAGGAAACACAAGUUUACUUUCAUCGGAACUAAUAUUAUAUAUUGAUAUGACUUCCCAUUAUUACUUACGAUGGAAUAUGCUUCCAUAAAAUGGCCUAGAUGAACAAACUAUCCAAGAAGUUUGGGAUCAAAUAAUAUAUAUAUAGUUCAUGUGUGAUUCUUUGGUUGACAACCUUGUUAAGGGGUGAGUGAAGCACUUUGGGCAUACCACAUACUACAUGCUAGACUUCCACCCAAGCUACCCUAUAUUCCUUAUGAACAAAGUAGAAGUUGUCAUCUCUCUUGAAUACCAAAUCCUUUCACCUAAUAAUGCUAUCUAAAAAGGUCUUAAAAAGGAUAAAAAUGCGCAUAUUUGAAUUUUUGAAUUAGGAGUGCUACUUAAAAAGAAGCUAGAUAUACAAUAAUAGAAUGUUAUCAAGCAUAUCUCUUCAAAGUUUUUGACCAAAAAAUAUAUGAUUUCUCAUUUUAGGUAGGAGACUUAGUACUCACUAUUCAAAAACCAAUUAUCAUUACUCAUAAAAACUAAUAGAAAGUUUGGGCCAAAGUAGGAUGGACCUUAUAUUAUGCAACAAUUAUGCCUAUAAAAUUGUUGCAAAAGAGGUUUUAGAAUCAAAUCAAUGAAUGAAAAAUUAUUAAAGCAUUACUAUGCUUGAAGGCUAGUCAUUUUCCCUUAAAGUGCAAUAUUAAGUUGCAUAGUACUAUGUGGAUCCGCAUUUUUCACAUGCGUUCCCACUCAUUGUCGAGACUCACUUUUUAGAAGUGAAAAAUUAGUUUUAUUAAAGUCGAAGUUGCCACUGGGGAUUUGAACCCUAACAAAAGGUUCAAUUUAAGGAUAAAAAUAUCGAUAAUCACAUAUAUAUAUAUUGGUACUUUGAUUUUAUGAAUAUAUUGAAGAAAUAUGGACAAAUAUUUUGACACAAAAUAUGUACAAAAUAAAAAUUAUAUAAAAAGUAAAAAUAAAUAUUUUAAAAUUAUUUUUUUAAAUAUAUAUAUAUAUAAUUUGACAUAUUUGAUAAUAAUAUAUAAGGGUCUCCAAAAAGCCCGUGGCCCGCUUUAGGCCCGGUCCGACCCGACAGGCUAAAGCCCGGCCCAAGCCCGCCGGGCCCAAGCUCGGCCCGAGCCCGUUUAUGGGUGGGCCGGGCCGCGAGCCCGUAGGCCUGCUCCUUUAAAAAAAAACUACAAAAAUAAAAAGUAUUAAAAAAAAUAUUCAUUUCAAAAUUUUAUUCAUUGAAUGUAUAAUUACAUUUGAAAAUGUGGGAAAAGUUUACAUCACUACAAAAUAAAUACAUCCCAACUAGGUUGGCACCUAUUUAUUUGUCAAUCAUCUGUAUUUUUCAACCACAAAAAAUAAAAAUAAAAAUAUAAUAUACAUUUAGUCAUUAUUUUCUGGCGGUGAUGGCGAACUAUCAUGCAUCCAUGAAGAUCUUGAUAAUUUUAAAGAUUCCAUAUCGGUAAGCAUCUUUGUUUCUCGAAUGGAAUCAUACAUCCUUUUAUCUGCUAUUUCCCAAUCUUUCACACAUAUCCCUGCUUUAAUAACAUCUGACGCUAAGUUGCAUCGUUUUUUACUAACUACUCUUCCACCUGCACUAAAAGCAGCUUCUGAUGCAACUGUACUCACAGGAACUGUUAGUACAUCACGAGCAAUUAUAGAAAGCACAGGAUAUUUGUGUUGAUGUGAUUUCCACCAUAUUAAAAUAUUAAAAUCUUCUUGAUCUUCAAAUGAAAUUAUAUCAGUAUUAAGAUAUUUAUCUAAAUCAGAUGUAUUAUUUGGAGAAUUAUUUGUUGUCUUUUUUCGACUUUUCAACAUUUCUAGAGCUCCUUUAUAAAAAGAUGAGGAGUUUGUAGAUGUAGGUGGUAAUUUAAUAGUAUUAAUAUCAUUACCAUAUUUUUCUUUAUAAUAGUUAUAUAAAUUAUAUAAUAAUGAAUUUAUUUCAUUUUUAAUUUCUUCAAUUUUUAUUUGGUCAUUAAAAUAAAUAAUUGUUAACCAUUCAUCCAAAGCUUCAAAUUUCAAUCUAGGGUCCACAAUUAAAGCAAUAUAAAAAAUUAAAGGUAUUUCUCCCCAAUAUUUUCUAAAUUUUUAUAUCAUUACAAAUAUUGUAUCAUUAAAUAUUUCAAAACUUAAAUAUUUUUGAAGUACAAUAAAAAUAUUAGUUAUUUGCGUAAUAACUCGAUUUGAAGUUGGAUAAUAUACACCACAAAAAAUGUUUGUUGAAGUAUCAAAAAUUUCAAAAAGAUCUCUUAAAACAUCCGCAAUAUGCCAAUCAUAAUCAUUUAAUGCAUAAAUAUCUGCUUCAUAAUCAUUGUUAAUUAAUUGUAUUUCAUAUAAUUCGACUACUUUUCUAUAUUUUGUAAUAUUUUCUAAAAGUUUAUAUGUGGAAUUCCAUCUAAUAGCCAUAUCCAAAUUUAUAUUUUUUCUUUUCAUAUUUAACAUUUUGCAACAAUCAAAAAAUAAUUCAUGUUUUGCUUGAAAACUAUUAAUACUAUAUGCAAUGCCUCUAAUUUUUUUCCAAUGUACUAUCAACAUUUUUUAAUCCAUCCUUUACAAUUAAAUUUAAAAUAUGUGCACAACAACGCACAUGAAAUAUUUUAGCAUGAUCUUCUUUUACUUGCCAAUAUCGUUUUAGUCUAUGUAUUGCUGCAUCAUUAUUAGCAGCAUUAUCUAAUGUUAUUGUCAAUAUUUUAUCACGAAUGCCUAAAUCUAUAAUUUCAUCAUUUAUUAAAGAUGCUAUAUUUUUACCACUAUGUGGAGUAUUUAUUAAUUUAAAUAAAAUUAUUCUUUUAUUUAAUUUCCAUUCAUUAUCAAUGUAGUGAACAAUUAUAUAUAAAAAACCAGUAUGAGUUAAAGAUGUCCAAAUGUCAGAUGUUAAACGAAUAUUUCCUUCAAAAUUUGCAAAAUUUUUUUUUAAAAUUUCUUUUUGUGUAUAAAUUUUUUUCAUAAUAUCUCUUUUAACUGUAUUUCCAGAUCAACCUUUAAAUUGAGGAUUAAUACCUCGUUGAAUUGUUCUUGCAAAAUCAUGAGUUUCCAUCAUGUUGAAAGGUUGUUCUGCUCUUAUUAUAUAAUCAAUCAUUUCUUCACAACAGUUAGAUUCAUCAUAAGAAAAUGUUUUUAAAUUUCCACUUUCAUUUUUACUUAAUUGCAUAUAAUUUCUAAUAUCUACAUUAUUUUUAGUUUUACAAUUUUCAUGAUGUCUUUUUAAAUGACUUGUAUCUGCAUUUGAGCCACCAGUAAGAAAUUUAUUACAAAUUUUACAUUUUGCUUUUAUUUUUUUUUUAUUAUUUUCUAAAAUUAUUUCUAUUCUAUCAAAAAAAUUCCAUAUAUUUAAAGUAAAUUUUUUGUUUGAUGAUAUUUCAUCACAUGGACUAGACGAAGAAGCACUUGUCAUAUUAUAAUUAUUGAUAAAAUAUUAUGCCAAAAAUAAUAAAGUAAUAAAUAUAAAAAAAAAUGUAACAAAAAAAAUAAAGUAGUAGGGGUGAAGUAUGUUACUCAAUUAGAGAACCUAUGCAGAAAUUCCUAGCAAAUUUGAACUCUUGGAGCCACCAAUGCUUGUUUUGCACCAUCAACAAUAUUGUAUAAUUUGAGGGAAAAAUAAAAGAAUUUAAAAUAUUGUAGAAUGUGAGAGAAAUAGAGAGAAUUUGAUGAAAAAAUGAAAAGGAAGAAAAUGUAUUUAUAGGAAGGUUAAAAAUAAUAAUAAUAAUAAUAAUAAUAAUAAUAAUAAUAAUAAUAAUAAUAAUAAUAAUAAUAAUUGGCCAUGUGACCGUUGGAGGCUUAGCUCCAACGGUCACAUGGGCUGGAGCUAGGCUCCAACAGUCACAUGACCGUUGGAGCCUUUAAUUUUUUUUUUUAAAAUAAUAUACUUUAUUUUUAUAUAUAUAUAACUAACUCAAUUAAUAAACAUAAAAAGAAUAUAGUUCAGUUGGUUAGAACCUUGAAGUUUAAACAUGAGGGGAGGGGUUUGAAUCCCUCCCUCUCCCUUAGGGGCUUUUUUAAAAGCCAUUUUGGCUUAUUUCAAAAAGCCUGUCGGCCCGACCCGCCCUGCAGCCCGCGGGCCUAGCAUUUUAGCAUGGCCUGGUCUGUUGACUAGUCAAAUGGCUCAUAGGCUCGGCCCGAACUGGGCCGCGGGCCUCUUAUUUACGGACCGGCCCGACCCGGCCCGCCCGUUGGAGACCCUUGAUAAUAUCUUCUAUAUUAAGUUACAUUAUAGUUUAUUUUACAAUAUUAUUAUGAUAAUAUGUCUAAUUUUAAAAUAUAUUUAAUAUUAAAAUUAUGAUCUAUUUUAAUUUAAAUGUAUUCAAUGAUAUCAAAUAAAUAAUAAUAUAUGUAUAAUUCUUUUAUUAUUUAUAUUUAUUAUUUUUAAUAAAUAUAUAGAUUAUAUAAAAAAGACCGGAUAUAUCUUUUCAAAUUUUGUAUCGCUCUCCAAGGAUAUUAGAUGUAUGGGAAUUUGUAUUGCUAUCUACGGAUACGUUGAUAUAUGGGUGAUUUAUCAGGAUAAUUAGAAAUUCUAAUUAUGUAAGCAGGUACGGAGUUCUGUGUCGGUGCGAUCUUGUCGACAACAGCUCCAAAUUGUGCAUCUUGCUCAUAGAGAGUAGCGGAAUGCACCAAUCGUAGGCUCAGAGUACCACUGAGUCGUCUGGCAGAGACCCAACUGAAGGUGCCUGUGUUGUUCCUGAUCUGAUCAGGCUUCAAACUACAAGGUGGAAUACUGGUUCCCCUAUAUCAGAAGCUGGAGAUACCCACCCCAUAUGCUCGUCUGGAUGUGCUCCUACCCUUUGAAGCCUUCUUCCGAGUCAAGUCCGAAUUGAUAAGGCUAGUGAGUUCCCAACCAACUGUACUCAGCAUGCUGCCAGGUGGAGACCCUCCAUAUUUGAUGGCUUCCUAAUAUUAAAAUGCUGACCACUGGUCUUCAUGUUCCACAGGCUUAAUUGUGUCCUUUGCUGAAAGAAUGGAUAGUGAUCCAUUUUAACACAUGAUUCACGCCGUCUUUGCCAUUCUUCAUGGUCUAGCCCUUUUAUAUAUAUGCUUCCUGAACUGUUGCUAUUAAUAAAAUGUGGUAUCUAUCCCGUACACCUUCCUGAUGGCCAGCGAAUGCAGAAGCUACAGAAACGGUUCCAUCUUUUGCUUCCGCCACUUUGGCAUCCUCCAUGAUGAGAUCGAAGGUGAAUAAUCAUAUUCUGGGGAUUUAUGUCCUGGAUAUUCUCAGUAAUGCCCAAUUUCCUGGUGCCGGCCUCAUUUCCAUGGGAACUGAUGGAUAACUUAAGGCUUCUACCAUCUGCGUGGUUCGCUUCUAACACAGGAAACUUCACGGCUAAAAGCAAGAUACCAAGAACAUCAAGGCUGUGACAAAAAUUAGUAUUUUUAACUUGUAGGAAUUUGAAAGGCAACCAACCAUCUAGCUCUGUUCUUAAAGCUCCCAUAGGAGGAUCAGAGGCUGGAUUGCUCAAGAUGAACUCAUCCAUUGUUGCACUUAAAAAGAAUUGGCAUGAAUUGUGGCCGCUCUAAUAGGUUCCCUAAACCAUCAUCCAAGUGGGCUUGCGGAAGGUAGCGAGUUUAAAACACCUAGGGCGAUGAACAGUGGACUGUGAUGCUCACAAAAGAGAAAAGGAAGAAUUCAAUAAUUCCUAAGAAUCCAUUUGCCUGUCAUCCAAAUUUUUAUAUUCUCUUCAGUCUGACGCGUUAUGCCAUAUAUUAAAAAUAGCGGCUUCUUCCAAGCCGAGACAGACUGUGCAAAGUUCGCAAGGCCAAUCAUCACCAUAAUCUGAAGUUGGCCUCCUCAAUCGCAGCUUGUAUCCGAAUGCUCACUUCACGGGAUGGAUUGUAAUGAAAACUAAUCUCAGUCCCAGCUAUGGCAGCAUCCUCACUUGACAGCAUUUUCUGCAUAUUCUAGAACAAAGCAAUAAACCCUCAAAGGCUCCUUCGGAUCAGAGUUAGAAGACUGUCCCUCAGGAACGUGAACACUAUGGUGGUUCUGAUAAGCAGUGAUAUUGCAUUAGAGCCUUUUGGAACAAGAGGAUCUUUUCAGGUGGAAACUGUAAACUGCUUCAUGUUGGGCUGCAACCUUUUCUUCAAGCAAUACUUUCUUUCUGUAUCACGACUUAUGUUGCUUCCGGAGCCAUCCCGUGUGGACUGCCCUUCAGUGAAAGAAUAUGUGUGUUGACAUGUUGGAUUGUAAUCUUUGUUCCACUCUAAUGGCUUUUGGUCCUCCUCUUUCUCUUUAUGACAGAGAACCAUUUAGUGAUCCAUCUCUAUAUUGUAGCAUUGCUGGUGCUUUGCAAUACUACACUCUCACCAAGCAUAACAUCUAUUUUUCCGUGACCAAAGUAUGUCGGUUUAUGCAUGCGCAAACUCUUAUUCAUUGGCAAGUUGUCAAGCGUAUCUCAUGAUUUCCCAAAGCCACAAGUUCUUAUGGUCUUUCUGUUCAAGCUUACAAUGAUCUAUCUUUUCUUGGUUAUACUGAUGUCGAUUGGGCUAGUUGCCCUGAUAACAAGCACAAUACUAGUGGGUACAACACUUUUCCUGGUCCUAAUCUCAUUUCAUGGGCAUUUUCAAAGCAGAAGGUUGUGUCUCACUCCAAUAACGAAUCUGAAUAUAGGGGACUCACUAAUUAAUGUUGUUGCCAAGGUCACUUGGAUUGAAUCUGUCUUACGUGAGUUGCGUGUUUCUCUACCCCAACCACCAAUUUUGUUGUGUGACAACAUUAGUGCUACACACUUGGACAAACCAUGUUGAAAUACACUAUCAUUUUAUCCAUGAAAGGCUUAUGCAUCACACACUCAAAAUUCAAUACACCUCUUCUAUAGACCAACUAGUCAAUGCUAUGACCAAAGCUCUUCCUUCAUCUCACUUGUACAAUCUUCAGUGCAAGCUGAUUGUUCUUCCCAAACCACUCAACUUGAGGGGAGAUGUUAAGCCAAUUUAAUAAAUUGAUUUCUUUUGGUUAAUUUGUUAGAAUCAUUUUUAUUAGAGGUUUGUUUGUACAAUUACAUCCAUUUAUCAGGAGAGUACACGUGUACAACUCCUCUUUUAAUCUCACCAUUGUAUAUAUAUGAUACACGACCUUACUCAGAAUUGCAUAACAUUUCCUCUGCUCAUUCCUUUUCUUCUUUGAAUUUUCCCUUACCUCACUGAUUUUGAUUUAUACCUGGUGUUUUCACCUUUGGUCUCUACCUUUCUAGCCAGUUUUCUAAUUAAUCCGUAUAUGGUAUACCUGUCAACUAAUGAGGAGAAAGAGAAAAGGGGAUUGCUGUUCCACCAGCUACAUAUAAUAAUUAAUUACAAUCAUGGUAAUGGAUCCUGAAAUCCAUCCUUUGUGGAUUUUGUACGGAAUAUUGUUGUUAUGUAUGUGGGCUCACUUAGAUGUAUAUUGCUAGCCUGUCUGGGAAAUGUGAUUGCAGGUCCAGAUUAUGAUGUUGAUAUUAGUGGGAUAAGCAAGAGAUGCAGUUAACACGUAUGUGAUGGACUUGAGUAACUUUUCCAUUUCAGUCCAUUUUUUAAGAUUAUGCUUAGUCUUAUUACAAGGAAAGACCAUAAGAAUCAUGAGUCAUUGGCAAGGUAAUAUCAUUCCCUCUUUACAGGCUUCUUCACCUUUUGGUUUUUUUAAUAUCCAUCAAGAUCUUUUAAUUGGAGGACAAUUACAAGUAUAUAUAUAUGUAUUAAAAGGGGAAAAUAUUAAAACAGGAAAUUUUAGGGAAAAUAUAAUAAUUAUUUCUUCCUUCUUUCCCAUAUAGAACUACACAAAAUAAAACUUUAAUAAUUUUUUCUUAUCUUUUUUAUUAUUAUUUUUUCUUAGAAACAUCCGUGGUCUCACAAGCUUGUAAUCCUAGAUUGUUAGGCUCCUUUAACAGUGCCCCAACAUCGUGGUCCAAUGACAAGCUUCCACGCCUUAAAAUCAGAAAAUGCCAUUAAACUUUAUCAGACAUUACAGUUCAAGACAAAGCUUUCAUUUGCUUAAUGUGAUAAUGAAAUUGUUAAUUUCAUUUCGUGGGCAUCUAAAUUUGGACGAGCAAGACCUCUGAAUUCCCUGUUUUUAUCACCAGCAGAGGAGAUAAAAUCUUAAUGGUGAGAAUCUCCACGUGAAAUUUAUGUGUACUGUCAACAUAUUUUUGUUUAUAUAGUCCAGUAGCUGCAGGAAGUCUAGAUUAUAUAGGUAGCAGUAGCACUAUUUAUAGCACUCGAUAUUCGCUGUAUGAAUACAUUAAACCUUGUUUUCAAUACGCAUCACAAGCAAGUACUAGAUACUACAAGGAGUGACAGUCGCAUCAACAUUUCUUGAUAAUAGCAGUGACUGAUUUAUACACAGAACAGUACUGUACACGUACCAGUCACCAGAGAUAGGAUCUUAUUCCUACAUACGACUCUUAUUGAUCGAAGUCACUCAGUUGGGGUAGCCUGGAGUUGGAGGUUUGUGUGGUGGCUUCUUCUUUGGAGGAGGCUUUAUCUUUGGAGGCAUCAUCUUUGGAGGCAUCUUGUGUGAGUCUUCUUCAGCAUUCUCUACAGGAGGAUGGCCAGGCUUAUGACCCUUAGGUGGUUUGCCAACUGGGAUUGGUGGCUUGUGUCCUGAGAGUGGCUCCUCUUCUUCGGGAGGUUUGCCAACUGACGUUGGUGGCCCGUGUCCUGGGGGUGGCUUGUGUUUUGGGGGUGGUUUCACUCCACCGGGAGGUUUACCAAUUGGUGUUGGUGGUUUGUGCUCAAUCGGUGGCCUCUCAACUGGGGGGCGCUUGGGGUAAUCAGCGAGUGAAGAAGUGGUGAGAACCACCACUCCAAGCAACAACACUAGCAAGUAUGUGGAAGACAUCUUUGAGUUUGGCUCAGAUGGUGUAGAACUAGAAUCCUGGGUGGCCUUUUAUAUUAGUUGGGCCCUAUGCCCGAACGACAAGUGUCAUGGUGACACAUAAAGUGAUGGGGUCGAUUUGGGCCUACCGGAUUUGAAAACUUGGACAAUUCGAGAAGCGUCUCCUGACUCCGGGUUGUAAAGUGAAAGAUUAGGUAUCGACCAUUGAAGUAUGAUCACAACUUUUGGCCUUUGGCUCUCUCUACUGCCGUAUAGCUUUUUUCCUUUGGAUAUUUUUCUUAGCUAGACACAAUUAUUGAGCAGUCUAAUCUCGAAAUGGGAUUAGUAUAGCUUUAAGCAAAUUUAUUAUAGUUAGUGGAGGACUUUUAAGAGUGCAGACGACAUUUAACACAUGCAUGCAGUAGUAUAGGGGACAUAACACUAUUCUUUUUCCAAAGAUUCACAUGAUUUUUAUAUUAUAGUAUUGGCACAUUGUAUGUAGCUGGUUUUGUGGUUAAAAUUCCAUAUGUAGACACUGGCGUUUCUCCAUUUCUCACAAUUGAUGUUUACCUCCACGAUUACUAGAUUAGAUAUACCAAACAAUAACACAUUGUAUAAUCUAUCCGCCCUUCAAAAUCUACUGUAUGAUGAAAUGUUUCAUGUGUGUGUGAAGUGUUAGAAAUGCACUAUAGGCAACAUCAUCUUCUUUUGUCUAGGCUUGGGCCUCAAAUUAUACUCCCAUGCCAUGAUAAAUUUUCAUGUGCAUUCUCUAAAGAAGAGUGUCUUGAAUGUGCCAAAUCAUUUUGAUUGAUUUUAUGAUGUUAAUUGCUCCGCAUAUGGAUGGGUAUGUGCUUUAUUUGCUUAUUCAAUCCACAAUUACCUUGAACUGAAGUCCUAUUGGAGCUCUAUUAUUUUAGCAACGUCCUGUCAAAUAGGCUGCUAACUUGGGGUGGUAUGGACCCAAUGAUCCAUCUUAAUCUUGGGUUGAUUUUGUCUGACUCUAUCUAUCUCAGAGAGAACCAGGAUCACCAGUGCUGGUCUGCUUAAAGAAGACUCAGUACUGGAUUAAUAUUGGUUUGGGUCAAUAGCUUAUAAUGCAUUGAAUGCAGAAUAAACAAGAUCAAUGAAACCCAAAACACACUGCCCACACAACUUCACUCUGGUGUCUGUUAUUCAUCAAUUCUAUUCCCACAUGAACUGGUUCAAGUUUAAGAAAAUGACAACGGAUCCACUGUAUUAACUUGGUUUUGCUUGGUUUUGAGCUAGUUGCCAAACCAGCCAUGAGUUUUACCUCUAAUGUCAAUGAACAAACCCCAAAUGAACAACUGCAACAGCUUAAAGAGAAGGAAUGGAGAUGAAAAUCCCUGUUUCUUCUCAUUCUGGGGACAAAUUAGAACAUAACUACAAAGGUUCUAUUAAUUGACUUACUCUACCAUGAAUUAUGGUUCUUUGGUUUUCCAAAUUUAAAUUGUACAUGAGAUUAUUUUUUUCCUUUAUAUAUAAACAUAUUAAGGUUUUCUUAUUUCGUGGGCAAAUGCGCUAAGGAUGAAAGUCAUUUCAUUUGGCUGCAACAGCAUCUUAUAAUCAACAUGCAUAAGCAGCAGUUUUAAUUGAUCGAUUGAACACCGACUCACAAGAAUAGAUAGAAUGGUACAAGACAGCUCUUAUUAAUUUAUACUCGUUACUCAUUUUAUGUAGCCCCAUUAAGAUGGCUGGCUGGACCACCGAGGUCUGGGGGUGGUGUUGCUUGUGUGAUGCAGCGGGCCGGGCAGACACUUCUCUAGUUGCUUCUAUUUGGAGUUAGAGGAUCAGUCUCUGCCAACCUUGAGGACUCUCUACCUCAGAGGGUCCAGGUGGUGGACUCUGGUGUCGGUAGCUUUGAACUCUCAGUAGACUAGUGUGUCUUAAUCAGUCACUGCCAGAGGCUGGCGUAGGCAGUGACGAUAAGGUGAGACAAAUUACCGAAUAGUCAAUAUCGACUGCACUUGACCAUUAUAGAUUUGUUCUGACAAAAGUGAGAAAAGGGAGAAAAUCGGAUGUUGACCUUUAUAGAAAAAGAUAAGAUUUACUGCAACACAGAGCACUGAUUUGUUACUUGGAAACCAAGUUAUGCUAUUAGCUAGCCUCCAUUAGCAGCAGGGUACCUUGCUGCCUGAUCCUAAUCUGAGUUCCCAAGGUUUCAAUCUUCGUUUGUUAACGCUUCAGGAUUUGGAUAUUUCAGCUUCGUUUCUCCAUUUAGCCAACGCUGCCUGGUUUGGAUUUCAAUCCUCAUCUGGAACAUUCUUUUUUCGGUCUGAUUCAGGAAGUGUUUGGUGAUAGUUGAUUAAAAUUAAACAGUACUAUCAUACAAAUAAAGCUGAUCUAAUUUUGGUGGGCAAUAUACCAACUCAUUUAUUCUUGAAAACACCAUGGGGAAUUGGAGGUCCAUCCGAAGUACUAUUUGAUGGGACUCACAAAAAGAACAGGUGCACAUUUAUGAGAUCCGUGGAAGAGAUAACUAUGACAGCUAUGCAUGUACAACAGAUUUAUGUCGAGUUCACCUCGUAGAUAUUUUGUUUUCAGUGUCGGUGGACCCCAAAAUGGAAAUCGGAAAUUAAGGUUAUAUUUAUUUUUUUAUUUAAUUUUAAAUAGAAUUUUAAUUUUUAAUAAUAUUAAGUAUUAAAUUAUUUUUUUAAGGGUAUUUUAUUUUUAUUAAGUAUUAAAAAGUAAAAAAAAUUAAUAUGUUGCUUUUUUAUUUUAAAAAAAUUAUAUAUUUUAAUUUUUUCUAUUUACUAAAAAGUUUAUAAUAAAUUAUAAAAAAAUAAAAAAAUAAAAAACUUAAAUUCUGAAAAUAAAUUAUUUUUAAUAAAAAAAUCCAAAAAAGCAAACACCACCUAAAUUUGAGAUGACUCAAAAUUUUAUAUUUUUUUUCACCUAAAUUAUAUUCAUAAAUUUAAAAUUAAAAAAUUAGGAAGUUGAAUUUUAUUUUGGAUAAUUGGAAACUACAAGAAAUCAAUAAAAAUAUUUGGAAAAAAAAGAAAAAGAAAAACUAUCUAUAUAUUCACCCCCUUCUAAGAAACAUAACUUUAGUUUUUAACUAUUUUUUAAAAUAAUUUUUGAAAAAUGUUAUAUAAUAUUUUAUAAAACAAAAAAUCUGUUUGACAAUUUGAUAUGUCUUUAACUUAUUUUUAAUAUUUAUAUAUAUAUAUUUUAAAAAUAAUUUUAUAUUUAGAACUUUAUCUUUAAUUAUUAUAUAUAUUUAUAUAAUUAUUUUUUUUAAAACAACUCUUAAAAAAUAAGUGAAAGUAAUUGAAAACAACUCAAAGAUAUUUGAUGAAAACACUCUAAUUUGUAUUUUUGAGAAUAAAAAAAUAAAUAAAUAAAUUUCUAGUUAUCAAAUGUAUUUUUUAAUUCUUUUAUUCUAAAAAAUAGAAAAUCGUUUUUGAAAAUAAUUAUUAAACAACAUUCUUAAAAAUUCACUCGUUACAAUCUAGAUUUAAUGCAAGAAUGAUUGAAGGAGUCCUCCAAUAGAACCCAAAGUUAUAAACAUGAACAAGAAGCCCUAGAAACACCAAAGAUCUCAUAUGGUAUAUAUAUGAGCUUGAUUGAGAACUGUUUUAAAUUCAGUUUUUUUUUUUUUUUUUUUUUUUUGUUUUCAAAGUCAAAACAAGUUUACUUUUAAUUUUUACUUCUUUUUUUUAAUUUUAUAAAUAACAGUUUUUUAAUAAUUUAUUUUGAAAACAUGAUUAUUUUUAAAACUUAUAAUGAAAAUAGGAAUUUUUUUUUUAAUAUCAUGGUUAUUUUCCCUUCUUUUAAGGAGGGCUAUUUUAAAAAUAAAUUUACAAAUAUGAAAAAUGAUUCAAACUAAAGCAGUACAAAUAAAAAACAUUUUUAAGAAAUAUUUAAAAAUAGAGAAAAUUAUUUGAGAACAUUUGAAGUCCUUAAAUAGACUUUUGUUUUAGAAAAGGCAAGAUAAUUAUUUUUGAAAAUUGUUUUCAUAAUGAUAUGCAAAAACCUACGUAAAAACCAUAAUUAUAAUCGGCCACAUAUCAAAUCUACUAAAUAUGAAAAGUAAGUACAUAAUUAUAUUUGACUUAGAUGCAAGGAGGAAAAUGUCGCGAUAUUAUCGCCGAAAUAUCGUGUGUCGAAGGGUAUCGACACGAUUUUUCUUGCAGAAAUAUCGGCCAGUCGAUUUUUCGGGAUAAAUCUCGAGAAAUCGGCAAUUUAUCGCGAUAUAUCGGCGAUUUUUCCUCGAUAUAUCUUCUGGUCAACGCGGGUCAACGGAGUCAACACGCUACAGUGAAAGUCAAAUGUGCUACAAUGUCCCCGCUACAAUCACCUCCCCAAACAAAUUGCCAAAUUGCUUCCGAGGGGAUUUGAACCAGCCUUCUUGCCAUUUGGGCUAACUCGCCCUUAUGAUAUAUAUUGCAUUAAACAUAUAUAUACUUAAAGUCCUUAUAUAAAGAAAAUGUUAAAAAAAUAUUUUAAAGAGCAAAUUAAUUAUAAUUAUUUUAUAAUUAAAAGCAAAAUUUUCUUUUAAUUAAUUACCAAAAAUAUAAAAAUUAUAUAAUUUUCUUCAUAAUGUUUUUAAUAUCAUUAAUAAUUAAUUAAAUAUUAAAAAAUUAUAUAUAUAUAUAUAUAUAUAUAUAUAUAUAUUAUAAUUUAUUUUAUAUUGUUUAAUACAAUUGAAUUAAAUGGAUCAUAUUUUAAUAUUAAUAUAUAUUUUAAAAUUAGACAUAUUGUAAUCAAAUAUCAUAAUAUUAUAUGUAAUUUAAUAAUAAAUGUACACUUAUAAAAUUCAUAUUUUUAUCGAUGCAUACAAUAUUAUUAUCAAAUAUGAUAAAUCAUGUUAUACAUAUAUCAAAAUUUUCAAUAAAAUAACUUUAAAAUGUCUAUUAUACUUCUAAUUAUAUUAUUAUGAGGUUUUCUUUACAUUUUCAUGAGUUUUAAACAAUUUUAAGCACCAAUAUUUUUUUCCAAAAUAUCCACCGAUAUAUCUCCGAUAUAUCCAAUAUAUCUCCGAUAUCUCCGAUAUAUCCGUAAAAUCGAAGUACCGAUAUAUCCGUGAUUACCGAUAUUUUCAUCAUUGCUUAGAUGCAACCUUCUUCCAAAUGACAUACUUUAGUCAAUACUUAUAUUUUUUCGUUUCACUUCUUUGAUACAACACCUCAUGGAUUUAUUGUUUAAUUUAUUUGUAAUUAUAAAACUAUUUUUCAUUUUUAAUAAGACUUGAAUUAAUUUAAUAAAUAUUAUAUAAUUUGAAUUUAUAAUUCUUUUUAUAAAAUCAAAGUAUAUUAAAAAAAAAACAAUUUAUCCGAAGAAAGUUUUUUAUUUUUUAUUUUUUAAAACCGAUUUUAAAAAUAACUAGCUAGACACCCUUAUUUUGAUAAAAUACGAAAUAAAAGUGUAAAAACAACAUGGCCAAAUAGGGGCUUAAAUUUUAUUUUUAAAACAUUUUUUUACACUAAAGUGCAUUUUAAAAACACCAUCAAAACCAACUACAAGUUAUGCUUCUUCCCGUAAUAGAAAUAUUUUAGGCCAAAAUAGAACCUCCCCAAAUAAAGACCCUAUACUAAACUCCUUUUCAUUUUAUUAAUACAAAAGUGGGGAAAAAAGGUCUAUGCUCACCUAAAAAACAUGAAUAUUGUGAAUUCACCAUUUCUAUAAGGAAGUUGAAAACUUCAAAAUUUUAUCAACAAAUUCUCUAAAAUCCUCAAAAUAUAUAGGGCCUGUUUCACAAAGUUUUUUAAAAUUUGUUUUUAUAAAUUGCUUUUAAAAUAUAGAAUAAAUAACAGUUUUUUAGAUUUUUUGAAAAAUAAGAGUGUUUGGUAAGAUGUUUUUUUUUUUUUUUUUUUUUUUAAGAAUUAAAUAAAAAAUAAAAAAAUUGUUUAGAUAAAAGAAUUUGUAUUGUUUUUAAAAACAAUGUCUUACUUUUAUGUUAUAAAAAUUUUAUUAAUUUAAUUUAUAAUAAUAUGAAAUGAAAUUCAAGUUAAGUCUUAUUAAAAAAUACAAAUUAAAUCUAUAAUUAUGCAUGAGUUAAAGAUAAAUAUAUAUUUUUUAAAACUAUAAAAUAAAUUUUCUAUUAUAGUGAAACAAAAAUUACUAUAAAAUAAAAAUAAUUUUAAUAUUCAUUUUUAAUACAAGUCAAAUAAGUACUUUAAUUAAUUUUUUUUAUCAUGAUUUCUUAUGUUUUUUUUUUUUUCUAGAAAUUAUUUUAAGUAAUAUAACUAAUUUUUUUUUUAAUGUUUUAUAAAAAUAAGGAUAUUUGGCAAGUUGUUUUUAUAAAAGGAUUUUAAAAAUAAAUGGAUUUUUUUUUUUUUUAAAAAAAGAACAAAAUGAUUUGUUUGAAUAAAUUGUUUUGAUUUUGUAAAAACAUUUUAAAUUCAAUUUAUAUAAUAUUAAUUAAUUAAAUUAAAUUGAAGUUUUAUUGAAAAUAAAAAUAAUUUUGUAAUUAAAAUUAGAUUAAAAAAUAUAUAGGUUUUAAUAAAUCGUAAAUAGUAAUAUUAUAAUAAAAUUAUAAAUUAUAUUUUUAACAUAAAAUAUACUAUUUAUUACAUAUUAAAAAAAAUAUUUUAUUAUAUUAAUAAUUUUAUGGUAUUAAUGAGUUUAUUAUUUAAGUUUUAAAUUAUUUUUAAAAAUUAAUAAAUUUGUUAACAAAUGCAAUGUACUAAAUGUGGUUUAAUUUGGAGUUAAUUUGUUUAGGGAAAAAAAUAAAAAAUAAAAAUCUUAUGUAAAAGAGAAAUAAUAGAGUGUGUGUGUUUUUUUUUAUUAUUUUUAAAAAUCAGUAAAAAGAACUUUUACUUAUUGCCUAAAAAUUAUUCUCUAUUUUAUUUUAUUUUUUAAAUCUAGAAAUAGAUAACAAUAAUAAAAAAAAUUAAAAAAGAAAAAUGUUUUUUAAAACUCAGACUUAUAAUUGCUUUUGUUUCUCAUUCGCACCCCUGGAUUCCUGGAUUCUAAACACAAAAUUAAGUUGAAUCGUCCAUCUAUCUUGUAAGCCAAGAAUUCACAUAGAAGAAAUAAUCGGAAUUUGAUUUGAUAUCAGAUUUAGAGUGGCUCACUACUCAUGCAUUGUCCCACAAUAGUAAUGCUUUGGGCCGAGAUAAACCCAUUUGUGGGCCCAAAUAAAACCCCUGGUUUGAAAACAUCGAUUUUACAGUGGCCCAAAAGAUUAUCUAUGAGGGGAAGAUAACUUGGAAGUCAAGCAAACACAUUUAUCGCUAACUUUUCUCUAAUUAUAAAAUUAUAACUUGGUCUUCUACACGUCUCACUUAAGAGGCGGAGCCACUUGGCACUACCUUUCCAUAUUGUAAAAGGAGAAGAAGCAGAAGGAGAAGAUUCUUAUGCCAUUCCACACACCAUGGCUAGUACUGCUAUGCUGCUUGGCCCGCCGGCUCUCCGCCAUCCUAAUUCUCCCGCCGGCACUGUCUUUGAAGAUGGGGUCAUUCUAACGGAUUCCCUGAUCGUCCGCACCAGUAAUCUGGAGCUUUCUGAAAAACCGCCACUGGAAUCCCUGGCGUAGUGCUCUGUCAGUGGGGAUAUUGCUAUGGAUUGUUUGGAUUCCCAAGCCCACAAUCUUCAUCUUCCCGGGAAACCGCCGAUGGGCUUAACGGAAAACAAGUCUCCGACCUUUUUGUCUUCCGGGAACCCGUGCUUGGACUUCUUCUUCCAUGUGGUUCCCGAUACGUCGUCUGAUGAUCUGAUCCGACGGUUUGAGUUGGCUUGGGAAUUCAAUCCGCUGACGACGUUAAAACUGAUAUGCAACUUGAGAGAGGUGAGAGGCACCGGAAAAUCUGACAAAGAGGGUUUCUACACGGCGGUUCUCUGGCUCCACGACCACCAUCCCAAAACCCUAGCCUGCAAUGCUAGGGUGUUGGCCAGCUUCGGUUAUUUCAAGGAUUUUCUCGAGAUUCUCUACCGGCUUCUGGAGGGCCCUAAAAUUCGAAGAAUCGAAAAGAAAGACUGGCUGGAUCGAAAAGGAAGGAAGAAAAAUUCCCGGAAAAGGAACUCAAUAUUCAAGCGAGAAAAUAGGCCUGGAGUUGAAUUUCCUGUAGAAGAGAAGGAUGUGGAGUAUAUGGUGGAAGAAUUUGUGGAUAAAGAAAAGGCUAGGGUACUGAGAAAGGAGAGAGAACUUGCUCUUGCCAAAAGAGCCCUGCACAAGUAUUCUACUGAUUCUAAUUAUCAGUUCUUACAUGAUCAGAUUUCAGAUUUAUUUGCUGAACUUCUGAAAUCUGAUAUUCAGUAUUUAAACUCCGGUGAGCUUUACAAGAUUAGUCUCGCAUCCAAAUGGUGUCCCACAAUUGAUUCUUCUUAUGAUAAAUCCACCUUGAUAUGUGAAAAUAUUGCUCGAAAGGUUUAUUCUCGCGAGGAAUAUAUAUCCAGAAUACCAAGGAAUUGAGGAGGCUCACUAUGUUAAUAGAGUCAGGGAUAGGUUGAGAAAACAAGUACUUGUUCCAUUACGUAAGGCCCUGGAGUUGCCAGAGGUUUUCAUGUGUUCGAACCAGUGGGGAUCACUUCCCUACAACCGUGUGGCUUCAGUGGCCAUGAAAUCAUACAAGAGCCUCUUCUCAAAACAUGAUACAGAGCGGUUUGGUGUGUAUCUUGAGAAAGUGCAAACUGGGAAGGCUAAGAUUGCAGCUGGUGCAUUACUUCCCCAUGAGAUUAUAGCUUCAUUGAAUGAGGAGGAUGGCGAGAAAGUUGCAGAGCUUCAGUGGGCGAGAAUGGUGGAAGAUUUAUCAAAGAAUGGGAGGCUCACAAAUUGCAGUGCGGUAUGUGACGUAUCAGGAAGUAUGAGUGGAACUCCAAUGAAGGUGUGUGUGGCUCUGGGGCUGUUAGUUUCAGAGCUCAGUGAAGAUCCAUGGAAAGGUAAUGUAAUUACUUUCAGUGCAAGUCCUGAGCUUCACAAGAUCCAAGGAGACAGCCUUGUAUCCAAGACUGAAUUUGUGAGGAUGAUGGAAUGGGGUGCGAACACUGAUUUUCAGAAAGUUUUUGACAGAAUCUUACAAGUAGCAGUGGAGGGAAAUCUGAGUGAAGAUCAAAUGAUAAAGAGGGUUUUCGUUUUCACUGAUAUGGAGUUUGAUGAAGCUUGUGGGAGGUAUAACUAUUGUGAAUAUGACUAUGAUAUGGAGGAAAUUGAUGAGAGUCAGAAGGCAUCUCAGAAGUGGGAGACAGAUUAUGAAGUGAUACAGCGGAAAUUCCAGGACAAAGGAUAUGGAAAAGUUCCGGAGAUAGUGUUUUGGAACCUUAGAAACUCAUCAGAGACUCCAGUGAUGGCCACAGAGAACGGGGUGGCCUUAGUAAGCGGGUUUUCGAAGAAUCUGUUAGACCUUGUUUUUGGAAGGAGGUGGAAUUCUGACCCCUCAGGAUGUGAUGGAAUUAGCCAUCUCUGGUGAAGAUUACAAGAAACUUGUUCUAUUUGAUUAAGAUAUCAAGAGAUUUAUCAAUAAUAAUAUGUUUUUUUUUUUCUAUGUGAAAUACAUGUAAUAUUAACUAUGGAGUUAUCAAAGUUCUGGAAAUUUAAUUAUUUCUUCUUUUCAAGUUUUGUUUGUCUUUGUUAGGAAUUCCCCUUGGGCGGACCCAGCUGGGGACUUGGAUUGAGGAAGUAAGGAGGCGAAAUUGUGUUCUUCUAUGGACAGAGAAAAAAGAUAAAAAUAAAAAAUAAAAAAGGAGGUUAUUUGCAUUUGGAUGUCAUGUGGUUUCAGGGUACAACUACAAGUUCGAAAUUGUACAUAAUGUGAAAAUUCCUGUGUGGAGAACAGCAUAAAUAUGUAUCUCAGUGUGUUUUGUUUGAGCUAAUUGGCAAAUUCGCUUUAAACAUGGUCACAUGGAUGCAUAUUUAUUUGUGAAAUGAUAGUAGUCGAUUACUUGGUCAGUAAGGUUUGUAUCUCUAACUCCAACAUCUUAUUGUAGUCUUUUAAAAUGUCAAAAGUUUAAUGCUAGCUUGAGAAAUUUUGGAAUGGAGACAUUCUAAACAAAGUUAAUAAUCCAUGAGACUUGGUAAAACCGAUCAGAUGAUGCUUACGUACAUGAAUGCCUUCUUUAAGCCGUAUCCUAUUUUCAUUGAAUGAGACGUGCCAUCUAGUUUUGUUCUUGUCUUGAUUGGAUCAUGAUCCCGGGAAUUGAUUACUGUUCUGAAUUUGCGAAUGUUCAAGGUAUUAGAGAAAGUUAAUAUUAUCGUUAAUUUACAUAUUAGUAUUUAUCUAGUUAUUAUAUAUUAGUUUGAAUUAUAAUAUAAUAUAGAAUUUGAAUCAAGUUUACUAUUAGUUUGAAUUACAAUAGGAAAUAAAGUUUGAAUUAUAGUAUAACUCAAAUAUAUUUGUAUAUAAAUAUCCAUCUUUAUCAAUGAGAAUAGUAAACCAUAUUUUUCUCUAUCUUCUUCUUUCUCUAUAUAUAUGGUAUCAAAGCCUCCAAAUCCUAAACCUAGUCUCAACUUAGAGCAAAUUUAGGGUGCAGGGUUUAGGCCCCGCCUCCCCCAACCCUUACCACAAAUGGUAGUGACCUUGUUAUGCCUAUGUAUUGUCAAUGCCUCAUUUUCUAUGGUCUUCAAUACAAUAUCUAGUUUCAAUGUCUCUUUCCUUACUAUCUCCAAUGCAAUAUAUUGAUUUCAAUAUCUCUUUACAACCAAGAGCUCCAAAUUUUCCUGGUUCAAAUCUACCAUAAUUUUUAUUCUCCUUUGCUUUUUACCAAUAUUAGUUCCCCUAAUUUAAUAUAUAUCUCUUUAUUACCUUCAACUCUACCUCUCUCUUUCUUUAAAAGCUUCCUCAAAGAUUUGAUUGCUUUCUUGCAUGUUUUGGGAAAACAAACAUGCUCAUAUUCUAUUACCUCUACUUGAGAUCUGCCUUAUACUCUACCUUCUUCUUUACCUCCUAUAUCAUCUACUACAUUAGCUUCAAAAACAUUAUUUAGUUUGAUGCUAAAUAAGGCUCCUAAUCCUACCCUUCCUUCAACUAACUUUCUUUUACAAGUCCCUCAAAGUUUUUUUUUUUUUUUUUUUGGAAAUUUGGCUUAGAAAGAUUUCAUUACUCUUACCUAAUCUUUCAACCAUCAAGUCGAAUCCACUUAUCUCUUGAAUCCAAGGAGACUACCCUCCACAAAAACAAGGAGAUUGACCCCCACAAUAACAAAGAGAUUGUCCUCCAUAGAAACAAAGAGAGCUUCCUUCAUGGAAGCCGAAUACAUCGCAAUCUAUUUUCUUUCUCUCAAGAUCAAAUCUCCAAUCGGAGCUCCAUCUUGUGGGGAUAUAUUAGAAAAAGUUAAUAUUAUCCUUAAUUUACAUAUUAGUAUUUAUCUAUAUUAUAUAUUGAAUUAGAAUAGAAUAUAGAAUUUGAAUUAAGUUUACUAUUAGUUUAAAUUACAAUAGGAAAUAGAGUUUGAAUUAUAGUAGAACUCAAAUAUAUUUAUAUAUAAAUAUCCAUCAUUAUCAAUGAGAAUAGUAUUCCAUAUUUUUCUCUUUCCCUGAGGCUUCAGAAUGUGAUCUUGAACAUUUGAUCUUUUGGAUUCUUCUUGUUUCGGUGGUUUAAUAUAAUGGAAUGUUUAAUUAUAGCCUACUUUAUCACCAUGGAUGUGCUCCUGCAGAUUUCUUGAGGGUGAUGGUUAUUUUGUCAUGUUUCUUGAAUGGUUUGCAUCAGCUGCCUGAGCUGUUGUUGCUGGUCACUUUUGCAACCAGGGAAAGAAUCAUGGCUUUGGAGAAGCCAGCUUCUGUUUUUGUUGCCCAGCUGUUAGUUCACUAAGAUUGGGGGUCCUAACAUGUAUGUAUAAUCAUAAGCAAGGAAAUUUUAUGUCUUACGCUAGAUAGGUACCAUGAUAUGAUGUUUGAUUGAUUUAUUAACUCUACCUGUUUCAAAAGGCAUCAACAUUAAUUUUACCCUUUUAACACAUUGGAUUGUUUGACCUUACGAGAUUUUCUAUUUCUGUACUAUUUGAACUGCAAUCGUUAUGGUCCUUAGGUCUCUAAACCUUCGUUUAAAAUAAAAGUAAGGAGCACACAUAGUAAAAGUUAAUUUUGGGUAACUUUUAAAACAAAGAGAAAAGUAAAAGUUGUUUUUGAGAAAAACAUAUAGAAAUUGAAAGAUUUUUUAUUUUGAGAAAAAAAAGUCAUAGAAAAGAAAUAAUAUCCCCAUAUAAGUAGAUAUGAUCUAUCCGAAGUGUAGCUACUCUCCUGGAUUUAUUCUAACAUUUUAAAAUUUUUCUCAAUGGGCAAAGGAAUAUCAAAUCAAGCUUGAGUAGGAUUAAUUUCUUAAUUUUUAAAAUAACUUAUAAUUAAAAUUUUUUGGUGUUUUCUUUUUUGGACAAUUUUUUAUGAAGACUCUGAAUCAUGCAAGAGAUAUGGUUAUUUUAAAAAAAAAAAUAAUUUAAAACUCAAAUACAUAAUCAAUGUCACAAAUUUAUAAACAAAAGGUUUUUAAAAAAUACUAUUAUUUCCCCUCUACACAUAAUUUUACUUUUCCGAUUUAUUUAUUUUUGUUGGAAAACAGUCUUCAAAUCAAGUAAAAUUAAUAUGUUAAAUUUGUUAAACAAAUAAAUUUUAAAAUACAAUUUGGAACUCAAAAAUCAAUUCAAGUAAUGCUAAAAUUCAAAAAAUCAAAUUUGGAAUAAAAUGACUUUGUAAAUUUUUUUACUAAACAAAUGAAUUUUAAAUCAAGUGAGAUUUAAUACAUUGGAUUUUUAUGAGAAUAGUAAUUUUAAAAAUUAAUUUGGAACUCAAAAAUAGACACAAUAAAUACCAAAAAUCAAUGAACCAAAAUUGGUUUGGAAUAACUCCAUAAUUUUUUAUUUAUUUAUAUAUUUAUUUUUUUGUGCACACGAAUUUCUUACUAAGCAUAUUGCUUCCAAAUUGAGAAAAAUUUACUAUUUAGAUUUUUUUAAUGAGUUUAAUGGUAUUUAAAAAUAAUUCAAAAAUUCGAAAAUUGACUAAUUUAAUAUUAUAAAUUCAUAAACCAAGACUAAUUCAAAAUGCAUUGGGGGCUAAGGGGGUUGAAAUUAAUGCUCCAUUUGGUUGUGGCCACCAAUUGGCAAUGGCCACCAAUCAACCAAUCAAGGUGGCUAAGGGGGUUGAAAAUAGGGACAAUGGGGUGGGUUUGGGACAGGACACUCAUAUCCCAUUCCCAUCCCAAUUACACAGUUAUUUCCCAUCCUUAUUCCAAACUUGUGUUGGGGCAAGUUGAUUUGUUCCCAUCUUUGUUAACGAAAUGACUAAUAACCUCAUCCUCUCCUUGUCUUAGAUGUACAUUUUCUCAAAUUUGGUCAGGUAUGAUUGAUUCAAGCCCUAACCUUAAUUGGUAAUGAGUGGAUACCACACCUAAUUGCAUUCUUCUUUCGUUGCAAAAUAAUGAGAUUAUAAUAAUCUAGCAAAUAAGAAAAAAUAGUAUGGAAGUUCAAAUUAACACCAUAACUAUCAAUAAUUUUAAGCUUAUAGAUGACUUAAAUGAUUGAAAACUAAUGCAAAAUACUAAAAAAAAAAAAAAUCAUCUAAAGAAUUCACAAGAGAAUAGAACGAACAAAACCAAAUAGGAACAUGGGUCAACAUUAGUUACAGAUUUUGAUCCCUUUCAAGGCCAAUCUUUGAACCAAGACUUCAUCAAAUCUACUACUUCAAAGGCUUUUGUGUUCUUCUUGAGUUGUACUCUGGAACAAAGACUUCGAGGUGAUGCUUUAGAUGAUUGCAUUACACAUAUUUAGGGUAGGGAGAUUGGAGAAGCUUGAAGAUGCCAACGAUGGGUACAAUUGAGUGGUCAAUAAGAACAAUGUGGCCUAUGACUAGUUUGAUGUCAUGGUAUAGGAGUUUUGGGCAUUGAGGUGAAAGCAAGAGCAACAUGGAAUUGAUUUCAAAGUCUUUCAAUUAGUGUAAAGGAGGAAGAAGAAGUGGUAUUGAUCCUAGAAAUAGUGUUUUAGGUGUUGCAUUAGAGGAAAAGAAAAAGAAAAAGAAGGAACCAUUGGAAUUAGUACGAGUGUGAAGAGAGAAGUGUAUACAUAAGGGGAAGUAAAAGCAAAGUUCUAAAAAUUUAUUUUUUUAUUGGUGGUGUAUGGUUGCAUGAUUAUCCCUAUAAAUAAUAGGAGUUUUUUGGUGUUCUACUAGUAGUUGAAGGAUAAUUUCAUAAGAUAAUAUUUAGAGCGGGGUGGGGUGAGUUGUGACAAAAUCCAUACCCGUCCCAAACAUUGGUUCAGGUUUUUAAAAUAUUUUCAAACUUAUCAUAUACCCAAUUUUAUAUUUCAUACUUGUCCUAAUAGAGACAGGUUAGUCAGGGUUACUUGAGUAGCCUACAAAACUAUCAUCCCUAGUUGAAAUGCUCUUUUUGGCAGUGGCAGCUAGAAGCUCGAUCGAUUGACCUACAAGACUAGUUGUCAUCAUUUUAAAAAGAGUUUUGGCUUUGGUUGUGAGUGCAAUUGAAUCUAAACUAACAUUUCCUUAAUGCAUCUACUUCAAUCCUAAACUUCUUACUUAAGCCUCAAUUGUUGUUAAGAUUUUGGAAAACCCAUUUCCUUAAAUUGUAAAUUUAAGAAAAAAAAAAUUAAAAGUGAGACAUUUCUUGAUUGAAUGUUGUUAAAGGUCCCUUGGAAUUAAGACUUGGUUGAAGCCUUGGAAGAUUAGCAGAACUCUCAACUUAUGUUUGAACCUUGAGGAGAGUGGACGUAGGCCAAAAUUUUGUCAAACCAUUAUACAAAUUGAGUUUGAAUUCUCAUUUCUUGAUUUCUUAUUUAUUUGCUUUUUCUUAUUAUUACUUGAAUUGUCAUUUGCAUUCAUUAAUGUUAAAAUUGGUUAUAAUUAGCCAACACUAAUUCUCUUUCCCCUUCCCUUAAUUUCUUGGGUGUAAACCUAGGUUGGAUUAACUAGAUUUUAUCAAAUCUAUUAAGAUGGUAAAAGAAUAAUUAUUCUUAACAUACAUAAGAUCAUCUUCAAUCAAAUGACUCAUUGGCUGAUAUGUUGAAUUUGCUUAUUACUUGCAACUCAAAAUUGUGUUCUAGUUGAUAUGUCAAGUCCUGAGUGUAUGGACAUUAAAUUUGUAGUACGUGAUGAGUAUUUAGAUGGUCCAAUUCCAAGAAAGUGAUUGAAAACUAGUUCAAGAAAGGUGCAAAAGGGAAUUGUUUUGGUAUUUUCGUUUUUAUUCUUGAAGGUGGCAGAGCUAAAAUUUGAGAAAUCAAGCAAAACAUACUGAAAUUACAUUGAAAGAAAGAAAAUGGGAGUUAAUGUCUUGCAGUACAUGAUAAGGACUUCAUGCAUGUAGUGUGACCCAUGUCUUGGACUGAUGCCACACUCACGGUUACACUUAUACCCUUAGUUCUCUCUUUACUACCUUAGCUAACCUAGAUCAGGUUAUGAGAUAGGCACCUCACCACACCAUUACUUGCCCAUUAAUUAGUGACAUUUUCAAGCAAUGAGGUAACAUGGUGACACCAAGAGGGUAUAUUCCUCACCCCCAACAAGCCUAGACCUGGUCUAAAAAAAAUGGAGAAAAAUGACGUGUUGUUAUGCAGAAAUAUAGCAACCAUGCCUUCCUCAUUACUUAGAUUCAGAAUGUGAAGGUGAAAUUGAGAAACAGAAACUCUUGAAACCAAAAUGAAAAUUGAUACUUUUACGAAGAAUUACAACAACAUUAGAGGAAGACUACAUUCUUCCUCUUUAUUCCUACAUUUCUACACUACUUCUACUCCACUCCAUAUUUCUACAUACAUCUUUAAUCAGUCUUCCCUCCUUUAUAUAGAGCCAUCUUCACACAAAUUCCGCAAGGUAGAAAAGAGGAAUGAAACUUGGAGCAAGGUUCGACUACUGGCUGUAGCUUGUCAAGGCUGAAAGUGAACUUUUUUUCUUGGCUUUUCUGGGCAUAGGUAGUAACUUGUAGGUUCCUUUUUGGAAUGAAAAUGGUACGGCUAGAACAUGUGGCACUCUCUUGUUGGAUGAUGUGUCAAGCAUGUGGCAGCCAUCUAGUGGAGAUUAUGUCAAUUUUGGGAUGGAGAGUUGGCAUCCAAUUGCAAAGAAAUAUGACAUCUACCAACAUGCAAUGUCAACCUAUGUAGAUCAUAUGAAGAUAGAGAGGAAAAAUAUAGAAAUGGAUAUAUAACUAGAACUAGCUUUUUAUUAAAUGAGACGGAGAGCCAACAAUGAAGGAAAAUCAAAAUUUUUGGCUCAUAUCAAAGAAUUCACAUUGUGUUACCCUAGGUUUUCUUAAAACUUACUUUUAUGAUAAUAAAAAAUCAUUAUUGUUUAAUCCUUUGUUUUAAACGCAUGUUUAGCAGGUUGUAAAAUGUAAAUAUCUUUCGAAAUUCAAAUAUGAAGAUAUGACAUCAUUUCAAGCAAUAUAGUCUCUAGGAAUUAAUGUAAAGCUAAAUUAAGGUGCAAUUAAGUUAGUUCAAUGCAUUAUUUUAAGAAACUUGACCUAUCAAAACCUUGUCUUACUUCAAAGCCUCUUUUUCUUUUCUUCCAACUAACAUUUUAAUAAGUGAUCGCAAAAGUACAAAAUUAGAUGAAAUCCAUUUCAAUGGUUAAAAUGAUCAAAUUCAAACUUUUUCUAAGUAUCUUUUAAAAGCAUCAAUAUUGAAAGACAAUUUUAUAUUUAGUCAAAGCUUGGACAGAGCCAAAAAGCACACAAAAAUUUAUAUUUUCUAGCUCUCUACCUUGGAUGGUCUCUUGAUCCUACUUGGAGAUGUGCAUAAAUAAAAGGAUUUGAAAAUGACAAUUGACUAAGUAUGUAGUCAAUCAAUUACUCAUUGAUUGACUAGUUGAUCAAUUAACUUUGCAACAUCAUAUGCAAUCCUAAUAGCUAGUCAUCUAAUCAACUAGGUAGUAAAUCAAUAGGCCAAAAAUAUGUUUAUAAUGACUAUUUUGUACAAAAACCACUUAUAUAGUUAAAUAUAAUGCAUUUCAUUUAUAAAUCUUCUAAUUCUUGAAUAACAAUCCUAUCAUCCUUUGAAAGUUUUUAUUACACCUUUUCUACAUUUGUUCUAAAACUUAUACAUCACCCUUAAUUGUACCAUGAGAACCUAGCAUUUUUUUUUUUUUUUUUGUAUUUCAUCAAAGUUAGCUCUUGUACUCAUUGUUGUAUUAUUUUUAUUGUAACUUAGAGAGCGAGUGUUUUCAAGUGAGUGAAAUUGACUUGUAAAUAUUGUAAAGAUUCAUUGAUAUGUAUCUCAAACUAGGUGUACAAGUUGAAACAUUUGCUAGUAGAUUUUCUCAAGAUUUAGAAUGAGCUUAAGGCUAUCGAAUUAGGUGGGGUUGCGCCAAACCAUAUCACAUCGUUGUUUGCACCUUUUUUUUCACUCUCUUUUACUUAGUUGCUCUAUAUAUAUUGUCUAGCAAUAUCCUAAAGGCUUGAUGGGCUAGGGAGCAUCCCUCUGAAUGAAAAAUUUUCAUUCAAUUCUUAGUUGUAUUACGCAUAUAUAAAAUGCCUCAUUGUUUUAAUGGUAUUCAGUCGUGGCACCACAGAUAUGGACAUCUAAAUUUUAAAAGUUUGAAACUUUUAGCUAAAGAAAAUAUGGUGCUUUGCCUUUUUGGAAAGCAUGUUGAUGAAAUCCAUGAGAAUUGUAUACUUGGAGAGCAACAUCGAGAUAACUUUUUUUUUUUCUUUUUUUAUAAUGCAUUGUUUGUCCAAAUUCCGUACAAAUUAGGCCACCACAUGUUCAUAAUUCUCCCUUCUUGAAUUUGAAAACUCGGACAAUUUGACAAUGCGACACCUAAGUCCGGUUUUUAAAUGCUAAAGUGAAAGGGCAGGUAUGGACCAUUGAAAUGUGAUAACAACUUUUGGCCUUUUCCUUUUCUCUGUAGCCAUGUUGUCUCUUUUUAAUUUCUUUUGCAUGAUUUUCUUACCUAAACAGAAUCAUAGACUUGUUUAAUCUCUAAGUGGGAUUUCAUCCACCUUAAGCUACUGUAUUAUAUCUCGGUGGAGGACAACCGACAUAGAGCACAUGCAAGUGGGUAUAUGGGACAUGAAAUAUCUUCUUAUAAAGCUUGUUUUGCAGUUAAAUUAAUUGGAUAAGUAGACACUGGCGUUUCUAAAUUUCCCACCUAAGAUAAUGACCUUAUCCUUGACUGCUAGAUACACAAACAAUUAUACCUUCAAAAUCUACUGUGAAGUGCUUCAUGUAUGUGUGAAGUAUUAGAAAUUUCUUUCUUGGCAACUUGUUUUUUUCUUUGCGGUCUACUGAUAGGUUUGACUAAAAUUAUAUUCCCUGUCCUGCUAAUUAAUUUUCACGUGCAUGCUCAAAAGAAGAGUAUGACCUUAGUGCACCAAAAUCACUUUCAAUAAUUUGUGAUAAGUUUUUUUGCAUGACAUUAACCUUAUUCAUUUAGAUAAUGUUUAGUUCUCAUAAAUAUUAAGAAAAUGAAAAUAAAUAUUAAGAAAAAUAUUCUUAUAUUUGAUUGUAUUAUGAAAAAUAUCAUAAAAAAUCAAAUAUAAUUAAAAUUAAUUAAUAAUUUAUAUAUUUUAAAAUUAUUUAAUUUUUAUAUUAAAGAUAUAAUAUAAAUGAAAUGAGUUUUAAGUAUUAUAUAAAAAUGAUUUAUUUAUUUAUUUAUAUAUAUAUAUAUAUAUAUAUUUAGUUUUUCUCUUUAUUUUAUUUUCCUUAUGUUUUCCUCACAUUUUCCGGAAUCAAAGAUAGGGAAAUCCACAAUUACCUUCAACUGAGUAGAUUCUAUUGUUUUAGCAAUGUUAGGCUGCUAACUUGUGGUGGUACGAACCAAAUGAUCCAUGUUAAUCUUGGCUUGAUUUAAUUUGGCUCUAUCUCAGAGAACUCAAGGAUCACGUCAACUCUGGUUUCUACUAUUCAGGUCCAUUCCCAGAUGAACUGGUUCAAAUUUGAGAAAAUGGUAACAGACCUUUAGUGAUAUUGGUUUGGAGCCAGUUGCCAAACCUGCCCUGAGCUUUACCACUAAUGUCAAGGGACAAAGCCAUUUGAACAAAAACAAUAGCUUCAAGAGACUGAAUCGUGGAUGAAAUCUGAUCCACAUUUCUUCUCAUUUUGGGAAAAAAUGAGGACUUAACCACAAAGAUUCUACUGCCUCAUAGUGCUUUUCCUGAUCUAAGGUUGGCUCGUUUCCCAAAUUGUGAGGUGCACGUGCCACUCUCACGCUCAGGAGUGUAUCCACGUGGUGGACAUAAGAUGGUGGCUUAAUAUCUGGUGUCGGUGGCUUUACUUUACUAGGAGAGUAGUGUGUCUUCAUCUCAUUCACUGCCAGAGGGUGGCGUAAGCAGUGACGCUAAGGUGGGGCACAGUCAAUAUCAUUUGCAUUUGACCAUUAUAAUUUUCUCCCGGCUUUAAAGUAACCUUAUCGUGAUAAUGGAUUACUAGCACUAGUUCAGAUGACAGUCAUGUUAAAUUCGGACCAUGUUUGUGUCACAUUAUCAGCAACCAUGUGCUUGUGGUUCAUGCUAUCUGCAACUAAACUUGAUAUAUAACCAGGUGAACUUCAAUCUAAAUUCUGGAAGUACUCAUGUGAUAGAUGGUGCCUGUCUGCAGUGAGUGUAUCUAUAAGAGGGAAGGCUUGGCAAAUGUUCAGUUUUCUGGGAAUUCAACAGGGAUCUAAAAUAGAUUGUUUUCUUUGCUGAUUUCAAUGGUUGAAAUUUGAGAAGAUUGUGUCCACAUAACACAACUAUUACUGGUCCUUCUGUUGCAAUUUAUCCUCUAAGGCUCUAACAUGUCUUCCAAUUCCCACUUCCCACUUCCCUGUUACUCCAGGAAAGCUGUUUCUGUCAUUGUGAAGAAGAAAAGAGACUGUACAUAUCGAUGCUUUUAAGUGGACUGGAGAAUUCAUAUCAGGUGGUCUGCAGCCAUACAUGCCACUUUGUGAAGGUUGGAACAGUCAAUCACUAGGCUAUAUUAGUGGGGCCCAGCCACUUCAAUCAAGGACAAGUCUUCAUACUUAAAGUCAAAUUCUGCCUUUAGUCUCAUUAUAAAUUGCUGUUUAAAUAUCAAGCAAACAUUUGUUUAAUGCGAUUAAGACAGCACUAACUCAAUACUUGUUCUAUUUUUGGAUGCAAAUGCUUGAUAGUUUCAUCAUUGGAGGGGAUAAAGGUGCAUUCAUGAUUAUGAAUACUUGUAGUUAUAUUUUCAUUCUCUUUUUUCUCAAUGGGACUUGUUGGCACAAUUUUGCUGUUCAGAAACCUACCUCUCCAUGGAAAAUCAGUUGUGAUUGAUAUUACUGGAUAUAUUCAAGAAAGCUAAAUGUAGAUAGCACAAAAUAUUAUCGACAUAAAUAGCAUUAACAGCGUACGUAUGUCUCAAUGCUCAUCAGCUAUAAGCAAGGGGCAAACACUUACUAUGAGCAACUUACGUCAAAAUUCCGGAAUAGGACAUAGAAGUGACAGGUCAGUAAAUAUAGAACACUGCAUAUGAGUCACAAGAAAGGAAAUUACGGGUACAUAGCAGCUCUUAUUUUACAUCCUACUCAUACUGAUCAAAGUCACUCAGUUGGGAUGGGUGGGAGUGGGAGGUUUGUGGGGUGGCUUGUGCGGAGGAGUUGGCAGCUUCUUUCCAGGACCUGGUUGCUUCUCUGCUGGAGUUGAAGGAGGCUUAAUCUUCCGAGGUGGCUUGUAUGAGUCUUCAGCAUUCUCAGCAGGAGGGUGACCAGGGUUGUGACCACAAUGUGGUGGCUUCUCUCCCUUAGGUGGUUUGCCAACUGGGGUUGGUGGCUUGUGUUCCGGAAGUGGCUUCUCUUUGUGUUCAGGAGGUGGCUUCUCCACUGGAGGCUUGUGUUCAGGAGGUGGCUUCUCCACCGGAGGCUUGUGUUCAGGAGGUGGCUUCUCCACCGGAGGCUUGUGUUCAGGAGGUGGCUUCUCCACCGGAGGCUUAUGCUCUGGUGGUGGCUUCUCCACCGGAGGCUUAUGCUCUGGUGGUGGCUUCUCCACCGGAGGCUUAUGCAAUGGUGGUGGCUUCUCCACCGGAGGCUUGUGUUCAGGAGGUGGCUUCUCUACCGGAGGCUUAUGCUCUGGUGGUGGCUUCUCCACCGGAGGCUUAUGCUCUGGUGGUGGCUUCUCCACCGGAGGCUUGUGUUCAGGAGGUGGCUUCUCCACCGGAGGCUUGUGUUCAGGAGGUGGCUUCUCCACCGGAGGCUUGUGCUCUGGUGGUGGCUUCUCCACCGGAGGCUUAUGCUCUGGUGGUGGCUUCUCCACCGGAGGCUUGUGUUCAGGAGGUGGCUUCUCCACCGGAGGCUUAUGCUCUGGUGGUGGCUUCUCCACCGGAGGCUUGUGUUCAGGAGGUGGCUUCUCCACCGGAGGCUUAUGCUCUGGUGGUGGCUUCUCCACAGGAGGCUUGUGUUCAGGAGGUGGCUUCUCCACCGGAGGCUUAUGCUCUGGUGGUGGCUUCUCGAAUGGGGGAUGCGUAGGGUAAUCAGCUAGUGAGGGGGCGGUGAGAACCACCAGGCCAAGCAACACUACUAGCAAGUAUGUAGGAGACAUCUUUGGGUUUGGGCUCAGAUGGUGCAAAACUAGGAGAAUUGGCUAGCCUUUUAUAGCGGAUCGUACCCAAUAAUGAAAUGACACGUGUCAUUAUGACCCAUGUGUCAUGUGGUCGAUUUGGGUCCUACAGUGUUGAAAACUUCGACAUCCACUUUUUUGGCCUUUUGCUUUCUCUACAGUCGCCUUGCUUUUUCCCUCUUUUCUUUUGUUUUCCUCCUGCCCCAUUCUAUCAACUAAUCACAAUUAUGUAGUUGUUUAAUUCUUAAAUGAGAUAUUAUCCGUCAAUCAUAUUAUCUUUUAUCAAGAGAGAACGGAGUGAAAAGUGGCAAUCCAAAGAAAGAAGAUCCAUAAUGCAGCUGUAAUUUUAUCGUUUACUUUUAUCUCUAGGACCACUGCAUUUUUGUUGAGAGGUGCAAUAAUACACGUCUUUAUCUGCCAUUCAAUGUUUACAGUAAAGAGAGGGCACAAAACUCUUCACUGCUCUGCAUGUGCCCCAAAAAUGCAAUUGGACAAAUUAUGAUUUGCAUGCUAAAAAGAGGCAAAUGAGGUUAAUUAGCACCAAAAUUAUUUUGUUUUCUGGACACCCCGGGGCCCUUUGGUUGGUUUGGGGGUCAGAAAAUGAACAUCAUAGGGGGUUUUUCCCUAAUGUGCAUUUGCAUUUGUAUCUGAUGGCUUUAACUCGCCUUGUUACUACAAAGAAAUUGUCACAGAUAGGAACUUAUUCCAGGCUGAGUAUCUCCGCAUGGACCCUAUAAAAGAAGACAAGUCAUAAUGAACAUCUAACCUUUGUUCAAUUUGAUUCAAUGCCCCUAUUGUGUCCAUCUCACAAAUCUGAAUUAUUAUAUCCAUUGAAUACAUAAAUUAAUGAAGAAAAUAUGAAACCCAAGAUACAUCUCUGCACAACCUCAACCCUGGUUGCUAUGUUUCACUUCUAUUCACAUGAGGAUAUUGAUUACGGAAUAAGGAAACCUAGCAAGGGUUUACUCGGCUCUGGUUUGAUGCUAAUUGCCAAACUUGCAACAAGCCCUGAGUUUGACACCUAAUCGAUGGGCGAAUUAAAAGUCUCCUCCAAACAUAUAUUCCACAGCUUGAAGCUCACAGAAGAUGCUAUACAGGCAGGGAAAAACCUUCAGAGUUAGCUACCAAAGAUAAUUAUCAAGGAGAUAUCACCAAGAGAAUUCCAUGGAGUCUGAAUCAAAGACAAAUUGCUCGCUCGUGGGGGUUCUUACUUAAUUUCUUUUGGGUAUAACUCACUGAGGGCACUGGCUUUGUUAUUUGCAUUUCGCAUUUAGAGUUCUGUUCUGGAAGGUUUGUUCUGGAAACAUAUAAAAGGAGCAUCAUUUUGUUCUAGGGUAACCCAUAGUUGUGAGUGGGUCCAUUUGCAUGCUACUUAGUUGAAAAGUUGGACAAUUUGCUCCGACGCCUACCUCCUGGAUUCCAUGCUCGGAUAAAGCAAGAAUAAUAAAAUAUUUAUAAUUUACAAAUGGGGGAAAGAAAAAAAUGUCAACAACAAACUAGGAAAAAAGAGUAGUAAAAUUUAUGCCACAUGCUAUUGAUAGAAGGGGCAUGUAUUAGAUCCAUCACCAUUUGGUAAGAUUUUAGUAUUAUAUUUUUCAAGGUUCAUUAUUUGAGGGUGUGUUCUUCAUCUCUGUUGCAUUGCUUCUUACUAGGCCCACUGAGGUGGGUUCUUCACCUUUUGUAUAUUCUCUGCACUAGAUCAAUGAGAAAGGGGGAAUUUUGGUGAAUUUGCAGCCGUUGGAUGAUUGAUUCUAGGCUCAGUCCACCAAUGAUGCUCUCUUCACUCUUUCUCAUCUAGUGUCAUUCACAACUAUGUUUUGAUUCAUAUUUGUACUAUCAAAGAUAUCUCAUUAUUCUAGCUCAUUAGGUAGAGUUCCUAAUCUUCCUCCUUUUUGGUCUAUGGACAGUAUUGGCUUCAUAUUAAGAUCAUGUUUCAAUAAUUGCACAUUAAUGAAUGGAUCAUGACCCACAUAAACAGAGUCAGGGUUGAGUCAGUGAACCCUAAAAUUUCACAAUUCUAAAUUUGGGUUCUUUAACAAUGCAGGGUCAAGGACGCGUGGUGAUGAAGGAAAGCUGGUAAGCUCAGUGUUACUUCAAUUCCUGCCAUGUAGGAUGGUGAGGAGAUAUUCACUAUGCAAUUAAUAAUAGACAAUAUUCACUAUGCAAUAAUAAAGCAUAAAUUAAGUUGAAUGAAAAGCAUUUUCUUUGCAAGGAGUUGAUUUUGGUUUCAUAGUUUGUUCAACUGCUAUUUUGGAUAGGAAAGUGUGAGGAGAAGAAAAUAAAAAAUAAAAAUAAAACAAAAAAUAAAAAAUAGAUUUUAUAAAUUCAUUUAAUUUAUUUUUUUUUUAUAAAAAUUAACUAAUUUAAAAUAUAUGUAAAUUUCUAAUUAAUUUAAUUACAUUUUUUUUUUCAGUUUUUCAUAAUAAACCAAAUAUUAGAAAAUUAUUUUUAUUAAGACACCCAAGAUGAGGUAAUAUGCAAUGAAAACAUGAAUUAUAUUAAAAUUCAAAACAAAUUAAGAGAAAUCGGAAAAUAUACAUAGAUAUCUAAACAAAGAAAUUUAAAGAGAAGGAACCACAAACUUUAUUUACAUAAUUUGAAAAUAAAAAACAUAAAACAUACUUAUAGUAAGGAGAAAUUGAAUAUCUUACAAUGGAAGAAGGGAGAAAAGCUUUGAAGAAAGCUUUUGCUUGGAAGCUUACAUGGUGAGAGGUAGAGAAAGGAGAGAGAGAGAAGAAAAUGAAAAAUGAGAAGUGGAGAAAAUUGGAAGUUUUGUGUGCUUACAACUGAGGAUAGAGCCUCCUUAAAUAGCAAAAAAUGGAAUAUUAAAUAGUACCAAUCAGGAGACAAAAUAUUGUUUGCUUUUGAAACCCGUGCAUGAAUAGUAAUCCCGUGAGUGAAUAGUGAAUAAUAAAAGUGAAUAGUAAAAGUCACUUUCUACUAUAGCACUUUAGACUUUUUCAUCGAGAAUCUUACUUUCGGCUGAGUGAUGAUAGCUGAUAGGUUGCUUUGGAUUGUGGAGUCAUAUGUUUGAUGUUUUCGGUGCUGAAACCGCUUAGUUGGAGAAUAAUCUCGUCAGUAGAGCAUCAUGAGAAGCUUGAAUGGAGAGAGCUUAAUGAUGCCAUAUGAUUGGAAGGAAUCCUAUUUUAAUUUCCUUAUUGGAGGGAGAAUACCCUCACAAUCAUCUUCAUUAUCUUGAAGGUAGUUUGAUAUAGAGUCAUCUGACUCAGCAUAAGAGUCCUCUUGGGAGAAGCUUGAACUGCUUUUGUCAAGGAUUUUCUGAAAUUCUUGAGGGGUUUUUGCUAUUGCUAACAUGGUUUGGAGUUGCUGUUUCUUAAGAAGAAACUGUGCAAUAUCAUAAGAUGAUGAAGCUUGUGUAGGAUGCUUUAGGAAAUAUUGCUUUAUUGCUUGUAGUGAGGUAUCAUUUUUCAAGGCAUCCCACCACUUAGACUUGAAAGUCCUUCCAAGGGUUGGAAAGGCUGCUGAUUCAUCUGCUAUAAUGAUAUAAUCCCACUGGACUAUCCAGGCAAGGCCAAAUUCACUAAAAAAGAAUAAUAAUUGGGGAAAACUGAAAGUUCUCUAGGGAUAACAAAAGAACUUUGGAAUAGCUCAAAGCCAUCCAAAAUGGGUUUUGGGAGAAUUUUAAUAGUUGGACCAAAAUAUGUCCACCAAUUGUGGAACCAAAAUGGAAAAGAGGGGAGUUGAUGCUUAGAUGGGAAAUAGAACAUCCCUGAAUGAUGGAAGUCCUUGUUCUGGAUCAGAAAAGCAUUGAACCAUACUCUUUGGUAGUCUCAAUAAUUGAAAAUUUUAGGUUUUGAAGGCUUAGAAAAUUCUCUUGAAAAAUUAGGAUUCCCACCCCACUGCUUAACUGUAAGGAUUUUAUAAAUAUGGUAAGUGGAGAAUGCCAAAUCCAAAUUGCUGAAUUUAUCAGCAUUGUGCUUGAUUUUAACAGAGCCGGUUUCCAUAAGGAUUGCUUCAUAAAAUUCUCUUGUUUUUAAAAGAUCACCAAAGGGAUAAUGAAAAUUUUCAUGAAAAGCUUUUGCUGCAAUAUCUCUAGGGUUUUUAGAGAAAAACUCUUUUUCAAUAACCAAAAGAGGUUGAUUUAAAUCUUUUUGCCAAUAUCUUGCUUUUGCUGAAAGAGGUGUGGGGUUGGCUACCACCACAAUUUGCUUAUUUGAAAAAGAAGAGCUUGAUGCUAAUUCAUUUUGAGAGGGAUUAGCUUUAGUAACCUGCUUAAAGGUCUGAGACACAGUAAUAGUUGGAUACUGAGUAGCCUUGACUGGUUUAGAAGGAUUCGAAGGAUCAUAGUACAAGGACAAAAUCUUAUUAGGCAUAUGGUCAGAAGAAUGAAGCCUUGCUUCUUCUUCUAGCUCAACUUGUUGGCUCCAAAGUAUUUUAUGGGGAGAAGGUUCUUUGCUGGUUUUAGAAGACUAGGAUUCUGGAAGUUUAGGAGCUUGGGUAUUCUUUUUAGGGGCCAUGGUUUCGUGAAUCCUGUAAAAUUCACAAGUUAAGAAAUCAGGGCUCGAAGAAUGUUCUCCUUUAAUAUACUCAAUUUGUAAAUUAAAAUUGCUUAAAAUAGCUUGAUAUAUAGCAAAAAUAUGCUUAGAAGUUAUAUUCUUAACAUCCUUUUGUAAAACUAAUUUUGCAAAUUUACAAUCAACUCUUAAUAAAAACUUUUGAUUCAAAAGAUCAUCUUGAAAUUUUGAAAUGCAUAAAACAACGCUUAAAGUCUCUUUUUUAAUGAUGUUAUGAAUGAGUUGGGUAGUAUUCCAGGUUCUUGAAGUAUACCUAACUAACAUCUCAAGGUUACCAACACUUUGCUUAAGAAUCCCACCAUAACCUAUGUCUGAGGUAUCGAUCCCAACAAACUCAAAGGUUUCUGGAUUGAUAGAGCCUAAACAUGGUAGGGUCUUGACUUUGGACUUAACAUCAAUAAUGAAAACAAUGGUGAAAACAGAAAACUGGUUAAAGUUUUCAUCCAUUAUAUUCUGGAAUUCUGAGGUGCAUUCUUAAGAUCAAAGGGCAUUAUGAACCAUUCAUAAUGUCCAAGAGAUACCACAAAGGUGGUCUUAUUUGGAAUAGGACACCUAAUCCAACUUAAUGUAUCAUUAAGAGGCAUGUAGUUGACGACUAGUCUAGGUGUUCCUUUUUCUGAUUCAACUUGUUCCUGAACAUAGAAGGUUGAACAACUCCAAAGGGACUUAGACUUCCUUAUCAACUUUUUAUCAAGAAGAUCCCAAAUCUCCUUAUCACAAUAGCUUAACAAACCCUUGUUCAUCUGGAUAGGUCUUGAUUUAGUGGGAAUAUUCUUGUCACUAAAGUCUAGUUCAUAAGGUAAUUCUACCUCAUGUUGUUUCCUAUGCCAAAAUGCAUUAGGAAUGUUAGAGCAAACUUCUUCAACAAUCAGAUUAAUUUCUUGCUCAUGACUUUCCUUAGCUUGAAUCACCUGAUCCCUUAAGGUGUUUAUAUUUUUCUUAUUAGGUGGUUGGCAAAUUCAAAAAUAAUUUCCUUAUCUAAGAGCUUUGUUCUUAUACUUUGGUCAUCUACCCACAUGGGAUAGAUGGAGCUUAAAAAGGGGAUUCCAAGGAGAGCUUUCUCCUUAAGAUCCUUAACUAGAAUGAAGGUUUGCUUGAUGCAAAUGCCUUGGUUAUUUAUGUGAGCAUCUGACAGCUUAUACUCAAUGUCAAGCCUUUUACCAUUAGCUCCAAAGAGAGAUUCUUUGGUUUUCUUACAAAACUUAAUAGGACCUAGACCUUCUUGUAGGCAAUUCAAAGCUGUUCCUGAAUCAAUCAAAGCAACAAUAUCAAUGACAAAUUUACUCUUAAUUACUAUAGUAAGGGAGACUUUCCACCUCUGGAAAAUAACCCUACUAACAGUAUUUAAGUAUCCAUCCGUCUUUUCAUCAUUAGCAUGUGAAGAUUCUAGAACCUCUUCAAGGUUUUCCUAGUUAUCAACAAGAUUUUCUAUAACAAUCCUAUUUAUUUGUUCUUGGAGAUCUGAAAAACCUAAGCUUGUGUAUUGUCUUAAAUCUUUAAUUUCCUUCUUAUACUGUCUUACUUCUUCUUGAAGAUCCUUAAUGGUUACGUCUUUGGUAGACUACUGGUUAAAUCUUCCUAAGAUUUCAUUUAAGUUAUAAGAAUUUACUGUCUUCUUAAUCUCUUGCUUAUCGACAAAUUUCUUAAAAACUUCAUAAAGAUCUUGUUUAGUUUUUUCAUCUUCAACUUUCCUUAAAACAUCUAGGACAAGUUCUUGAUCUUGGCUUAUGACAUUUAUAGUCUUAGGUUGGCAAUCACAAUUAUCCUUAAUGUAUUCUUCUUGGUCACUAGAAGUUUGGCUUGAGAUUUCCUCACCACUACUAUCUAGUUGGUUAAUACCAUUUUCAUUAUCUGAAUCAAUCCUUGAUUCAGACUCUGUGGAAUUUAACAUUACUUUACAAAGCAUAUCUUUUAAGUCUUCUGUGACAUUUAAGUUAUUAAUUUUCUGCUUAACCCUACAAUCUUUCUUAUAGUGGCCUAUCUUACCACACUUAAAACAAACUGGCUUAGAUUGUGAAGGAGCUUCUAGCUUUUUAUGGGCUUCUUUGUUCAUCAUUCUUUGGAUGUGCCUUUGUUUCUUAGUUUCAUUCAUCCUAUAGUUGCCAUGAGUUCCUCUCUUGUUGUGAUAGGACUUUUCCUUACUAGGCUUUGUACUUACUUGUUUCUUACGUUGCUUAGAGGGGGGCUUAGUUUCUUUUUGGUUGAAUCCAAACUAGCUACAAAAUGAACCAAACUCAUUCUUGUAGAUCCUUUGUUCAUUUUUCAUCUGUUGCUUAAGCUUAAAGUCAUUGCACAGUUUAAUUGCUUCUGAUGUGACAAUGCUUAUAAUUUCUCCAUAAGAAAGCUUAUCAUAAGGGAUUUGUCCAUUAAACUGUUCCCUUAUCUUAAUCCUAAUCCUCUCAGAGAAAAGUCUAGGUAGUCCUAAGAUGAAUUUUUCUUUCCAAAAAGACUGGUUAUAGUUUGAUCUUAGUAUGACUUUGGUUAGGAAAACUUCUCUAUACCAUCUAAAGUCAUGAAGCUUGGGACACUUAAGGUUGGUUAAGAGAUCUACAAUCUUAUCCUUAAUCUUUGCAGGAUCUCCAAUGAAGUGCUUUGAAAUUGAAUAGAUUAGAGUAGCCACUACAUCCUCUAUAUCUUGUCCAUCUUCAUCCUUAACCACUUCAUUUUCCUCAUUAAUCCUAUAGGCUUUUAGGAUACCAUUUCUAUCCUCAAAGGUGAGAUAAUUAUCCCACCAACCCUAAAGUUGACCUGUAAACCCAACAACAAUUGUUUGAGCUACAGCAUGGCCUGACAAUCUAUUGUUUAACUUAUAGGUUGUACUAACCAUGGUCAUUUCUUGAAGCUUAGUGAGUAUGUUGUACUCAAUCAUACCAUCUAUGUUCCAUUCAUAGAUAGUGUCACUAGUGUAGGAAGCUUGAGUAUGCUGGUUUCUUUCCUCAUACUACAUAUCAGGAAAAGUUGGUCUAGGGUAGUAAUUCCUAGUUCUUGGUUGUUGAUAAUCCUCAUAACUGUUUGGUUAGGAGGUUCCUUAAAAAUCUUAAUUAGUUCAUCAGCCUCUGCUUCAGAACUAAUUUCUCCUUUAACCAUAUUGAUUCUCUUGUGAGAUGGUUGAGGUGUCUCAGAGACAACAAGGCUAUCCUUAACCUUUUGGCUUAUCCUAUCAAUGAGGGCUUGAUCAAUAUGGAGAUUCUCUAGGAAUUUCUUAGAGAAUUCAAAAGGCUUAAAUAAAGACUUAUUAUCUUUCUUAACAAACGUAGUCUUAAUGUAGUCUUGUGUUUCAAUGAUAUCCUCAAACUUGUUGAGUUGAUCGCCUGUAGUCUUAAGAAACAUGUUAGUGUAGUUGUUUUGUUCCAUGAUUCUUCUAACGUCAACAACACUAUCAAUUCCUUUAUUCUUUGGCCUAGUCUUAAAAGGUGAAGCUUUGACUAUGGUUCAAUUAAUGUUCUUUUAUAUCUUAGCUUCUAGAGGGUGGAUGGAUUCUAUGAUAGUAUCGUCACUAGUUUUCCAUAUCUUAGUUUUUUUGGAUGUGUCAUUGACACGCUUACUAGGGUAAUCUAGAUAUUCCUCUUGUUUGAAGAGUUCAAACCAGAUCCAAUACUUAAUGUUCUUCUUUUCUUGUCUUAAGUAUGUGUAGAAUUCUUCUUGGUAGAGGGUUCUAAUGUCUUUAAGGACCUUGCUAAAGAACCAAACUCUCCUUUUCUUAUUGACUUCAGAAUAGAAGUCUUUCCUUAAGAGGUCCUUGUUGAUUCAAAGUCUUCGUUAAUUAGGCUUACAGUGUUAAUCAACUGAGAAUAAGUAGGAGACAUAUCAGGAGAUUCGUCCUGAUGUGAUUCUUGAGUAAACUCAUUUUCCUCCAUGUAAAAGGGUUUGGCCACGUUGGUGUGACUUCUAACACCUGUUAGCUUAAUAUUCUUAGGAUUUGCUGAACUAGAUCCUUCCUCUAUCCUAGUGGUUCUUAUUGGGAUAGAUGAACUUGAAGCUCUAGAGGGCUCAUAAUAUGAAAUUCUAAGGCUGCUAGAAUGAUGAAAAGAGUUGGAGAAAAUUAGAUCUCGUUCUCCAUCAGGAUAUUGAACAAUCUGUUCAAUUCUUUCAGAUCUUUGCUCUAUGGCUGGGACAACAUUAGCAAAAUGCCAAUUUUCUGGAAACUCAACCUCAUUCCACUUGAUUUUCAUGGGGACUAUGAAAUUAGACUUGUUUAUCAUAUCUAAGUGGAAGAUAGUGGUUUCACCCUUGGGACUGGUGCACAAUGCUCCAAAUCCAACGCUUAUGGUCAUGCUCUUAUAGGCAAAUCUGGUGAUGAUGGAAACAUGAUUGUUUCCUUGCUUGAACUUAAAGUCAUGGGUCUUAACAUGAAGGACAACUGAAUCUAAGAUGUUGACAUCUCUUAGUCUAACUGUGAAGUUAGGGAAACACUGGAAAUAAACAGGACCAUCAUUUAAUCCUGCUUGGGUAGCUCCAAUAAUAGAAUCUCGGUAAUCAAGAUGUCUAUUAUCUCUUAAACACAUGACAAUAAAGGUGUUUAGACCUAGUCUUGUCAAGGGCUUAGCUGCAACUUGAAUCAUGCCAAAGUGUAUGAAGUUGUAGUCUCGCUUAUGCUUAUCAAUGGACUUACUAUCCAAGAGUCUUAUGACUUGAUCGUCGUGUUCUAAACUUACUGACAUUUCAGGGGUUUUAAUGGUGUAAUCUGUAAAGAACUUAAAGGUUCCUUUCUUAUAAAUUUCUUGAUUAGGUACCUUGGGUAACUUCCAAUCAUCUAAAUCAUCUUGGAUCUUAGGAUAAUUGAUCUCUUCAUUGUUUACUCUUGAGAAUUUGUGGAUUUCCUAGACAUGGUUCUGAAAAUCAAACUCAUUUUAAGGUUUUAAUCUAGAGCCUAAUAGCAGAUUAACAGACCUAGUGAGUAAUCACCCCAACCCUUUUCCAACCUUAACAAACGCCUAUCUCCAGCUAACAAUGGGCUCAACUCGGCAAGGAUCGCACUCAGGCACACUACUAUCUUUCCUAGGAUAGAUCAAAACACCCAAAACAAACCCGACUUCCUUUUCCUAGGAUAUAUAUAGUAUUUUGGGUUUGAGUAGGAGUUCAUGUUUUGUAUGUAAUUGUAGUCUACGUUGGACUAGGUUGUUUGCUCCUAAUUGAAAUAGGAAUGGUUGGUGUCACAUCUCAUUCAUUUUCUCAUCUAUUUCCAUGUUUAGAUAACUCAAGUAAUCAUAGGAAUGAAAUUAAGAAUGAUUUGAGGGAAAUGAAAUCUCACUUGUAAGUGGGAUCUCAAUUCAUCAUUAAUAGAAGGUAUUUUGAUUACAUAGUGCAAGUUAUUUUUAAAAACACUUUUCAAAAAUUGAAAAACCAAAAACUCUCUUGGAUAAGUUGUUUUUAAAAAGAAUUUUUGUAUUUUUAUUUUGUAAAAAAAAAAAAUAGUAAUUCAAUUUAUAUAAUAUAAAUAGACUUUAAUUUUAUUAAAAAUAAAAAUAAUUUUUUAAUUACAAAUAAAUUAAAAAAUAAAUAUUUGUAAUAAAAUAUGAAUAGUAAUAUUAUAAUAAAAUCAUAAAUAAAUUAAAAAUAUUUUUAAAAACAAAUAAGUUUAAUUUUUUUGAGGUACAAAUGAGCCAAAUUUUUCAUUAGGUACACAACCAACAAUUUUUAUUGGAAACAUUCCUCAAAAAAGAAUUCGUUUCCCAUAUAGCAAAGAUAUUUAUUAUUUAGUAUCUAACCAUCCGUAGUAAUCAUAUCAAUUCUACUAAGUUAUUUAAUAAUUCAUUUAUAUAUAGUACUCAAUUAUGAAUUUUUUUAUUUGAUGUAUAAUUAAUUAAUCAAUGUUUUGAAUUUUGAAUUAUUCUUAAAAUUUAAAACAUUAAUUAUGUCUAUUACUUUUUAUAGUCAUUAUAUAUAUAUAUAUAUAUAUAUAUAGAGAGAGAGAGAGAGAGAGAGAGAGAGAGCUUAAAUUUAUCUUUAAAAAUUAUUAAAUUUAUUAAUAAAUUCAAUACAAAGACUCAUUUGAUUUGAAAUUCAUUUCUUUAGUGAAAAUUUUGAAACUAAAUAGUACUUUGUUUUACUUUGUUUUUAAAUCAUACUCACAAAUAAGUUUUUAUCAUUUAGCCAAAAAAUCUCAAAGAUGUUUCUAAUUUUAUUUAUUUAUUUAUUUGUAAAUGAAAAUAAAAAAUUAGUUUAAACUAAAUAUGCGGAUAUUAUUGUUAAUUUAUUUCAUUUUUUAUUUCCAUUGUUAUUUAACAUUGAAACGGAAACAAAUAAUCAUUCCAAUCUUACAUUCUUAUAUGCAUCUAAACACAAGAAUUGAAAUCACCAAAUUCAUAUUCAAGGCAAAAUAGAAAUGGAAAAAAAAUAUUCAUUUUCAUUCCUCAUUCUCAUGUGCUAAACAUGACAUUAGUUCUACUACCUAUUUCACCAUUCUUCUUGAUAAAUUUGGUAUAUGCAAUAUUGAUCUAAGUGUGAGGUGAAUAAGAAUGAUGAUGGGAUGGGCUUGGAAAUAAGGGCAAAGUUUCUAGGUGCUAUCUAGAGGGGCAACGCGACUUUUUCAAAUUUCGAAUAUUUGUUCUCAACAUAAAGCAAAACUUUACUCACACAAUAGAUAAGACUCUGUUUGUUUUCUUCAUCCACGACUAUAUAAUGUAUAGCUCUUACUCAAGGGAUGAGCUACUUACUAUUAAGGAUUGGGUAAGAUAUUGCCUAAUGGCCAAGAAGGCAUGUCAAAAAAUAAAUCUAAUCACCAUAAAAAAUAAUAGGGGAAAAUUAAUAUAUUAUGAAUGAUGACUUUACUAUUUCUCUAUAUACAUAAUUAUAUAUUUUGAAUUUUCUCACUAGGUAAUGAGAUUCUAAAUCAACUGAAACAUAAUUAAUAAUUUAUAUUUUUAAUGAAUCUUUUAAUUUUUAAAAAUAAUUUAAAAUUUUAAAAAACAAUUCAAUUAAUUACAUAUUAAAUCAAAACAUUUCAAAAUAUUGUGUUUGUAGAUGAGUACUAAAUGCUUGCAUAUAAUAAUAAUAAUAAAAAAAUUGACUCAUUUAGAUGUUAAAAAAGUUAAAUGUUUUUCAUUAUUCAUUUUAAGUAAAAUAUUAUUGACAUUAUUAUUAUAAAAUUAUUAUUAUUCAUUUUUAACAAAAAACAAAAUAAGUUAUUCUUUUACCAAGAUGUCAAUAUCUAUAUUUUUCUAACAUAUAUUAAAAUAGUAUACUUUUCUUUUAUUAAAAAUAAUAAUUAUUAUUAUAUUAUUAUUCAAGUUUUAUUAAAAAAAUUUAUCUUUUAAUUCAUUUGUAAUUACAAAAUAAUUUUAUUUUAUUAAGAAUUUAAUUUAAUUACGCUUUUUUUUUUUAUAAAAAAAACAGUUAUGCUUUUACCAAGAUGUUAAUAUUCAUAUUUUUCUAGCUAACAUAAAUAGAAUAGUACACUUUUUCAUAUAAAAAAAUAAUUUAUGAUUUUAUUAUAAUGUUACUAUUCACAUUUUACUAAAAAUAUUUAUUUAUUUUAUUUAUUUUUAAUUAUAAAAUAAUUUUAUUUUCAAGAAUUUAAUUUUAAAAAAAUAGAAAUCAUUUAUUCUUUUACCAAGAUGUUAAUAAACAUAUUUUUCUAACAUAUACUAAAAUAAAAAAGUUUACUUGUUCAUUAAAAAAUAUAAUUUAUGUUUUUAUUAUAAUACUACUAUCUAUGUUCUACUAAAAAUAUUUAUUUAUAAUUAAAAAAUAAUUUCAUUUUUAAUAAGACUUGAACUAAAUUAAAUUUAUAAUUUUUUUUUAAAAUAAAAUAGAAAAUUAUUUUUUAAAAACAACUUAUUGAAAGAAAUUUUUUAUUCUUUACUUUUAAGAACUGUUUUUAAAAGCAACCUAUAAACCCCUUUGGGUCUGUUUGGCUAUGUUUCAUGCAACUUGUUUUUAAAAAUUGUUUUUUAUUCUUUAAUUUAAUUUUUUUUAAGUUAAAGAAUAAAAAACAACUUUCUAGUGUUUUAUAAAAAUGAGAGCUUUUGACAAGUUGUUUUUAAAAACCAUUUUUAAAAAUAAAAAAUAAAAAACUUAUUUAGAUAAAUUGUUAUAUAUAUAUAUAUAUAUAUAUUUGUAAAAACAUUUUAAAUUCAAUUUAUAUAAUAUAAAUUUAAUUUAAUUUAAGUCUUAUUAAAAAAAAAUUGUUUGGAUAAGUUUUUUUUUUUAAAUAGUUUAUUAUUUUUGUUUUGUAAAAACAUUGCAAAUUCAAUUUAUAUAAUAUAAAUUAAUUUAAUUCAAGUCUUAUUAAAACCAAAAUAAUUUUAUAAUUACAAAUAAAUUUAAAAAUAAUUUUUUUAGUAAAACAUGAAUAAUAAAAUUAUAAAUUAUAUUAUUGUGGACCCUGCAUUUAUGCUCAUGCGCUUCCACUUGUUGGCGAACUCAUUUUUUAUUUGAAAAUGAUUUAUUUUUUUAGAAAAUGACUUAGAGUCGCCACUUAUUUUUGUUUUAUUUUUAAAGGGCAAGCAAAAUAAGAAAGAAAACCCUAAGUGUGACUCCUUAUUCGAAAAAGGUAGUCUGUGUAAAACCGGAUCAGGGUUCAGGGAUCAGGUUACUUAUUGGGAAGGUAUGACAAUGACCGUAGCACUCCUCUAAGUCCUUAAAAACGGGCCUCUACUAAAAAAAAUAAAGUAAUCAUGGCAAUCAGUAAGGAAAUCACUGGAUACCCAGAACAAUUAUGCACAUGUGAGAAUUAAAACAUGCAUAAGAAUGGACAAAGUGAGAGUGGGUGCGUACCUUGACAACGAACCACAAUGCGUUAUCAAGAAAUGGGGUUAGUGCACGAUCAAUGAACAUAAAACACGUCACACAUGUCACUAAGCAGAGUGAGAAAUCAUCAGAUAUUACAAUUCAAUCAAAUUUAUUUUUAGAAGAAACAUCUGUUGAUGUAGAGCCCCUACCAAAGCCUAAUUUAUUUUUGCAUGAAUCAAUUUCAUAAAUUCAAUCGCUUGGAAUUACAGAAUUAAAUUCAUGCUUAUUUUAAAACAUCUUUUUAAAAUCAUGGAAGAUGUGAAAAUGGUUUUCCAAAGAGAAAAUGACAACUGAUUUUAUUGAAAAUGGGAUUUUGGGGACCUAAACGUUAAAGAGGGAUUAGGAAUUGAAAAUUAAAUCAUUUGAAAAUUGAAUUUUUCAAAAAUCAGUUUUGAAAGCAUGCAUGCAAGUAUGGACUGUGAAAGUGGGCCUAGGGAGGGUGGCCAUGCAAAAUGAGGUCAUACACGUGGGCCUUGGGUACAAUUGGGACUACUUUGCUGGUGCCAGUGGUGCUUGCAGCUGUCAUCCAUGAUUUCUUCAUUGGGAUCAAUUUCCAUUCUUACUGCCAAACAUUCCAUAACAAUUGACCAAACUAGUAACCCUGACCUUGCAUGAAAAUGAACGUUACCUAGAAACUCACUGCCAGUGAGAUUCAUUGCUCUUUCAAAAGGUCUCAUUUUCUUUCUCAUCCAAUUGCUUUAAGGAGCAUUCUAGCGUCACGAUUGGUGACUGCGCAUCAUCUAGAGCCUUCUUUCUUCUCAGAAUCAGGUUUGCGUGCAGAGGCCUGUGCUUGUUCAAGGUUGACCUAAAUUCAUCUAGGUUUAGAACCGACCAGUUGAGCUUGGGGAGCAACGACAAGAAUAUCAGUCACUUGCGAAGAGAAAACUCGAGAUCUUUCAAGUAAUGCCUGACAUAGAUUCCUCCAACCUGUGGCCAAUAUCUCAUUCCUUGUUGGCCAGACGCCUAUUAGGGCGUAUCUCAAUCAAUAAUAUGAUUUUUCGUUUGUUCACAAUAAAGACCGGAAGCCAUGGUUGUGAUUUAUGCAGUACAGAAGAAGUUGCCAUGGCUGGUAUCCUUACAAAUUCUGGUGUUUCUGCUAUCUGUUCAAGUGCAAAACACAACAGCUUUAUCAAGUUUGUCCCUAACAACUGAUAUUGAGCCCUCUGGAGGAAACCUUGAUAAAUUCAUAAUCACUUUUGACUCAUGCAUGGGCUGCCCAUCAAAUUUUCCUAGCAACGAGACGACUGCUGUCAUCUACUGCAAAGAGAAUUUCUUCUCGCAAAGACAAGAGGAGUUUAAGAAUACACACUAUUCUGCCAUUUCAUUUCCUCUUUCUCCACAACCAACAUAAACCAUAGUGUCUACAUUAGAGUACUUAGAAAGAGCUUAACUGAUGACCGUUUUUCCACAACCAAAUGCCCCAGGUAUGGCACAAAUUUCACCGAAAACAGAAGGGAAAAGGGCAUCAAGAACACGCUGUCCUGUAAGUAGUGGGGUAUCAGGACUACUCUAGGGAAGUUAUUUCUGUCAUUUUGAAAAAGAAAAAUUAAAGAAUGUACACAUGCUUUCAAGUGGACUGGAGCAUUCUACAUAUCAGGUGGUCUGUAGCCACAUGUGCCACUUUGUGGAAGUUGGAACAGUCGAUCACUAGGCUAUUUAGUGUGGCCAAGCCACGUUAAUCAAGGACAAGUCUUCAUACUUAAAAGUCAAAUGGUGCCUUUAGUCUCAUUACACAUGGCUAUUUAAAGAUGAACUAAUCUUUAGUGUAAUGUGAUUAAGACAGUACUAACUGAUCAAUAUUUUUUCUAAUUUUGGAUGCAAAUGCUUGCUGGCUUCAUCAUUGGAUGGGAUAAAGGUGCAUUCAUGACUCUGAAUACUUGCAGUAAUACUUGCAGUAAUACUUCAUUCUCUUUUUUCUCGAUGAGACUUCUUGGCACAAUUUUGCUUCUCAGCAACCUACCUCUCCAUGGAAAAUGAGUUGCGAUUGAUGGUACUGGAUAUUUUCUAGGAAGCUAAAUAUAGAUAUAUAGCACUCAAUGUCAACGAUAUAUAUAGCAUUAACAGUAUAUGUCUCAAUGCUCAUCAGCUACAAGCAAGGGACAAACACUUACAAUGAAUAACUCACGUCAACAUUCCUAAACAGGACAUAGAAGUGACAGAUCUAUAUAUAGAACACUGCAUAUGAGUCACAAGAAAAGAUAAUACGGGUGCAUAGCAGCUCUUAUAUUACAUAUUACUCAUACCGUUCAAAUUCACUCAGUUGGGAUGGGUGGGAGAAGGAGGCCUCUGGGGUGGCUUGUGCGUGUGAGAAGUGGAAGAAAGUUGAAUGGAAUGAAACUGAAAAACAGGGUAGAAUAGAGGUUUCUUGAAUCUUCUGAAAUCUUUAUUUUUCUGAGAUUUAUUCUCUGUUUUUGUGAGUCGUGACUCUACAUAUAUACAUGUAUUUAAAGUUAGUUAUGCCUUAUAACUAAUUAUCUAACAGUACCAAAACUAAUCAUCUAGUUGCAUGUUUCUAAUUAAUGCUAUUUAGUUACAACUAUAUAUGGCUUAACAUCCUCUCUCAAACUCAAAAGUCUAGCUAGAACAGUGAGUUUGCUUCAUAGAUUGAGAAAUUGUUGAAUAGGUAAGGCUUUGGUAAGAGCAUUAGCAAUCUGGUCAUAAGAAGGAAUGUGUUGAACCACCAAAGUCUUAUUGAGCACCUUUUCCUGAACAAAAUGGCAAUCUAGUUCCACAUGCUUAACUCGAGAAUGAAAAUAGGAUUGGCAGCAAGAAAGGUGGCUGAAAGAUUGUCAUAGAACAAAACAAAAUAGGAGAAUAAGAAGAUGAGAUAGAAAACUCCUGAAGAAGAUGUUGAAUCCAUUGAAGUUCAAAAGCAACAUUUGCUAAGGCCCUAUACUCAGCUUCAUUGCUGGAACGAGACACAACUUUCUGCUUACUGGAGUUCCAGGAGACUAGAUUAGAGCUAAAAAAGAUGCAAUGACCACUUGUACUUCGACGAUCAUCAGGGCAACCAACCCAAUCAACAUCAGCAUAAGCAGUAAGUUGAAAAUCAGGAGAAGAAUAAAAGGAAAGACCAAAGGAAGUAGUGCCCUUAAGAUAAUGCAACAAUCGUUUAACAACUUGCCAAUGAAGAUCAGUUGGUUAUUGCAUGAAUUGGCAAAGUUUAUUGAUAGAGAAAGAGAUGUCAGGCCUUGUAAUGGUACAAUAUUGCAGGGCUUCAACAAUGUUGCGAUAUUGAGAAGGGUCAGCCAAGAGGGAACCUUUAGAGGCAGAUAAAGUGUGAGAGGUAGUCAUUGGUGUAUCAAUAGGUUUAAAAUAUGGAAGACCAGCACGAGUUAACAAGUCCUGAAUAUAUUUGGUUUGGGAAAGAUGAAGAGAAGAUCCUUGCCAACAUACUUCUACACCCAAGAAGUAAUUCAGAAUACCAAGGUCCUUGAGAGCAAACUGAAAGUGUAAAGACGAAACCAUUUGGUGGACUAGCACGGUAUUAAGACCACUAACAAUAAUGUCAUCAACAUAGAUGAGAAUAAUGAUCAUGUCAGUCCCUUUCCGAAGAGGAGCUUGCUUCAGACCCUACAAGGCUUUGCGAAGUUUACAGAAAAAACCGGGUUUAGAAUGAUCAACAAAGCCUGGAGGUUGAACCAUGUAAACCUCUUCUUCUAACUCACCAUUGAGAAAGGCAUUAUUAACAUCUAAUUGUUCCACUAACCAACCAUGAGAAAUAGCAAGAGAAAGAACAAUUCAUAUAGUAGUUGGUUUAACAACAAGGCAAAAGGUUUCAAAAUAAUCAAUACCAUAUGUUUGAUUAAAACCCUUUGCAACUAAGUAGGCUUUAAAACGAUCAAUUGAGCCAUUAGCUUUGAGUUUCAGCUUGUAUAUCCAUUUACAACUAAUAAUGCGUGUAUUAACAGGUUUAGGAACCAAUGUCCAUGUGGAAUUGGUGAGAAGAGCAUCAUACUCAGUCUUCAUAGCAGCUUGCCAAUUAGGAUGCAAUAUUGCUUCUUUGAAAGAGGAGGGUUCGACAACAGUAGUUUGGAUAGCAAGGCUAAAUAUUUUUUUGGGUUUAAAAAUACCAUUUUGGCUACGAGUAACAAUAGUUCGGUUUGGAAGUGAAAGAGGAUCAGUGGAGGAGGCUGGAACAAGGGAUUGUGGUAAAGUAGGAAAGGAAGGUGGAUGAGAUGGAACAAAAUCAGUAGGGACAAUAAUGGGAGAAGAAAAAUUAGGUGGAGAAUGAUGAGGAUUCCUUGAAGAUGGUGUAGGAAUAGAGAGAAUACCAGAAUCAAGAAGUGUUAAAGAAGAGUUGGAUGAUGAUACUGGUUGACAGGAUAAAGACUUUGUUAAAAAUGGAAAUCGAGUUUCAUCAAAUACAACAUGACGAGAAGCAUAUAUCCGAGAGGAAGCCAUAUCCAAACAGAGGAAUCCCUUGUGUUUAGCACUAUAACCCAAAAAACAGCAAACAACAAAUAUAUUUGCUAGCUUGUGAGAAGCAUAAGGGCGAAGAUAAGGAAAACACAAGCAUCCAAAACUUCAAAGAGAUGUAUAAUAAGGUAAACGAUUAUAAAGAACUCCAUAAGGAGAAUUUUGUGAAAGAACAGCAGAGGGAAGGCAAUUUAUGAGAAAAAUGGCAGUUUGAAAUGCAAAUGACCAAUAUUUGAGAGGGUAUACCAGCUUGUAUUAACAAAGAAAGACCAACUUCCACAACAUGACGAUUCUUUCUUUCAACUCUUCAAUUUUGCUAAGGAGUAUAAUGACAAGAGACUUGAUGAAGAAGACCAUUUGUAGCCAAAUAAUUCUGAAAAGCUGAAACUGAAACUCAUCAAAUUGAUUUUUAGUAUCAAAUUUUCUUCAGACUGAACACAUUGAUUUUUAGUAUCAAAUUUUCUUUCAACCAUGGCUUGAAAAUGUUGGAACAUAAGUAAAGCUUCAUCUUUAGUUUCCAAAAGGUACAACCAUGAGAAUAUGCUAAAAUCAUCAAUUAGCAAGAGGAAAUAUUGAGCAUUACCAUUGACAGAAACUAUAGGAGUUGCACCCCAAAGAUCAACAUGGAUGAGACCGAAUGGUUUUAUUGCUCUAGAAGUGGAUAUUUCAAAUGGAAAACGAUGGCUUUUAGCCAACUGACAAGACUCACAUACAGAGUUAUUAUUGUCAUGUUUCAAAGGUAUUUUAUAAAGAGAUAAGAUUUUGGAAACUACAUUAAUAGAGGGAUGACCAAGUCUAUUAUGCCAAAGCCUCAAAGAACCAACGGCUAAAGUACUACUAGUAGAGUAAAAUACUAGUGGAUGACCAACAACUCUUGGUGUAGCAAGAAGUUUAUAGAGACCCUUCUCAAUUUUUCCUUGAAGAAGAGCAAGUCUCGUUUCCUGAUCCUUUACCACAAAAUGAGAAGAACGAAAUUCAAUAAAGGUGCCAUUGUUUGAGUAAAAUCGUUGCACGCUAACUAAGUUGGUGGUAAUAGAAGGAACAUGUAAGACAUCAUUGAAAAACAAAGAACCACUUGAAGAGGCAAGAGAAAAUUUACCAAUAUUUGCAAUGGAUAAACCCUUACCAUCUCCAACAAUUACUUUGUCACCACUGGUAAAUGGAUUAUGGAUUGUUAAAUUGUUAAGAUCAGAUGUGAGAUGAUGGGUAGCCUUUGUAUCAAGAAACCAAUAAGUGUCUCCCAUUGUUGCAGAAGUUGUAGUCAUAGCCUCAGGAUUGUUAGAGGUGGAAUGUUUAGAAUCUUUUGGCUGAUAAUCAGAGUUAAACCGAUACCAGCAUUGUAAAGCGGUGUGUCCGAACUUACAACCGAGAGAAAUAAUCUUUACUUAUUCUCUAAAAACUGUUCUUUAUUCCACACAUUAUUUCUAAAAACUGUUUCUAGAUAACAAUGACAAAAUAGUAUUAGGAAUUUUUAAAAAUAAAAAUUGUUUUUAAAUUACAUGAUCUAUAUCAUUCACAUUUGACCAUUAUAGCUUUGUUCAGGAAAACACUUGAAAGUAACCUUAUCGUGAUAAGAGAUAUAAGUUGGCUGUAGUUUCAAACUGAAAACAGAGGAUGGCAAUAGAAAGCAAAGCAUUAGUUAUCUGCAAUCAGUGGUGAUCAUGCCCCAUGUCAAUUUCGGACCCAUAUCUUAAAACCGUAUAAUUUGCAUUUCAACAUUUCUGAUUUCUCAGAUGUUUCAUACUCCACAGAAGAACAUUGUUUGUGAAAGCAUGCAUUUAUGCUGGAUUUUGGAUGAUGUGGGAACUGGGGCAAGGAUCAUAUGGAAGAGUGGUCGAUUUUUUCUGUACUUUAACAUUUGAAAUAGGAGCAGCACGGGCAUUUGUGGGGCUUAAUUGAUUUUGAAGCCUGAAAUUGCGUUUCUGUCAUUUUGUAAAAAAUAUGGCAGAUUCCAUGCUCUCAUAUGUUUGGUCUGUGGCCAUGUAUAGAUGCCACUUAGUGACCAGUUUGUAACUGUCAAUCAUAGUGUUUUGACUCUGGCUCAACAACAUCAGCCAUUGACGGAUUUUCAUACAUGCAAAUCAAAUAGUCUUCUUCCUCCCUUAGGAAUUUCGGUUUAAAUGUUAUUAAGCAUACAUUUGGCUGACAAUUAUUAACCACUUCAUGAUAUGGUUUCUUACCCUUAAUCAAUGGUUUCUAAGUGAAUAUAUGCAGAAGGAAAUCUGAACUGUAGACAGCAGUAUUGAUAAUUAUCAAUAUUCUUUAUAUAAGAGAAUAAACAACGUCAUAGUGAUCGUCGCCUACAAGAAAGGUACAUUUCCCAACAAGAUGUAGUUGUGACUGGUACAUGGACGUAAUUAACUCGUAGAAAAGGAUAAGACCAGUGCACGGCAGCUCUUAUUUUACAUGCUAAUUAUGCUAACCAAAGUCACUCAGUUGGGAUGGGAGGGAGAUGGAGGUUUGUGCGGUGGCUUGUGGGGCGGAGUUGGUGGCUUCUUUUCAGGAGCUUGUGGCUUUUUCGGAGCUGAAGGAGGCUCAAUCUUAUGAGGCGGCUUGUACGAGUCUUCUUUACUCUCGACAGGAGGGUGGCCAGGGUUGUGACCAUAAUGUGGUGGCUUCUCUCCCUUAGGUGGCUUGCCAACUGGGGUUGGUGGCUUGUGUUCAGGAAGUGGUUUCUCUCCCUUGGGAGGUUUACCAAUUGGGGUUGGUGGCUUGUGUUCUGGGAGUGGUUUCUCUCCCUUGGGAGGUUUAGUGGGUGACUUGUGUUCUGGAGGUGGCUUCUCCACCGGAGGCUUGUGCUCCGGUGGUGGCUUCUUGGUUGGAGGGGGCUUGGGGUAAUCAGCAAGAGAUGGGGGGGUGAGAACCACCACUCCAAGGAACAACACUAGCAAGUAUGUGGGAGACAUUUCUGAGUUUGAGCUGAUCAGAUGAUGCAAAACUAGAAGAAUUACGUGACCUUUUAUAGCAAGUAGCUCCCAAUACCCACAUGACACGUGUUACUGUGACCAUAAAUAUUAUAGGGUCCAUUUGUGCCCUACCGGGUUGAAAACUUGGACGCUUGGCCGAGGACACACCGAACUAUGGAGGACUAUUGACGUGUGAUCACAGCUUUUGGAUUUUUCUUCCUGUGCAGCUGUCUAGCGGUUGGCAUUAUUUUUUUAAUCUUAAAUAAAGGCAUAGUUAUAGAGUACAUUUAUAUAUCUUCAGAUAGCCAUUAAUAUAUUUGAUGAAGAAAGACAAGUGCAUACAACAUGUAUACGGCUUGCUUCAAUCGAGUACAUUUAUGAUCAGUUUUCCAGUGCAAGUAAACCAGUUUUUUGUUCCACAACUAUUUUGGAAUCUUGUUUAUCAGUUUCUAUCAUUAUAAUGUCACAUAGGCUGCAAACUUGGGCACCCAAAGAUCUAGUUGGGCAAAUUUGUUUCAGAAUUUCAAUGGUGGAUUCAGUAAUUGUUAAAAGGUGUUUCUUCAUUAAGGAAAGAGUCCUGUAAAAAUAUUGUUAAAAGGUGUCAUAGAAACUAUAAUAAUUAAAUAACUUCUUUUCCCCGUGGGUGGUGUUUCUUCUGGGGAUACCCAAAAUGAGUUCAGAUUAAAAUUGGUUCGAGUCAAAGCUGUCUCUUUUGUCCAGAAAUCAACUAUUUUGCGCAUUGCAUGAAUCGAUAAAGAAAAAAUGAAAGCCAAAUCACACCUCCCCUGCAAAACCUAAACCCCGGUUGCUAACUUUCUAUGUUUCAGUCCUAUUCAUACAGGAAUAUUGGUUCAAGUUUGAGAAAAAUGGCAACUUACCUAGGGAUUACUUGGUUGUGGUUUGCGACGACUAUUUACGCAACCAACCAUGAGUUUGACUUUAACGUCAUGGGUUGAAGCCUCCUACAAUCGUGUAUGAUAGUUCAAAGCUCGUAGUAGAAAUUAUACAGGAAGGAAGAAACCUCCAAAGCUAGCUCCAAAAGAGAAUUAUCACAUCGAUAGCUCCAGAGAUUCCCAAGGGGACUGAAUCAAAGACAAGUUCCUCACUUUUUCUUCUUUUGAGGCCAAAUAUGAACCAAGGAUCACACGACCUCAUUCAACUUCAUAAGUUUGAUUUCAUGCAGUUGAACACUGGGUGAAGGCCAUGACAAGAAUUGAUUAAAAAAUUCUACCACUGUUUUAAGUAAUGGAAGAUUAUUAUCUCUGAUUGGCACCACAACAGCACAUGCUGCUAGAUCUUUCUAGACACUCCAUGCAAUGAAAGUACAAUGGAUCUUGUAACGAUAGAAACUAAGCCAUGCUACAGUACUAGAUGACGAGGUAAAACUAUUAGACAUGGGUGGCAGCCUAUAUGGGAGGGACACAAGUCUAAUUGAUUUGCAUUUCAGCGUUCUAGAUGGGUAUGUUUUGGAAGAUUUGUUCUGGAAAUACCGCACCAAGUAGGAUUCUUUUUUCUCUUGAGUGGGUCCACUUGCAUGCCAAUUAUCGAGUUGAAAAGUAGAGCACCUACCUCGUGCUCGUGGAACCGAAGGUCAGUGAAGUGGGGCUCCUUUUGGCCUCUUGUGUUUCUGUUCCAACCAAGGCGGCGGAGGGAAAAACAGCAAUAUGUCUCCGCUAAAUAUCAACGCAUGAUAGCGAAUGAGGGAGAAAAAAAGUAAUUGGCAUCUCAAUCUCACAAACUUGGUACAGUAGUGACAUUAAUAGUCUUCCACAUGGUUUUUAUUUUAUUUUAUUUUAUAUUUUAUAUUUUCCAUUUUUUUAUUUUUUUGUAUGUCAAGGCUAAUGAAUAAAAUGCGUUAGCUUGUUUUGUGAUUGGAACUGCAAAUGUCCAAAUUGGAGUUUCUCCAUUUCUCAGUUCGGAUGGUUAACUUUAUAAACAAGAUAUAGGAAACAUGUGAACGUCUUGAGGAACAAUUCGAAUUAUUGAUUAGAACUCCUAGGUUGAGUUCCAAGAUUUAAAUCAGACCCCUCUAGCAGCUUCAGGGGUACCUAGCAAUUAGAACAUAUUAAUGAAGAUUUAGGAUUUAGACUCCGGAAUACAAAUUAAUAUGUAUCUUAUGCUCUGACUAGCUUCCCUGCAUAUGCACAAAAUGGAGAUGACCCAAAAAAUAGCAGAAUCGCCUUAGUUUAUGUGGUUAAGGUGAUUCUCCGGUUAAUAUCCACAUUGGCUCAUUAUGCAAAUCAACUGAGCUAUUUUUUUUUUAAUGUCAAAUAGGAACUCCUAAUUAACCUAACCAUUGGCCUGUGUAAAUUGAUUUCACAUGCACAAUGUUGUAGUAGAAGUCCACAUUUUGAAUUUUAUUUUUGGAAAGGUAAGGAAAAUGAAGCAUUGUGUAAUUAUAAAAAUAACUUCAUUGGAAUUCACAAGGUUCACCCAAAAUGGAGCUACAUCCGUAUUCUAUCUUACAGUAGACUAUAUAGAUUGUACAAUAGUAAAUUGCAAAUACAAUUAAUAAGUCUUGUGUUUCCUUACUAAUAAUCCUUUGACAUAAACAUUGCAGCACUAAGGUCCUCUUGGGCAGACACCUUGCACCCAUGAGAGCACUAAGAGGAAGCAAGGCGGAGUCAUGGGUGCAAUGUCAUGACUUGUUGCACUAAGAGAGGCUUGGUGAUGGCAUAGUGCUGCAGUAGCAAGAAUGUUGCCUUGGCAGGGACACGAUCUAGGGACAGAUGCCAAGAAAGGCUUAGCACUCACAUGAGUUGCACAAAGAUGAAUGAAAUAGAACAUCAAAGAGACAUCUUGGCAAGCUCAAGAAAGACAUGUGGGUUGGUAAAUGAAUGGAUGCAAGAGGCAACAACAUGAGGAGUUUCAAAUGGAUAGGGAAUGAGUCAAAGACAUUUGAAAGCUACAAGUUGGAUUCUAAUUACGAUUGCAAUUUGAGUUUGAGUAGGAGUUUAUAUUAUGAUUGUAAUUGUAGUAUGAGUUGGACUAGGAUUGCUUAUCCCUAGUCAAAAUAGGAGUUGUUCAUGCCACACCCUAUGAAAAGAGUUUGAGUAGGGACUAGGAUUGCUUGCUCCUAGUCAAAUAUGGAGUAGGUGGUGCCACACCUAUAAAAAAAAAAGGGACAACAUGAGAGAGAGAGAGAAUGAAUUCACCAAAGAUAUUGUGGGAGUUUUGCUUUGUUACAUCUUGUAUUAUUAUUUAGAAUAGUAAUAAAAUACAAGUUGGGGCUAGAGCCCCAUAAUCUCGUGUGCCUUUGUGGGUUAUUCUUUAUUUGCCAUCUCGUGUGGAUUGGAUUAGAUUGAUGAGGCGAAAUAUUAUGUGGGAAAUUUAUGUUGGGACACUUACCAUAACCAGGUAAAAUCUACCAAGUCUUUUGUAAUAUCUUCUACAAAUAUUUUAGACCAGUUCUUCACAAAACAUCAUAAUAUGUUUUGUGUUUCUCUUGGAUUUUGAGUUGAAUUGUCUUAGAUCAAUUGAAUGCAUCUCAAUAUUAUUAUCUUGUUUGAAGGCUUGAUGAUUUUCCAUUUAACUUUACUUUCUUUAGGUUAUGCUUGAUUCCUUAAAAGUACUAAGGAAAACAAAAAAUAAAAAAAAAUAAAAAAUGCAGAGGGUUAGGACAUGUGUUAUCUAAUUGUCCUAUCCAAAGAUAUUAAGAAAGUCAUGUAGGAAAGUAAUUGAAAACUAGGUCAAGAAAGGAGCAAAAGGGAAUUGUUUUGGUAUUUUCUUUUUUAUUCUUGAAGGUGGCAGAGCUAAAAUUUGAGAAAUCAAGCAAAACAUACUGAAAUUACAUUGAAAGAAAGAAAAUGGUAGUUAAUGUCUUGCAGUACAUGAUAAGGACUUCAUGCAUGUAGUGUGACGACCCAUGUCUUGGACUGAUGCCACACUCACGGUUACACUUAUACCCUUGGUUCUCUCUUUACUACCUUGGCUAACCUAGAUCAGGCUAUGAGAUAGGCUCCUCACCACACCAUCACUUGCCCAGUAAUUAGUGACAUUUUCAAGCAAUGAGGUAACAUGGUGACACCAAGAGGGUUUAUCCCUCGCCCCAACAAGUCUAGACUCGGUCUCAAAAAAAUGGAGAAAAAUGAGGUGUCGUUAUGCAGAAAUACAACAACCAUGCCUUCCUUAUUACUUAGAUUCAGAAUGUGAAGGUGAAAUUGAGAAACAGAAACUCUUGAAACCAGAAUGAAAAUUGAUACUUUUACGAAGAAUUACAACAUUAGAGGAAGACUACAUUCUUCCUCUAUAUUCCUACGUUUCUACACUACUUCUACUCCACUCCAUAUUUCUACAUACAUCUUUAAUCAGUUUUCCCUCCUUUAUAUAGAGCCAUCUUCACACAAAUUCCGCAAGGUAGAAAAGAGGAAUGAAACUUGGAGCAAGGUUCGACUACUGGUUGUCGCUUGUCAAGGCUGGAAUUGAACUUUUUUUCUUGGCUUUUCUGGGCAUAGGUAGUAACUUGUGGUUCCUUUUUGGAAUGAAAAUGGUACAGCUAGAACAUGUGGCACUCUCUUGUUGGAUUAUGUGUCAAACAUGUGGCAGCCAUCUAGUGGAGAUUAUUUCAAUUUUGGGAUGGAGAGUUGGCAUCCAAUUGCAAAGAAAUAUGACAUCUACCAACAUGCAAUGUAAACCUAUAUAGAUCAUAUGGAGAUAGAGAGGAAACAUAUAGAAAUGGAUAUAUACCUAGAACUAGCUUUUUAUUAAAUGAGACGGAGAGCCAACAAUGAAGGAAAAUCAAAAUUUUUGGCUCAUAUCAAAGAAUUCACAUUGUGUUACCCUAGGUUUUCUUAAAGCUUGCACAAAGCCAAAAAGCACACAAAAAAUUAUAUUUUCUAGCUCUCUACCUUGGAUGGUCUCUUGAUCCUACUUGGAGAUGUGCAUAAAUAAAAGGAUUUGAAAAUGACAAUUGACUAAGUAUGUAGUCAAUCAAUUACUCAUUAAUUGACUAGUUGAUCAAUUAACUUUGCAACAUCAUAUGCAAUCCUAAUAGCUAGUCAUCUAAUCAACUAGGUAGUAAAUCAAUAGGCCAAAAAUAUGUUUAUAAUGACUAUUUUGUACAAAAACCACCUAUAUGGUUAAAUAUAAUGCAUUUCAUUUAUAAAUCUUCUAAUUCUUGAAUAACGAUCCUAUCAUCCUUUGAAAGUUUUUAUUACACCUUUUAUACUUUUGUUCUAAAACUUACACAUGUACAUCACCCUUAAUUGUACCAUGAGAACCUAGCUUUUUUUUUUUUUUUUUUUGUAAUUCAUCAAAGUUAGCUUUUGUAUUCAUUACUGUACUAUUUUUAUUGUAACUUAGAAAGCGAGUGUUUUCAAGUGAGUGAAAUUGACUUAUAAAUAUUGUAAAGAUUCAUUGAUGUGUAUCUUAAACUAAGUGUACAAGUUGAAACAUUUGCUAGUAGAUUUUCUCAAGAUUUAGAAUAGAGCUUGAGGCUAUUGAAAUAGGUGGGGUUGCACCAAACCACAUCACAUUGUUGUUUGCACCUUUUUUUCACUCUCUUUUACUUAGUUGCUCUAUAUUUGUUGUCUAGUAAUAUCCUAUAGGCUUGAUGGGUUAGGGAGCAUCCCUUUGUGAAAAAUUUUCAUUCAAUCCUUAGUUGUAUCACGCAUAUAUAAAAUGCCUCAUUGUUUUAAUGGUAUUCAGUCGUGGCAUCACAGAUAUGGGCAUCUAAAUUUUAAAAGUUUGAAACUUUUAUCUAAAGAAAAUAUGGUGCUUUGCCUUUUUGUAAAGCAUGUUGAUGAAAUCCAUGAGAAUUGUGUACUUGGGAAGCAACAUCGAGAUGACUUUUUUUUUUUUCAUUUUUUAUAAUGCGACACCUAAGUCCGGUUUCUAAAUGCUGAAGUGAAAGGGUAGGUAUGGACCAUUGAAAUCUGAUCACAACUUUUGGCCUUUUCCUUUCUCUGCAGCCAUGUUGUCUCUUUUUUCUUUUGCAUGAUUUUCUUACCUAAACAGAAUCAUAGACUUGUUUAAUCUCUAAAUGGUAUUUCAUCCAGCUUUAAGCUACUGUAUUAUAUCUUGGUGGAGGACUUUUAAGAGUGAAACCGACAUAGAGCACAUGCAAGUGGGUAUAUGGGACAUGAAAUUUCUUCUUAUAAAGACUGCAUGGUUUUUAUAUUAGAGUUGUUGAGGCGCAAUGUAUUUAGCUUGUUUUGCAGUUAAAUUAAUUGGAUAAGUAGACAUUGUCGUUUCUAAAUUUCCCACCUAAGAUAGUGACCUUAUCCUUGACUGCUUGAUGAGAUACACAAACAAUUAUACCUUCAAAAUCUACUGUGAAGUGCUUCAUGUAUGUGUGAAGUAUUAGAAAUUUCUUUCUUGGCAACUUGUUUUUUCUUUGCCCUCUACUGAUAGGUUUGACUCAAAUUAAAUUCCCUGUCAUGCUAAUUAAUUUUCACGUGCAUGCUCAAAAGGAUCACGUCAACUCUGGUUUCUACUAUUCAGGUCCAUUCCCAGAUAAACUGGUUCAAAUUUGAGAAAAUGGCAACAGCCCUUUAGUGAUGUUGGUUUGGAGCCAGUAGCCAAACCCGCCCUGAGCUUUACCACUAAUGUCAAGGGACAAAGCCAUUUGAACAAAAACAAUAGCUUCAAGAGACUGAAUCGUGGAUGAAAUCUGAUCCACAUUUCUUCUCAUUUUGGGAACAAAUGAGAACUUAACUACAAAGAUUCUACUGCCUCAUAGUGCUUUUCCUGAUCUAAGGUUGGUUCGUUUCCCAAAUUGUGAGGUACGUGCCAUUCUCACGCUCAGGAGUGUAUCCACGUGGUGGACAUAAGAUGGUGGCUUAAUAUCUGGUGUCGGUGGCUUUACUUUACUAGGAGAGUAGUGUGUCUUCAUCUCAUUCACUGCCGGAGGGUGGCGUAAGCAGUGACGCUAAGGUGGGGCACAGUCAAUAUCAUUUGCAUUUGACCAUUAUAGUUUUCUCCCGGCUUGAAAGUAACCUUAUCGUGAUAAAGGAUUACUAGCACUAGUUCAGAUGACAGUCAUGUUAAAUUCGGACCAUGUUUGUGUCACAUUAUCAGCAACCAUGUGUUUAUGGUUCAUGCUAUCUGCAACUAAACUUGAUAUAUAACCACGUGAACUUCAAUCUAAAUUCUGGAAGUACUCUUGUGAUAGAUGGUGCCUGUCUGCAGAGUCCAUCAAUUGAAAAAUGGAGUGAGUGUAUCUAUAAGAGGGAAGGCUUGGCAAAUGUUCAGUUUUCUGGGAACUCAACAAGGAUCUAAAAUAGAUUGUUUUCUUUGCUGAUUUCAAUGGUUGAAAUUUGAGAAGAUUGUGUCCACAUAACACAACUAUUACUGGUCCUUCUGUUGCAAUUUAUCCUCUAAGGCUCUAACAUGUCUUCCAAUUCCCACUUCCCUGUUACUCCAGGAAAGCUAUUUCUGUCAUUGUGAAGAAGAAAAGAGAAUGUACAUAUCGAUGGUUUUAAGUGACUGGGGCAUUCAUAUCAGGUGGUCUGCAGCCAUAUAUGCCACUUUGUGAAGGUUGGAACAGUCAAUCACCAGGCUAUAUUAGUGUGGCCCAGCCACUUCAAUCAAGGACAAGUCUUCAUACUUAAAGUCAAAUUCUGCCUUUAGUCUCAUUAUAAAUUGCUGUUUAAAUAUUAAGCAAACAUUUGUUUAAUGCGAUUAAGACAGUACUAACUCAAUACUUGUUCUAUUUUUGGAUGCAAAUGCUUGAUGGUUUCAUCAUUGGAUGGGAUAAAGGUGCAUUCAUGAUUAUGAAUACUUGUAGUUAUAUUUUCAUUCUCUUUUUUCUCAAUGAGACUUGUUGGCACAAUUUUGCUGUUCAGAAACCUACCUCUCCAUCGAAAAUCAGUUGUGAUUGAUAGUACUGGAUAUAUUCAAGAAAGCUAAAUAUAGAUAGCACCAAAUAUUAUCGAUAUAAAUAGCAUUAACAGCGUACGUAUGUCUCAAUGCUCAUCAGCUAUAAGCAACGGGCAAACACUUACUAUGAGCAACUUGCGUCAAAAUUCCAGAAUAGGACAUAGAAGUGACAGAUCUAUAUAUAUAUAGAACACUGCAUAUGAGUCACAAGAAAGGAAAUUACGGGUGCAUAGCAGCUCUUAUUUUACAUCCUACUCAUACUGAUCAAAGUCACUCAGUUGGGAUGGGUGGGAGUAGGAGGUUUGUGGGGUGGCUUGUGCGGAGGAGUUGGCAGCUUCUUUCCAGGACCUGGUUGCUUCUCUGCUGGAGUUGAAGGAGGCUUAAUCUUCCGAGGUGGCUUGUAUGAGUCUUCAGCAUUCUCAGCAGGAGGGUGACCAGGGUUGUGACCAUAAUGUGGUGGCUUCUCUCCCUUAGGUGGUUUGCCAACUGGGGUUGGUGGCUUGUAUGAGUCUUCAGCAUUCUCAGCAGGAGGGUGACCAGGGUUGCGACCAUAAUGUGGUGGCUUCUCUCCCUUAGGUGGUUUGCCAACUGGGGUUGGUGGCUUGUGUUCUGGGAGUGGCUUCUCCCCCUUGGGAGGUUUUUCCAAUGGGGUUGGUUUGUGUUCAGGAGGUGGCUUCUCCACUGGAGGCUUGUGUUCAGGAGGUGGCUUCUCCACCGGAGGCUUGUGUUCAGGAGGUGGCUUCUCCACCGGAGGCUUGUGUUCAGGAGGUGGCUUCUCGAAUGGGGGAUGCUCAGGGUAAUCAGCAAGUGAGGGGUUGGUGAGAACCACCAUGCCAAGCAACAGGACUAGCAAGUAUGUAGGAGACAUCUUUGGGUUUGGACUUAAGACAGUGGAAAACUGCGAGAAUUCUCUAGCCUUUUAUAGCGGGUCGACCCAGUACUCACAUGACACGUGUCAUUAUGACACAUGUGCCAUGGGGUCGAUUUGGGUCCUACAGUGUUGAAAAGUUGGGCAUUUGAGGUGUGAGCACAACUUUUGGCCUUUGCUUUCUCUACAGCCGCCAUGCUUUUCCCUUUUUUCCUUUUCCUUUUGUUUUCCUCCUGCCUCGUGUUCUCAACUAAACACAAUUAGGUUGUUUAAUUGUUAAAUGAGAUUUUUGUCUGUCAAUCAUAUUAUAUCCUAUCAAGAGAGAACAGAGUGUAAUGUAGUACACAUAACACGAGGCAGUAGUAAUUUUAUCAUUUAUUUUUAUAGCUUGGACCACCGCAUUUUUUCUUCUAAAAUAUUCUGUCUUGUUAAGAGACGCAAUAAUACACAAUUUUAUCUGCCAUUCAACAUUUACUGUAAAGUUCUUUUAUCUCUUUGUAGUUCUAGAAAAGUACAAAAUGGAACAUCAUGUAUAUGGUGCCUUCUGUCCUAAAAAAGAAACUGGACAAAUUAUGAACUGCAUGCUAAAAAGAGGCAAAGGAGCUUAAUUCGCAGCAUAAUUAUUUUGGUUUCUAGAGAGCCCGGGGCCUUUUGGUUGGUUUGGGGUCAGAAAAUGAACAUCAUAGGGAUUGUGCCCUUAACUGGCCUUGUUACUACAAAGAAAUUGCCAUAGAAAUUUAUUCCAGGCUGAGUAUCUCCGGAUAGACCCCAGAAAAGAAGAGUCAUAAUGAGAAUCAACCUUUGUUGAGUUUGAUUCCAUGCCUCCAUUGUGUUCAUUUCAUGAAUCUGAUUUGCAUUUAACAUUACAGUUUUGUUCUGGAAACAAUCAAAGGAGCAUCGUUUGCUUCUUGGGUGACCCAUAGUGGUGGGUGGGUCGAUUUGCUUAGUUGAAAAUUGGACAAUUGGCUCCAUCGCCUACCUCUUGGAUUCCAUGCUCGGAUAAAACGACAACAAAUAAAUAUUUAUAACUUACAACUGGGGAAAGGAAAAAAUAGUACUAAAUUCAUGGUACAUGAUAGUGAGAGAAGGGGGUGUUACACUCAGCUAAAGUUCUUUUCUAAAUAUUGCAUGGUGUUUAAUUUUAUGUGUCGGCGCGCGUGUGAAUGGAACCUGCAAAAGUCCAAAUUGGCGUUUCUCCAUUUUCCACAUAGGAUGGUGACGUUAAUAGACAAAGAUACAAUAUCUGUAGACAUUGCUUAAAAAUCGAUGUGAAGUAUUAGAAAUUACAGGCCACUGUACUGGGGGAGCGGCUGCCCCGCCAAAGGAAGAAUGUAGCAAUUUCUUCUGUUAGCCAGGCCUUAGGAUUUAUGCAUGGGAUGCCUAAUAACAAACAGAGAAAAUAUGCUUUUGGGGAAGGUAUCCAACAACAGACACCAUCAUUCAGAUGGUGGGAAGGUAUCCAACAGAUGCCAUCAUUCAGAUGGUAACAUAUAUAUACAUUUAUUAGUGAGUUUUUUUAAUACCUAUAAAAAAAAUAUACACUUUGAUAUUGUGGCUGAAUCCAUUACAUACUCAACUAACCUUGCUCAUUAGGGAUUUGACGUAACAAGGGCAACGUUGCAGUAAAAGCUCGAAACUUUAUGCAGGUGACAUUACAUUUGGUAAAGAAGAGGAAAAUAAGGAAAGCCAUCCAUAAAAGCAAAAUUCCUCAUGGGAUGAAAUUCACAAACUUCAUUUACGUUAGAGUCGCAUCCAGGCAAUUAAUUCCACAUUAGACCGCCUUUUGACAUGUGUACGGAUCUUUUUUCAAAAAUUAUUUAUAAAUAAUUGAUACUUACAAAAAUAAUUUAAGAUUUAUAAAGGAUAAAAAAAUAUUUUCAAAUCUAUGACAAUUUAUAAAAUAUUAAUAAAAAAUUAUCUCUUAAACUUAGUAUAGUUUUAUCGUAUUAAACUUUUAUUUUGAACAAAUAAUUUUAAUCUAAGUUUUAAAUUCUAAAAUUAUUUCCUUAAAAUAAAAUUUUAAAAUUCAACACUUCAAUUGAAAUUGUCUUUUAAAAAAAAUAUCUUCUUAUUUUAAUCCUUAUAAACUAUAGUUGAUUGAAAAUACUAUUGAAGUUCUCUCUUCAAAAAAAGUCUUAUUUUAAUCUUCAUAAAUUGCCCUUGAUUUGAAAAUAAACUUUGGGUUAUCAUAUUUUAAAUAAUAUAUAUAUAUAUAUAUAUAUAUAUAUAUAUAUAUAACAAAUACUCUAUUUUUUUUUUAAAUGAACUAAUUUUAAUUAUAUUUUAUUUUAUUUUUUUAUAUAUUUUUAAUGAUAAACCAAACAUAGAAAAUCAUUUUUCUAAAUAUUUUAAAAUUUCUAAGCAACCAAACAUAAUCUUCAAAAUAAAAGGAGAAUAAGGAGGGACAAGUGAGAAAUGGCGAUUAAAAAAAAGUGUACAAAAGCUCAAUUAAUUUUCUUCUAGUCUUUUAUAUAAAAAAGUAUUGGUAUGUAAAUUAAUAUUUGGAUUUUAAUAGUAUUUUAUUUGUCUUUCUCUAUCUCAUGUAAAAGAGAAUUUAAGAUAUUUCCUAAAGCAAAGCAUUAGUUAUCUGCAAUCAGUGGUGAUCAUGGUCCAUGUCAAUUUCGGACCCAUAUCUUAAAACCGUAUAAUUUGCGUUUCAACAUUACUGAUUUCUCAGAUGUUUCAUACUCCACAGAAGAGUAUUGUUAGUGAAAGCAUUUUGUAACUGUUACUCAUAGUGUUUUGACUCUGGCUCAACAACAUCAGCCAUUGACGGAUUUUCAUACAUGCAAAUCAAAUAGUCUUCUUCCUCCCUUAGGAAUUUCGGUUUAAAUGUUAUUAAGCAUACAUUUGGCUGACAAUUAUUAACCACUUCAUGAUAUGGUUUCUUACCCUUAAUCAAUGGUUUCUAAGUGAAUAUAUGCAGAAGGAAAUCUGAACUGUAGACAGCAGUAUUGAUAACUCUCAAUAUUCUUUAUAUAAGAGAAUAAACAACGUCAUAGUGAUCGUCGCCUACAAGAAAGGUACAUUUCCCAACAAGAUGUAGUGGUGACUGCUACAUGGACGCAAUUAACUCGUAGAAAAGGAUAAGACCAGUGCACGGCAGCUCUUAUUUUACAUGCUAAUUAUGCUAACCAAAGUCACUCAGUUGGGAUGGGAGGGAGAUGGAGGUUUGUGCGGUGGCUUGUGGGGCGGAGUUGGUGGCUUCUUUUCAGGAGCUUGUGGCUUUUUCGGAGCUGAAGGAGGCUCAAUCUUAUGAGGCGGCUUGUACGAGUCUUCUUUACUCUCGACAGGAGGGUGACCAGGGUUGUGACCAUAAUGUGGUGGCUUCUCUCCCUUAGGUGGCUUGCCAACUGGGGUUGGUGGCUUGUGUUCAGGAAGUUGUUUCUCUCCCUUGGGAGGUUUACCAAUUGGGGUUGGUGGCUUGUGUUCUAGGAGUGGUUUCUCUCCCUUGGGAGGUUUAGUGGGUGACUUGUGUUCUGGAGGUGGCUUCUCCACCGGAGACUUGUGUUCUGGAAUUGAUUAAAAAAAUUCUACCACUCUUUUAAGUAAUGGAAGAUUAUUAUCUCUGAUUGGCACCACAACAGCACAUGCUGCUAGAUCUUUCUAGACACUCCAUGCAAUGAAAGCACAAUGGAUCUUGUAACGAUAGAAACUAAGCCAUGCUACAGUACUAGAUGACGAGGUAAAACUAGUAGACAUGGGUGGUAGUUGAUUACUACUCAAAAAGUACUCUUUUAUAGUUUGAAACUAACUGUUUUAAACACUUUUGAGUAGUAGUUAAUAAAUUUUAACUCAAUUGGCACAUUAAGGAACCUAGCAAGGGUUACUAAUAAACUUUUGGCAAGUUUUGGUGUUUUUGGUAGUUAUUCGAUCAUUGAAACAAGCCAAGAAUGAGGGAGAAUUUUGUGAAGUCCAUGGCAAUGCAAGUUAAAGCUCAAAUACACGAAGAAUCCAAGCUUUGGAGCACUACAUAGCCCUUUGCCAAGCCAAUUAGAGAUGCAAGGAACAAAACCAAAGGAAGAAAUCCAACAACCAACAUUUUCGCAUGGUUGUGUGAAAUUUCGCACACCAUGCGAAACCACAAGAGGUAGCCAAAGAAUUUCACAUGGUAUGCGAAAUCUUCUCAUGCACCGACUCCGUUAGAUUUUUAUCUUCAGAUAUUUUGUGUAAUUUCCUAGUUUCUCCUUGUAACCAACCUAGAUAUUUUCUUUUAUAUCUUUUUUUAUAUUUUUUAGGUAACAUCAUAUAUAAGGGGAGAGACAUAAGGAGGAUAUGGAUGUUUUUCAUAGAACACUUGUAAAUUUUCAGUAGUAAGAAAUAUACAAAGCUUUUUGCUAUGCCUUACCUUCUCAUUUUGUUUUCACCUGUCUUUCUAGCCAAACAACCUCUAAGGAUGAUUUCUCAGGGGAUGAGUGGCUAGGUUUUACGUUUCUUGGAGUGAGGGAAGCUAGGUGAAGGACCUGAAUGCAAAGAUGAGAGUUUUCCUUGCUUUAAAUGAAAGUAGUUGUUAAACAUUAAUGGUUUUUAUUUUAAGGUUUAGCUUUAAAUCCCUUAAAAACACCUUGAAUGACCAAUACUUGGUAAGCUUUUCGGAUUCUAUGGAUGCUUAUUGCUAGAUCCAUGGAUGUCUAUUAGUUAUCAUUUACGAGCCUUUGGAAGGUGAUUCAAGGUGAGGGUCUUUAGUGUUUGAAGCCAUUAAUGGGAAGCAAUUACCAUUUUUUCAUGAAUCCUUUGGAUCAAAUCUUAAUUGCUAAAUAUAAAACCGAUUUGGGAAAUAACCAUCCUUUAUGUUAUUAUCCCCAACGCAAGGAGAAGAUCCGGAAUCUUCCCUUUUGUCUAAGGAACCCGAUCCUAGUGACCUAAAGCUCCAAGAGACCUUUUCUUUGUAGUUAACUUCAUUUAUUGUUUUUGCUUAACUUAAAAUCAAUCUUUGCAACCACAAUUCCAUUUUCUUUAAAAGCUAAUUUUUAUAAGGAAAAACACCAUUUUAUUUCCUUCACUAAGUCAACUGUACGAUGAAAACCCAUCCCUGUGGACGAUCCUAGAGCCAUUAUACUAUGUUAGCUAUGCUACCCUAGUGUGAGGUGAUUUAGGUUUUAUAAAUUUUGUUGAUAACACCCAUCUGAGCCAGAAUCAAAUGGCACAACUGAACCAGGGACGAAUCAAAUGGCGCCGCUAUCGAGGAUGGUGCCAAAGUACAUUGACAUGACUUUUGGUGAACACUUGUGAUCUUCAUCACAAGUUUGGUGAUUUUUCUAUUACUAAUUUUUUUCUUUGUUUUUAUUUUAGCUUAUCUUUUAUUUAGUUUUUAGCUAACCUUAACUUUUUCUUAGAAUUGUAUUUCUUCUAUUUUCUUUGUUUUUGUUUCAGUGAUCUUUAGUUGUGCAUGCCCUAUUGGAUAAGAAAUAUUGAGGGAAUACUUGUGAAGAUUGAAAAUCCUCGAGAAACUGAGUUGGAAGUGUGAUUGAACAUCAUGGAUGUUCCACCUGAAGACCAGAAUAGCCAACAUGGUUAAGAGGAUAAUUUCAAAGCAUACCGAUCCAUGAGGGACUGCAUGCAUCCACCUCGUAUGAGUGCACCGUCAUGCAUAGUGCCUCCCACUGAGCAACUAGUAAUCUGACCUCACAUUGUGCCACUCCUACCUACUUUCCAUGGGAUGGAGAGUGAGAAUCUCUACUCGCAUAUUAAGAAAUUCGAGGAGGUUUGUAAUACAUUCCAAGAAGGAGGAGCUUCAAUUGACUUGAUGAGGCUCAAGCUAUUUCCUUUCACUUUGAAGGAUAAGGCUAAGAUUUGGCUUAAUUCUUUAAGGCCAAGGAGUAUCCGAACUUGGACUAAUUUGCAAGCCGAUUUUCUUAAGAAGUUCUUCCUUACCCAUAGGACCAAUGGUUUGAAAAGGCAAAUUUCGAACUUCUCAGCUAAAGAGAAUGAGAAAUUCUAUGAGUGAUGGGAGAGGUACAUGGAAGCUAUUAAUGCUUGUCCUCACCAUGGCUUUGACACAUGGCUCUUAGUGAGUUAUUUUUACGAUGGUAUGUCUUCUUCAAUGAAGCAACUCCUAGAAACUAUGUGUGGAGGAUACUUCAUGAGUAAGAAUCCGAAGGAAGCCAUGGACUUUUUGAGUUAUGUGGCUGAAGUUUUAAGAGGAUGGGAUGAACCAAAUGCUAGAGAGGUGGAAAGAAUGAAGUCUCAACCUAAUGCUAAGGGUGGGAUGUAUGUUUUGAAUGAAGACAUUGACAUGAAAGCAAAGGUUGUAGCUAUGGCAAGGAGAUUGGAAGAGCUAGAAAUGAAGAAGGCACAAAAAGUGGAAGCCAUUUCUGAGACAUCAGUGCAAGCUAUGCCUUGUUCCAUUUGUCAACCUAAUGCUAAGGGUGGGAUGUAUGUUUUGAAUGAAGACAUUGACAUGAAAGCAAAGGUUGUAGCUAUGGCAAGGAGAUUGGAAGAGCUAGAAAUGAAGAAGGCACAAAAAGUGGAAGCCAUUUCUGAGACAUCAGUGCAAGCUAUGCCUUGUUCCAUUUGUCAAUCUUAUGAGUACCUAGUGGAGGAGUGUCCUACAAUUCCAGUAGUGAGAGAGAUGUCUGGUGAUCAAGCAAAUGUUAUUGAUCAAUUCAAGCCUAAUAAAAAUGCUUCAUAUGGCAACACCUACAAUUCAAAUUGGAUGAACCAUCCAAAUUUCUCUUGGAAACCAAAGCUACCUCAAUACACACAACCUGCUCAAGCACCUUAGCAAUCCUCGAAUCUUGAACAAGCUAUUGUGAACCUUAGUAAGGUUGUGGGAGAUUAAAAGUCCAUCAAUGCUCAACUGAAUCAGAGAAUUGACAGUGUAGAGAGUACAUUGAACAAAAGGAUGGAUGAGAUGCAAAAUGAUCUGUCUCAAAAGAUAGACAAUGUCCAAUAUGCAAUCUCAAGGCUUACCAACCUCAACACAGUGCAAGAGAAAGGAAAGUUUAUUUCUCAACCUCAUCAAAAUCCCAAGGGUAUCCAUGAAGUGGAGGCUCAAGAGAGAGAAUCUUCAAAGGUGAGGGAAGUCAAAGCAGUUAUCACCUUGAGGAGUGGUAAAGAGGUUGAUCAACCCACAUCCAAGCCAAAGCAUAAUGAAGAGAGUUUUGUAGAAAAAGAAAAGAGAGGAAAAUAAAGGAAAGAGAAUAGAGAAAAGUACAAAGAAAGAUGACCAUGAGUCUAGUGUGGAUGAAGAGCCCAAGAGGAUAGUGAUCAAGGAAAAUAUGAUGAAGAAACACAUGCCUCCACCUUUCCCCUAAGCUUUGCAUGACAAAAAAGGAACCAAUAAUACAUCGGAAAUUUUUGAAGUAUUGAGGCAAGUGAAGGUCAAUAUCCCUUUGCUAGAGAUGAUCAAACAAGUGCCGACAUAUGCAAAAUUCUUGAAGGACUUGUGCACUGUAAAGAGAGGGUUGAAUGUGAACAAGAAAGCUUUCUUGACCGAGCAAGUGAGUUCCAUCAUACAGUGCAAGUCUCCAGUGAAGUACAAAUAUCCGGGCUACCCUACCAUCUCAGUGAGUAUUGGAGGUACUUGUGUGGAAAAAGCUUUGUUGGACUUGGGAGCAAGUGUGAAUUUGCUACCCUACUCUGUCUAUAAGUAGUUGGGACUUGGAGAGUUGAAGUCAACAUCCAUCACCCUAUCUCUGGCAGAUAGAUCAGUGAAGAUUCCAAGAGAGAUGAUAGAAGAUGUCUUGGUUCAAGUUGACAAAUUCUACUAUCCAGUGGAUUUUGUUGUUCUUGAUACGGAUCCGAUUGUCAAAGGAACUAAUUAUGUUCCUAUCAUACGAAGACCCUUCCUAGCUACAUCAAAUGCAAUCAUCAAUUGUAGGAAUGGAGUCAUGAAACUCACGUUUGUCAACAUGACAUUAGAGCUCAACAUCUUCCAUUUGUACAAGAAGCAUAUCCAUUCAGAAGAAAAAGAAGGUCUAGAGGAAGUGUGCAUGAUUGACACUUUAGUGGAGGAGCAUUGUGAUCGACAAUGCAAGAAGAUUUAGUUGAGAGUUUUGGGGAUCUUGAUGAAGGGUUACUUGAACCCUCAGAUUUGCUUGCUACCCUACUCCAUUGGAGGAAGAGAGAAGAAAUUCUACCCUUAUUCAAUGAGGAGGAGACACAAAGAGCUGCUAAAGAUAAGCCCCCAAAGCUUAUUCUUAAGCCACUACCCACAGAGUUGAAGUAUGCAUACUUGGAAGAAGACAAGAAGUGCACUGUUGUUAUAUCUUUAGCUCUUACCAUUCAUCAGGAGGAUUGUCUACUUGAAGUCCUUAGAAGAAGUAAGAAGGUAAUAGGGUGGCAAAUUUCUGAUUUGAAAGGGAUCAGCCCUUUUGUCUGCACCCAUCAUAUUUACAUGGAGGAUGAAGCUAAGCCAAUUCAUCAACCUCAGAGAAGGUUGAACCCUCACAUGCAAGAAGUGGUGAGAGUUGAAGUUCUUAAGCUACUUUAGGCUGGUAUUAUUUACCCCAUAUCAGAUAGCCCAUGGGUGAGUCCUACUCAAGUUGUGCCAAAGAAGUCGGGGAUCACGGUGGUGCAAAAUGAUAAGGGAAAAGAUGUCUCUACAUGUCUCACUAUAGGUUGGAGGGUGCGUAUCAAUUACAGGAGGUUGAAUGUAGUGACAAGGAAUGACCAUUUCUCGUUGCCCUUUAUUGAUCAAGUGCUUGAGAGGGUCUCUGGGCAUCCUUUUUAUUGUUUCUUGGAUGGCUACUCGAGGUAAUUUAAGAUAGAAAUUGAUGUUGAAGACCAGGAGAAGACCAUUUUCACAUGCCCAUUUAGAACCUAUGCAUAUAGGAGAAUGUCUUUCGGCUUAUGCAAUGCACCCACAACUUUCCAAAGAUGCAUGUUAAGCAUUUUCAAUGAUAUGGUGGAGCAUAUUAUGGAAGUCUUUAUGGAUGAUAUCACCAUAUAUGGAAGUGCAUUUGAUGAAUGCUUGGUCAACUUAGAAGUUGUUCUGAACCGAUGCAUUGAGAAAGACUUAGUGCUUAAUUGGGAGAAGUGCCAUUUCAUGGUACACCAAGGGAUUGUCCUUGGGCACAUCAUCUCCAAGCAAAGCAUUGAAGUUGACAAAGCAAAGGUUGAACUCAUUGUUAAGUUGCCAUUCCCAACAAAUGUCAAAGGAGUAAGGCAAUUCCUUGGCCAUGCCGGGUUCUAUAGGAGGUUUAUCAAGGAUUUCUCUAAGCUUGCAAGGCCUCUUUGUGAAAUAUUGGUGAAGGAUGUUAAAUUCAUAUGGGAUGAUAGAUGCCAAAGGAGUUUUGAAGAAUUGAAGCUAUUUUUGACAACCUCACCAAUAGUGAGGGCUCCCAACUAGCAACUGCCCUUUGAGGUAAAGUGUGAUGUCAAUGACUUUGCUAUAGGAGCUGUUCUUGGGCAAAGAGAAGAUGGAAAACCUUAUGUGAUCUACUAUGCGAGCAAGACAUUGAAUGAGGUGCAAAGAAACUACAUAACCACCGAGAAAGAAUUGUUAGCUGUAGUUUUUGCCUUGGAUAAGUUUCGUGCUUACUUGGUGGGAUCCUUCAUCGUGGUUUUUAUUGAUCACUUUGCUUUGAAGUAUCUAUUGACUAAGCAAGAUGCUAAAGCAAAACUGAUUAGAUGGAUUUUCUUGCUUCAAGAGUUCAAUCUCCAGAUCAAAGACAAGAAAAAAAUGGAGAAUGUGGUAGUAGACCACAUUUCAAGGCUAGCUAUCGCACAUAAUUCCCAUGCUUUGCCCAUUAAUGACGAUUUUCUAGAGGGGUCUCUCAUGUUGGUGGAAGUUGUCCCUUGGUACGCUCACAUUGCUAACUACCUGGUCACAAGAGAAGUUCCAAGUGAGUGGAAAGCACAAGAUAAGAAGCACUUCUUUGCAAAAAUUCAUGCCUACUAUUGGGAAAAGCCAUUUCUAUUCAAGUAUUGUGCGGAUCAGAUAAUAAGGAAGUGAGUUCCUGAAGAAGAGCAACAGGGGAUCCUCAGUCAUUGCCAUAAAAAUGCAUGUGGAUGCCACUUUGCUUAUCAGAAGACAACCAUGAGGGUGCUGCAAUCGGGUUUCUGUUGGCCAUCACUUUUCAAAGAUGCCCACACCAUGUGCAAGAGUUGUGAUCGAUGCCAGAGGCUUGGGAAGUUAUCAUGUAGGAACAUGAUGCCUUUGAACCCCAUUUUAAUAGUUGAUCUUUUUUAUGUUUGGGGCAUUGACUUCAUGGGACUUUUCCCUAUAUCUUUUGGCUACUCUUACAUCUUGGUGGGAAUAGAUUAUGUUUCUAAGUGGGUUGAGGCAGUCCCAUGCAAACACAAUGACCAUAGAGUGGUUCUCAAGUUUCUUAAGGAGAACAUCUUCUCAAGAUUUGGGGUGCCCAAAGCCAUAAUUAGUGAUGGGGGUACUCAUUUUUGCAACAAGCCUUUUGAAACUCUCCUAGCCAAGUAUGGGGUGAAGCAUAAGGUAGCUACACCUUACCACCCUCAAACUAAUGGGCAAGUUGAGUUAGCAAACAAGGAGAUUAAAAACAUAUUGAUGAAGGUGGUGAACACAAACAGAAAAGAUUGGUCAGUCAAGCUCUUCGAUUCACUAUGGUCAUGUAGAACAGCUUACAAGACCAUUAUCGGGAUGUCUCUUUAUCACCUAGUCUAUGGAAAAAAUGCCAUCUCCUUGUGAAAUUGGAAUACAAAGCUUGGUGGUCAAUCAAGAAGCUCAACAUGGAUUUGAGCAGAGCUGGGUUGAAGAGGUUCUUAGACCACAAUGAGAUGGAGGAAUUGAGAAAUGAUGCCUACAUCAAUUCAAAAAUUGUAAAAGAAAAAUUGAAGAGGUGGCAUGAUCAGUUGAUUUCCCGCAAGAAUUUUCAAAAUGGAUAAAGAGUCUUGCUCUAUGACUCUAAACUCCACAUCUUUCCGAGCAAGCUGAAAUCAAGGUGGAUAGGUCCUUUUACCAUUCACCAAGUGCAUUCAAAUAGAGUAGUGGAACUACUCAACUCCAACAACAUCGGGAGCUUCAAAGUGAAUGACCAUUGUCUCAAGCCCUUUGUAGAGUCUUUUUUCUCGCGACAAGGAGGAAUUCAUCCUCCUUGAUCCACAUCAAGCUUGACAAGACCAGUUUUUUUUUAUGGACUUAGUCUUUCUAAAGACUAUCGAGUCCAUAACUUUUUAUUUUAUUUUUUAUUUGAGAGUUUUUCGGUAUUAUUACUUGUUUUGUUUUUUAUUUUUCGUUUUACUUUUAUUUGGUUUGAUUUAACUUAGAUUUUUUAUGAUCAAUUGCAGGGGGGAUUUCAAAUAGAGGAAAAACCAAGAUAAUUCGCACACCCUGCGAAAAUUUCGCAAGGCAUGCGAAAUUUAUGGCUCAUUUCGCAUGGGAUGCGAAAUUUCGCACACCCUACGAACCAAUUUCGCACACUUUGUGAAAAUAAACCAACCCUACGAAAUCAUUUCAAAUACUCUACGAAAUUUUCGCAGAGCAUGUAAAAAAUUUCGCAGACCAAACACCAUUUCGCAUACUAUGCGAAAAUGUAAGGGGUCUACAAAACCAUUUCGCACCUCCAAAGCCAUUUCGCACAUUGUGCAAAAAUGAAAAGUCGCCCUAUCAUCCAUUUUUAAACCCCUUGAGCCCUGAAAUCCCCAUUUCGCAAGCACCCCUGUCCUUGCGAAUCCCUCAUUUUCCUCUGCCACCUUGCGACCUUGUCCCUCUCCAUUUGAUAUCGUGCCCUGCGCACAUCUCAUUUCAAAGACUCGCACUCUGCGCCCUCUCAAAGCACGAACCCAAGGCUCACAUUCCAUUUCCGACAUGGCACAGACCCGAGGAGCCCUUCCCGCCCCUUCAUCGAGACGCACACCAAGGUAGAGAGCCUCUUUUGCUCAGAUGCCAAGUGAUUCUCCAUUUCAGGCCACGGAGGCCCUGCGGAUUCCACAUUCCAAGGGUAGAACAGCCACUGGUCCUUCCUCUUCUAUUCCUCAGCGUAGAUAUGAGACGAGGAGACCACCUACUACACAAAGGGCGACUACUUCGCGCCAUGAGAAUUCGGUACGACACCCUCCUGCCAAGAGGGCCAGGACUUCAGGCCCAGGCGAGUCAUCCAAAGCUUCACAGCCUGAGCCUCCUGCAGAUUCCGAGGUUCCUACUGACAUAUCAUCGGAGUCUAUUAUCAAACGCCCGAUGCUCACAGCACCGCCCAUUGAGGGCAACUCUGAUUGUAGAGCGAGACCUUUCCACUUGGAGCUAUAUUUUAAUUAAGAGGCCAUGCCACAGCAGCCUGAGCUCCAAGACUCUUAUGGCUUACUACAGAGGUACCAUCUUGAGGACCUUAUGACUCCUCGUGAGUUCUUUUAUCCCAGAGUAGCACUAGACUUUUACCAGUCCAUGACUACUCGUGGCGUCCCGAGUCCUACCGCGAUGCACUUCACCAUUAAUGGACGUCAUGGUAUCCUCGAGGCCAGACAUAUUGGAGAGGCUCUACAGAUUCCUUUCGAGCUAGAGGACCCAUCUGUUUUCUGCCAAUGGUCCCCAAUAUCUCAGAGGGACAUGGUCCAUAUUUUAUCCAGGGGGACAUCUACAUAUUCGAUCCUUCUACGGAAGGAGCUUCGACCUGGGAUACUCCUCGUAGAUGUGGUGCUACUUUCCAACCUCUUUCCCUUUUAGCAUUCGAUACAUAGGCGAGGAGCUAUUUUGGACGCUUUAUUCUGUAUAUCAGAGGGCUUCUACUUUGGCCCGCACCACUUGAUCAUGGUUUCCCUCAUCCAUUUUGAGGAGAAGGUCCAUAGAAAGAAGCUUCAGAGGGCGAACACCAUUCCAUUACUAUUCCCGAGGUUGCUCUACUAGAUCUUGGAGUACAUGGGCUUUCCUACUGAGCCUCGGCUUGUGUGCCGCCGCCUUUGUCAAGAGCGAUCCACUCUCGACAAAUGGAAUCAGUUGGCGGGCUAUUCUACACCUCCAGGAGCCCCUCCCAUGGUAGCACCUCUAGUGUCCCCACAGGCAGAGUAGGGCAAGCUCCCGGUAGAGACUGCACCCCUAGUGCCCACACCUGAGGCUACUUCUGCUGUUCCGCCUACGACUCCUACUGUUCCACCAGUUGGUCCUUUUACAUCUGAGUCUUCCAUCAACAUCUCGACUUCGGAGUUUCGCGCCCUUGUGCAUACCUUUCAGACACUCACCACCACACAUACUGCUCUCUUCUAGAAAAUGGCUGAGAUGCGUGCCCAUCAGGACCAGCAGACUACUAUACUCCGCCAAAUUCAACAGCACCUGGGACUUCUGCCUCUGCCUCAGCUUGACCUUCCCACAUCAUCAGAGCCUCUAGCUCCAGUUGAGGAUACUAUUCCACCUGAGGACACUACCACAGUAGAGGUUCAGAUUCCACCACCUCAGGAGGCCACCACAGCUACAUUAGAGGAUGCAUCAUCUCCACCUGAGGCUCCCACUACUUGAUCAUAGGACAUCUCUUUAUCUUAUUGUAUUUACAUAUUAUAUUACUGGAGAUUUGUCUUUGUUUUGAUACUUUAUAUUCUGGCAUUGAAUGUAUUGCCUAAUGAUAUCUCAAUUGUACUUUCUCAUAUUAAUAUAUAGACAUCAAUUUUUUUUAGUAUACUUAGGAUUUUUCUAUUUACUCUACUCAUUACUCUUUUGUUUUUUUUUUUUUACUCAUGUGGUUUCUCCUAUACGACUCAGACUCCAUUUCACUCAGGAGGUACCACUUCUUCCCUUUAUUUUCAAUUGCUCUUGAAACAUUGAGGGCAAUGUUGAUCUUGGUUGGAGGGAGAGUUGAGGAAGGAAGUGAUUACUACUCAAAAAGUGCUAUUUCAUAGCUUGUAAUUAACUCUUUUAAAACACUUUUGAGUAGUAGUUAUCACCUUUUAACCCAAUUAACAUAUUAAGGACCCUUGCAAUCAAUUCUAAUCAAAUUGUGUUAAGUUUUGGUAUUUUGAUAGCUUUUUUAUCACCAAAGCAAUCCGAGAUUGAGGAUAUUUAUUUGGAAUCCAUGGCAAAAGAUGUUUGGACAGGACGUCCGGACACACCAUCGGAGGGCGGCGGAACGUGGGCUGUGGCAGGCUGUCGGAAUGACGUAGCAAGGCUUGUGCACUUUAGCCAAUGAUCGGGAUAACAUAUCCGAAAUUCUGCUCCGCCGACAUUCCACCCGGAUGUCUCACAUCCGGAAUUCUGCUCCGCCGACAUUACACCCAGAUGUCUCACAUCCAAAAUUCUUCUCCGUCGACAUUCCAUCCGAAUAUUUCACAUCCGACGCUUGACGCCGGAUGGGAGAGGAGGGCGUUUCAACUUCCCCGGUCAGACAUAUCCGAAUCCUUUGAUAACGCUUACCCGGAGAGUUUCGCAGCCAUUUUGCACAGUGCCGCGGUGUUCUCUUGAAGCUUCCCGAUAUGUGCGACCGACAUUUUGAGAUAUUUUGCUUUAGAUAUUUGAUGUCUAAAUCCCCAAACUCUCCUUGUAACCCACCAAUUAUAGGAUUCCUUAGUUAUUAAGUUUGGAAAAAUGGUGAAUAACCCCUUAUAUAUAGUUUGCAAUUUUCAUAAAAAAGAUAUGUAGAAUCUCGGGAGCUUGUUCCCAGAGAGACGCAUCCUUUGUACAGUUUUGGAAGGAAGUAAAAUACAGAGCACUUGCUCUGCUUUUCAUAUAUAUUUUUGUUUUCUCGUUCUUUUUAUUUCUAGCCAAUCAAAGUCUGAGGAUUUUUCCUCAGAGGAUGAGAGGCUAGGCUCUUCGUCUCUUGGAGUGAAGAAAACUAGGUAAGUUUCCACAUGCAUAAAUUGAAAGUUUUGUUGUUUUAGUUUUUAAUGAAGAGAAAGUGUGACCCGUUAAUGGUUUUUAUCUUUUUAGUUAACUUAAAACGCCUUUAAAUCACCCGGGCCAACACUUGAUAAGGCAAGUGGUCUCCAUCCAUUGAGAUGCACUAGUUUAUCUCUUGCGAGCCUUUGGGAGGUGGUUUGAAGGUAGGAUUUUCUAGAAUAACCAACACUUGAUAAGCUUUUGGACUCUAAGGAGACAUCCAUUAGUUAUCUCUUGCGAGCUUUUGACGGGUAAUCCAAGGUUAAAGAUCACCUUGAAUGGCAAGUACUAGGUGAGAGGUAUGAGCCAUUGCAAGAUGCAUUAGUGAGAGGGAUUUAGUGUUUGAACCCAUUAAAGGGAAGCAUCUGUACCACACCGGUUCGGGAAAUAACUAUAUGUUAAAUCCCCAAUGAGAGGAAAAGAAACAAGUGACCGGAACUCCCUUUUUGUAUAAGGAACCUGAGCCUAGUGAUCUAAACUCCAAGAAACACUUUUCUUUGUAAGUAAAAUCAGUUACUAUUUUUGGUUAGUUUAAAACCAAACCUUUUUCAUUCAAACAUCUUUAUGUUUUCUUUUAAAGCUAACCUUGAAAUGAAAAGGCACCAAUUCAUAUUUGAAUUAAUAUCAAUUGUGAAGUGAAAACCCAUCCCAGUGAACGAUCCUAGAGCCACUAUGCUAUAGUAGCUUUGUCUUUGCUACCCUAGUUCAUGGUUUAAUAGGUUAUAAAUUUUGUUGAUUACUCCCACAAUCAAAGGAGCACCAGUUGGACAUGAAUCAACUGAGACACUAAUUGGGCACAAAUCAGGAAGUUUUGUUAAUAAUGCUAGGUUAAUUUGUUAAUUUAGUUACUUUCUGCUUAAUUUUAAAAGUUUUCACUUUACUUUCCAUAGUUAUUAAGGAAAAAUUCUCAAAAUGAAAUGGGAGAAAUUGAAUUCUUACAUUUUUACUUGAAUUUUAGAAUUUGUAUUAUGCUUAUUGAAGCUGAUGAAUUAUUGAAACUCCUAUUGAAUUCAACCUUAUUUCUUCCACUUUAAUCUUACCACACACGGUGCACAUUAGGUUCCGAUUAUAAGAGGUGCGUUCUUAGCCUAUUGGAGGUUGGUCAAUUUGUUAAAGUUUGAGAAAGAUCUAGGUUAGGGGAGAGAGAAUAGUCUGACAUACUAUAAUCGAAAACUAAUAAACUUAACACUUAGAUCUUUGUGGAAGAGUAAGGAUUGGACCUUUGGGAGUGGAAAUUCGUUUGAUGCUUAAAUUUGCAUAAUGCUUACACUUUAUAAAUUGUGAUUAGGCAAGAGAUUUGAUGACUCUUGUUCAAGGUUGGGUUUUGCCUCUUUGAUGUUCCAUGAGAGAGUAUAAUCCUCAUCAUGCCACUUGAAAUUUUUUUUGGAGUGAUUAACAUGAUUUUGUAAAUUACUUUACUGUCUAUUUUUUUUUUAUCUCUCCUUCAUUGCUAAUGGACUAGCAAUAUGUCAGUUGAGGGGAGUGAUUACUACUCAAAAAGUACUCUUUUAUAGCUUGAAACUAACUGUUUUGAACACUUUUGAGUAGUAGUUAAUACCUUUUAACUCAAUUGGCACAUUAAAGAACCUAGCAAGGGUUACUAAUUAGUUUUUGGCAAGUUUUGGUGUUUUUGGUAGCUAUUUGAUCAUUGAAACAAGCCAAGAAUGAGGGAGAAUUUUGUGAAGUCCAUGGCAAUGCAAGUUAAAGCUCAAAUACAUGAAGAAUCCAAGCUUUGGAGCACUUCAUAGCCCUUUCCAAAGCCAAUCAGAGAUGCAAGGAAGAAAACCAGAGGAAGAAAUCCAACAAUUAGCAUUUUCGCAUGGCUGUGCGAAAUUUCGCACACCAUGCGAAACCACAAGAGGCAGCCAAAGAAUUUUGCACACUAUGCGAAAUUUCGCAUGGUAUGCAAAAUCUUCUUGUGCACCAACUCCGUUAUAUUUUUAUCUCAAAUAUUUUGUGUAAUUUCCUAGUUUCUCCUUGUAACCAACCUAGAUAUUUUCUUUUAUAUAUUUUUUAGGUAACAUCAUCUAUAGGGGGAGAGACAUAAGGAGGAUAUGGAUGUUUUUCAUAGAACACUUGUAAAUUUCCGGUAGUAAGAAAUAUACAGAGCUUUUUGCUCUACCUUACCUUCUCAUUUUGUUUUCACUUGUCUUUCUAGCCAAACAACCUCUGAGGAUGAUUUCUUAGGGAAUGAGUGGCUAGGUUUUACGUUUCUUGGAGUGAGGGAAGCUAGGUGAAAGACCCGAAUGCUAAGGUGGGAGUUGUCCUUGCUUUAAAUGAAAGUAGUUGUUAAACAUUAAUGGUUUUUAUUUUAAGGUUUAGCUUUAAAUCCCUUAAAAACAUCUUGAAUGGUCAAUACUUGGUAGGCUUUUUGGAUUCUAUGGAUGCUUAUUGCUAGAUCCCUGGAUGUCUAUUAGUUAUCAUUUAUGAGCCAUUGGAAGGUGGUUCAAGAUGAGGGUCUUUAAUGUUUGAAGCCAUUAAUAGGAAACAAUUACCAUUCUUUCAUGAAUCCUUUGGAUCAAAUCUUAAUUGCUAAAUAUAAAACUAGUUCGGGAGAUAACCAUCCUUUAUGUUAUUAUGCCCAACGCGAGGAGAAGAUUCGGAAUCUUCCCCUUUGUCUAAGGAACCCGAUCCUAGUGACCUAAAGCUCUAAGAGACCUUUUCUUUAUAGUUAACUUCACUUAUUGUUUUUUCUUAACUUAAAAUCAAUCUUUGCAACCACAAUUCCAUUUUCUUUGAAAGCUAAUUUUCAUAAGGAAAAUCACCAUUUUAUUUUCUUCCCUAAGUCAACUGUACGAUGAAAACCCAUUCCCAUGGACGAUCCUAGAGCCACUAUACUAUGUUAGCUAUGCUACCCUAAUGUGAGGUGAUUUAGGUUUUAUAAAUUUUGUUGAUAACACCUGUUUGAGCCAGAAUCAAAUGGCGCAACUGAACCAGGGACGAAUCAACAACUUAUAUGGGAGGGACACAAGUUUAAUUGAUUUGCAUUUCAACGUUAUAUAUAGGUAUGUUUUGGAAGAUUUGUUCUGGAAAUACUGCACCAAGUACGAUUCUUUUUGUCUUGAGUGGGUCUACUUGCAUGCCAAUUAACGAGUGGAAAAGUAGGAGCACCUACCUCAUGCUCGCGGAACCGAAGGUCAGUGAAGUGGGGCUCCUUUUGGCCUCUUGUGUUUCUAUUCCAACCAAGGCGGCGUAAGGAAAAACAACAAUAUGUUUGUGCUAAAUAUCAACGCAUGAUAGAUGUUUUUGUUUUUUGGUAUGUCAAGGCUAAUGAAUGAAAUGCUUUAGCUUGUUUUGUGACUGGAACUGCAAAUGUCCAAAUUGGAGUAUCUCCAUUUCUCACUUCGGAUGGUUAACUUAUAAACAAGAUAUAGGAAACAUGUGAACAUCUUGAGGAACAAUUUGAAUUAUUCAUUAGAAGUCCUGGGUUGAGUUCCAAGAUUUAAAUUAGACCCCUCUAGCAGCUUCAGGGGUACCUAGCAACCUAUAGCAUAUUAAUGAAGAUUUAGGAUUUAGACUCUAGAAUACAAAUUAAUAUGUAUCUCAUGCUUUGACUAGCUUCCCUACAUAUGCACAAAAUGGAGAUGACCUAAAAAAAUAGCAGAAUCUAGCUUCCCUACAUAUGCACAAAAUGGAGAUGACCCAAAAAAUAGCAGAAUUUCCUUAGUUUCUGUGGUUAAGGUGAUUCUCCGCUUAAUAUCACAUUGACUCAUUAUGCAAAAUCAACUGAGCUAAUUUUGUUUAUUUAUUUAAUGUCAAAUAGGAACUCCUAAUUAACCUAACCCUUGGCCUGUGUAAAUUGAUUUCACAUGCCCAAUGUUGAAGUAGAAGUCCAUAUUUUGAAUUUUAUUUUUGUAAAGGUAAGGAAAAUGAAGCAUUGUGUAAUUAUAAAAAUAACUUCAUUGGAAUUCACAAGGUUCACCCAAAAUGGAGCUACAUCCGUAUUCUAUCCUGCAGUAGACUAUAUAGAUUGUACAAUAGUAAAUUGCAAAUACAAUUAAUAAGUCUUGUGCUUCCUUACUAAUAAUCCUUUGACAUGAACAUUGCAGCACUAAGGUCCUCUUGGGAAGACACCUUGCACCCAUGAGAGCACGAAGAGGAAGCAAGGCAGAGUCAUGGGUGCAAUGUCAUGACUUGUUGUUGCACCAAGAGAGGCUUGGUGAUGGCAUGGUGUUGCAGUAGCAAGAAUGUUGCCUUGGUAGGGACAUAAUCUAGGGAUAGAUGCCAAGAAAGGCUUAGCACUCACAUGAGUUGCACAAAGAUGAAUGUAAUAGAGCAUCAGAGAGACGUCUUGGCAAGUAAAUGAAUGGAUCCAAGAGGCAACAACAUGAGGAGUUUCAAAUGGAUAAGGAAUGAGUCAAAGACAUUUGAAAGCUACAAGUUGGAUUCUAAUUACGAUUGCAAUUUGAGUUUGAGUAGGAGUUUAGAUUCUGAUUGUAAUUGUAGUAUGAGUUGGACUAGGAUUGCUUAUCCCUAGUCAAAAUAGGAGUGGUUCGUGUCACACCCUAUGAAAAGAGUUUGAGUAGGGACUAGGAUUGCUUACUCCUAGUCAAAUAUGGAGUAGGUGGUGCCACACCUAUAAAAAAAAAGGGACAACAUGAGAGAGAGAGAGAGAGAGAGAGAGAGAGAGAGAGAGAGAGAGAGAGAGAGAAAGAGAUAAUGAAUUCACUAAAGAUAUUGUGGGAGUUUUUCUUUGUUACGUCUUGUAUUAUUACUUAGAAUAGGAAUAAAAUACAAGUUUGGGCUAGAGCCCCAUAAUUAAUCUCGUGUGCCUUUGUGGUUAUUCUUUAUUUGUCAUCUCGUGUGGAUUGGAUUACAUUGACUUAGAGGGCUUCUAAGCACCACCUUUGUGGGUUAUUAUUUAUUUUCCAUUUCUUGUGGAUUAGAUUAGGUUGACUUUGAGGGCUUUUAAGCACCACCUUUGUGGGUUAUUCUUUAUUUUCCAUAUCGUGGGGAUUGGAUUAGGUUGACGAUGAGAAAAAUUAUGUGGGAAAUUUGUGUUGGGACACUUAUCAUAACCAGGUAAAAUCUGCCAAGUCCUUUGUAAUAUCUUCAACAAAUAUUUCAGACUAGUUCUUCACCAUAAACAUCAUAUUGUGUUUUGUUUUUCUCCUGGAUUCUGAGUUGAAUUGUUUCAAGUCAAUUGAAUGCAUCUGAAUAUUAUUAGCUUGUUUGAAGGCCUGGUGAUUUUCCAUUUAACUUUACUUUCUUUAGGUUAUGCUCACUAUAAGAAAAAUGAGAAAUAAUGACGCUUUUUACGCGUUAAGAAAGGCAACAGAUGAUGCUUCUCUAAAGCGUCCUCUUCGGCUCUGUCAUUAUAUGUGUUAGCCAAUAAUGACGCUUCUAGGAAGUGCCAUCUUUGAAUAAUGUUAAUAACGACACUCGUAAAAAGUGUCAUCUUUAAACAUAUUCUGGUCAAAUAAUUUUUACAAAAUUAGUAAUCUUCAAGCCGUUUCUGAAUCAUAUCUGAGCCUAUUUCUGGGGACCAGAAAACCAUCUUUUUUCCAUUCGCCUGAGAGGUCUGAUUAGCAUUUCUGGAAUCAAUCUCUAAACCCAAGCUUCCCUCAUCUACCCAUUUAACCCUCAUGCCCUCCUGUUUGAACAACUUUCCCACUAUAUACACAAAUUUUUUACCUUCUGUUGUUGGUAUUCGACCUCUUCCCAUUCCCAGCACAGAAUCCACCAUUAGUGCCACUUUGUGAAUAAAAUCAUCGAACCAGAUCUUUCGGGCGGAAGAUGAGCUCCAGAGAAAUAAAAUUUUUGGGGUCUUCCCAGCAUGAAAGUCAUAGGUAGCAUUAAUGACAUCAAGAAAUGGGGCACUGUUGAGAAAAAACAUGUUCCCAUCAACCACCCAAGAAUUGUACCAGACUCCAAACACUUCUGGAUUACAUAUGCCUUUACUAAGAUAUAUUUCUUGAUCUCCAUAUCAGAAUCUUGGAGACUCUUCAUUUUAUGAGCUCUGACACUACUGUGAAAUUGGUCCACAUCAAUCACAGGAUGACCCCUUCUAGCAAGAUCAAGCAGGAAGUCUGAAUUCGGGCCCAUAAAAAUGUAGUUCUGAAUAUUGAAACUCUCAAAGUGGCACAACAAAUUCCUUAUGACUCUUUCAGAUGCUCCAAACAGGCUCACAAGUAUAAUGGUAUCCUGUUUUUGCACAGAGUAAAGAAAAUAUCCGAGUUCUUCAAAACUCCUUACAACUAUUCCAGGAUGUACUUCUUUGAAACAGAAAUCGUACCACUUUAGCUUAGUCAGAGGUUGAAUCUAAAAUAACAAAACCCAAACUGAAAUCAAAAUCGAAAUCAACCCUAAUAGAUUUCAGAAACAACAAAUUAAAAGAGUAAAGCACAAAAGGGGGAAAACACAUAUGAAGCAAUCUCCAUACAAGCCCUAACCUUAGAUAAACCCAAAAAAAAAAAUCAAAGCAGAGAGUUACCAUAGAGCAUCUCUGUUUCAAGCUUAGAAAAUGUUUAAUGCCAUUGAUAACUAGUUGGCUAGUGGUGGACUUCAAGCUUCUCUAUUUCGGUGUUAGUAGCUCUCAAUGGCUAUGGUGAGAACAAAGAAAUGAGAGGCUUAGGGUUUGGGAUGUGAGGUUAUUGAUGAUGAUGAGGAUAAAGUUAUGGGCUCUUGGAGGGGUUAGGGAAAUUGAAGAUGGCUGAGAGUAAAGGCUAGGGUUUUUGAGAUAGUUAAUAGCUUUUUAGGGUGUGACUGUCCAUAGAUAGAAGAUAAAUGAGGGUGUGAGAAUUUAUAGAUCUCUAGGUGAUAUGGCGGGUGUGAGAAUGAAAUUUUAGAGGGAAUUGUGUGUUUGGUAGAAAUUUCACACAUGCAUAUAUAAUGUUUCAGAACAUGGCACUUUAAAAAUACGACAAGGAAGAAAUUAUUUAUUGACGCUUAAAUAAAGCGCCAAGGUCUCCAACAUUUUUGCAAUCAAUGACGUUUGUAAAAGGUGCCAUUGAAUAGGAGUGCCAUUGCUUUCCCACAAAGCAUCAUUGUUAAUCAAGCCUUUAAAAAACGCCAAGAUAUGUUGCCACUUAGGUUAAAUAUUGACGCUUUUAAAAAACGCCAAGGAAAAAAACGUCAUUAUUCAUGUUUUUUGUAGUAGUGGCUUGAUUCCUAAAAAGUAAAGGAAAGCAAAAAGUAAAAAAAUAAAAAUGUGGAGAGUUAGGACAUGCGUUAUCUAAUUGUCCUAGUCCCAAAUAUAUUAAGAAAGUCAUGUAGGUUACUUGGAGUAACGAGUCAAGUAAAGCAAGCCUUCUAGUGUUUAAGACAUUAGAUAUUACCGAACUGAUUAUGUCAUUAAUGUAUUGCAUUUGUUGUUUCUAAUAUAUAGAAGAAGAUGAAAUUAUUGGAAUAAGUGGGAAAUAGGAAUAAAUCCAAGGUACCAAAAAGUCACUUUAUCUUAGAUGUUGUUGGAAACAUAAGUGAUUUCACAAUAACGACUAUGAGACAAUCAAGGAUUAAUAAGAUAGACUUUAUAUGAUAUACCUCCCAAUUAGAGCCUAAAAAUAUGGAUGAAGCACUUAGAGAUGAAUCUUCAAUUUUUGUACUAUAGGAAGAAUUAAAUCAAUUUGUUAGCUAUUCUUUGGAUAUUUGAUUCAUCACAAGCUACAAAUCACUUUUGAUGACCAAACACGAAACUAAGAGGAUUGGGCCCAAUUCGAUGCCUAUCAACAAUGAUUUGUAUUCCACCUCAUUAAUUAUUCAAAGUUGGGAAGCUAGGUCUAACCACUUUCUCUACCUGUUCACCCUUAGAGGAGCAGAAGAAAAUUCUAACUUUGGUGCCUAAUGCCUUUGACAAUCUUUCGACAAAGAGAGUUCACUAAUUACUUUGAUUAUUUCUCUGUUGGUCACUGGGGGACAAGACUUUUGUAAUGAAGUCAACUAGAACUUGCCCUUUGAGGGCCAUUCAUGGACGAUAUUACACCAUGAAUUCCCUUAGGUCAUGUUUGGUAUGUGAGAAUGAGGAGUGGAAUGGACAUCUUAUUCAUUUUUUCAUCUAUUCAAAUGUUGGGAUAACUCAAGUGACCAUGAGAAUGAAAUCAAGAAUGAUUCAAGGGAAAUGAAAUCUUACUUAUAAGUGUGAUUUCAAUUAAUCUCUAAUAGAAAUUAUUUUGAAUCAAUAGUGCAAGUUAUUUUUAAAAACAUUUUUCCAAAAUUAAAAAAAUCAAUUUUUUUUUUUUCGAUAAGUUGUUUUUAAAAGGAUUUUUUUUAUUUUGUAAAAAGAAAAUUGUAAUUCAAUUUAUAUAAUAUAAACUAAAUUUUAUUUUAUUCAAAAAGAAAUAAUUUUUUAAUUAUAAAUAAAUUAAAAAUAAAUACUUUUAAUAAAAUAUAAAUAGUAUUAUUAUAAUAAAAUCAUAAAUAAAUUUAAUUUUUUUUAUAAAUAUUAUAAAAAUAUGGAUAUUAACAUUGGAUAAUUGAUUUAUUUUGUUAAAAUAAAAAAUAAUAAUUUUUAAUAUUAUUUUAUGUUAAAUGAAUUUUAAAAUAAAGAAAGUUUAAUUAUUUUAAGGUAUAGAAGAGCCAAAUUUUGCAUUACAUACAUAACAAACAAUAUUUAUUAGAAACAUUUCUCAAGGAGAAUCUUAUUCCAUCUCACAAAGAUACUCGUUUAUUCGAUGUUUGACCAUCCGUAACAAUCAUGUCAAUUCUACUGAUUUAAUAAUUCCUUUACAUUUAUUACUCACUUAUGAACAUGGUAUUGUGAUUUAUUUAUUUAUUUGAUGUAUAAUUAAUUAAUCAAUUUUUUAAAUUUCAAAUUAUUUUUAAAAACUAUUCAUUAAGGAAUUUAAAGCAUUAAUUAUGUCUAUUAUUUUUUAUAGUCAUUAUAUAUAUAUUGAGUUUUAAUUUAUUUUUAAAAAUUAUUAAACUUAUUAAUAAAUUCAAUAUAAAGUCUCGUUUCAUUUGAAAUUCAUUUCUUUAGUGAAAAUUUUGAAAAAAAAAUUGUUAUUUAUUUUACUUUGUUUUAAAAAAAUUGUUUCUAGAGAACAAUAAUCAAAUAAUGGUAUGAAUUUUUAAAAACAAUUUUGUUUUUAAAUCAUAUGCCCAAAUAAUUUUUUUUUAUUUAGCAAAAAACUUUGUUGUAGUAUGUGGCUCAUAUUGAGGGAAAGACAUAUAUGGAGAAAAAUGUGCAAAUGUUGGAGUGGAGCGGAGUGGAAUGACGACAUUUGUCAUUCAAACUUGUAUUUUUAUUGUUAAGGGUGACCGAUAGGUUGGUACGGUUUAGGGGUAUUUUUGGAAUUUCAUUACCUGAGGGUUAGUAUAAAUACCAUUUUAUGUAACCCUAAUUUUACAUAUAAUGUAAGUUUUCUUCCUUGUUCUUGUGGACAUAGGCAAUCCGUCGAACCACGUUAAAUCUGUGUGUUUUUUUUUCUUUUUUCUUUUUCUCUAAUUUCUUCACCAGGAAUCGUUACACUAAGAUCAACAAACUCUCAAAGAUGAUUUUUAAAAUGAAAAAAAUAAUGUAUAGUGUGAGAAUUUUUUAUUUUUUAUUUUUUUAAAAUGAAAAUAAAAAAUUGCUUUAAGGUAAAAGUGUGGAUAUUAUUGUUAAUUUAUUUCAUUUUUCAUUUUCAUUUCCAUUGUUACCUACAAUUGAAAUGGAAACAACUAAUCAUUACAACCUUACAUUCUUAUAUGCAUCCAAAUACAAAAAUUGAAAUCACCAAAUUCAUAUUCAAGGCAAAAUAGGAAUGAAAACAAAUAUUCAUUCUCAUUCUUUAUUCCCACGUGUCAAACAUGACCUCAAAGUUAUAAACAUGAACAAGAAGUCCUUGAAACACCAAUGAUCUCUUCUGGUAUAUAUAUGAGCUUGAUUGACAACUGUUUUAAAUACAGUUUUUUUUUUUUUUGUUUUCAAAAUCAAAACAAAUUUAUUUUUAUUUUUUAUAAAUAGUAGUUUUUUAAUAUUUUUUUUAAACCUUAUUAUGAAAAUAGGAUGUUUUCUAAUAUCAUAUUUUAAUUAUUUUCAAUUAUUUUCCCUUCUUUUAAGGAGGGCUAUUUUAAAAAUAUGAAAAAUGAUACAAAAUAAAGCAUUACAAAUAAAAAUCAUUUUUAAGAAAUAUAUGAAAAUAAUUUGAGAACAUUUGAAGUUCCUUAAUUAAACUUUUGUUCUAGAAAAUGCAAGAAAACUGUUUUUGAAAAUUGUUUUCAUAAUGAUAUGCAUUGAUCGUUUAAAAUUUAAUUACAUGAUAAAAAGACCUAUGUAAAAACCAGAGUUAUAUAAUCAGUCAUAGAUCAAAUCUACUAAAUAUGAAAAGUAAGUACAUAGUUGUAUAUGACUUAGAUGGAGCCUUCUCCGAAUGACAUUCUUUAGUCGGUACUCAUAUUUUUUUGUUUCGUGUCUUCAACAUAACACCUCAUGAUCCUUAAUAAAUCACCUGAAAACUAUAUUAGCACCUUAUUGUUUAAUAUUUCUCUAAAUUUUUUUAUUAAGCAAAUAAAUUCCAAAUUUAAAAUGACAAAUAAAAUUUAUUAAUUUUUAAAAAUAAUUUAAAACUCAAAAACCAAUUUAAUUGAUAUUAAAAGUCAUGAAACUUAAUAAUAUUAGAAAGUCAUGUAUCCAAAUUUAUUUUAAAUGACUUGUUUAAUUUCUUGUUUAUAUAUAUUAUAUUUUUAUAAUUUUUUUUACUAUACAAAUAAAUUUUAAAUUAAACAAAACUUAAUGCGUUGAAUUCAUUAACGAGUCUAAUAAUUUUUAAAAGUUACUUAAAAUUUAAAUACUAAAUCAAUUAGUACCACAAAUUCAUGGAAAAAAAUUGAUUUAUUACUACUAUAUUGUUUCUCUAUUGCAUAGAACCAUUAUUUUUCAAUUUUUUCAUUUGGCAAAUGAACAUCAAAUUAAACAAGACUAAGUGUAUUAAAUUCAUUAAUGGGUCUAGUAAUUUUUUAAAAUAAUUUAAAAUUCAAAUAUUGAUACUCCAAAUUAAACAAGACUUAGGUGGUGUUUGUUUUUUGGUUGAAUAGAAAAAGGUAAAAUAUUUGACUUUUUCUAUUUAGUUAAAAGUAACUUGUUGACAUCGUCCAAUAUAAUUAAAGUAAACCUAUUGAGGGCAAGUUCACUUUAAUUAUGUUGGACGAUGUCAACAGGUUACUUUUAACUCAAUAGAAAAAAUCAAAUAUUUUGACUUUUUUUUUAACUCAAAUAAUAAAUCCAUUAAUACAAAAAAAUUAUGGAUAAUUUGAAACUUUCUUUCUUUUUUUUUUUUUUUUUGCUACACAUAGCUAUAUUUUUAUAAAUUUUAUCAUUAGAGAAAUGGAUUUCAAAUCAAGUGAAACUUUGUAUUGAAUUAAUGGAUUUAACAUUUUUUAAAAAUAAUUUGGAACUAAAAAAAAAAGAUUUAAUUACUAAGAAAAUCAUAGAUCAAAACUAAUAUAUUCUGAUCCAUGAUUUUAUUAUUUUUCCUAUACAUACAAUUAUAUUUUUAUAAUUUUCUCACUAGGUAAAGAUAUUAUAAAUUAAGUGACACAUAAUUAAUAAUUUAAAUUUUUGAAUGAAUCUUUUAAUUUUAGGAAUAAUUUGAAAUUUAAAAAGUUGAUCCAAUUAAUUGUAAAUUAACUUAAAAUAUUAUAAAAUAUUAUGUUCAUAAUUAAGUACUAAAUGUAUAUAUGUAAUGAAAACUUAACUAGUUACAUGUUACAAAAGCCAAAAUUUAUUCAUUCUUUAUUUUAAAUAAAAUAUUAUUAAUAAUUAUUUUUUUUAAAAUAAUAUUUAGUAAUUAUUGUUUUUAAAUUAUUAUUAUUAAUUUUUAAUAAAAAAAUUGCAAAGUUAUUAAUAUCAUUAUAUUUCUAACAUAAAUUUAAAUAGUAUAUUUUUUAAUAUAUAUAUAUAUAUAUAUAUAUAUAUAUAUAUAUAUAUAUAUAUAUAUAUAUAAUUUAUGAUUUCAUUAUAAUAUUUUUAUUCAUGAUUGACGAAAAAUUAUUUAUUGUUUAAUUUAUUUGAAUUGCAAAACUAUUUUUCAAAAUUCAAGCGAGAAAAUAGGCCUGGAUUUGAAUUUCCUGUAGAAGAGAAGGAUGUGGAGAAUAUGUUGGGAGUAUUUGUGGAUAAAGAAAAGGCCAGGGUACUGAGAAAGGAGAGAGAACUUGCUCUUGCCAAAAGAGCCCUGCACAGGUAUUCUACUGAUUCUAAUUAUCGGUUCUUACAUGAUCAGAUUUCAGAUUUAUUUGCUGAGCUUCUGAAAUCUGAUACAGUAUUUAAACUCCGGUGAGCUUUACAAGAUUAGUCUCGCAUCCAAUUCCAAAUGGUGUCCCACAAUUGAUUCUUCUUAUGAUAAAUCCACCUUGAUAUGUGAAAAUAUUGCUCGAAAGGUUUAUCCUCGCGAGGAAUAUCCAGAAUACUAAGGAAUUGAGGAGGCUCACUAUGUUUAUAGAGUCAGGGAUAGGUUGAGAAAACAAGUAGUUGUUCCAUUACAUAAGGCCCUGGAGUUGCCAGAGGUUUUCAUGUGUUCGAACAAGUGGGGAUCACUUCCCUACAACCCUGUGGCUUCAGUGGCCAUGAAAUCAUACAAGAGCCUCUUCUCAAACCAUGAUACAGAGCGGUUUGGUGAGUAUCUUGAGAAAGUGCAAACUGGGAAGGCUAAGAUUGCAGCUGGUGCAUUACUUCCCCAUGAGAUUAUAGCUUCAUUGAAUGAGGAGGAUGCCGAGAGAGUUGCCGAGCUUCAGUGGGCAAGAAUGCUGGAAGAUUGAUCAAAGAAAGGGAGGCUCACAAAUUGCAUUGCAGUAUGUGACGUAUCAGGAAGUAUGAGUGGAACUCCAAUUGAGGUGUGUGUGGCUCUGGGGCAGUUAGUUUCAGAGCUCAGUGAAGAUCCAUGGAAAUUAAGGUAAUGUAAUUACUUUCAGUGCAAAUCCUGAGCUUCACAAGAUCCAAGGAGACAGCCUUGUAUCCAAGACUGAAUUUGUGAGGAUGAUGGAAUGGGGUGCCAACACUGACUUUCAGAAAGUUUUGACAGAAUCUUACAAGUAGCAGUGGAGGGAAAUAUGAGUGAAGAUCAAAUGAUAAAGAGGGUUUUCGUUUUCAGUGAUAUGGAGUUCGAUGAAGCUUGUGGGAGGUAUAACUAUUGUGACUAUGACUAUGAUAUGGAGGAAAUUGACGAGAGUCAGAAGGCAUCUCAGAAGUGGGAGACAGAUUAUGAAGUGAUACAGAGGAAAUUCCAGGAGAAAGGAUACAGAAAAGUUCCAGAGAUAGUGUUUUGGAACCUUAGAAACUCAUCAGCGACUCCAGUGACGGCCACAGAGAACGGGGUGGCCUUAGUAAGCGGGUUUUCAAAGAAUCUGUUGACCUUGUUUUUGGAAGGAGGUGGAAUUCUGAUCCCUCAGGAUGUGAUGGAAUUCGCCAUCUCUGAUGAAGAUUACAAGAAACUUGUUCUAUUUGAUUAAGAUAUCAAGAGAUUUAUCAAUAAUAAUAUAUUUUUUUUCUAUGUGAAAUACAUAUAAUAUUAACUGUGGAGUUAUCAAAGUUCUGGAGGUUUAAUUAUUUCUUCUUUUCAAGUUUUGUUUAUUUAAGGUUUUCUUUGUCUUUGUUAGGAAUUCCCCUUGGGUGGACCCAGCUGGGGAGUUGGAUUGAGGAAGUAAGCAGGCGAACUUGUGUUCUUCUAUGGACAGAGAAAAAAAAUAAAAUAAAAAAAUAAAAAAGGAGGUUAUUUGCAUUUGGAUGUCGUGGUUUGAGGGUACAACUACAAGCUCGAAAUUGUACAUAAUGUGAAAACUCCUGUGUCCAUUGCUGAGAACAGCAUAAAUGAUGGUGAUUUUCAAGUUGUGCCUGGUAUUCUACAGGAUGAAACAAGAAAGGAUCCAGGUGGUAUAUUGAACAAUAUCCCAAUCAUGUUGGUGGCAUCUUUAUUUAGUUAAUGGUAUUCAUUUGGUGGAAGCUGGUUGUUUAUGAUGUUUUUAAUUUUUUUUAACAUGAAGUUCGAUCAAAUACGUAUCUUAGUAUGUUUUGUUUGAGCUAAUUGGCAAAUGCGCUUUAAACAUGGUCACAUGGAUGCAGUUUUAUUUGUGAAAUGAUAAUAGUCGAUUACUUGGUCAGUAAGGUUUAUAUCUCUAACUUCAACAUCUUAUUGUAGUCUUUUAAAAUGUCAAAAGUUUAAUGCUUGAGAAAUUUUGGAAUGGAGACAUUCUAAACAAAGUUAAUAAUCCACAAGACUUGGUAAAACCGAUCAGAUGAUGCUUACGUACAUCAAUGCCUUCUUUAAGCCAUAUCCUAUUUUCAUUGAACGGGAUGUGCCAUCUAGUUUGGUUCUUUAAGCCUCCAAAUCCUAAACCUAGUCUCAAUUUAGAGCAAAUUUAGGGUGCAGGGCCUGCAUGCCUCCCCCUCCCCCUUCCACAAAUAGUAGUGACCUUGCUAUGCCUAUGCAUUGUCAAUGCCUCAUUUUCUAUGGUCUCCAAUGUAAUAUCUUAGUUUCAAUGUCUCUUUCCUUACUAUCUCCAAUGCAAUAGAUUGAUUUCAAUACCUCUUUACAACUAAGACCUCCAAAUUUUCUUGGUUCAAACCUACCAGAAUUUUUCUUCUCCUUUGCUUUCUAUCAAUAUUAGUUCCCCUAAUUUAAUAUAUACUUCUUUAUUACCUUCAACUCUACCUCUCUUUCUUUCUCUAAAAGCUUCCUCAAAGAUUUAAUUGCUUUCUUGCAUGUUUUAAGAAAACAAACAUGCUCAUAUUACAUUACCUCUACUUGAGAUCUACCUUAUACUCUACCUUCUUUCUUUACCUCCUAUAUCAUCUACUACAUUAGCUUCAAAAAUAUUAUUUAGUUUGAUACUAAAUAAGGCUCCUAAUCCUACUCUUCCUUCAACAAACUUUCUUUUUACAAGUUCCUUAAACUUUAUUUUUUAUUUUUUAUUUUUUGGAAAUUCGGGUUAGAAAGAUUCCAUUACUCUUACCUAAUAUUUCAACCAUCAAGUUGAAUCCACUUAUUGCCUAAAUCCAAGGAGUCUGCCCUCCACAAAAACAAGGAAAUUGAUCCCACAAUAACAAGGAGAUUGCCUUCCACAGAAACAAAGAGAUCUCCCUUCACAGAAGCCGAAUACAUUGCAAUCUAUUUUCUUUCUUGUAAGAUCAAAUCUUCAAUCGAGCUCCAUCUUAUGGGGGCAUAUUAGAGAAAUUUAAUAUUAUCCUUAAUUUACAUAUUAAUAUUUAUCUAUUUAUUAUAUAUUGAAUUAAAAUAGAAUAUAGAAUUUGAAUCAUAGUAGAAGUUUACUAUAAGAUUGAAUUACAAUAGUUAAUAGAGUUUAAAUUAUAAUAACUCAAAUACAUUUAUAUAUAUUUGACCUUACGAGAUUUUCUAUUUAUGUAUUUGAACUACAAUCCUUAUGAUCCUUAGGUCUCUAUACCUUCGUGAUGGGCUCCUUGACAUUUCAUAGGUUGUGCUACACAUGCAUUUGAAAUUUAGAGUGCAUUUGACAGUGAUUCUGGGAAGUGUUUUUGGCAUUUCUAACACUUAAAAUUUUUUAUUUUUCAAGUAUUAGAAAUGCUACAAACACUUUUGAAAAUUACUGUCAAACACACUCUUAGGAGCGCAUAUAGUAGAAAACUAGAAAUUGUGGUUUUUUUAGGAUUUACUGUAAUGUCAUUAGGAGGGUAGUAAGUUGAAACUGAGUAUGAAUAAAUAUUUCUUUCUUUGGGAUGUUCUUCUGGUAGGUGCUGAUGAAACUGUUCUUUUUACUGCCAAUGUCACAUAUCAGCCAGAAAUUGAAAAUUUCAGUCAAGGUGUCCUCGGUUUUAGUGGUGAGGAAAGCUAGAAAUUUUAAGGUGAAGUUCUGUUAAAAACCUUAAGUAGCUGGGAUAUCAGGCCUGUUUUGCUUGAAAAAAAAAGUUGCAAGAUAACUCAUAUGCCAAACAGGUUCUGAUAUUGUGAAUCUAUCGGCAGACAUCAGUAAUCUCAUCUUCUGAGAUGGAUGUUGGGGGUGCAUGUGGUGGUGGAGGGGCAAGGUUUCAUUUGGUUUAUUUUGUUGAUGGAUAUUGUCUAGCCCCCUGCGCCAAGUUUGAGGGGUGGUGGGUUGUGAUGGCCCUACAAUUACUAUUAAUUUCUUCCUCUUUUACCGAUUAAAGUGUCCGAACAGUCGAAGUUACCCUUAUGCAUGUCAACUUGAUCACUUACCUCUUCAAUGGAGUUUAUGCUGGUUCAUUUAGGAACUGAUUUUUAUUGUUAUGCAUUCUAUGCUGAUGUUUAGGCCUCUCCAUCAUCACUAUAUACAAAAAUUCUAGGUUGAUACUAUAGGUUGAGAUUUAUUUUUUAAAUAAAAAAUAAUAAAAAUAAAAAUUAUGGUGAUGUUUAGUUGUUUUAUGGAAAAUUUUAACAAGUUAUUUUUGGGCAAGUUUUCAAACAAAAAGAAAAGUAAAAGUUGUUUUGACAAAAACAUAUAGAAAAAAAAAAUCAUAGAAAAGAAAUAAUUUCCCCAUAUUCUAACUUUUUUUAAUUUUUCUCAAUGGGCAAAGGAAUAUCAAAUCAAGUUUGAGUAGGAUUUCUUAAUUUUUAAAAUAACUUACAAUUAAAAAAUUUUGGUGUUUUCAUUUUUGGACAAUUUUUUAUUAAGCAAAUGGACUCUGAGUCAUGCAAGAGAUAUGGUUGAUUAAUGGGUCAAACAAUUUUUUUAAAAUAAUUUAAAACUCAAAUACAUAAUCAAUGUCACAAAAUUUAUAAACAAAAAUAGGUUUAGAGAAGAUCUACACAUAAUUUUACUUUUCUAAUUUUAUUUUAUUUUAUUUUUUUGUUGGAAAAUAGUCUUCAAAUCAUGUAAGAUUUAAUAGGUUAAAUUUGUUAACAAUAAAUUUUAAAUUAUAAAAUAUAAUCUGGAACUUAAAAAUCAAUUCAAGUAAUGCUAAAAAAAAUCAAAUUUGGUAUAGAAUGACUACGUAAAAUUUUUUACAAAACAAAUGAAUUUUAAAUCAAGUGAGAUUUAAUGCAUUAGAUUUUUAUCAAAUAUAGUAAUUUUAAAAUUUAAUUUGGAACUCAACAAUAGACACAAUAAAUACCAAAAAAUAAUGAACCAAAAUUGGUUUGGAAUAACUCCACAACCUCUUUUUUUUUUUUUUGGUGCACACGAAUUUUCUUACUAGGUAUAUUGCUUUCAAAUUGAGAAAGAUUUACUAUUUAGAUUUUUUUUUUUAAUGAGUUUAAUGGUAUUUUAAAAUAAUUCAAAAUUUCAAAAAUUGACUAAUUACUAUUAUAAAUUCAUAAACCAAGACUAAUUCAAAAUGCAUUGGGGGCUAAGGGGGUUGAAAAUAGGGACAAUGGGAUGGGUUUGGGACAUGACACUCAUAUCUCAUUUCCAUUCCAAUUACAUAGUUAUCUCCCAUCCUUAUCCCAAACUUGUGUUGGAGCAAGUUGAUUUGUUCCCAUCUUUGUUGAUGAAAUGACUAAUAACCUCAUCCCCUCCUUAUCUUAGAUGUACAUUUUGUCAAAUUUGAUCAGGUAUGAUUGAUCCAAGCCCUAACCCUAAUUGGUAAUGACUGGAUACUACACCUAAUUGCAUUCUUCUUUCGUCGCAAAAUAAUGAGAUUAUAAUAAUCUAGCAAAUAAGAAAAAAUAGUAUGGAAGUUCAAUUUAACACCAUAACUAUCAAUAAUUUUAAGCUUAUAGAUGACUUAAAUGAUUAAAAACUAAUGCAAAAUACCAAAAAAAAAAGUUCAUAUAAAGAAUUCACAAGAGAACAAAAUGAACAAAAACCAAAUAUGAACAUGGGUCAACAUUAGUUAUGGAUUUGGAUUCCUUUCAAGGCCAAUCUUUGAACCAAGACUUCAUCAAAUCUACUACUUCAAAGGCUUUUGUGUUCUUCUUGGGUUGUGCUCUCAAACAAAGACUUCAAGGUGAUGCUCUAGAUGAUUGCAUUACACAUAUUUAGGGUGGAGAGAUUGGAGAAGCUUGAAGAUGCCAACGAUGGGUACAAUUGAGUGGUCAAUAAGAACAAUGUAGCCUAUGACUAGUUUGAUGUCGUGGUACAAGAGUUUUAGGCAUUGAGGUUAAAGCAAGAGCAACAUGGAAUUGAUUUUGGAGUCUUUCAAUUAGUGUAAAGGAGGAAGAAGUGGUAUUGAUUCUAGAAAUAGGGUUUUAGGUGGUGCGUUAGAGGAUGAAGAAGAAGAAAAAGAAGGAUCUGUUGGAAUUAGUGUGAGUGUGAAGAGAGAAGUAUAUAAAUAAGGGGAAGUAAAAGCAAAGUUCUAAAAGCUAUAUUUUUUUUUAUUGUUGGUGUAUGGUUGCAUGAUUAUCCCUAUAAAUAAUAGGAGUUUUUUUGGUAUUCUACUAGUAGUUGAAGGAUAAUUUCAUAAAUUUAUAUUUAGAGUGGGGUGGGGUGAGUUGUGACAAAAUUCAUACCCGUCCUAAACCUUGGUUCAGAUUUUUAAAAUAUCCUCAAACUUAUCAUAUACCCAACUUUUAUAUUUCAUACUUGUCUUGAUAGAGGCAGGUUAGGCCGGGUUACUUGAGUAACCUACAUAAUUGUCAUCCCUAGUUGAAAUACACUUUUUUGGCAGUGGCCACCAACUGAGCUAGAAGCUUGAUCGAUUGACCUACAAGAUUAGUUCUCAUCAUUUUAAAAAAAGUUUUGGCCUUGGUUGUGAGUGCAAUUGAAUCUAAACUGGCAUUUCCUUAAUGCAUCUACUUCAAUCCUAAAUUUCUUACUUCCUAAGCCUCAAUUGUUGUUAGGAUUUUGGAAAGCCCAUUUCCUUAAAUUGUAAAUUUAAGAAAAAAUAAAAUAAAAGUGAGACAUUUCUUGAUUGAAUAUUGUUAAAGGUCCCUUGGCAUUAAGACUUGGUUGAAGCCUUGGAAGAUUAGUGGAACUCUCAACUUGUGUUUGAAUCUUGAGGAGAGUGGACGUAAGCCAAAAUUUUGUCAAACCAUUAAACAAAUUGAGUUUGAAUCCUCAUUUCUUGAUUUCUUAUUUAUUUGCUUUUUCUUAUUAUUACUUGAAUUGUCAUUUGCAUUCAUUAAUGUUAAAAUUGGUUAUAAUUAACCAACACUAAUUCUCUUUCCCCUUCCCUUUCUUGGGUGUAAACCUAGGUUGGAUUAACUAGAUUAAUUUAUAAAAUCUAUUAAGAUGGUAAAAGAAUAAUUAUUCUUAACACACAUAAGAUCAUCUUCAAUCAAAUGACUCAUUGGCUAAUAUGUUGAAUUUGCUUAUUACUUGCAACUCAAAAUUGUGUUCUAGUUGAUAUGUCAAGUCCCCAGUGUAUGGACAUUAAAUUUGUAGUACGUGAUGGUAAUUAGAUGGUCCAACUCCAAGAAAGUGAUUGAAAACUAGUUCAAGAAAGGUGCAAAAGGGAAUUGUUUUGGUAUUUUCGUUUUUAUUCUUGAAGGUGGCAGAGCUAAAAUUUGUGAAAUCAAGCAAAACAUACUGAAAUUACAUUGAAAGAAAGAAAAUGGGAGUUAAUGUCUUGCAGUAGAUGAUAAGGACUUCAUGCAUGUAGUAUGACCCAUGUCUUGGACUGAUGCCAACUCACGGUUACACUUAUACCCUUGGUUCUCUCUUUACUACCUUGGCUAACCUAGAUCAGGCUAUGAGAUAGGCUCCUCACCACACCAUUACUUGCCCAUUAAUUAGAGACAUUUUCAAGCACUGAGGUAACAUGGUGACACCAAGAGGGUUUAUUCCUCGCCCUCCUCGCCCUCAACAAGUCUAGACUUGGUCUCAAAAAAAUGGAGAAAAAUGAGGUGUCGUUAUGUAGAAAUACAACAACCAUGCCUUCCUCAUUACUUUGAUUCAGAAUGUGAAGGUGAAAUUGAGAAACAGAAACUCUUGAAACCAAAAUGAAAAUUGAUACUUUUACGAAGAAUUACAACAACAUUGGAGGAAGACUACAUUCUUCCUCUUUAUUCCUACAUUUCUACACUACUUCUACUCCACUCCAUAUUUCUACAUACAUCUUUAAUCAGUCUUCCCUCCUUUAUAUAGAGCCAUCUUCACACAAAUUCCGCAAGGUAGAAAAGAGGAAUGAAACUUGGAGCAAGGUUCGACUACUGGCUGUAGCUUGUCAAGGCUGGAAGUGAACCUUUUUUCUUGGCUUUUCUGGGCAUGGGUAGUAACUUGUGGGUUCCUUUUUGGGAUACAAAUGGCUAGAACAUGUGGCACUAUCUUGUUGGAUGAUGUGUCAAGCAUGUGGCAGCCAUCUAGUGGCGAUUAUGUCAAUUUUGGGAUGGAGAGUUGGCAUCCAAUUGCAAAGAAAUAUGACGUCUACCAACAGGCAAUGUAAACCUAUGUAGAUCAUAUGAAGAUAGAGAGGAAAAAUAUAGAAAUGGAUAUAUACCUAGAACUAGCUUUUUAUUAAAUGAAACGGAGAGCCAACAAUGAAGGAAAAUAAAUUUUUUUGGCUUAUAUCAAAGAGUUCACAUUGUGCUACCCUAGGUUUUCUUAAAACUUACUUUUAUGAUAACAAAAAAAAAAAAAAACAUUAUUGUUUAAUCCUUUGUUUUAAACGCAUGUUUAGCAAGUUAUAAAAUGUAAAAAUCUUUCUAAGUUCAAAUAUGAAGAUAUGACAUCAUUUCAAGCAAGAUAGUCUCUAGGAAUUAAUGUAAAGCUAAAUUAAGGUGAAAUUAAAUUAGUUCAAUGCAUUAAUUUAAGAAACUUGACCUAUCAAAAGUACAAAAUUAGAUGAAAUCCAUUUCAAUGGUUAAAAUGAUCAAAAUCAAACUUUUUCUAAGUAUUUUUUAAAAGUAUCAAUAUUGAAAGACAAUUUUAUAUUUAGUCAGAGUUUGGACAAAACCAAAAAGCACACAAAAUCCAAGCGACCAUCUCUAGCUUGGAUGGUCGCUUGAUCUCUAGCUUGUGUACUUGGAAAGCAACAUCGAGAUGAUAUAUAUAUAUAUAUAUAUUUUAUAUAAUAUUGUUUGUCCAAAUUCCCUAAAAAUUAGGCCACCACAUGUUCAUAAUUCUCCCUUCUUGAAUUUGAAAACUCGGACAAUUGGACAAUGCGACACCUAAGUCCGGUUUCUAAAUGCUAAAGUGAAAGGGUAGGUAUGGACCAUUGAAAUGUGAUCACAACUUUUCUCUGUAGCCAUGUUGUCUCUUUUUUCUUUUGCAUGAUUUUCUCACCUUAACAGAAUCAUAGACUUGUUUAAUCUCUAAAUGGGAUUAAUUUCAUCCAGCUUUAAGCUACUAUAUUAUAUCUAGGUGGAGGACUUUUAAGAGUGCAACCGACAUAGAGCACAUGCAAGUGGGUAUAUGGGACAUGAAAUUUCUUCUUAUAAAGAUUGCAUGAUUUUUAUAUUAGAGUUGUUGGGGCGCAAUGUAUGUAGCUUGUUUUGCAGUUAAAUUAAUUGGAUAAGUAGACAUUGGCGUUUCUAAAUCUACUGUGAAGUGCUUCAUGUACGUGUGAAGUAUUAGAAAUUUCUUUCUUGGCAACUUGUUUUUUCUUUGCGGUCUACUGAUAGGUUUGACUAAAAUUAUAUUCCCUGUCAUGCUAAUUAAUUUUCACGUGCAUGCUCAAAAGAAGAGUAUGACCUUAGUGCACCAAAAUCACUUUGAUUAAUUUGUGAUAGGUUUUUGUGCAUCAUGACAUUAGCCUUAUUCAUUUAGAUAAUGUUUAGUUUUUAGAAAGUAUUAAGAAAAGGAAAAUAAAUAUUAAGAAAAAUAUUCUUAUAUUUGAUUGUAUUAUGAAAAAUGUCAUAAAAAAAUCAAAUAUAAUUUAAAUUAAUUAAUAAUUUAUACAUUUUCAAAUUAUUUAAUCUUUAUAUUGAAGAUAUAAUAUAAAUGAAAUGAGUUUUAAGUAUUAUAUAAAAGUGAUUUAUUGAUCUUGCAUAUAUGUAUUUCUUUUUUUUUUCUUCUAUUUUUUUUCUUUAUUUUAUUUUCCUUAUGUUUUCCUCAACAUUUUCCGGAACCAAACAUAGCCUUAGGAAAUCCACAAUUACCUUCAACUGAGUAUAUUCGGUUGUUUUAGCAAUGUUAGGCUGCUAACUUGUGUUGGUACGAACCUGUUAAGCCUAAAGAUGUAAUUAGUUAGGAUAUUCUUUUCCCUCUAGUCUUGUAGCUCCACGUGUAUAGUUGGUUAGGACCUCAUUGUAUAUAAUGCCUGCCCUGUUAUUGUUGAAGACAACAGAGAUAAAUAAUAUUAACAUUUUUCCUCUCAUCUCUCUUUGUUUCCCUCUGUUUUCAUCUCCUCUCUCAUCUUGGUAUCAGAGCCUCCAUGGAUUCUUUCAAAGAAACCUCCGAAUCACCUUCUGCUAGCAUUGUUAAUGUGCAAAACCCAUUAUCUCAGUCAAACAACCUUCCUUCACCAGCAGCCACACCCUCUUUUUCUUUCUUGUCUAUGAAUCAACCUCUCACAGUGAAGCUGGAUAAUGGAAACUACCUCAUCUGGAAGAAUUAGCUUCUGAAUGUCAUCAUUGCGAACAGACUCGAUGAUUUCAUUUAUGGAACUCGACCCUGCCCUCCUUGAUUUCUCAAUCUGCAACAACAAACCCUCACUCCAGAGUACUCGGUCUAGCAGAGAUACAAUCGACUUCUAAUGAGUUGGCUGUACGCAUCCUUGUCCGAAGAUAUAAUGACUCAGAUUGUUGGGUAUUCAACAACUGUGGAGAUUUGGAACGUCCUUAAUCAGAUUUACUCUGCCUCUUCAAUGGCGUGGGUUACCGAGCUUCACACCAAGCUUCAAACGCUCAAGAAAGAUGGACUCUCAGUUGGUGAAUAUAUUCAAAGGCUCAAAUCCAUUUGCAAUAGUCUUGCAGCAAUAGGAGAACUAGUUUCUGAGAAAGACCAGCUUAUCUAUUUGUUCAAUGGAUUAUAUUGUGAGUAUAAUUCUUUUGUUACCUCCAUUCAAAAUCGAUCUGACCAACCAACUAUUGAGCAAAUCCAUAGCCUAUUGCUUAGCUAUGACUUUCGGCUUGAACAACAAAACUCUGUUUCUCUCCAUUAUGCCCAAGUCCGUAUGGCUCAUCUGAACAAGAAACCUUAUAAAUCAACUCCUCAACCUACAUUCAAUCAUAUUCACAUUCAACCUAGAUACUCUUCUCCACCUUUUAAGCCAACCACUAGUCAAUAUCAACCCAGGAUUUUGGGCAAACCACAACCACAACCAUGACAGCCUCAACCUCAAUGGAAACCACAUUUUUCAAUCCAGAAUCAAAAGCCUCAGUGCCAAAUUUGUGGUAAAUUUGGACACACUGCUCUUAUUUGCUUCCAUUGCACAAAUUUGAACUAUUCACCCCAACCUUCUCCUAAAUCUUUCAAUACUGUUCUCACCACAAAUUCCCAGCUCCCUAAUCCUCCAAAAUUUUCUUACCCUACAAUGGCUCAUCCUGCUGCUACGCAUAACACGAUUCCUGAUACAAAUUGGUACAUGGACUCAGGUGCUACACAUCACUUUACUCCGGACAUCAACAUGCUUGACACUGUGACACCAUUUAGUGGUUUAGAACAGGUGACAGUUGGGAAUGGUAAGCAACUCUGUAUCUCACAUCUUGGUACUGCAAAACUACCAUCCUCGUAUUCUCCUCUUGUUCUACAUCAGGUAUAUCACACUCCAAAAAUUUCAAAUAAUCUUAUUAGUGUUAGAAAAUUGUGUUCUGAUAAUAAAGUUUUUGUUGAAUUUUAUGCCACUCAUUUUCUUAUCAAAGAUCAAGUUUCGAAGAGAGUUCUCUUUCAAGGUCAACUUGAUAAUGGCUUAUACAAAGUUCAGUCGUCAUGCUCUCCUUCUACUAUUUCCUUUCAUCCUCAAGUUUUCAUAGCCAACAUCAAGGAUCAAAAUUUGUGGCACAAGAGACUAGGCCACCCAGCUUUAUCUGUUAUUAAUCAAAUCUUGGAUUCUUGUAACAUUGCUCGAACACAGAAAAUUGGUUUUAAUUUUUGUAGUUCUUGUCAAUUAGCAAAAAGCCACAGGCUUCCUUUUUCUCUGUCUCCAUCCAUUGCAGAAAAACCUUUUGAGUUAAUUCAUACAGACCUAUGGGGUCUUUCUCCUGUUCGCUCUAUUUCUGGUGCUCGUUAUUUUUUACUUUUCAUUGAUGAUCAUACUCGUUUUACUUGGUUUUAUUUGCUCAAAACAAAAGAUGAAGCAUAUCCUACUUUUCUCAAGUUUCAAGCUCUCAUUGAAAAUCAAUUUAAUACCAAGAUUAAGGUUGUCCAAUCUGAUUGGGGAGGUGAGUUUCGAUCUCUCUCCAUACUGUUUUCAAAUAUGGGCAUUGUCUAUCGUUUAUCAUGUCCAUACACCUCACAACAGAAUGAGUGGGUUGAGCGAAAAAAUCACCAUGCGGUUGAAAUGGGAUUGUCCUUUCUUGCUCGCUCGGGUAUGCCCUUAUCUUAUUGGCCUUAUGCCUUUCAAACUGCCACUUACCUUAUUAAUCGUCUCUCUACCCCUGUGCUGCACCAUCAAUCCCCUUACUUCGCACUCUAUCACAAAUUCCCAGCUUAUACUCAUCUUAAGGUCUUUGUUCCUCUUGUUUUCCAUAUUUACGCCCUUAUAAUACCCAUAAACUCCAAUACAGGUCACUGGAGUGUGCUUUUCUUGGUUGCAGUUCACACCACAAAGGUUAUCUAUGUCUUGACAUUCAUUCUAGCAGGGUGUAUAUUUCUCGCCAUGUGAUUUUUAAUGAAGAUUCUUUUACAUUCAAGAAUUUGAAAUCUUCUCUCUCUUAGUCUAUUUCUUCUUCCUCUUCUUUAUUAGUUCCUCUGUUCAUUUCCUUGCCUCCCCUCUCCCCAUAUCCUCCUAUUUCUCCAUCUAUAUCUCAUUCUUUUCUCUCUUCUUCUUCUACCUCUAGUACUUGUUCCCCUCUCGUUGCUCCUACCUCUCUUCCUCCCUCUUCACACUUUGUGUCCCAUCUAUUCCACCUCCUUCUCCACCUUCUUCGAGUGUGGACCUGCUUGUACCUUGUGUGAAUACAAAUUUACUUACUUUUUCUCGCACUCACAAUAUUCAUCCUAUGGUGACCAGAUCUAAGGGUUUGUAUCUAUAAACCUAAGUUGCUAUUGAGUGUCUCCAUAGGUUCUCUCACUAAGCCUACUUCCUUUCUUCAAGCUAUUAAAGAUCCUUCAUGGAAGCAAGCCAUGGAAUUGGAGUUUGCUGCCCUUCAACACAACAAGACCUGGCAUCUAGUUCAUUCACCUUCCUCAGGCAAAGUAAUUGGUUGUAAAUGGGUCUAUAAGAUAAAGCUUUAGCCUGAUGGCUAAUUGAGAGAUACAAGGCCCGCUUAGUAGCUUAGGGUUAUCAUCAAACUGAAGGUAUUGACUACUUCGAAACAUUCAGCCUGGUUGUCAAGCCUUCUACUACCGUAUUGUGCUCAGUCUUACUUUUUCCCAGAAUUGGUGUAUUAGACAGCUGGAUGUUCAUAAUGCCUUCUUACAUGGUGACUUAGCUGAAGACGUUUUCAUGGAACAACCACCUGGAUUUGUUGAUCCUCUCUAUCCUACUCAUGUCUGCAAGUUGGAUAAGUCUCUCUACGGUCUUAAUAGUCACCUCGGGCUUGGUAUACUAAGCUGAGUACUUCUCUACUACACUUGGGAUUUGUUACUUCUAAGAAUGACUCUUCCUUAUUUAUUUGUCAUUCGUCUCAUGGGUUACUUCUUGUUCUUGUCUAUGUGGAUGAUAUAAUCGUCACUGGGAGCCACUCUCCUCAAGUUACUCACCUUAUCCAAUAGUUGCAUCAUCAGUUUUCUUUAAAGGAUCUUGGUCAUUUACACUAUUUUCUGGGCUUGGAGGUUCAUCACACCCCUACUGGUAUUCACCUCAGCCAAGCAAAGUAUAUCACUGAUCUCCUUACCCGGGCGGCUAUGUUGGAUGCCAAGCCAUGUCCCACUCCUAUGUCCUCCAACACAUAUCUUUCUCUUCAUGAUGGAGUGGCUCUUGAAAAUGGUUCAGAUUAUUGAAGUUUUGUUGGUGCCCUUUAGUAUUGUACCAUGACACGCCCAGAUAUAGCUUUUGCAGUAAAUAAAGUGUGUCAAUUCAUGCACCAUCCCUCUGAUGUUCACUGGCAGGCUAUAAAACGUAUUCUCCAGUACUUAAAGGGCACAUCUCAUUUUGGUCUCUUCCUACAGCCUUCCUAUGACUUCAACAUCACUUGCUAUACAGAUGCCGACUGGGCUUCCUGCCUUGAUGACAAGUGUAGCACCAGUGGCUACUGCCUCUUUCUUGCCUCUAAUCUGGUUUCUUGGUCAUCUUCCAAACAAAAAGUGGUCUCCCGCUCCAGCGCCAAAUCAGAGUACCGAGGGGUAGCAAAUGGGGCUGCUGAAAUUGCUUGGACUGAAUCUCUUCUUUGUGAACUUUCCACCCACUCGACCUCCCCUCAUUGUCUGUGACAAUAUCAGUGCCACAUACUUAGCUGUCAAUCCUAUUUUGCAUGCCCGCACCAAAACAUGUGGAAAUCGACUAUCACUUUGUCUCGGAACGUGUUCUUCAACGCUCUCUCUCUCUCCAGUUUACACCUUCGGAUGAUCAACUUGCUGAUUGCAUGACCAAGCCUCUCUCCACCCAACGUUUCAUCACUCUACGCUCCAAGCUCACUGUUCUCACUAGACCAAUGAGCUUGAGGGGGGAUGUUAAGCCUAAAGAUGUAAUUAGUUAGGAUAUUCUUUUCCCUCUAGUCUUGUAGCUCCACGUGUACAGUUGGUUAGGACCUCAUUGUAUAUAAUGCCUGCCCUGUUAUUGUAGAAGACAACAGAGAUAAAUAAUAUUAACAUUUUUCCUCUCAUCUCUCUCUCUGUUUCCCUCUGUUUUCAUCUCCUCUCUCAUCUGAACCAAAUGAUCCAUGUUAACCUUGGCUUGGUUUGAUUUGGCUCUAUCUUAGAGAGCUCAAGGAUCACGUCAACUCUGGUUUCUACUAUUCAGGUCCAUUCCCAUAUGAACUGGUUCAAAUUUGAGAAAAUGGUAACAGACCUUUAGUGAUGUUGGUUUGGAGCCAGUUGCCAAACCCGCCCUGAGCUUUACCACUAAUGUCAAGGGAGAAAGCCUUUUGAACAAAAACAAUAGCUUCAAGAGACUGAAUCGUGGAUGAAAUCUGAUCCACAUUUCUUCUCAUUUUGGAAACAAAUGAGAACUUAACUAAGAAGAUUCUACGGCCUCAUAGUGCUUUUCCUGAUCUAAGGUUGGUUCGUUUCCCAAAUUGUGAGAUGCACGGGCCAGACUUCAGAACUCUCACGCUCAGGAGUGUAUCCACGUGGUGGACAUAAGAUGGUGGCUUAAGAUCUGGUGUCGGUGGCUUUACUUUACUAGGAGAGUAGUGUGUCUUCAUCUCAUUCACUGCCGGAGGGUGGCGUAAGCAGUGACGCUAAGGUGGGGCAUAGUCAAUAUCAUUUGCAUUUGACCAUUAUAGUUUUCUCCCGGCUUGAAAGUAACCUUAUCGUGAUAAAGGAUUACUAGCACUAGUUCAGAUGACAGUCAUGUUAAAUUCGGACCAUGUUUGUGUCACAUUAUCAGCAACCAUGUGUUUAUGGUUCAUGCUUUCUGCAACUGAAAUUGAAAUUGAUAUAUAACCAGGUGAACUUCAAUCUAAAUUCUGGAAGUACUCAUGUGAGCGAUGGUGCCCAUCUGCAGAGUCCAUCAAUUGAAAAAUGGAGUGAGUGUAUCUAUAAGAGGGAAGGCUUGGCAAAUGUCCAGUUUUCUGGGAAUUCAACAAGGAUCUAAAAUAGAUUGUUUUCUUUGCUGAUUUCAAUGGUUGAAAUUUGAGAAGAUUGUGUCCCACAUAACACAACUAUUACUGGUCCUUCUGUUGCAAUUUAUCCUCUAAGGCUCUAGCAUGUCUUCCAAUUCCCACUUCCCUGUUACUCCAGGAAAGCUAUUUCUGUCAUUGUGAAGAAGAAAAGAGAAUGUAGAUAUCGAUGCUUUUAAGUGACUGGAGCAUUCAUAUCAGGUGGUCUGCAGCCAUAUAUGCCACUUUGUGAAGAUUGGAACAGUCAAUCACUAGGCUAUAUAUUAGUGUGGCCCAGCCACUUUAAUCAAGGACAAUUCUUCAUACUUAAAAGUCAAAUUCUGCCUUUAGUCUCAUUAUAAAUUGCUGUUUAAAUAUUAAGCAAACAUUUGUUUAAUGCGAUUAAGACAGUACUAACUCAAUACUUGUUCUAUUUUUGGAUGGAAAUGCUUGAUGGUUUCAUCAUUGGAUGGGAUAAAGGUGCAUUCAUGAUUAUGAAUACUUGUAGUUAUAUUUUCAUUCUCUUUUUUCUCAAUGAGACUUGUUGGCACAAUUUUUCUGUUCAGAAACCUACCUCUCCAUGGAAAAUAAGUUGUGAUUGAUAGUACUGGAUAUAUUCAAGAAAGCUAAAUAUAGAUAGCACAAAAUAUUAUCGACAUAAAUAGCAUUAACAGCGUACGUAUGUCUCAGUGCUCAUCAGCCAUAAGCAUGGGGCAAACACUUACGAUGAGCAACUUACGUCAAAAUUCCAGAAUAGGACAUAGAAGUGACAGAUCUAUAUAUAUAGAACACUGCAUAAGAGUCACAAGAAAGGAAAUUACGGGUGCAUAGCAGCUCUUAUUUCACAUACUACUCAUACUGAUCAAAGUCACUCAGUUGGGAUGGGUGGGAGUAGGAGGUUUGUGGGGUGGCUUGUGCGGAGGAGUUGGCAGCUUCUUUCCAGGACCUGGUGGCUUCUCUCCCUUAGGUGGUUUGCCAACUGGGGUUGGUGGCUUGUAUGAGUCUUCAGCAUUCUCUGCAGGAGGGUGACCAGGGUUGUGACCAUAAUGUGGUGGCUUCUCUCCCUUAGGUGGUUUGCCAACUGGGGUUGGUGGCUUGUGUUCUGGGAGUGGCUUCUCCCCCUUGGGAGGUUUUUCCAAUGGGGUUGGUUUGUGUUCAGGAGGUGGCUUCUCCACUGGAGGCUUGUGUUCAGGAGGUGGCUUCUCCACCGGAGGCUUGUGUUCAGGAGGUGGCUUCUCCACCGGAGGCUUAUGCUCUGGUGGUGGCUUCUCCACCGGAGGCUUAUGCUCUGGUGGUGGCUUCUCGAAUGGGGGAUGCUUAGGGUAAUCAGCAAGUGAGGGGGCGGUGAGAACCACCAGGCCAAGCAAGACCACUAGCAAGUAUGUAGGAGACAUCUUUGGGUUUAGACUCAGAUGGUGCAAAACUAGGAGAAUUGUCUUUUAUAGCGGAUCGCACCCAAUAAUGAAAUGACACGUGUCUUUAUGACCCAUGUGUAAUGGGGUCGAUUUGGGUCCUACAGUGUUGAAAACUUCGACAUCCACUUUUGGCCUUUUGCUUUCUCUACAGCCGCCUUGCUUUUUCCCUCUUUCCUUUUGUUUUCCUCCUGCCCCAUUCUAUCAACUAAACACAAUUAUGUAGUUGUUUAAUUCUUAAAUGAGAUAUUAUCCGUCAAUCGUAUCAUAUUUUAUCAACAGAGAACGGAGUGCAAUGUGGCAAUCCAAAGAAAGAAGAUCCAUAAUGCAGCUGUAAUUUUAUCGUUUACUUUUAUCUCUUGGACCACUGCAUUUUUGUUAAGAGGUGCAAUAAUACACGUCUUUAUCUGCCAUUCAAUGUUUACAGUAAAGAGAGGGCACAAAACUCUUCACUGCUCUGCAUGUGUCCCAAAAAUGCAAUUGGACAAAUUAUGAUUUGCAUGCUAAAAAGAGGCAAAUGAGGUUAAUUCGCACCAUAAUUAUUUUGUUUUCUGGACCCCGGGGCCCUUUGGUUGGUUUGGGGGUCAGAAAAUGAACAUCAUAGGGGGUUUUUCCCUUAUGUGCAUUUGUAUCUGAUGGCUUUAACUCGCCUUGUUACUACAAAGAAAUUGUCACAUAUAGGAACUUAUUCCAGGCUGAGUAUCUCCGCAUAGACCCUAUAAAAGAAGACAAGUCAUAAUGAACAUCUAACCUUUGUUCAAUUUGAUUCAAUGCCCCAUUGUGUCCACCUCACAAAUCUGAAUUAUUAUAUCCAUUGAAUACAUAAAUUAAUGAAGAAAAUAUGAAACCCAAGAUACAUCUCUGCACAACCUCAACCCUGGUUGCUAUGUUUCCCUUCUAUUCACAUGAGGAUAUUGAUUACGGAAUAGGGAAACCUAGCAAGGGUUUACUCGGCUCUGGUUUGAUGCUAAUUGCCAAACUUGCAACAAGCCCUGAGUUUGAAGCUCACAGAAGAUGUUAUACAGGCAGGGAAAAACCUUCAGAGUUCGCUGCCAAAGAUAAUUAUUAAGGAGAUAUCACCAAGAGAAUUCCAAGGAGUCUGAAUCAAAGACAAAUUGGUCGUUCGUGGAGGUUCUUACUUUCUUUUGGGUAUAACUCACUGAGGGCACUGUCUUUUUUAUUUUCAUUUCACAUUUAGAGUUCUGUUCUGGAAACAUAUAAAAGGAGCAUCAGUUUGUUCUUGGGUAACCCAUAGUCGUGAGUGGGUCCAUUUGCAUGCUACUUAGUUGAAAAGUUGGACCAUUUGCUCCGACGCCUACCUCCUGGAUUCCAUGCUCGGAUAAAACAAGAAUAAAAAAAUAUUUAUAAUUUACAAAUGGGGGAAAGAAAAAAAUGUCAACAACAAACUAGGAAAAAAGAGUAGUAAAAUUCAUGUCACAUGCUAGUGAGAGAAGGGGUUGUUACACUCACUCGAAGUUCUUUUCAAAAUAUCGCAUGGUAUUUUAUUUUAUGUGUGAGCGCAGUUGUGAAUGGAACGUGCAAAAGUCCAAAUUGGUGACCUUUAAUAAAUAUUUAAAACAAAAAACGAAAAAAAGGAGGGAAAAGGGAUCAGAAAAGAUAAAACAAUGUGUACAAAAGCUCAAUUAGUUUGCAAAUUACUGUUUGGAUUUUGAUAGUAUUUUAUUUGAUGUAAAAGAGAAUUUAAGAUAUUUCCGAAACAAAAGCAUUAGUUUGCUCCAUGUCAAUUUCGGCAUUUCUCAUAUGUUUCACACAUACACAGAAGAGCAUCGUUUUUUAAAGCAUGCAUUUAUGUUGGAUUAAUUUGGAUUUUGUGGGAACUGGGGCAAGGAUCACAUGGAAGAGAGGUUGACUUUUUUCAGUACUUCAAUGGUUGAGACAGGUGAAGGCCUGAUUGAUACUGAAGCCUGAAAUUGCGACUCCGUCAUUUGUCAAAACAUAUGACAGCUUCCAUGCUCUCGUUUGGUUGCAUUGUUCUGUGGUCAUGCAUACAUGCCACUUAGUGAUCAGUCUGUAACUGUCAAUCAUUGGGCUUUGACUGAACAACAUCAGCCAUGUAUAAAUACUUGCAAAUCAAACGGUCUUCUUCCUCCCAUAAGGAAUUUCGGUUUAAUUAUGAAGCAUGCAUUUGGCUGACCAUCAUAAACCACUUCUUUAAAUUGAUGAAUGAUAGUUUUUCAUUCAUUCUUUCAUUCGUUCAUAUACAGAGUAUAUAUAGAGGGUAAUCAUCAUUCUAAGAAUGGGAAAGAAUGAUACAAGGAAAUAAUGAUAUAAAGAAAUAACAACUAAUAUUCUAAUAUCUCAACUUUCCUAAUAUCUAAACAUUCCUAAUAUCUCAACACUAAAUGAUAUAAAGAAAGAAUGAUAUAAGGAAAGCAUUCCUAAUAUCUCAACACUCCUCCUCAAGUUGGUGCAUAGAUGUCAAACAUGUCCAACUUGUCUAAAAAUUUUGAGAACAGUUGACUUGAGACAUCUUUGGUGAGGAUAUCGGUCAAUUGAUCUUCUGAUCGAAUCUUAGGCAAUUCCACAAUCUUAUCAUCCAACUUUUCCUUAAUGAAAAAUCUAUCCAUCUCGACAUGCUUUGUACGAUCAUGUUGUACUAGAUUAUGAGCAAUGUCACAUGCUGCUUUAUUGUCACAAAACAAUCGGAUUGGUUGCCUAGAUAGGUAACCUAAAUCCUAUAAGAGGAGUCUUAGCCAUAAUGCCUCACAAAGUCCUAAAGUCAUACCUCUAAAUUCCGCUUCUGCACUUGAACGAGCGACGACAUUUUGCUUCUUACUUUUCCAUGUCACAAGAUUACCACCUACAAAGGUAAAGUAACCAGAUGUAGAUCGCCUAUCAUCCACUGCACCGACCCAAACAGCAUUAUACUUCUAUACUCUGAUGAUCAACAUUUUUAGCGAACAAAAUUCCCUUCCUAGGAGCAUUCUUCAAAUACCUCAAAAUACGCAUGACUACAUUCAUAUGUUGCUCUCCAGGAUUAUGCAUGUAUUGACUCACUACACUCAAUGUAUAAGCAAGAUCUAGUCUUGUAUGAGCUAAGUACAUUAAUCUCCCCACAAGUCUCUGGUAUCUUCCCUUAUCGAUUGAUACUUGAUUAGGCUCAACACACAAUUUCAGACCUUCUUCUAUUGGUGUAUUAAUAGGUUGACAUCCCGACAUUCCAGUUUCCUGUAGAAGAUCUAAGGCAUACUUUCUUUGAGACAGAAAAAUUCCUUCACUUGAUCGAGAAACUUCAAUCCCAAGAAAGUAUUUCAGACGACCAAGAUCUUUCAUUUCAAAUUCUCUAGAUAGAUACUUUUGCAAAGCUUUUCUUUCUUCAGGAUCAUUUCCUGUAACUACAUGUCAUCCACAUAUAUCAUAAGUGUCGUAAUCUUACCAUGUUGCUUUUUCAAGAACAAAGUGUGAUUUGAAUUACUUUGAUGAUAGCCAAAAGCUCUCAUUGAUUUUGUGAACCUUCCAAACCAUGCUCUCGGGGAUUGCUUCAACCCAUACAAUGACUUCUUCAAUUCGCACACCUUCUGACAUUGCUUUUCUGACACCAUGCAUCCUGGUGGAAGAUCCAUAUAUACUUCUUCAGAUAAAUCGCCAUGCAGAAAGACAUUUUUUACAUCGAACUAUUGUAAUGGCCAAUCUAGGUUUGCAGCUAAAGACAAUAAUACUCGAACUGUGUUGAUCUUAGCUACAGGUGCAAAUGUCUCUGUGUAGUCAAUUCCAUAAGUUUGAAUGUACCCACUAGUCUUGCUUUAAAUCGUUCAAUACUACCAUCUGCCUUGUACUUCACAGUAUAGAUCCAACGACACCCAACUAGCUUCUUUCCUGGUGGACAUUCUACGAGUUCCCAUGUUUCAUUUUUCUGCAAUGAUUUCAUCUCUUCAUUCAUGGUUGCUUUCCACUUUGGAUCAGCUAAAGCUUCCUGCACACUAUUAGGAAUAGCUACAGUAGAUAAUUGAUUUACAAAUGACUUAUUUGAUUCAGACAAACCAUGGUGUGGACCCGCAUUUUUCACGUGCGCCUCUACUCGAUCGGCGAGACUCGCUUUCUAUUUGUGAAAAAUUAAUUUUAGAAAAGUUGGAGUCGCCACCUAUUUUAUUUUUAUUUUGAAGGGAAAAUAAAACAAGAAAGAAAAACCCUAAAAAGUGACUCCAUAGUUUUGGAAAAAGCAUGUCUUUGGGAAACCUGAGUCUAGGUCCGGGGAUCAUGUUACUUAUUGGGAAGGUACCUCUAGGAGGUAGCACCCCUCUAAGCCUUAUGAAGGUCUCUACUAACUAAAUUAAGGGAAGUGUGGCAAUAAAUCGAUUGAUCAUAGAUACCUAAGUAGACUAGGUGAUUUUAAAGUGUGGCAUGUCAAACACAAUCAAAUUGCAAUAAAGGAGAGUUAGGGCGCGUACCUGAACCGCUUCUCAAGCGCUAUCAUAAAACAUCAAUGGUUAAUUUAAAUAAUAUAUCAUCCAGCAUGUAUUUUAUUAGAAAUAAUCAAACAAUGAAACAUGUAUAUCAGAACACUCAAGCAUUAUUAGACAUAAGCAUUAUUUCACUAUUCACAGAAUUCAGAAAGUAGGUGAUAGAGGACAUACCUGGAUAGCAUAGAUAAUUUGUAAUGUGCUUCCUCAAGUUGUAAGGGGUUAGAUAACAAAUAAUAAAAUAUAGAAAUCCUAGCAUGCUCGUUAUCUAAUUAGCAUAGCAAAAGUGAUCACAGUAUACAGAAUCAUCAAUUAUCACAUACAUCUUGUAUAUAAUUCCUAAAAAAAAUAGAUAGACAUGAUUUCAACAAGUGUCAAAUGUGGCAACAAAAAUAAAUUUUGAAAAGAUUUUCUUAUGUAGGGGUUUCACCAAUUCCCCAAAUUAAUAUACACGAAUUUAGCUUAGAAUUAUCCCAUUUAUUUGGGACUACAAGCUUUGAUUCGUGUUUUUGUUCAAAACCAAAAAUUUUUGUUGAAAAUCAAGAAGGAUGCGAACCGAACAAGAUAUGGUUGCAUAUUAUUUUUAAAUAAAUAAAUAAAUAAAUAAAGGAGAUUUUGAUCCUGAGGACUUUAAUGAGUUUUUUUUUUUAAAAUAGAUUUUUAAAAUGAUUUUUUUGAGAAAAGUAUUUUAUUUUAAAAUAAAAGGGAUUAAUUUGGGAAAAAAAUAAAAUAUAAGAAAUAAAAUACCAAACAAAACAAAAAUGAAACCUCAAAGUAAAAUUUUUUUAGUAAUUAACAAAAAUGAUAAUGGUGAUGGUAGAGGGCAAUCUUCAUGAUUUUCCAAUGGCCUCAGAAAGAAAAUCAAAUUAAAUGAAGGAUCACUAACAGGCAAGACAUUCUAAAUUAGACAAACUAACAAAGUAUCAAUUCAUGAACUAACCGCUAGGAUUUUGAAAGCAUAUAAGCUAAGAUAAGGGUGAUCAGGAACUAAUAUUAAUGAUUUUGAAAUAAAAACUAAAAAAAAGGAUCAAUUCGGGUAAGGAACUAAAAUUAUAAAAGUACCUAAACUAAUUAUGACGAGUUUGACUAAAUUAAACUAAAAACAUGAACUUUCAAACAUAGAAUUAAUUUUACUAAUGAACCAAAGCAAACUAAAAAUAUGUACUUUCAAGCAUAGAAUUAAUUUUAUUGAUGAACUAAACUAUAACAAAUAUCUAAACUAAAUAUAAUGAAUCAAAUUAAAUUAAAGCAACUUAAAAACGCAAACUUUCAAACAUAGAAUCAAUUUUAUCAAUGAAUUAAAACUAUAAAUGUAUUUGAACUAAAUAGAUGAAUCAAACUAAAUCAGAGCAAAAUUAAAAAAAAAAAAGAACUUUCUAACAUGAAAUCAAUUUUAUCAACAAAUAAAUGAAUGAAUAACAAGUAAUUAAAAGAAUAGCUACUACAUGAAUAACUGAAUGAAUAAAAUUCAAAUGUUUUCAAUCUGAAGCAAUCAAUCAAAAUUAAAUAGGGAUCAAAUCAAAAUAAUCGAAAUCGGAAAAACAAUAUGCAAUCUUUCUAAAGGUUUAACCAGACAAUUGAAUUAAAAUUAUGAAUAGAAUAAAUUAAUAAACCAAAUCGAAACCUAAAUUGUACCUAAAAAGAUUAAUUAAUUAAACUAAGAAAUCAAAAUCAAUAACAAAACUAAACUAAGGAGUAAAUUAAGACAAGACUAAUUAAAUUAAACUCACAAACACGUUUUAACUAUCAUAUGGAUUAAAACAAAAUUAGCAUGGACUUAUGAAUUACGAACAAAAAUAAUCAAAACUAUUUUAAAAAACUCACCUCUAUUAUAAGAAAAAAUCUGCCUUUGAUGCGUUGAGGUGGCUCCCCUCUCUGUGUGGAUCUCUCUGCUCCCCAGAAAAAAAAUGUCUCUUCCUCCGUUCUCUUUUGUUUCAGCAAAAUAAUAUAUCCCCUGCUGUGGAUCUCUCUACUCCCAGAAAAUAAUAUAUUCUCUCCGUGUCCUAAAGUGGACCUAGGGUGCCUAAGUGGACCUAGGGUGCCUAAAUGGGCCUAGGGUGCCUAAAUGGGCCAAGUGUAUCUAAAUAGGCUUAGGGUGCCUAAGUGGGCCUAAGUCUAAGUGAGCCUAAGUCUAAAUCAAGACUACCAAGGAUCAUAAUAAGGGGUUAGGCAAUCCCUUAACCAAAGUCUCCAAGGUGGCUAAAAAAAAGUAAGUAGUAUGAGUAGCUAUGGGUCACCAAGGAACUACUGUGGAGCAUUGAAAACGAAUUUAAAGACAUGUGCCAAAGGGACAAAAUUGAGGGUCUACAGAUGGUUAGACACAUAGUUGCUCAUGGGAUAUUUGACUUUGGUAAACAAUUCAGAUUCAUAUGUGGGUUUAGGAAUACCUUUAUUAUGACGGUGUGGUAAUCGUUUCAUGAAUGGAUCAGGUUGCAAAUUAAGAACACCCUCAGCAAACAACGAUUGGUUUGGUAUUUCAGUGAAGACAUCUUCGAACCCAAAUUGUUGACCACUCAUAUCCAACUCACCCGCUUCCUGGUUCACUAGUUCAGAUUGUCCAAAUUCAUCAUUCUCAUAGAUAUGAUAAUCAUAAUCGAGAGUCUGAAUUUCCUUAUGGUACUCCCCCUGAAGUUCAGACUUAGAUGAAAAAUACAUCGAAUAUUCAUGAAACAGCNNNNNNNNNNNNNNNNNNNNNNNNNNNNNNNNNNNNNNNNNNNNNNNNNNNNNNNNNNNNNNNNNNNNNNNNNNNNNNNNNNNNNNNNNNNNNNNNNNNNNNNNNNNNNNNNNNNNNNNNNNNNNNNNNNNNNNNNNNNNNNNNNNNNNNNNNNNNNNNNNNNNNNNNNNNNNNNNNNNNNNNNNNNNNNNNNNNNNNNNNNNNNNNNNNNNNNNNNNNNNNNNNNNNNNNNNNNNNNNNNNNNNNNNNNNNNNNNNNNNNNNNNNNNNNNNNNNNNNNNNNNNNNNNNNNNNNNNNNNNNNNNNNNNNNNNNNNNNNNNNNNNNNNNNNNNNNNNNNNNNNNNNNNNNNNNNNNNNNNNNNNNNNNNNNNNNNNNNNNNNNNNNNNNNNNNNNNNNNNNNNNNNNNNNNNNNNNNNNNNNNNNNNNNNNNNNNNNNNNNNNNNNNNNNNNNNNNNNNNNNNNNNNNNNNNNNNNNNNNNNNNNNNNNNNNNNNNNNNNNNNNNNNNNNNNNNNNNNNNNNNNNNNNNNNNNNNNNNNNNNNNNNNNNNNNNNNNNNNNNNNNNNNNNNNNNNNNNNNNNNNNNNNNNNNNNNNNNNNNNNNNNNNNNNNNNNNNNNNNNNNNNNNNNNNNNNNNNNNNNNNNNNNNNNNNNNNNNNNNNNNNNNNNNNNNNNNNNNNNNNNNNNNNNNNNNNNNNNNNNNNNNNNNNNNNNNNNNNNNNNNNNNNNNNNNNNNNNNNNNNNNNNNNNNNNNNNNNNNNNNNNNNNNNNNNNNNNNNNNNNNNNNNNNNNNNNNNNNNNNNNNNNNNNNNNNNNNNNNNNNNNNNNNNNNNNNNNNNNNNNNNNNNNNNNNNNNNNNNNNNNNNNNNNNNNNNNNNNNNNNNNNNNNNNNNNNNNNNNNNNNNNNNNNNNNNNNNNNNNNNNNNNNNNNNNNNNNNNNNNNNNNNNNNNNNNNNNNNNNNNNNNNNNNNNNNNNNNNNNNNNNNNNNNNNNNNNNNNNNNNNNNNNNNNNNNNNNNNNNNNNNNNNNNNNNNNNNNNNNNNNNNNNNNNNNNNNNNNNNNNNNNNNNNNNNNNNNNNNNNNNNNNNNNNNNNNNNNNNNNNNNNNNNNNNNNNNNNNNNNNNNNNNNNNNNNNNNNNNNNNNNNNNNNNNNNNNNNNNNNNNNNNNNNNNNNNNNNNNNNNNNNNNNNNNNNNNNNNNNNNNNNNNNNNNNNNNNNNNNNNNNNNNNNNNNNNNNNNNNNNNNNNNNNNNNNNNNNNNNNNNNNNNNNNNNNNNNNNNNNNNNNNNNNNNNNNNNNNNNNNNNNNNNNNNNNNNNNNNNNNNNNNNNNNNNNNNNNNNNNNNNNNNNNNNNNNNNNNNNNNNNNNNNNNNNNNNNNNNNNNNNNNNNNNNNNNNNNNNNNNNNNNNNNNNNNNNNNNNNNNNNNNNNNNNNNNNNNNNNNNNNNNNNNNNNNNNNNNNNNNNNNNNNNNNNNNNNNNNNNNNNNNNNNNNNNNNNNNNNNNNNNNNNNNNNNNNNNNAACCAAAGGAAGCAUGUUCCAGACGUCGAUGCCACAACCAAAUUUCAGACUUUUUCUUCUCCUCCUUAGAUCCAUCUGCCAUCAAGGCUUGUUGCAACUUAUUUGAAUCCUUUGAUUGCAAGUCCAAGUAUAGAGUUUCCCCCGCUUAAUACGACAACCAAUCGUCUGUCUUGUUUGAAUGUCCUUAAUCACACAAAAUUCAGGCCAAAAAAUGACAAUACAAGAUAAGGCUGCAGUGAUUUGAGAAACUAACAAAAGAUUGUAAUCUAAAGAUGGAACAACUAAAACAGAAUCCAAAUUCAAAGUAUCAGUAAGAGUUAAGGAUCCUUCCCCAAUGACUGGGGUUGUGUUACCAUUGGCUGUGGAAACAAUUUUUUGUGAGGAAGGUCUAAGGGGUGAAACCUGUCUAGAAUCAAAAGUCAUAUGAUCUGUAGCACCAGAAUCAAUUAUCCAUGCACUAUUAAUAACAGGUGUAAAAGUAUUUAAAAACUUACCACAAUGAUCUGUAGCGGCUACUAAUGCAGAGACUUUCUCAACAACAUUAGUCUUUGUUUUUAUUUCGGUAACAGUUGCAAUCAAGGUUUUCUUGGAAUUCUUCUUCCGUUGAUCACGAUUAUUAUCAUUAAUAACAAAGUGUUGAUAGCCUAAACAUGAUCUAAAGGUCCAUGGUGCAAACCCUCGGUUCCUCAUUGUUUUCCUGGUCAUACCAAGAGUUGUUGCUUUGAAAUUGUGGGAUAUCCAGACUGGUGGGAUCAGUUUUAUUGCAGUGAGUGCAUUUGAAUGUUGACUUAUCAAUAUUAGGGCUUGUCUUCGGAUGGUUGAUUGCUGUUGGACUACCAUAGCGACAAAAUAUCCAGGAUUUCAAUUCCAGGGCUCUGAUACCAUCUUCAAAUUGAUGAAUGAUAGUUUUUCAUUCAUUCUUUCAUGUACAGAGUAUAUAUAGAGGGUAAUCACCAUUCUAAGAAUGGGAAAGAAUGAUACGAGGAAAUAAUGAUAUAAGGAAAUAAUAACUAAUAUCCUAAUAUCUCAACUUUCCUAAUAUCUCAAUAUUCCUAAUAUCUCAACUUUCCUAAUAUCUAAACAUUCAUAAUAUCUCAACACUAAAUGAUACAAGGAAAGAAUGAUAUAAGGAAAACAUUCCUAAUAUCUCAACACCACUUCAUGAUAUAUAUAGUUUCUUACCCUUAAUCAAUGGUUUCUAAGUGAAUUUAUAUAGAAAGAAAUCCAAACUGUAGACAGCAGUAUUGGUAACACUCAAUAUUCUGUAUAUAAUAGAAUAAAUAGCGUCACAGUGAUCGUCGCCUACAAGCAAGGUACAAAUACCACAAAGAGUGACCCACAUAGACAUUCCCCAACAAGAUGUAGUAGUGACUGACACAUAGCCACAAUUAACACGUAGAAAAGGAUAAGACCGGUGCACAGUAGCUCUUAUUUUACAUACUACUUAUGCCAACCAAAGUCACUCAGUUGGGAUGGGAGGGAGAUGGAGGUUUGUGCGGUGGCUUGUGGGGCGGAGUUGAUGGCUUCUUUCCAGGAGCUUCUGGCUUUUUCAUCGGAGCUGAAGGAGGCUCAAUCUUAUGAGGCGGCUUGUACGAGUCUUCUUUGCUCUCGAAAGGAGGGUGGCCAGGGUUGUGACCAUAAUGUGGUGGUUUCUCUCCCUUGGGAGGUUUACCAAUUGGGGUUGGUGGCUUGUGUUCUGGGAGUGGUUUCUCUCCCUUGGGAGGUUUAGUGGGUGACUUGUGUUCUGGAGGUGGCUUCUCCACCGAAGGCUUGUGCUCCGGUGGUGGCUUUUUGGUUGGAGGGGGCUUGGGGUAAUCAGCAAGAGAUGGGGUGGUGAGAACCACCAGUCCAAGGAACAACACUAGCAAGUAUGUGGGAGACAUUUUUGAGUUUGGGCUGAUCAGAUGAUGCAAAACUAAAGCAUUACGUGACCUUUUAUAGCAAGUAGCUCCCAAUACCUACUUGACACGUGUUACUGUGACCCAUAAAUAUUAUGGGGUCUAUUUGUGCCCUACCGGGUUGAAAACUUGGACAAUUGGGCAAGGACCCGCCUGACUAUGGAGGACUACUGAGGUGUGAUCACAGCUUUAGGAUUUUUCUUCCUCUGCAGCCGUCUUGCCGUUGGCAUGAUUUUCUUAAUCUCAAAUAAAGGCAUAGUUAUAGAGUUGUUUAAUCUCUAAAUGGGAUUUUAUAUAUCUUCAGAUAGCCAUUAAUACAUUUGAUGAAGAAAGAAAGACAAGUGCAUACAACAUGUAUACGACUAGCUUUCAUGGAGUUCAUUUAUGAUCAGUUUUCCUGUACAUGUAAACCAAGAUCAUAUAUGUUUUUGUUCCACAACAAUUUUGGAAUCUUGUUUAUCCGUUUUUAUCAUUAUAAUGUCACAUAGGCUGCCAACUUGGGCGCUAAAUUAAAGAUCCAGUUGGGCAAGUUCGUUUCAGAAUUUCAAUGGUGGAUUCAGGAAUUGUUUUAUAAGAUAUGCAAAAUAGUAGAGGGAUGAAUAGUGUUUCAUUAAGAAAAGAGCCCUGUAAAAAUAUUGUUUAAAGGUGCCAUAGAAACUAUAAUCAAUAAAUAACUUUUUUUCCCCAUGGGUGGUGUUUCUUGUGGGGAUCAGUGACUGGUUUGAGUCAACGCCGUGUCUCUUUAGUCCAGAAAUCAACUAUUUUAUGCAUUGAAUACAUCAACAAAGAAAAUAUGAAAGCCAAAUGACACCUCCCCCGCAAAAACUAAACCCUGGUUGCUAACUUUCUAUGUUUCAGUUCCAUUCACACAAGAAUAUUAGUUCAAGUUUGAGAAAAAUGGCGACUUACCUAGUGAUAACUCGGUCUUGGUUUGCGAUUUGACUUUAACGUCAUGGGUUGAAGCCUCCUACAAUCAUCGUGUAUGCUAGUUCAAAGCUCGUGGAAGAAGUUAUACAGGGAGGGAGAAACCUCCACAGCAAGCUCCAAAAGAGAAUUAUCACAUUGAAAGCUCCAGUUGAACACUGGGUGAAAGCCAUAACAAGAUUGGUUUUCUAUCGCUCUUUUAAGUAAUGGAAGAUUAUUAUCUCUGCUUGUCACUACAACCGUGCAUGCUGCUAGAUCUUUCUAGACACUUCAAACAGUGAAACCAAGUAUGAUUCUUUUUCUCUUGAGUGGGUCCACUUGCAUGCCAAUGAACGAGUUGAAAAGUUGGACAAUUGGCCACAGCGCGCACUUACCUUCUGGAACCGAAGGUCAGUGAAGUGGGGUUCCUUUUGGCCCCUUGUGUUUCUGUUCCAACCUACUCCAGGAACCGAAGUUCAGUGAAGUGGGGCUACUUUUGGCCUCUUGUGUUUCUGUUCCAACCAAACAAAAAUGGGAGGGAAAAAUAGCAUUAUGCUUGUGCUAAAGAUCAACGCAUGAUAGCUGAAUAAGGGAGAAAAAGGCAUUGCUAUCUCAAUUUCAUAAACUUGAUAAGUAGUGACAUUAAUAGUCUUCCUCAUAGAUGGAUACAUGGUUUUAUUUUAUUUAUUUAUUUUUAUUUUUUUGUUUUAUGUCAAUGCUAAUGAAUGAAGUGCAUUAGCUUGUUUUGUGACUAGAACUACAAAUGUCCAAAUUGGAGCUUCUCCAAUAUAUUUCUCAGUGAGUUAUUGAUUAGAACUCUUGGAUUGAGUUCCAAGAUUUGAAUCAGACCCCUCUAGCAGCUUCAGGGGUACGUAGCAACCUAUAGCAUAUUAAUGAAGACUUAGGAUUUAGACUUAGGAAUACAAAUUAAUAUGUACCUCAUGCUCUGACUAGCUUCCCUGCGUAUGCACAAAAUGGAGAUGACUCCCAAAAAAAUAGCAGAAUCGCCUUAGUAUGUUUUUGUGGUUAAGAUGAUUCUCCACUUUAUAUAUCCACAUUGGUUCAUUAUGCAAAUUAAUCAACUAAGCUAUUUUUAUUUUUUCUUAAAUGUGAAAUAGGAGCUCCAAAUUAACCUAACCAUUGGCCUGAUUGAAUUGAUUUCACUUGCAUAAUGUUAUAGUAGAAGUCCGUAAUUUGAAUUUUAUUUUUGCAAAAGGUAACGUAAAUGAAGCAUUGUAAUUAAAUUUAUUUGUAAUUACAAACUAAUUUUAUUUUAUUAAGAAUUAAUUUAAUUACUCAUUUAAAAUAAAAAUCAGUUAUACUUUUACCAAGAUGAUAAUAUUCAUAUUUUUCUAGUUAACAUAUAUAAAAUAGUACACUUUUUCAUAUAAAAAAAUAAUUUAUGAUUUAUUAUAAUGUUACUAUUCACAUUUUACUAAAUUGAUGGUACAUGAUAGUGAGAGAAGGGGGUGUCACACUCAGCUAAAGUUCUUUUCAAAAUAUUGCAUGGUGUUUAAUUUUAUGUGUCGGCGCGCGUGUGAAUGGAACCUGCAAAAGUCCAAAUUGGCGUUUCUCCAUUUUCCACAUAGGAUGGUGACGUUAAUAGACAAAGAUACAAUAUCUGUAGACAUUGCUUAAAAAUCGAUGUGAAGUAUUAGAAAUUACAGGGCACUGUACUGGGGGAGCGGCUGCCCCGCCAAAGGAGGAAGAAUGUAGCAAUUUCUUCUGUUAGCCAGGCCUUAGGAUUUAUGCAUGGGAUGCCUAAUAACAAACAGAGAAAAUAUACUUUUGGGGAAGGUAUCCAACAACAGACACCAUCAUUCAGAUGGUGGGAAGGUAUCCAACAGAUGCCAUCAUUCAGAUGGUAACAUAUAUAUACAUUUAUUAGUGAGUUUUUUUAAUACCUAUAAAAAAAAAUAUACACUUUGAUAUUGUGGCUGAAUCCAUUACAUACUCAACUAACCUUGCUCAUUAGGGAUUUGACUUAACAAGGGCAACGUUGCAGUACAAGCUCAAAACUUUAUGCAGGUGACAUUACAUUUGGUAAAGAAGAGGAAAAUAACGAAAGCCAUCCAUAAAAGCAAAAUUCCACAUGGGAUGAAAUUCACAAGCUUCAUUUACGAUAGAGUCGCAUCCAGGCAAUUAAUUCCACAUUAGACCGCCUGUUGACAUGUGUACCAAUCUUUUUUCAAAAAAUAUUUAUAAAUAAUUGAUACUCACAAAAAUAAUUUAAUAUUUAUAAAGGAUAAAAAAAUAUUUUCAAAUCUAUAACAAUUUAUAAAAUAUUAAUAAAAAAUUAUCUCUUAAACUUAGUAUAGUUUUAUCAGAUUAAACUUUUAUUUUGAACAAAUAAUUUUAAUCUAAGUUUUAAAUUCUAAAAUUAUUUCCUUAAAAUAAAAUUUUAAAAUUCAACACUUCAAUUGAAAUUGUCUUUUUAAAAAAUAUCUUCUUAUUUUAAUCCUUAUAAACUAUAGUUGAUUGAAAAUACUAUUGAAGUUCUCUCUUAAAAAAAAGUCUUAUUUUAAUCUUCAUAAAUUGCCCUUGAUUUGAAAAUAAAUUUUCAGUUAUCAUAUUUUAAAUAAUAUCUAUAUUUAAAAUACUCUAUUUAAAAAAAAAUGAACUAAUUUUAAUUAUAUUAUAUUUUAUUUUUUUAUAUAUUUUUAAUGAUAAACCAAACAUAGAAAAUCAUUUUUCUAAAUAUUUUAAAAUUUCUAAGCAACCAAACAUAAUCUUCAAAAUAAAAGGAAAAUAAGGAGGGACAUUUGAGAAAUGGCGAUUAAAAAAAAGUGUACAAAAGCUCAAUUAAUUUUCUUCUAGUCUUUUAUAUAAAAAAGUAAAGGAAUUGAAAAGUAUUGAUAUGUAAAUUAAUAUUUGGAUUUUAAUAGUAUUUUAUUUGUCUUUCUCUAUCUCAUGUAAAAGAGAAUUUAAGAUAUUUCCUAAAGCAAAGCAUUAGUUAUCUGCAAUCAGUGGUGAUCAUGCCCCAUGUCAAUUUCGGACCCAUAUCUUAAAACUGUAUAAUUUGCAUUCAAACAUUACUGAUUUCUCAGAUGUUUCAUACUCCACAGAAGAGCAUUGUUUGUGAAAGCAUGCAUUUAUGUUGGAUUUUGGAUGAUGUGGGAACUGGGGCAAGGAUCAUAUGGAAGAGUGGUCGAUUUUGUUCUGUACUUUAACAUUUGAAAUAGGAGAAGCUCGGGCAUUUGUGGGGCUUAAUUGAUUUUGAAGCCUGAAAUUGCGUUUCUGUCAUUUUGUAAAAAAUAUGGCAGAUUCCAUGCUCUCAUAUGUUUGGUCUGUGGCCAUGUAUAGAUGCCCCUUAGUGACCAGUUUGUAACUGUCAAUCAUAGUGUUUUGACUCUGGCUCAACAACAUCAGCCAUUGACGGAUUUUCAUACUUGCAAAUCAAAUAGUCUUCUUCCUCCCUUAGGAAUUUCGGUUUAAAUGUUAUUAAGCAUACAUUUGGCUGACAAUUAUUAACCACUUCAUGAUAUGGUUUCUUACCCUUAAUCAAUGGUUUCUAAGUGAAUAUAUGCAGAAGGAAAUCUGAACUGUAGACAGCAGUAUUGAUAACUCUCAAUAUUCUUUAUAUAAGAGAAUAAACAACGUCAUAGUGAUCGUCGCCUACAAGAAAGGUACAUUUCCCAACAAGAUGUAGUUGUGACUGGUACAUGGACGCAAUUAACUCGUACAAAAGAAUAAGACCAGUGCACGGCAGCUCUUAUUUUACAUGCUAAUUAUGCUAACCAAAGUCACUCAGUUGGGAUGGGAGGGAGAUGGAGGUUUGUGCGGUGGCUUGUGGGGCGGAGUUGGUGGCUUCUUUUCAGGAGCUUGUGGCUUUUUCGGAGCUGAAGGAGGCUCAAUCUUAUGAGGCGGCUUGUACGAGUCUUCUUUACUCUCGACAGGAGGGUGGCCAGGGUUGUGACCAUAAUGUGGUGGCUUCUCUCCCUUAGGUGGCUUGCCAACUGGGGUUGGUGGCUUGUGUUCAGGAAGUGGUUUCUCUCCCUUGGGAGGUUUACCAAUUGGGGUUGGUGGCUUGUGUUCUGGGAGUGGUUUCUCUCCCUUGGGAGGUUUAGUGGGUGACUUGUGUUCUGGAGGUGGCUUCUCCACCGGAGGCUUGUGCUCCGGUGGUGGCUUCUCCACCGGAGGCUUGUGCUCCGGUGGUGGCUUCUUGAUUGGAGGGGGCUUGGGGUAAUCAGCAAGAGAUGGGAUGGUGAGAACCACCACUCCAAGGAACAACACUAGCAAGUAUGUGGGAGACAUUUCUGAGUUUGAGCUGAUCAGAUGAUGCAAAACUAGAAGAAUUACGGGACCUUUUAUAGCAAGUAUCUCCCAAUACCCACAUGACACGUGUUACUAUGACCAUAAAUAUUAUAGGGUCCAUUUGUGCCCUACCGGGUUGAAAACUUGGACGCUUGGCCGAGGACACACCUGACUAUGGAGGACUAUUGACGUGUGAUCACAGCUUUUGGAUUUUUCUUCCUGUGCAGCUGUCUAGCGGUUGGCAUUAUUUUCUUAAUCUUAAAUAAAGGCAUAGUUAUAGAGUUGUUUAAUCUCUAAAUGGGAUUUUAUAUAUCUUCAGAUAGCCAUUAAUAUAUUUGAUGAAGAAAGACAAGUGCAUACAACAUGUAUACGGCUUGCUUCAAUCGAGUACAUUUAUGAUCAGUUUUCCUGUGCAAGUAAACCAGUUUUUUGUUCCACAACUAUUUUGGAAUCUUGUUUAUCAGUUUCUAUCAUUAUAAUGUCACAUAGGCUGCAAACUUGGGCACCCAAAGAUCUAGGUGGGCAAAUUUGUUUCAGACUUUCAAUGGUGGAUUCAGUAAUUGUUAAAAGGUGUUUCUUCAUUAAGGAAAGAGUCCGGUAAAAAUAUUGUUAAAAGGUGUCAUAGAAACUAUAAUAAAUAAAUAACUUCUUUUCCCCAUGGGUGGUGUUUCUUCUGGGGAUCAGUGACUGGUUAGGGUCACCCAAAAUGAGUCCAGAUUAAAAUUGGUUCGAGUCAAAGCAGUCUCUUUUGUCCAGAAAUCAACUAUUUUGCGCAUUGAAUGAAUCGAUAAAGAAAAAAUGAAAGCCAAAUCACACCUCCCCUGCAAAACCUAAACCCCGGUUGCUAACUUUCUAUGUUUCAGUCCUAUUCAUAUAGGAAUAUUGGUUCAAGUUUGAGAAAAAUGGCAACUUACCUAGGGUUUACUUGGUUUUGGUUUGCGACUAUUUACGCAACCAACCAUGAGUUUGACUUUAACGUCAUGGGUUGAAGCCUCCUACAAUCAUGUAUGAUAGUUCAAAGCUCGUGGAAGAAAUUAUACAGGAAGGAAGAAACCUCCAAAGCUAGCUCCAAAAGAGAAUUAUCACAUCGAUAGCUCCAGAGAUUCCCAAGGGAACUGAAUCAAAGACAAGUUCCUCACUUUUUCUUCUUUUGAGGCCAAAUAUGAACCAAGGAUCACACGACCUCAUUCAACUUCAUAAGUUUGAUUUCAUGCAGUUGAACACUGGGUGAAGGCCAUGACAAGAAUUGAUUAAAAAAUUCUACCACUCUUUUAAGUAAUGGAAGAUUAUUAUCUCUGAUUGGCACCACAACAGCACAUGCUGCUAGAUCUUUCUAGACACUCCAUGCAAUGAAAGCACAAUGGAUCUUGUAAUGAUAGAAACUAAGCCAUGCUACAGUACUAGAUGAGGGGGUAAAACUAGUAGACAUCUUUCUAGACACUCCAUGCAAUGAAAGCACAAUGGAUCUUGUAAUGAUAGAAACUAAGCCAUGCUACAGUACUAGAUGAGGUGGUAAAACUAGUAGACAUGGCUGGCAGUUGAUUACUACUCAAAAAGUACUCUUUUAUAGCUUGAAACUAACUGUUUUAAACACUUUUGAGUAGUAGUUAAUACCUUUUAACUUAAUUGGCACAUUAAGGAACCUAGCAAGGGUUACUAAUCAACAUUUGGCAAGUUUUGAUGUUUUUGGUAGCUAUUUGAUCAUUGAAACAAGCCAAGAAUGAGGGGGAAUUUUGUGAAGUCCAUGGCAAUGCAAGUUAAAGCUCAAAUACAUGAAGAAUCCAAGCUUUGGAGCACUUCAUAGCCCUUUGCCAAGCCAAUCAAAGAUGCAAGGAAGAAAACCAAAGGAAGAAAUCCAACAAUCAGCAUUUUGGCAUGGCUAUGUGAAAUUUCGCACACCAUGCGAAACCACAAGAGGCAGCCAAAGAAUUUCGCAUGGUAUGCGAAAUCUUCUUGUGCACUGACUCUGUUAGAUUUUUAUCUUCAGAUAUUUUGUGUAAUUUCCUAGUUUCUCCUUGUAACCAACUUAGAUAUUUUCUUUUAUAUCUUUUUUUAUAUUUUUUAGGUAACAUCAUAUAUAAGAGGAGAGACAUAAGGAGGAUAUGGAUGUUUUUCAUAGAACACUUGUAAAUUUUUGGUAGUAAGAAAUAUACAAAGCUUUUUGCUCUGCCUUACCUUCUCAAGGGAUGAGUGGCUAGGUUUUCUUGGAGUGAGGGAAGCUAGGUGAAGGACCUGAAUGCAAAGGUGGGAGUUUUCCUUACUUUAAAUGAAAGUAGUUGUUAAACAUUAAUGGUUUUUAUUUUAAGGUUUAGCUUUAAAUCCCUGAAAAACACCUUGAAUGGCCAAUACUUGGUAAGCUUUUUAGAUUCUAUGGAUGCUUAUUGCUAGAUCCAUGGAUGUCUAUUAGUUAUCAUUUACGAGCCAUUGGAAGGUGAUUCAAGGUGAGGGUCUUUAGUGUUUGAAGCCAUUAAUGGGAAGCAAUUACCAUUUUUUCAUGAAUCCUUUGGAUCAAAUCUUAAUUGCUAAAUAUAAAACCGGUUUCGAGAGAUAACCACCAUCCUUUAUGUUAUUAUCCCCAACGCGAGGAGAAGAUCCGAAAUCUUCCUUUUUAUCUAAGGAACCCGAUCCUAGUGACCUAAAGCUCCAAGAUACCUUUUCUUUGUAGUUAACUUCAUUUAUUGUUUUUGCUUAACUUAAAAUCAAUCUUUGCAACCACAAUUCCAUUUUCUUUAAAAGCUAAUUUUUAUAAGGAAAAACACCAUUUUAUUUCCUUCACUAAGUCAACUGUACGAUGAAAACCCAUCCCUGUGGACGAUCCUAGAGCCACUAUACUAUGUUAGCUAUGCUACCCUAGUGUGAGGUGAUUUAGGUUUUAUAAAUUUUUUUGAUAACACCCAUCUGAGCCAGAAUCAAAUGGCACGACUGAACCAGGGACGAAUCAAAUGACGCCGCUACCAAGGAUGGUGCCAAAGUACAUUGACAUGACUUUUGGUGAACACUUGUGAUCUUCACCACAAGUUUGGUGAUUUUUCUUUUACUAAUUUUUUUUAUUUUAGCUUAUCUUUUAUUUAGUUUUUAGUUAACCUUAAAUUUUUCCUAGAAUUGUAUUUCUUUUGUUUUCUUUGUUUUUGUUUCAGUGAUCUUUAGUUGUGCAUGCCCUAUUGGAUAAGAGAUAUUGAGGGAAUACUUGUGAAGAUUGAAACUCCUCGAGAAACUGAGUUAGAAGUGUGCUUGAACAUCAUGGAUGUUCCACCUGAAGACCAGAAUAGCCAACAUGGUUAAGAGGAUAAUUUCAACACAUACCGAUCCAUGAGGAACCGCAUACAUCCACCUUGUAUGAGUGCACCGUCAGGCAUAAUGCCUCCCACUGAGCAGCUAGUAAUCUGACCUCACAUUGUGCCACUCCUACCUACUUUCCAUGGGAUGGAGAGUGAGAAUCCCUACUCGCAUAUUAAGGAAUUCGAGGAGGUUUGUAAUACAUUCCAAGAAGGAGGAGCUUCAAUUGACUUGAUGAGGCUCAAGCUAUUUCCUUUCACUUUGAAGGAUAAGGCCAAGAUUUGGCUUAAUUCUUUAAGGCCAAGAAGUAUCCAAACUUGGAUUGAUUUGUAAGCCGAGUUUCUUAAGAAGUUCUUCCCUACCCAUAGGACCAAUGGUUUGAAAAGGCAAAAUUUGAACUUCUCAGUUAAAGAGAAUGAGAAAUUCUAUGAGUGUUGGGAGAGCUACAUGGAAGCUAUUAACGUUUGUCCUCACCAUGGCUUUGACACAUGGCUCUUAGUGAGCUAUUUUUACAAUGGUAUGUCUUCUUCAAUGAAGCAACUCCUAGAAACUAUGUGUGGAGGAGACUUCAUGAGUAAGAAUCCGGAGGAAGCCAUGGACUUUUUGAGUUAUGUGGCUGAAGUUUCAAGAGGAUGGGAUGAACCAAAUGCUAGAGAGGUGGGAAGAAUGAAGUCUCAACCUAAUGCUAAGGGUGAGAUGUAUGUUUUGAAUGAAGACAUUGACAUGAAAGCAAAGGUUGCAGCUAUGGCAAGGAGAUUGGAAGAGCUAGAAAUGAAGAACAUACAAAAAGUGCAAGCCAUUUCUGAGACAUCAAUGAAAGCUAUGCCUUGUUCCAUUUGUCAAUCUUAUAAGCACCUAGUGGAGGAGUGUCCUACAAUUCCAGCAGUGAGAGAGAUGUUUGGUGAUCAAGCAAAUGUUAUUGAUCAAUUCAAGCCUAAUAACAAUGCUUCAUAUGGCAACACCUACAAUUCAAAUUGGAGGAACCAUUCAAAUUUCUCUUGGAAACGAAAGCCACCUCAAUACACACAACCUACUCAAGCACCUUAGCAAUCCUCGAAUCUUGAACAAGCUAUUGUGAACCUUAGCAAGGUUGUGGGAGACUUUGUGGGAGAUCAGAAGUCCAUCAAUGCUCAACUGAAUCGGAGAAUUGACAGUGUGGAGAGUACAUUGAACAAAAGGAUGGAUGAGAUGUAAAAUGAUCUGUCUCAAAAGAUAGACAAUGUCCAAUACGUAAUCUCAAGGCUUACCAACCUCAACACAGUGUAAGAGAAAGGAAAGUUUCCUUCUCAACCUCAUCAAAAUCCUAAGGGUAUCCAUGAAGUAGAGGCUCAAGAGGGAGAAUCUUCAAAGGUGAGGGAAGUCAAAGUAGUUAUCACCUUGAAGAGUGGUAAAGAGGUUGAUCAACCCACAUCCAAGCCAAAGCAUAAUGAAGAGAGUGUAGCAGAAAAAGAAAAGAGAGGAAAAUAAAGGAAUUAGAAUAGAGAAAAAUACAAAGAAAGAUGACCAUGAGUCUAGUGUGGAUGAAGAGCCCGAGAGGAUGGUGAUCAAGGAAGAUAUGAUGAAGAAACACAUGCCUCCACCUUUCCCCUAAGCUUUGCAUGACAAAAAAAGAACCAAUAAUACAUCAGAAAAUUUUGAAGUAUUGAGGCAAGUGAAGGUCAAUAUCCCUUUGCUAGACAUGAUCAAACAAGUGUCGACAUAUGAAAAAUUCUUGAAGGACUUGUGCACUGUAAAGAGAGGGUUGAAUGUGAACAAGAAAGCUUUAUUGACCGAGCAAGUGAGUUCCAUCAUACAGUGCAAGUCCUAGUGAAGUACAAAGAUCCGGGUUGCCGUACCAUCUCAGUGAGUAUUGGAAGGACUUGUGUGGAGAAAGCUUUGUUGGACUUGGGAGCAAGUGUGAAUUUGCUAUCCUACUCUGUCUAUAAGCAGUUGGGAUUUGGAGAGUUGAAGCCAAUAUCCAUCACUCUAUCUCUAGCGGAUAGAUCAAUGAAGAUUCCAAGAGGGAUGAUCGAAGAUGUCCUGGUUCAAGUUAACAAAUUCUACUAUCCAGUAGAUUUUGUUGUUCUUGAUAUGGAUCCGGUUGUCAAAUGAACUAAUUAUGUUCCUAUCAUACUUGGAAGACCCUUCCUAGCUACAUCAAAUGCAAUCAUCAAUUGUAGGAAUGGAGUCAUGCAACUCACAUUUGUCAACAUGACAUUAGAGCUCAACAUCUUCCAUUUGUACAAGAAGCAUAUCCAUCAGGAGGAAAAAGAAGGUCUAGAGGAAGUGUGAAUGAUUGACACUUUAGUGGAAGAGCAUUGUGAUCGAGAAUGCAAAAAGAUUUAGUUGAGAAUUUUGGGGAUCUUGAUGAAAGGUUACUUGAACCCUCAGAUUUGCUUGCUACCCUACUCCAUUGGAAGAGAAGAGAAGAAAUUCUACCCUUAUUCAAUGAGGAGGAGACGCAAAGAGCUGCAAAGGAGAAACCCCCAAAACUUAUUCUUAAGCCACUACCCACAGAGUUGAAGUAUGUAUACUUGGAAGAAGACAAGAAGUGCCCUAUUGUUAUAUCUUCAACUCUUACCAUUCAUCAGGAGGAUUGUCUACUUGAAGUCCUUAGAAGAUGUAAGAAGACAAUAAGGUGGCUAAUUUCUUAUUUGAAAGGGAUCAGCCCUUUAGUCUGCACCCAUCAUAUUUACAUGGAGGAUGAAGCUAAGCUAAUUCAUCAACCUCAGAGAAGGUUGAACCCUCACAUGCAAGAGGUGGUUCGAGCUGAAGUUCUGAAGCUACUUCAGACCAGUAUUAUUUACCCCAUAUCAAAUAGCCCAUGGGUGAGUCCUACUCAAGUUGCGCCAAAGAAGUCUGGGAUCAUGGUGGUGCAAAAUGAUAAGGGAGAAGAUGUCUCUACACGCCUCACUACAGGUUGGAGGGUGUGUAUCAAUUACAGGAGGUUGAAUGCAGUGAUAAGAAAGGACCAUUUCUCAUUGCCCUUUAUUGAUCAGGUGCUUGAGAGGGUCUCUGGGCUUUUUUUUUUAUUGUUUCUUGGAUGGCUACUCCGGGUACUUUCAGAUAGAAAUUGAUGUUGAAAACCAAGAUAAGACCAUUUUCACAUGCCCAUUUGGAACCUAUGCAUAAAGGAGAAUGCCUUUCGGCUUAUGCAAUGCACCCGCAACUUUCCAAAGAUGCAUGUUAAGCAUUUUCAGUGAUAUGGUGGAGCGUAUUAUGGAAGUCUUUAUGGAUGAUAUCACCAUUUAUGGAAGUGCAUUUGAUGAAUGCUUGGUCAACUUAGAAGCUGUUCUGAACCGAUACAUUGAGAAAGACUUAGUGCUUAACUGGGAGAAGUGCCAUUUCAUGGUACACCAAGGGAUUGUCCUUGGGCACAUUAUCUCCAAGCAAGGCAUUGAAGUUGACAAAGCAAAGGUUGAACUCAUUGUUAAGUUGCCAUCCUCAACAAAUGUCAAAGGAGUAAGGCAAUUCUUUGGCCAUGUCGGGUUCUAUAGGAGGUUUAUCAAGGAUUUCUCUAAGCUUGCAAGGCCUCUUUGUGAAAUAUUGGUGAAUGAUGUUAAAUUCAUAUGGGAUGAUGGAUUUGAAAGGAGUUUUGAAGAAUUGAAGCUAUUUUUGACAACCGUACCAAUAGUGAGGGCUCCCAACUGGCAACUGCCCUUUGAAGUAAUGUGUGAUGUCAAUGAUUUUGCUAUAGGAUUUUUUCUUGGGCAAAGAGAAAAUGGAAAACCUUAUGUGAUCUACUAUGCGAGGAAGGCAUUGAAUGAGGCACAAAGAAACUACACAACCACCGAGAAAGAAUUGUUAGCUGUAGUUUUUGCCUUGGAUAAGUUUCGCGCUUACUUGGUGGGGUCCUUCAUCAUGGUUUUUACUGAUCACUUUGCUUUGAAGUAUCUGUUGACUAAGCAAGAUGCUAAAGCAAGGCUGAUUAGAUGGAUUCUCUUACUUCAAGAGUUCAAUCUCCAUAUCAAAGAUAAGAAAGGAGUGGAGAAUGUGGUAGCAGACCACAUUUCAAGGCUAGCUAUCGCACAUAAUUCCCAUGCUUUGCCCAUUAAUGACGAUUUUCUAGAGGGGUCUCUCAUGUUGGUGGAAGUUGUCCCUUGGUACGCUCACAUUGCUAACUACCUGGUCACGGGAAAAGUUCCAAGUGAGUGGAAAGCACAAGAUAAGAAGCACUUCUUUGCAAAAAUUCAUGCCUACUAUUGGGAAGAGCCAUUUCUAUUCAAGUAUUGUAUGGAUCAGAUAAUAAGGAAGUGCGUUCCUGAAGAAGAGCAACAGGGGAUCCUUAGUCAUUACCAUGAAAAUGCAUGUGGAGGCCACUUUGCUUAUCAAAAGACAGCCAUGAGGGUGUUGCAAUCGGGUUUCUGUUGGCCAUCACUUUUCAAAGAUGCCCACACCAUGUGCAAGAGUUGUGAUCGAUGCCAGAGGCUUGGGAAGUUGACACGCAGGAACAUGAUGCCUUUGAACCCCACUUUAAUAGUUGAUAUUUUUUAUGUUUGGGGCACUAACUUCAUGGGACCUUUCCCUAUGUCUUUUGGCUACUCUUACAUCUUGGUAGGAGUAGAUUAUGUUUCUAAGUGGGUUGAGGCAGUCCCAUGCAAACACAAUGACCAUAGAGUGGUUCUCAAGUUUCUUAAAGAGAAUAUCUUCUCAAGAUUUGGGGUGCCCAAAGCCAUAAUUAGUGAUGGGGGUACUCAUUUUUGCAACAAGCCUUUUGAAACUCUCCUAGCCAAGUAUGGGGUGAAGCAUAAGGUAGCUACACCUUACCACCCUCAAACUCAUGGACAAGUUGAGUUAGCAAACAGGGAGAUUAAAAACAUAUUGAUGAAGGUGGUGAACACAAACAGAAAAGAUUGGUCAGUCAAGCUUCUUAAUUCACUAUGGGCAUAUAGAACAACUUACAAGACCAUUCUCGGGAUGUCUCCUUAUCGCCUAGUUUAUGGCAAAGCAUGCCAUCUCCCUGUGGAAUUGGAAUACAAAGCUUGGUGGGCAAUCAAGAAGCUCAACAUGGAUUUGAGCAGAGCUGGGUUGAAGAGGUUCUUAGACCUUAAUGAGAUGGAGAAAUUGAGAAAUGAUGCCUACAUCAAUUCAAAAAUUGCAAAAGAAAAAUUGAAGAGGUGGCAUGAUCAGUUGAUUUCCCGCAAGGAUUUUCAAAAUGGACAAAGAGUCUUACUUUAUGACUCUAAACUCCACAUCUUUCCGGGCAAGCUGAAAUCAAGGUGGAUAGGUCAUUUUACCAUUCACCAAGUGCAUUCAAAUGGAGUAGUGGAACUACUCAACUCCAACAAUAUCGAGAACUUCAAAGUGAAUGGCCACCGUCUCAAGCCCUUUGUGGAGUCUUUUUCUCACAACAAGGAGAAAUUCAUCCUCCUUGAUCCACAUCAAGCUUAACAAGACCAAUUUUCUUGAUGGACUUAGUCUUUCUAAAGACUAUCGAGUCCAUAACUUUUUGUUUUAUUUUUUAUUUGAGAUUUUUUCGGUAUUGUUACUUGUUUUGUUUUUUAUUUUUCGUUUUAAUUUUAUUUGGUUUGAUUUAACUUAGGUUUUUGAUGAUCAAUUACAGGGGGGAUUUCAAAUAGAGGAAAAACCAAGAUAAUUCGCACACCCUACGAAAAUUUCGCAAGGCAUGCGAAAUUUAUGGCUUAUUUUGCAUGGGGUGAAAAUUUUCGUACAUCUUACGAACCAAUUUCGAACACUUUGCGAAAAUAAACCAACCCUGCGAAAUCAUUUCGAUUACUCUACGAAAUUUUCGUAGAGCAUGCGAAAAAUUUAGCACACCAAACACCAUUUCGCAUACUAUGCAAAAACCUAAGGGGUCUGCGAAACCAUUUCGCACCUCCAAAUCCAUUUCGCACAUUGUGCGAAAACCAAGAGGCGCUGUGCGAAAAUGAAAAGUCGCCCUGUCAUCCCUUUUUAAACCCCUCGAGCCCUAAAAUCUCCAUUUCGCAAGCACCCCUGUCCUUGCGAAUCCCUCAUUUUCCUCUACUACCUUGCAACCUCGUCCCUUUCCAUUUGAUAUUGUGCCCCGCGCACAUCUCAUUUCAGAGACUCGCACUCCGCGCCCCCUCAAAGCAUGGACUCGAGACCCACCUUCCAUUUCCGACGUGGCACGGACCCAAGGAGCCCUUUCUGCCCCUUCACUAAGACACACACCAAGGCAGAAAGCCUCCUUUGCUCAAGUGCCUAGUGAUUCUCCAUCUUAGGCCUCAGAGGCCUCGGAGGCCCCGUGGAUUCCACCUUCCGAGGGUAGAGCAGCCAUUGGUCCUUCCUCUUCUACUCCUUAGCGUAGAUACGAGACGAGGAGACCACCUACUACACAAGGGGCGACUACUUCGAGCCUUGAGAAUUCAGUACGAUGCCUUCCUGCCAAGAGGGUCAAGACUUCAGGUCCAAGUGAGUCAUCCAGAGCUUCAUAGCCUAAGCCUCCUGUAGAUUCCAAGGUUCCUACUGACAUAUCACCGGAGUCUAUUAUCAGAAGCCCGAUGCUCAUAGCACCGCCCAUUGAGGGCAACUCAGAUUAUAGAGCGAGAUCUUUCCACUUGGAGCUAUAUUUUGAUCAGGAGGCCAUACGACAGCAGCCUGAGCUCCGAGACUCUUAUGGCUUACUGCAGAGGUACCAUCUUGAGGAACUUAUGACUCCUCGUGAGUUUUUUUAUCCCAGAGUAGCACUAAACUUUUACCAGUCCAUGACUACUCGUGGCGUCCCGAGUCCUACCACGAUUCACUUCACCAUUGAUAGACGUCAUGGUAUCCUCAAGGCCAGACAUAUUACAGAGGCUCUACAAAUUCCUUUCGAGCUAGAGGAUCCAUCUGUUUUUCGCUAAUGGUCCCCAGUAUCUCAGAGGGACAUGGUCCGUAUUUUAUCUAGGGGAACAUCUACAGAUUCGAUCUUUCUACGGAAGGAGCUUCGACCUGGGAUGCUCCUCUUAGAUGUGGUGCUAUGCUCCAACCUCUUUCCCUUACAACAUUCGGUACAUAGGUGAUGAGCUAUUUUGGACGCUUUAUUCCGUAUAUCAGAGGGCUUCUACUUUGGCCCGCACCACUUGAUCAUGGUCUCCCUCAUCCACUUUGAGGAGAAGGUUCAUAGGAAGAAGCUUCAGAGGGUGGACACCAUUCCAUUACUAUUCCUGAGGUUACUUUGCCAGGUCUUGGAGUACAUGGGCUUUCCUACUGAGCCUCGGCUCGAGCUUUGCCGCCUUUGUCGAGAGUGAUCCACUCUCGACAAAUGGAAUUAGUUGGCGGGCUAUUCUGCACCUCCAGGAGCCCCUCCCAUGGUAGCACCUCCAAUGUCCCCACAGGCAAAGUAGGGCGAGCUCCCGGCAAAGACUGUACCACCAAUGCCCACACUUGAGGCUAUUUCUGCUGCUCUGCCUAUGACUCCUACUGUUCCACCAGUUGGUCCUUUUACAUCCGAGCCUUCCAUCACCAUCUCGGCUUCGGAGUUUCGCGCCCUUGUGCAUACCUUUCAGACACUCACCACCACACAUACUCCUCUCUUCUAGCAAAUGGUUGAGAUGUGUGCCCAUCAGGACCGGAAGACUACUAUACUCUGCCAAAUUCAGCAGCACCUAAGACUUUUGCCUCAACCUCAACCUAACCAUCCCAUAUCAUCAGAGCCUCUAGCUCCAACUGAGGAUACUAUUCCACCUGAGAACACUACCACAGUAGAGGUCCGGUUUCCACCACCUUAAGAGGCCACCACAGCUACAUCAGAGGAUGUGUCAUCUCCACUUGAGGCUCCCACUACUUGAUCAUAGGACAUAUCUUUAUCUUAUUGUAUUUACAUAUUAUAUUACUAGAGAUUUGUCCUUGUUUUGAUACUUUAUAUUCUGGGAUUGGAUGUAUUGCCUGAUGAUAUCUCAAUUGUACUUUCUCAUAUUAAUAUAUAGACAUCAAUUUUUUUUAGUAUACUUAGCAUUUUUCUAUUUCCUCUACUCAUUACUCUUUUGUUUUUUUUUACUCAUGUGGUUUCUCUUAUACAACUCAGACUCCAUUUCACUCAGGAGGUACCACUUCCUCCCUUUAUUUUCAAUUGCUCUUGAAAUAUUGAGUGCAAUGUUGAUCUUGGUUGGGGGGAGAGUUGAGGAAGGAAGUUUUGUUAAUAAUGCUAGGUUAAUUUGUUAAUUUAGUUACUUUCUGCUUAAUUUUAAAAGUUUUCACUCUACUUUCCAUGGUUAUUAAGGAAAAAUUCUCAAAAUGAAAUGGGAGAAAUCGAAUUCUUGCAUUUUUACUUGAAUCUUAGAAUUUGUAUCAUGCUUAUUAAAGUUGAUGAAUUAUUGAAACUCCUAUUGAAUUCAACCUUAUUUUUUCCACUUUAAUCUUACCACACACGGUGCACAUUAGGUUCCAGUUAUAAGAUAAAAAACUAUCUCACCCCCUAAACUUAGAAAAAUUUACACUUGGUACCUUUGACAUCGUUUUAAUAGUGUUGGGACACCUUAUAAAAGGCCAAUGAGCCUUUAAAAAAAAAAAAAAAAAAAAAAAGAGAAAGAACAAAGUAUUGCACUUGCCUUGAAACCUGAGCAAGAUCCGAGGGGUAUACAGUGAAAGUCUUUAAAACCUGGUGCCCUAAGCCUUGAUUGGUUGGGAGUCACCGACCUCAAUGCUCGUUAUAAGGGUGAAUAGGUGGAGUUUAACAUAUUGUAGGUGCUUGGGUAUUGAAUUUCAAUCUCAAAAGUCCGGGAAAAAAUCUAAGGAGUUAGUGGUCAAAAGAUCCUUAAAGCUUGAUGCCCUAAACCUUGAUUGGUUGAGAGUCAUUGAUGGAUCCCCGCUACAUGGACAUUUUAGAAAACAAUACCUUUAGCAUUGCACGCCUACAAUGAAAAAAAAAUGUGAAAUAAAAGAGGUGCGUUCUUAGCCUAUUGGAGGUUGGUCAGUUUGCUAAAGUUUGAGAAAUCUAGGUUGGGGGGAGAGAAUAGUCCGACAUACUAUAAUAAAAAACUAAUAACCUUAACACUUAGAUUUUUGUGGAAGAGUAAGGAUUGGACCUUUAGGGGUGGAAAUUCUUUUGAUGCUUAAAUUUGCAUAAUGCCUACUCUUUAUAAAUUAUGAUUAGGCAAGAGAUUUGAUGACUCUUGUUCAAAGUUGGGUUUUUCCUCUUUGAUGUUCCAUGAGAGAGUAUAAUCCUCAUCAUGCCACUUGAAAUCUUUUUGGAGUGAUUAACAUGAUUUUGUAAAUUAUUUUACUGUCUAUUUUUCUUUAUCUCUCUUUUAUUGCUAAUGGACUAGCAAUAUGUCAGUUGGGGGGAGUGAUUACUACUCAAAAAGUACUCUUUUAUAGCUUGAAACUAACUGUUUUAAACACUUUUGAGUAGGUGUUAAUACAUUUUAACUCAAUUGGCACAUUAAGGAACCUAACAAGGGUUACUAAUAAGUUUUUGGCAAGUUUUGGUGUUUUUGGUAGCUAUUUGAUCAUUGAAACAAGCCAAGAAUGAGGGAGAAUUUUGUGAAGUCCAUAGCAAUGCAAGUUAAAGCUCAAAUACAUGAAGAAUCCAAGCUUUGAAGCACUUCAUAGCCCUUUGCGAAGCCAAUCAGAGAUGCAAGGAAGAAAACCAGAGGAAAAAAUCCAACAACCAGCAUUUUCGCAUGGCUGUGCGAAAUUUUGCACACCAUGCGAAACCACAAGAAGUAGCCAAAGAAUUUUGCACACCAUGCGAAAUUUCGCAUGGUAUACGAAAUCUUCCUAUGCACCAACUCCGUUAUAUUUUUAUCUUCAGAUAUUUUGUGUAAUUUCCUAGUUUCUCCUUGUAACCAACCUAGAUAUUUUCUUUUAUAUCUUUUUUUUAUAUUUUUUAGGUAACAUCAUAUAUAGGGGGAGAGACAUAAGGAGGAUAUGGAUGUUUUUCAUAAAACACUUUUAAUUUUCUGGUAGUAAGAAAUAUACAAAGUUUUUUGCUCUGCCUUACCUUCUCAUUUUGUUUUCACCUAUCUUUCUAGCCAAACAACCUCUGAGAAUGAUUUCUCAGGGGAUGAGUAGUUAGGUUUUACGUUUCUUGGAGUGAGAGAAGCUAGGUGAAAGACCCAAAUGCUAAGGUGGGAGUUGUCCUUGCUUUAAAUGAAAGUAGUUGUUAAAUAUUAAUGGUUUUUAUUUUAAGGUUUAGCUUUAAAUCCCUUAAAAACACCUUGAAUGGCCAAUACUUGGUAAGCUUUUCGGAUUCUAUGGAUGCUUAUUGCUAGAUCCAUGGAUGUCAUUAGUUAUCAUUUAUGAGCCAUUGGAAGGUGGUUCAAGAUGAGAGUCUUUAGUGUUUGAAGCCAUUAAUGGGAAACAAUUACCAUUUUUUCAUGAAUCCUUUGGAUAAAAUCUUAAUUGCUAAAUAUAAAACUGGUUCGGGAGAUAACCAUCCUUUAUGUUAUUAUGCCCAAUGCAAGGAGAAGAUUUCGAAUCUUCUCAUUUGUCUAAGGAACCCGAUCCUAGUGACCUAAAGCUCCUAGAGACCUUUUCUUUGUAGUUAACUUCAUUUAUUGUUUUUGCUUAACUUAAAAUCAAUCUUUGCAACCACAAUUCCAUUUUCUUUAAAAGCUAAUUUUUAUAAGGAAAAGCACCAUUUUAUUUCCUUCACUAAGUCAACUGUAUGAUGAAAACCCAUCCCUGUGGACGAUCUUAGAGCCACUAUACUAUGUUAUCUAUGCUAUCCUAGUGUGAGGUGAUUUAGGUUUUAUAAAUUUUGUUGAUAACACCCGUCUGAGCCAGAAUCAAAUGGAACCACUGAACCAGGGACAAAUCAACAGCCUAUAUGGGAGGGACACAAGUUUAAUUGAUUUGCAUUUCAGCGUUAUAGAUAAGUAUGUUUUGGAAGAUUUGUUCUGGAAAUACUGCACCAAGUACGAUUCUUUUUCUCUUGAGUGAGUCCAUUUGCAUGCCAAUUAACGAGUUGAAAAGUAGGAGCACCUACCUCGUGCUCAUGGAACCGAAUGUCAGUGAAGUGGGGCUCCUUUUAGCCUCUUGUGUUUCUGUUCCAACCAAGGCGGCGUAGGGAAAAACAACAAUAUGUCUGUGCUAAAUAUCAACGCAUGAUAGAUGUUUUUUUUUUUUUUUUUGGUAUGUCAAGGCUAACGAAUGAAAUGCAUUAGCUUGUUUUGUGACUAUAACUGCAAAUGUCCAAAUUGGAGUAUCUCCAUUUCUCACUUCGGAUGGUUAACUUUAUAAACAAGAUAUAGGAAACAUGUGAACAUCUUGAGGAACAAUUCAAAUUAUUCAUUAGAAGUCCUGGGUUAAGUUCCAAGAUUUAAAUCAGACCCUUCUAGCAGCUUCAAGGGUACUUAGCAACCUAUAACAUAUUAAUGAAGAUUUAGGAUUUAGACUCCGGAAUACAAAUAAAUAUGUAUCUCAUGCUUUGACUAGCUUCCCUACAUAUGCAUAAAAUGGAGAUGACCCAAAAAAAAUAGCAGAAUCUAGCUUCCCUACAUAUGCACAAAAUGGAGAUGACCCAAAAAAUAGCAUAAUCGCCUUAGUUUCUGUGGUUAAGGUGAUUCUCCGCUUAAUAUCCACAUUGACUCAUUAUGCAAAAUCAACUGAGCUAAUUUUAUUUAUUUAUUUAAUGUCAAAUAGGAACUCCUAAUUAACUGAUUACUGUCGAAAAGUGCUAUUUUGUAGACCUAAUUAUAAGGGUUUUAAGCACCUUUGAGUAGUAAUCAUAUUCAUUUAACCUAAUUAAUUCAUUAAGCUCCUUAGUAAUUAGUUCUAACCAUUUUUAGUGGCAAGUUUACAUGUUUUUCAUCAGCUUAUGAACCAAUUCAAGCAUGCCAAUUGAUGGAGGAGCUACUUGGGCGAGUUAAGCAAGGAUUUUGGACGUUUACAGGCUUGAAUUUCAAGUGGAAACACGAGCACAAGCAAUGGGAACACCAUUUCGCAAGGGGAGGCAAUUCACCUUGCCAAAUGACCAAUUUCGCAAGGGGAUUUUCCUCAUGGUGCAAAAUUUGGUCAUUUCGCACCAUGAAGAAACCACCUUGCAAAAUUUCGCAAGGUGGAUUUAGGCACCUUGCGAAAUGCCAAAUUUCACAAGGUGGCUUUUCACCUUGCGAAAUUUGGACCUUUCAUCUUCCCCCCUUGCGAAAUGCCUUUGAAAUCCCCUGUUUUGAGACGCUGUUGAUGAUAUUCCACUGCCGGUUCUCCAAGAUAUUUUGCUUGACUUUUAGCUUUAUAAAUACCUAUUUUACCCUUGUAAUCAACCAAUGAAAAGGUUGCUUUUGUAAUAGCUCUUGUAAUUUAGCUUUUUAUUGUCUUUAAAUAGAGGUGAAGAGCCUCAGACACGAUCAUCUUGUAACCUGUAACUUUAUAAGUUAUAAGAGCACUUUUGUUCAUACGCUUCUUUUCUCUUUUCUUUCUCAUUUUCUUAGUAGCCAAACAUCCUUGGAGGAUGAAAUCCCCAAGGAUGAGAGGCUAAAACCUUUUAGUUUCUUGAAGUAAUGGAUGCCAUGUGAAGCUCCCGUGUCAGGAUGGAGAUUUCCAAGCCAUAAAUGUAAGUAGCUGAGCGUCAUAAAUGUUUUCAUUCAAAGUAAAGCUUUUAAUCCCUCUGACUUGCUUUGAAUGGCCAAUACUUGAUAACCUUUUGGUCUCAAUGGAUUCUUAUUGUUAGAUCCACUGACGUUCAUUAGUUAUCUCCUACGAGCCAUUGUAUUGCAAGUCGAGGAGAUGACCUAUACCAAUAAAAGAGCAUUUAUGAGGUUCAACUACCCUUUUUGUAAGUUUUCAAGGACUAAAACUCAGUUGUUAAACUCAUACCGGUUCGAGAAGUAAGCAUCACCUUAGUUGCUUCCCCAACUCGAGGUGAAAAGUCCCAAAAUCUCCAUUUUUACACAGUGAGUUAAGCAUGGCUAUCCAAAGCUUUAAGAAACUUCUUUUUCCAUCUUUUAACCUAUUUUCAUGUUAGUUUAGUUUACAACACCUUCAUCUUUUUAUGUUUUCAUCUUAACCUAAUUUUUAUUAAGAAAAGUUCACUCCAUCCUCCGAACUUCACCAGUUAAAGUAAAAACCCUUCCCAGUGUUCGAUCCUAGAGCCACUAUGCUAUAGUAGCUUUGCUACUUUAGUGUAAGGACCUUAGGUAUAAAUUUUGUUGAUACCCUUACAUGCCAAGCUACCAAGAGUCGGGUUAUCAUUAACCUAACCAUUGGCCUGUGUAAAUUGAUUUCACAUGCACAAUGUUGUAGUAGAAGUCCAUAUUUUGAAUUUUAUUUUUGUAAAGGUAAGGAAAAUGAAGCAUUGUGUAAUUAUAAAAAUAACUUCAUUGGAAUUCACAAGGUUCACCCAAAAUGGAGCUACAUCUGUAUUCUAUCCUACAGUAGACUAUAUAGAUUGUACAAUAGUAAAUUGCAAAUACAAUUAAUAAGUCUUGUGCUUCCUUACUAAUAAUCCUUUGACAUGAACAUUGCAGCACUAAGGUCCUCUUGGGAAGACACCUUGCACCCAUGAGAGCACUAAGAGGAAGCAAGGCAGAGUCAUGGGUGCAAUGUCAUGACUUGUUGUUGCACCAAGAGAGGCUUGGUGAUGCCAUGGUGUUGCAGUAGCAAGAAUGUUGCCUUGGCAGGGACACGAUCUAGGGAUAGAUGCCAAGAAAGGCUUAGCACUCACAUGAGUUGCACAAAGAUGAAUGUAAUAGAGCAUCAGAGAGACGUCUUGGCAAGUAAAUGAAUGGAUCCAAGAGACAACAACAUGAGGAGUUUCAAAUGGAUAAGGAAUGACUCAAAGACAUUUGAAAGCUACAAGUUGGAUUCUAAUUACGAUUGCAAUUUGAGUUUGAGUAGGAGUUUAGAUUUUGAUUGUAAUUGUAGUAUGAGUUGGACUAGGAUUGCUUAUCCUUAGUCAAUAUAGGAGCGGUUCGUGUCACCCUAUGAAAAGAGUUUGAGUAGGGACUAGGAUUGCUUACUCCUAGUCAAAUAUGGAGUAGGUGGUGCCACACCUAUAAAAAAAAGGGACAACAUGAGAGAGAGAGAGAGAGAGAAAGAGAGAGUGAAUUCACUAAAGAUAUUGUGGGAGUUUUGCUUUGUUACGUCUUGUAUUAUUACUUAGAAUAGGAAUAAAAUACAAGUUGGGGCUAGAGCCCCAUAAUUAAUCUCGUGUGCCUUUGUGGUUAUUCUUUAUUUGUCAUCUCGUGUGGAUUGGAUUAGGUUGACUUAGAGGGCUUCUAAGCACCACCUUUGUGGGUUAUUAUUUAUUUUCCAUCUCUUGUGGAUUAGAUUAGGUUGACUUAGAGGGCUUCUGAGCACCACCUUUGUGGGUUAUUAUUUAUUUUCCAUCUAUUGUGGAUUAGAUUAGGUUGACUUAGAGGGCUUUUAAGCACCACAUUUGUGGGUUAUUCUUUAUUUUCCAUAUCGUGUGGGUUGGAUUAGGUUGACAAGGAGAAAAAUUAUGUGGGAAAUUUGUGUUGGGACACUUACCAUAACCAAGUAAAAUCUACCAAGUCCUUUGUAAUAUCUUCAACAAAUAUUUUAGACUAGUUCUUUCAGUUAGUGUAAAGGAGGAAGAAGUGGUAUUGAUUCUAGAAAUAGGGUGUGUGUAUUUGAACUACAAUCCUUAUGAUCCUUAGGUCUCUAAACCUUCGUGAUGGGCUCCCUGACAUUUCAUAGGUUGUGCUACACAUGCGUUUGAAAUUUAGAGUGCGUUUGACAGUGAUUCCGGGAAGUGUUUUUGGCCUUUCUUACACUUGAAAAUUUUUAUUUUUCAAGUAUUAGAAAUGCUACAAACACUUUUGAAAAUUACUGUCAAACACACUCUUAGGAGCGCACAUAUAUAGUAGAAAACUAGAAAUUGUGGUUUUUUUAGGAUUUACUGUAAUGUCAUUAGGAGGGUAGUAAGUUGAAAUUGAGUAUGAACAAAUAUUUCUUUCUUUGGGAUGUUCUUCUAGUAGGUGCUGAUGAAACUGUUCUUUCUACUGCCAAUGUCACAUAUCAGCCAGAAAUUGAAAAUUUCAGUCAAGGUGUCCUCUGUUUUAGUGGUGAGGAAAGCUAGAAAUUUUAAGGUGAAGUUUUGUUAAAAACCUUAAGUAGCUGGGAUAUCAGGCCUGUUUUGCUUGAAAAAAAAAGUUGCAAGAUAACUCAUAUGCCAAACAGGUUCUGAUAUUGUGAAUCUAUCGGCAGACAUCAGUAAUCUCAUCUUCUGAGAUGGAUGUUGGGGGUGCAUGUGGUGGUGGAGGGGCAAGGUUUCAUUUGGUUUAUUUUGUUGAUGGAUAUUGUCUAGCCACCUGCGCCAAGUUUGAGGGGUGGUGGGUUGUGAUGACCCUACAAUUACUAUUAAUUUCUUCAUCUUUUACCGAUUAAAGUGUCCGAACAGUCGAAGUUACCCUUAUGCAUGUCAACUUGAUCACUUACCUCUUCAAUGGAGUUUAUGCUGGUUCAUUUAGGAACUGAUUUUUAUUGUUAUGUAUUAUAUGCUGAUGUUUAGGUCUCUCCAUCAUCACUAUAUACAAAAAUUCUAGGUUGAUACUAUAGGUUGAGAUUUAUUUUUUAAAUAAAAAAUAAUAAAAAUAAAAAUUAUGGUGAUGUUUAGUUGUUUUAUGGAAAAUUUUAACAAGUAAAAGUUAUUUUUGGGCAAGUUUUCAAACAAAAAGAAAAGUAAAAGUUGUUUUGACAAAAACAUAUAGAAAAAAAAAUCAUAGAAAAUAAAUAAUUUCCCCAUAUUCUAACUUUUUUGAAUUUUUCUCAAUGGGCAAAGGAAUAUCAAAUCAAGUUUGAGUAGGAUUUCUUAAUUUUUAAAAUAACUUACAAUUAAAAAAUUUUGGUGUUUUCAUUUUUGGACAAUUUUUUAUUAAGCAAAUGGACUCUGAGUCAUGCAAGAGAUAUGGUUCAUUAACCGGUCGAACAAUUUUUUUAAAUUAAUUUAAAAGUCAAAUACAUAAUCAAUUUCACAAAAUUUAUAAACAAAAAUAGGUUUAGAGAAGAUCUACACAUAAUUUUACUUUUCUAAUUUUAUUUUAUUUUAUUUUUUGUUGGAAAAUAGUCUUCAAAUCAUGUAAGAUUUAAUAGGUUAAAUUUGUUAACAAUAAAUUUUAAAUUAUAAAAUAUAAUCUGGAACUCAAAAAUCAAUUCAAGUAAUGCUAAAAAAAAAUCAAAUUUGGUAUAGAAUGACUUUGUAAAUUUUUUUACAAAACAAAUGAAUUUUAAAUCAAGUGAGAUUUAAUGCAUUAGAUUUUUAUCAAAUAUAGUAAUUUUAAAAAUAAAUUUGGAACUCAACAAUAGACACAAUAAAUACCAAAAAAUAAUGAACCAAAAUUGGUUUGGAAUAACUCCACAACCUUUUUUUUUUUUUUUUGGUGCACACGAAUUUUCUUACUAGGUAUAUUGCUUUCAAAUUGAGAAAGAUUUACCAUUUAGAUUUUUUUUUAAUGAGUUUAAUGGUAUUUUAAAAUAAUUCAAAAUUUAAAAAAUUGACUAAUUAAUAUUAUAAAUUGAUAAACCAAGACUAUUUCAAAAUGCAUUGGGGGCUAAGGGGGUUGAAAAUAGGGACAAUGGGAUGGGUUUGGGACAUGACACUCAUAUCUCAUUUCCAUUCCAAUUACACAGUUAUCUCCCAUCCUUAUCCCAAACUUGUGUUGGAGCAAGUUGAUUUGUUCCCAUCUUUGUUGACGAAAUGACUAAUAACCUCAUCCCCUCCUUAUCUUAGAUGUACAUUUUGUCAAAUUUGAUCAGGUAUGAUUGAUCCAAGCCCUAACCCUAAUUGGUAAUGAGUGAAUACUACACCUAAUUGCAUUCUUCUUUCAUUGCAAAAUAAUGAGAUUAUAAUAAUCUAGCAAAUAAGAAAAAAUAGUAUGGAAGUUCAAAUUAACACCAUAACUAUCAAUAAUUUUAAGCUUAUAGAUGACUUAAAUGAUUAAAAACUAAUGCAAAAUCCUAAAAAAAAUAAAAAUCAUAUAAAGAAUUCACAAGAGAACAGAAUGAACAAAAACCAAAUAUGAACAUGGGUCAACAUUAGUUAUGGAUUUGGAUUCCUUUCAAGGCCAAUCUUUGAACCAAGACUUCAUCAAAUCAACUACUUCAAAGGCUUUUGUGUUCUUCUUGGGUUGUGCUCUCAAACAAAGACUUCGAGGUGAUGUUCUAGAUGAUUGAAUUACACAUAUUUAGGGUGGAGAGAUUGGAGAAGCUUGAAGAUGCCAACGAUGGGUACAAUUGAGUGGUCAAUAAGAACAAUGUAGCCUAUGACUAGUUUGAUGUCAUGGUACAAGAGUUUUAGGCAUUGAGGUUAAAGCAAGAGCAACAUGGAAUUGAUUUCGGAGUCUUUCAGUUAGUGUAAAGGAGGAAGAAGUGGUGUUGAUUCUAGAAAUAGGGUUUUAAGUGGUGCGUGAUUACUACUCAAAAAGUGCUAUUUGAUAGCCUUUAAUUAAUCCUUUUUAACACUUUUGAGUAGUAGUUUAGGCCUUUUAACUCAAUUGGCAUGUUAAGGAUCCUUUAAAGCAAUUUUGAUCACUUUGUGCAAGUUUUGGUGUUUUUGUUAGUAUUUUGAUCACCAAAGCAAGUCAAGAAUGAGGAGAACUAUGAGGAAUCAUGGGCAAAGCUUAGAAUUCAAUUGCCAAGAGUGAAUCCGGAUUGCAAGGAGAAAAAGCAAAGAGAAUCUGUCAUGAAGCCUAUUCUUGAUGACAGUCGUAGCAGCCACUUUUGGAGCACUUUCUGAAGUCCAAAUGAUGCAAGCUAUAUACCAUUUCAAAGAUCAGGAAGUCAACAAUCCAAUGCUUCAAACGGUGCGCGAUUCGGAGUUGAAACGAAGAAGUUGCAGCCAUUACAAGCCAGUCACUCUAAAGUGUUGCGGAAUCAGCCUUUUGUUGCGAGAAUUUCGCAGCACUUUUGUACAGUAAGGUGUUUCUCCUUCUGACGAUGCACGAACCAUGCCGCGAGAGGGAAGCUAGGAACUUCAAGAUGGAAGCCAACUUUGCAGCCUGGUGAAGAUAGCUUGGUCUUGCGAAAUAAUUUCGCAGCCCUCUUGGGUGUCUGCGAAAUUUCGCAGGCACCACUUUUUUCCUGCGAAAUGGCUCCGGAAGCCUCCCGAAGCUUGCUACCGACAUUGGGAGAUAUUUUCCAUUAGAUUUUUGUUGUCUAAAUUCCAAAAUACUCCUUGUAAACCACCAAUUACAUGAUUCCUUAGUUUUUAAGUUAGUAAAAAGACCAAAUAUCUAUGUAAUAAUUAGUUUUAUAUUAGUUUGCUAUAAAUACCUCUCGGGAGCAUGUUCUCAGAGAGGAGUUCCUUCUGUAACCAUUUUGGUAAGCAAGUAAAGUCUUUUCUUUCUACUGCCUUACCUUCUCACUUUGUAUUUUCAUUUUAUUUCUAAGUUAUGAAUUCUCUGAGGAGCUUUCCCCAGAGAAUGAGUAACUAAACCUCCAAUUCCUUGGAGCUAAGGUUGCCGGGGAAGGUUCCAAGUGCAAGAAUGCAAAGCUCUGUGGUUUUAGCUAGUAAUGAAGAGGAAGUGAAAUCCUUUAGUGAUUUCAAUGUUUUUAGUUAACUUAAAACACCUUGGAGUCACCUGGGCCAACACUUGGUAAGGCAAGUGAUUUCCAACCGUGGAAAUGCACUAGUUUACCCCUUGCGAGCCUCUGGUAGGUGACUUCAAGGUAGGAUUUUCUGGAAUUACCAACACUUGGUAAGCUUUUGGACUCCUAGGAGACAUCCAUUAGUUAUCUCUUGCGAGUUUGUGAAGGGGAAUCCAAGGUUAAAGAUCACCUUGAAUGGUAAGUGCUCGUGAGAGGCAUGAACCAUUGCAAGUUGUAUCAGUGAGAGAAUUAAAGUGAAAUCUAAUUGAAGGAGUCUCUGUACAUCACCGGUUAGAGAAUUGACUAUAAGUUGAAUCUCUAAUGCGAGGAAAUGAACCAUCUGACCGGAGCUAUGUCUUUUGCAUGAGGAACCACCCCAGUGAACCUAAAUCUCCAAGGAAUGCUUUUCUUCCUAAAUUAUUCCAAACUUCUGUUAAGUUAGUUAGUUUAAGUCUAAACCUUUACCAAUCAAACUUUGUGUUUUAUUUCUUAAGCUAACCGUGAAAUGAAACAAAACCAAUUCACUUGGAAUUGGUAUCCUUGAUUGCUUGCAAAUCAUUCCCAGUGAACGAUCCUUAGAGCCACUAUACUAUAGUAGCUUUGUAUUUGCUACCCUAGUGUAUGGUGUUAUAGGUAUAAAUUUUGUUGAUCACUUCCUCAAUCAAGGAACACCAGCUGAACACAAAUCAGCUGAGACACCAAUUGGGCAUGAGUCAAAUGGCGCCGUUGCCGGGGAAUGAGUGUCAAGAUCAUUGUGAUACCAUUUUUGAGCACUUGUGAUUUUCAUCACAAGUUGGUAAAGUUUCUUUCACUUUACUAAUUUUCAUUCUCUCUUUGUUUAUUUACAAUCUAAGUUUAUCUUUUUAAAAUUUAGUCUAGUUUAAUUUUGCUAUUGUAGCCUUGUUUCUCUUGUUGUCCUCUGUUCUUGUUGUCCUCUGUUUUCAUUUUAGUUGCAGCUGAAUACUAGUUGUGUAUGCCAAAGUGGAUACGAGACAUUGGAGGUAGGCUUAUUAAGUGUGAUACACCUCAGAGAGGAGAAUUGGAAGUAAUCUUGAAUAUCAUGGAGGCUGCACCUGAAGAUCAGCAUAGUCACCAAGGUCGUCAAGACAAUCUCAAUGAAUUCAGAUCAAUGAGGGACCGUAUGCAUCCACCUCGUAUGAGUGCACCAUCAUGUAUAGUGCCCCCUACAGAGCAACUAGUGAUCAGACCAUAUCUUGUUCCACUUCUACCAACUUUCCAUGGGAUGGAAAGUGAGAAUCCGUAUGCACACAUCAAGGAAUUUGAAGAUGUUUGUAAUACAUUCCAAGAGGGAGGAGCUUCAAUUGAUUUGAUGAGGCUUAAGUUAUUUCCUUUUAAUUUAAAGGAUAAGGCCAAAAUUUGGCUUAAUUCUUUAAGGCCAAGGAGUAUCCGCUCUUGGACUGAUUUACAAGCUGAAUUCCUCAAGAAAUUUUUUCCUACUCAUAGAACAAAUGGCUUGAAAAGGCAAAUUUCAAACUUCUCAGCUAAAGAGAAUGAGAAAUUCUAUGAGUGUUGGGAAAGAUACAUGGAAGCUAUAAAUGCUUGUCCUCACCAUGGCUUUGAUACUUGGCUACUGGUGAGUUAUUUUUAUGAUGGUAUGUCCUCCUCAAUGAAGCAACUCCUCGAGAAAAUGUGUGGAGAAGAUUUCAUGAGCAAAAAUCCAGAGGAAGCUAUGGAUUUCUUGAGCUAUGUAGCUGAUGUUUCAAGGGGAUGGGAUGAACCAACUAAAGGAGAAGUGGGAAAGAUGAAGUCUCAGUUGAAUGCUUACAAUGCAAAGGCUGGGAUGUAUACUUUAAAAGAGGAUGAUGACAUGAAAGCAAAGUUGGCAGCUAUGACAAGAAGAUUGGAGGAGCUGGAGCUGAAAAGAAUGCAUGAAGUGCAAGCUGUUGCUGAAGCACCAGUGCAAGUGAAGUUGUGUCCCAAUUGUCAAUCGUUUGAACAUUUGGUAGAGGAAUGCCCUGCAAUUUCAGCUGAAAGGGAAAUGUAUAGAGAUCAAGCAAAUGUUGUUGGACAAUUCAGGCCCAAUAACAAUGCUCCUUAUGGAAAUACCUACAAUUCAAGUUGGAGGAAUCAUCCAAAUUUUUCAUGGAAGGCCAGAGCAACUCAAUACCAACAGCCGGAUCCACCAUCUCAACAAUCUUCAAGUAUUGAACAAAUAAUAGCUAAUCUCAGCAAGGUAGUGGGAGAUUUUGUGGGAAAGCAAGAAGCCACCAAUGCUCGAGUGGAUCAAAGAAUGGACAGAGUGGAUCAAAGAAUGGACAGAAUGGAGAGUAUGUUGAACAAAAGAAUGGAUGGAAUGCAAAAUGAUAUGAAUCAAAAAUUUGAUAACAUCCAAUAUUCAAUUUCAAGGCUUACAAAUUUGAAUACACUGCAAGAAAAGGGAAGAUUUCCUUCUCAACCUAACCAAAAUCCCAAAGGUGUCCAUGAAGUGGAAAGCCAUGAGGGAGAAUCAUCACAGGUGAAAGAUGUGAAAGCUUUGAUCACUCUAAGGAGUGGUAAGAAAAUUGAGCAGCCAACACCCAAGCCACAUGUUGAGAAAGAAGAAGAGAUGAAGAAAGGGAAGGAAAUGGAAGAUAAAGGCAGUGAGAUCAGUGAAGAAAAGAAGGACUCUGAUGCAACAAUGAAAGUAAUUCCAGAGAAGGAGCUUCUGAAGGAAGAAAUGCUGAAGAAAUCAACUUUUCCACCUUUUCCUCAAGCAUUACAGGGGAAAAAGGGGGUUAGAAAUGCAGCUGAAAUCCUAGAAGUAUUGAGGCAAGUGAAAGUUAAUAUUCCACUGCUGGAUAUGAUCAAACAAGUUCCAACGUAUGCAAAAUUCCUAAAGGACUUGUGUACUAUCAAAAGAGGGUUGACUGUAAACAAGAAAGCCUUCUUGACUGAGCAAGUAAGUGCAAUCUUACAGUGUAAGUCUCCUUUGAAGUACAAAGACCCUGGAAGUCCUACCAUUUCAGUCAUGAUUGGAGGAAAGGUAGUGGAGAAAGCCUUGCUAGACUUGGGAGCAAGUGUGAAUUUGCUUCCAUAUUCUGUCUACAAGCAACUGGGACUUGGAGAGUUGAAGCCAACAGCAAUCACUUUGUCUCUGGCAGAUAGAUCAGUGAAAAUUCCAAGAGGGGUAAUUGAGGAUGUAUUGGUUCAAGUAGAUAAUUUCUACUAUCCUGUAGAUUUUGUUGUUCUUGAUACAGAUCCUACUGUAAAGGAAGCUAAUUUAGUUCCUAUCAUCCUUGGAAGGCCAUUUCUUGCAACUUCAAAUGCAAUCAUCAACUGUAGAAAUGGGCUUAUGCAACUCACUUUUGGUAACAUGACACUGGAUCUAAAUAUUUUCUAUAUGUCUAAAAAGCAAAUCACUCCAGAAGAAGAAGAGGGUCCAGAAGAGCUAUGUAUUAUUGAUACUUUGGUGGAGGAGCACUGCAAUCAACAUAUGCAAGAUAAGUUGAAUGAAAGUUUUGUGGAUAUUGAGGAAGGUUUUUCUGAAUCUCCUAAUGGGCUUGCUACUCUACAAAGUUGGAGAAAGAUAGAAGGAAUUCUACCUUUGUUCAAUGAAGAAGAGGAGGCAGCUGUUGAAAAAGAAAUUCCAAAACUCAAUCUGAAGCCUUUACCUAUGGAGCUGAAAUAUACAUAUCUUGAAGAAAAUAAUCAAUGUCCUGUCGUAAUAUCUUCAUCUCAAACCAAGUCUCAAGUGAAGGAUGCAAGCUUCAAAUGGGAUCCGGGCAAACUGAAUCAGGAAGGGCAAAAAGUUUUGAUGUAUGACACAAGACUCCAUAUCUUUCCUGGGAAGCUCAAGUCAAGGUGGAUUGGUCCAUUUGUUAUUCACCGAGUAUAUUCCAAUGGAGUGGUGGACUUAUUGAAUUCCAAUGGCAAGGACAGCUUUAGAGUCAAUGGAUAUCGUCUUAAGCCGUUCAUGGAGUCAUUCAAAUCAGAAAAGGAGGCAAUCAACCUCCUUGAACCUCAAAAAGCCUAAGUGAAAUGGGUUUGCUGGACGUGGUUUUACCACAGUCCAAAAAUUUUUGUAAAUUUUGUAAAUUUUCAAGUUGUUUCCAUGCUUUUAAUCUUAGUUUUUGAUUUUAAAUCAUGUUUUUAGGUGUGUUUUAAUCGUUUUAUAUGAUCCCAGGCGGAAGAAAUUUCAAGGGGAUUGAAAAGAAAAAAAUCGGGUCGAAAUUGGAGCCGAAACAGAGCAAAAACAGGGGAAAAACAGAGCUCUGCGAAAUUUCGCAGGGUGAAGGAAACUUCUGCGAAAUUGGCAUUUUGCUGCCAAACCAUUCCGCAGCACUGUAGAAGCCUCUGCGAGUGUAUUUCGCAAUUGCGAAAGUGGAUUUGGCACACGAGUGCCACUUCGCAGCACAGUGACAUCAAUUUCGCAGCUGCGAAACUCACUGCGAAGUUGCUGCGAAAAUGGCAAGUUGCUGCGAAAUUGGCGUUUUGUUGCGAAACGUAAUCUGACCCCUGGGCUUCCGUUUUUCCUAUUUAUACCUGUCAAAAGUGCUGCGAAAAAGGUUUCAAAAAUUAGAGCACCAUUCUCGCAGCCCUUUCAUCUUCUUCGCCAAGCCACGCCGUCCGUUUCUCCGGUCGUCUUCUCCGUUUAGCAGCGCCGGCCAAAGAUCGAUAGCCCAAAAAUGGCACGAACGCGAGGGGCAAAGUCUUCAUCCCCUUCGAACCGCAAAAGGAGUCUGCGAAAGGAGCCAAGUUCAGGCUCUGUUCCAGAACCUGCUCCAAAGCCUUCGCCGUCGAGACCACAACCUUCUCCAGUGAAGCCGGCGCCACCAAAGCCGCCGGCAAGGCGAUAUUUAACCAGGUCAGGUGGUCAGCCAUUGAAGAAGAAAGCCAGAGUUGAGAGCUCUGAACCAAUCGAUUUGACUGAGCAAUCCCCUGAGAAAUCACCAAAUCCUUCACCGGUACAAAUUCCAGUGCCAUCACCGGUUCCCUCGCCAAUUCCCUCACCAGAAGCAACUCCAAUUCCAUCGCCGGUACCAUCUCCGGCACCCCAAGAAAAAGCUCAGGAGCCUCAAGCGCCAAUUCCAGAGCCCCAAAUUGCAGCUGAAGCACCUCUGGAAGAAGUGAUCCGAAGGCCAAUGCUGCCUCAGCCCCCAAUCGAAGGAAACCUGGAUUGCCGAACUCGGGCAUUCCAUUCUGAGCUUUGCUUCGAUUUAACAGCAUUCAGAGUGAGGCCAGAGCUUGCCCAAUCCUUCCAACUGCUGAGGAGAUAUCAUAUGGAGCAUCUGCUAGCUCCAAGGGAUUUUUUCUAUCCCCGGGUAGUCACGGAUUUCUACCAAACCAUGACAACCAAAGAAGUAAGAAAUCCAACUCUGAUUCAUUUCAUAAUUGAUGGAAGGCAUGGUAUUUUGGGAGCAAGACAUAUUGCUGAAGCCCUGCAAAUUCCUUUUGAGCCAACUCAAUUCGACAAUUUUAAAGCUUGGACAAAUCCUACUGAGUUAGAGAUGGUUAGCACACUAACCAGAGGAGCUGCAAAUCGAUCGCAUUUGUUGAGGGGGGAGCUACCUCCAGUUAUGUUUUUGAUUGAUGCCUUUUUGAGGCAUAAUAUCUAUCCCCUGCAGCAUUGGACCCAAAGAAGGGGAAUUCUCCUAGAAGCCUUGUACAAAAUGUCUGAAGGAUUCUUCUUUGGGCCUCAUCAUCUGAUCAUGGCAGCCCUUCUAUACUUUGAGGAGAAGGUUCACAAGAAGAAGCUUCAAAGAGCAGAUUGCAUUCCACUCCUCUUCCCAAGGCUGCUAUGCCAAGUUUUGGAGCAUCUCGGAUACCCCUCUGAGCCUCAGCAGGAAAGAAAGAGAAUAUGCCGUGAGCCUUUUACCCUUGAUAAAUGGAAUAAUAUGACGGCCUACAAAAUUGAUCAGCCUGGGCAGCCUCAGCCAGCAGCAAGGAGAGUCUCCCCAAGACAUAUACCUGAAGGUAUAACACUUGCUACUCCUGCCAUCCCUCGAGCUCCACCAGCUGCACCUGCUCCAUCACAGCCAUCCACAUCAGCUGAGCCGAGGAUGGCCAUCCCUAUAUCCGAAUAUCGAGAGCUGUGCCGUGCAUUGGAGACUCUUACAGCUUCUCAGAGCAAUCUUGCUCAGGAGUUGGCAGCCAUUAAAGCAUGCCAGGAGCAGAUGUUAGCCUCUCAGACUCAACAAGCUGCCAUCCUAAGGCAGCUUCAAGUCCAUUUCGAUCUGCCACAAGCUGUAGAGCCCUCUAUUCCUACUCCACCAGAGCCACACUCUCAGCCUUCAGAGUCUCAUCCUCCAGAACCCGAAGCACCAGCUGAUCCACCUACUGAGGAGGCAGAUCCUUCUGCCUAGCACCAUCACCCCCCUCAUCAGACAUUAUAUAUAUAUUUGCUGUUUAUGUUUUUAUGCAUGUUUGUUUUGUUUUAGUUGAAAAGAAAUCCCAGUAUUUUGGUACUAUAUAUGGGAUUCCUUGUGUUACUUGUCUUUAGUAUUGUAAUCACAUGAACUCAAAGUAAUACAAGUUGACUAUUUCUUGUUAAAAGUUAGCAUUAAAGUUUCCUUAUUUCCUUUUCUCACAUAUUCUAUUCUUUUUGAAACAUGUGGUUUUCCCCAAUCAAUAUUCGAAUUUGAUAUCAGCAUGGAGGUACCACUUCCUCCCUUUUAUUACAGUCACUCAAAUCACAUUGAGGACAAUGCUCAGUUCGGUUGGGGGGUAUGAGGAAGGAAGUAUUCUAAACCUUUUUGGUAUUGCAAUUAUAUUGGUUAAUUAGUUGUAGAUUUUACUUUUUACUAGUGUUACUCUAUUCUCCAUGAAUUUUGAGGAAAAAUUUUCAAAUUAAACCAAGAGAAAUUGAACUGUUGUUUUUCACUUGACUUAGAGUAUGGAUUAUGCUUACUAAAGUGGUUCAAUUGUUGAAACUUCUACUGAAAUUGAAUUGAGUUCUUCCACUUUAAGCUAUCCACACACUGUGCACAUUAGUUUCCGAUUAUAAGAUGAAAAGCUAUUUCCCUCUUGACUUAGUAUAUUUUUGGGACUUGGUAUAUUUGACCUCAUUUGAUAAAAAUUGAAACACCCUGCAAAAGGCCAAUGAGCCUUUGAAAUAAAGAAAGUUGUUUGCUUGCCUUGAAACCCGAGCAAGGUCUGAGGGGUAUAUGGUGAAAAUCUUUAAAGCCUGGUGCCCUAAGCCUUAAUUGGUUGGGAGUCACCGACCUCAAUGCUCGUUACAAGGGUGAAUAGGUAGAGUUAGCAUAUGGUAGAUGCUUGGGUAUUAGAAAUUCAUUCUUAAAAGUCCGGGGAAAAAUCCGAGGAGUUAGUGGUUGAAAGAUCCUUAAAACUUGGUGCCCUAAACCUUAAUUGGUUGGGAGUCAUCGAUGGACCCCCAUUACAUGGACAAGUCAGAAAGAGUACCCCAUAAAGCUACCUUAAAAAAAAAAAAAAAAAAAAAAAAAAAAAAAAAGAUGAAAGUGUGUUCUUUUCUUAUUGAUUUUGGUCAGUUUGCUAAAGUGUUGAAAAGAGAUAGGUUGGGGGGUGAGAUUAGUAGCAUAUUAUUCUCGGAACCUAAGGAACCAAUACACAUAGAUUUUUGUGGAAGAUUGAAGUUUAGUUCUUAGAAAAUGAAAUGAUUUUAAAACUUCAGUUUGCAUAAUGCACUCCCUUGAUUGACAGUGUUUAGCAUAGGUGUUAUGACUCUUGUUGAGAUUUGGGUUUGUAUUUCUUUAAUGAUUCAUGUGAGAAAUAGAUCAUCAUGCCACUUGAGAAUUAUUUUCCUUUUAGCAUGAUGUUGUAAAUUUUAGAUUAGUUUGCUAUUUAUUUUUUAUUUUCUCUCCUAUAUUGCUAAGGGACUAGCAAUAUGUCGGUUGGGGGGAGUGAUUACUACUCAAAAAGUGCUAUUUGAUAGCCUUUAAUUAAUCCUUUUUAACACUUUUGAGUAGUAGUUUAGGCCUUUUAACUCAAUUGGCAUGUUAAGGAUCCUUUAAAGCAAUUUUGAUCACUUUGUGCAAGUUUUGGUGUUUUUGUUAGUAUUUUGAUCACCAAAGCAAGUCAAGAAUGAGGAGAACUAUGAGGAAUCAUGGGCAAAGCUUAGAAUUCAAUUGCCAAGAGUGAAUCCGGAUUGCAAGGAGAAAAAGCAAAGAGAAUCUGUCAUGAAGCCUAUUCUUGAUGACAGUCGUAGCAGCCACUUUUGGAGCACUUUCUGAAGUCCAAAUGAUGCAAGCUAUAUACCAUUUCAAAGCUCAGGAAGUCAACAAUCCAAUGCUUCAAACGGUGCGCGAUUCGGAGUUGAAACGAAGAAGUUGCAGCCAUUACAAGCCAGUCACUCUAAAGUGUUGCGGAAUCAGCCUUUUGUUGCGAGAAUUUCGCAGCACUUUUGUACAGUAAGGUGUUUCUCCUUCUGACGAUGCACGAACCAUGCCGCGAGAGGGAAGCUAGGAACUUCAAGAUGGAAGCCAACUUUGCAGCCUGGUGAAGAUAGCUUGGUCUUGCGAAAUAAUUUCGCAGCCCUCUUGGGUGUCUGCGAAAUUUCGCAGGCACCACUUUUUUCCUGCGAAAUGGCUCCGGAAGCCUCCCGAAGCUUGCUACCGACAUUGGGAGAUAUUUUCCAUUAGAUUUUUGUUGUCUAAAUUCCAAAAUACUCCUUGUAAACCACCAAUUACAUGAUUCCUUAGUUUUUAAGUUAGUAAAAAGACCAAAUAUCUAUGUAAUAAUUAGUUUUAUAUUAGUUUGCUAUAAAUACCUCUCGGGAGCAUGUUCUCAGAGAGGAGUUCCUUCUGUAACCAUUUUGGUAAGCAAGUAAAGUCUUUUCUUUCUACUGCCUUACCUUCUCACUUUGUAUUUUCAUUUUAUUUCUAAGUUAUGAAUUCUCUGAGGAGCUUUCCCCAGAGAAUGAGUAACUAAACCUCCAAUUCCUUGGAGCUAAGGUUGCCGGGGAAGGUUCCAAGUGCAAGAAUGCAAAGCUCUGUGGUUUUAGCUAGUAAUGAAGAGGAAGUGAAAUCCUUUAGUGAUUUCAAUGUUUUUAGUUAACUUAAAACACCUUGGAGUCACCUGGGCCAACACUUGGUAAGGCAAGUGAUUUCCAACCGUGGAAAUGCACUAGUUUACCCCUUGCGAGCCUCUGGUAGGUGACUUCAAGGUAGGAUUUUCUGGAAUUACCAACACUUGGUAAGCUUUUGGACUCCUAGGAGACAUCCAUUAGUUAUCUCUUGCGAGUUUGUGAAGGGGAAUCCAAGGUUAAAGAUCACCUUGAAUGGUAAGUGCUCGUGAGAGGCAUGAACCAUUGCAAGUUGUAUCAGUGAGAGAAUUAAAGUGAAAUCUAAUUGAAGGAGUCUCUGUACAUCACCGGUUAGAGAAUUGACUAUAAGUUGAAUCUCUAAUGCGAGGAAAUGAACCAUCUGACCGGAGCUAUGUCUUUUGCAUGAGGAACCACCCCAGUGAACCUAAAUCUCCAAGGAAUGCUUUUCUUCCUAAAUUAUUCCAAACUUCUGUUAAGUUAGUUAGUUUAAGUCUAAACCUUUACCAAUCAAACUUUGUGUUUUAUUCCUUAAGCUAACCGUGAAAUGAAACAAAACCAAUUCACUUGGAAUUGGUAUCCUUGAUUGCUUGCAAAUCAUUCCCAGUGAACGAUCCUUAGAGCCACUAUACUAUAGUAGCUUUGUAUUUGCUACCCUAGUGUAUGGUGUUAUAGGUAUAAAUUUUGUUGAUCACUUCCUCAAUCAAGGAACACCAGCUGAACACAAAUCAGCUGAGACACCAAUUGGGCAUGAGUCAGUGCGUUAGAGGAUCAAGAAGAAGAAAAAGAAGGAACUGUUGGAAUUAGUAUGAGUGUGAAGAGAAAAGUAUAUAAAUAAGGGGAAGUAAAAGCAAAGUUCAAAAAGCUAUAUUUUUUUAUUGUUGGUGUAUGGUUGCAUGAUUAUCCCUAUAAAUAAUAGGAGUUUUUUGGUAUUCUACUAGUAGUUGAAGCAUAAUUUCAUAAAUUAAUAUUUAGAGCGGGGUGGGGUGAGUUGUGACAAAAUUCAUACCCGUCCCAAACCUUGGUUCAGAUUUUUAAAAUAUUCUCAAACUUAUCAUAUACCCAACUUUUAUAUUUCAUACUUGUCCUAAUAGAGGCACGUUAGGCCGGGUUACUUGAGUAACCUACAUAAUUGUCAUCCCUAGUUGAAAUACACUUUUUGGCAGUGGCCACCAACUGAGCUAGAAGCUUGAUUGAUUGACCUACAAGAUUAGUUCUCAUCAUUUUAAAAAAAGUUCUGGCUUUGGUUGUGAGUGCAAUUGAAUCUAAACUGGCAUUUGCUUAAUGCAUCUACUUCAAUCCUAAACUUCUUACUUCUUAAGCCUCAAUUGUUGUUAGGAUUUUGGAAAACCCAUUUCCUUAAAUUGUAAAUUUAAGAUAAAAUAAAAUAAAAGUGAGACAUUUCUUGAUUGAAUAUUGUUAAAGGUCCCUUGGCAUUAAGACUUGGUUGAAGCCUUGGAAGAUUAGUGGAACUCUCAACAUGUGUUUGAAUCUUGAGGAGAGUGGAUGUAAGCCAAAAUUUUGUCAAACCAUUAUACAAAUUGAGUUUGAAUCCUCAUUUCUUGAUUUCUUAUUUAUUUGCUUUUUCUUAUUAUUACUUGAAUUGUCAUUUGCAUUCAUUAAUGUUAAAAUUGGUUAUAAUUAACCAACACUAAUUCUCUUUCCCCUUCCCUUUCUUGGGUGUAAACCUAGGUUGGAUUAACUAGAUAAAUCUAUUAAGAUGGUAAAAGAAUAAUUAUUCUUAACAUACAUAAGAUCAUCUUCAAUCAAAUGACUCAUUGGCUAAUAUGUUGAAUUUGCUUAUUACUUGCAACUCAAAAUUGUGUUCUAGUUGUGUCAAGUCCCCAGUGUAUGGACAUUAAAUUUGUAGUACGUGAUGAGUAAUUAGAUGGUCCAACUCCAAGAAAGUGAUUGAAAAGUAGUUCAAGAAAGGUGCAAAAGGGAAUUGUUUUGGUAUUUUCGUUUUUAUUCUUGAAGGUGGCAGAGCUAAAAUUUGAGAAAUCAAGCAAAACAUACUGAAAUUACAUUGAAAGAAAGAAGAUGGGAGUUAAUGUCUUGCAGUACAUGAUAAGGACUUCAUGCAUGUAGUGUGACCCAUGUCUUGGACUGAUGCCAACUCACGGUUACACUUAUACCCUUGGUUCUCUCUUUACUACCUUGGCUAACCUAGAUCAGGCUAUGAGAUAGGCUCCUCACCACACCAUUACUUGCCCAUUAAUUAGAGACAUUUUCAAGCAAUGAGGUAACAUGGUGACACCAAGAGGGUCUAUUCCUCGCCCGGAACAAGUCUAGACUUGGUCUCAAAAAAAUGGAGAAAAAUGAGGUGUCGUUAUGUAGAAAUACAACAACCAUGCCUUCCUCAUUACUUAGAUUCAGAAUGUGAAGGUGAAAUUGAGAAACAGAAACUCUUGAAACCAAAAUGAAAAUUGAUACUUUUACGAAGAAUUACAACAACAUUAGAGGAAGACUACAUUCUUCCUCUUUAUUCCUACAUUUCUACACUACUUCUACUCCACUCCAUAUUUCUACAUACAUCUUUAAUCAGUCUUCCCUCCUUUAUAUAGAGCCAUCUUCACACAAAUUUCGCAAGGUAGAAAAGAGGAAUGAAACUUGGAGCAAGGUUCGACUACUGGUUGUAGCUUGUCAAGGCUGGAAGUGAACUUUUCUUGGCUUUCUGGGCAUGGGUAGUAACUUGUGGGUUCCUGUUUGGCAUAAAAAUGGCUAGAACAUGUGGCACUAUCUUGUUGGAUGAUGUGUCAAGCAUGUGGCAGCCAUCUAGUGGCGAUUAUGUCAAUUUUGGGAUGGAGAGUUGGCAUCCAAUUGCAAAGAAAUAUGACGUCUACCAACAUGCAAUGUAAACCUAUGUAGAUCAUAUGAAGAUAGAGAGGAAAAAUAUAGAAAUGGAUAUAUACCUAGAACUAGCUUUUUAUUAAAUGAAACGGAGAGACAACAAUGAAGGAAAAUAAAAUUUUUUGGCUUAUAUCAAAGAGUUCACAUUGUGUUACCCUAGGUUUUCUUAAAACUUACUUUUAUGAUAACAAAAAAGAAAAAACCAUUAUUGUUUAAUCCUUUGUUUUAAACGCAUGUAAGGUGUAAUUAAGUUAGUUCAAUGCAUUAAUUUAAGAAACUUGACCUAUCAAAAGUACAAAAUUAGAUGAAAUCCAUUUCAAUGGUUAAAAUGAUCAAAAUCAAACUUUUUCUAAGUAUUUUUUAAAAGCAUCAAUAGUGAAAGACAAUUUUAUAUUUAGUCGGAGUUUGGACAAAACUGAAAAACACACAAAAUCCAAGCGACCAUCUCUAGCUUGGAUGGUCGCUUGAUCCCACCUAGAGAUGUGCAUGAGUAAAAGGAUUUGAAAAUGGAAAUUGACUAUGUAGUCGAUCAAUUAACUUUGCAACAUCAUAUGCAAUCCUAAUUGCUAGUCAUCUAAUCAAUUAGGUAGUCAAUCAACAGGCCAAAAAUAUGUUUAUAAUGACUAUUUUGUACAAAAACCACCUGUAUAGUUAAAUAUAAUGCAUUUCAUUUAUAAAUCUUCUAAUUCUUGAAUAACGAUCCUAUCAUCCUUUGAAAGUUUUUAUUACACUUUUUUUACUUUUGUUCUAAAACUUACACAUCACCCUUAAUUGUACCAUGAGAACCUAGCUAUUUUUUAUUUUUUUUUUUGUAAUUCAUCAAAGUUAGCUUUUGUAUUCAUUGUUGUAUUAUUUUUAGUAUAACUUAGAAAGCUAGUGUUUUCAAGUGAGUAAAAUUAACUUGUAAAUAUUGUAAAGAUUCAUCGACAUGUAUCUUAAACUAAGUGUACAAGUUAAAACAUUUGCUAGUAGAUUUUCUCAAAAUUUAGAAUAGAGCUUGAGACUAUUGAAAUAGGUGGGGUUGCACCAAACCACAUCACAUCGUUGUUUGCACCUUUUUUCACUCUCUUUUACUUAGUUGCUCUAUAUUUGUUGUCUAGUAAUAUCCUAUAGGCUUGAUGGGUUAGGGAGCAUCCCUUUGUGAAAAAAUUUUAUUCAAUCCUUAGUUGUAUCACGCAUAUAUAAAAUGCCUCAUUGUUUUAAUGGUAUUCAGUCGUGGCAUCACAGAUAUGGGCAUCUAAAUUUUAAAAGUUUGAAACUUUUAUCUAAAGAAAAUAUGGUGCUUUGCCUUUUUGUAAAGCAUGUUGAUGAAAUCCAUGAGAAUUGUGUACUUGGGAAGCAACACCGAGAUGACUUUUUUUUUUUUUUUAUAAUAUUGUUUGUCCAAAUUCCCUACAAAUUAGGCCACCAGAUGUUCAUAAUUCUCCCUUCUUGAAUUUGAAAACUCGGACAAUUGGACAAUGCGACACCUAAGUCCGGUUUCUAAAUGCUAAAGUGAAAGGGUAGGUAUGGACCAUUGAAAUGUGAUCACAACUUUUCUCUGUAGCCAUGUUGUCUCUUUUUUCUUUUGCAUGAUUUUCUUACCUUAACAGAAUCAUAGACUUGUUUAGUCUCUAAAUGGGAUUAAUUUCAUCCAGCUUUAAGCUACUAUAUUAUAUCUAGGUGGAGGACUUUUAAGAGUGCAACCGACAUAGAGCACAUGGAAGUGGGUAUAUGGGACAUGAAAUUUCUUCUUAUAAAGAUUGCAUGAUUUUUAUAUUAGAGUUGUUGAGGCGCUAUGUAUUUAGCUUGUUUUGCAGUUAAAUUAAUUGGAUAAGUAGACAUUGGCGUUUCUAAAUCUACUGUGAAGUGCUUCAUGUACGUGUGAAGUAUUAGAAAUUUCUUUCUUGGCAACUUGUUUUUCUUUGCGGUCUACUGAUAGGUUUGACUAAAAUUAUAUUCCCUGUCAUGCUAAUUAAUUUUCACGUGCAUGCUCAAAAGAAAAGUAUGACCUUAGUGCACCAAAAUCACUUUGAUUAAUUUGUGAUAGGUUUUUGUGCAUCAUGACAUUAGCCUUAUUCAUUUAGAUAAUGUUUAGUUUUUAGAAAGUAUUAAGAAAAGGAAAAUAAAUAUUAAGAAAAAUAUUCUUAUAUUUGAUUGUAUUAUGAAAAAUAUCAUAAAAAAAUCAAAUAUAAUUUAAAUUAAUUAAUAAUUUAUACAUUUUCAAAUUAUUUAAUCUUUAUAUUGAAGAUAUAAUAUAAAUGAAAUGAGUUUUAAGUAUUAUAUAAAAGUGAUUUAUUGAUCUUACAUAUAUAUAUUUCUUUUUUUUUUCCUUCUAUUUUUUCUCUUUAUUUUAUUUUCCUUAUGUUUUCCUCAACAUUUUCCGGAACCAAACAUAGCCUUAGGAAAUCCACAAUUACCUUCAACUGAGUAGAUUCUGUUGUUUUAGCAAUGUUAGGCUGCUAACUUGUGUUGGUACGAACCUAUUAAGCCUAAAGAUGUAAUUAGUUAGGAUAUUCUUUUCCCUCUAGUCUUGUAGCUCCACGUGUACAGUUGGUUAGGACCUCAUUGUAUAUAAUGCUUGCCCUGUUAUUGUAGAAGACAACAAAGAUAAAUAAUAUUAACAUUUUUCCUCUCAUCUCUCUCUGUUUCCCUCUGUUUUCAUCUCCUCUCUCAUCUUGGUAUCAGAGCCUCCAUGGCUUCUUUCAAAGAAACCUCCGAAUCACCUUCUGCUAGCAUUGUUAAUGUGCAAAACCCAUUAUCUCAAUCAAACAACCUUCCUUCACCAGUAGCCACACCCUCUUUUUCUUUCUCGUCUAUGAAUCAACCUCUCACAGUGAAGCUGGAUAAUGGGAACUACCUCAUAUGGAAGAAUUAGCUUCUAAAUGUCAUCAUUGCUAACGGACUCGAUGAUUUCAUUGACGGAUCUCGACCCUGCCCUCCUCGAUUUCUCGAUCUGCAACAACAAACCCUCAAUCCAGAGUACUCAGCUUGGCAGAGAUACAAUCGACUUCUGAUGAGUUGGCUGUACGCAUCCUUGUCCAAAGAUAUAAUGGCUCAGAUUGUUGGGUAUUCAACAGCUAUGGAGAUUUGGAAUGCCCUUAAUCAGAUUUACUCUGCCUCUUCUAUGGCGCGGUUUACUGAGCUUCGCACCAAGCUUCAAACGCUCAAGAAAGAUGGACUCUCAGUUGGUGAAUAUAUUCAAAGGCUCAAAUCCAUUUGCAAUAGUCUUGCAGCAAUAGGAGAACCAGUUUCUGAGAAAGACCAUCUUAUCUAUUUGUUCAAUGGAUUAGAUUGUGAGUAUUAUUCUUUUGUUACCUCCAUUCAAAAUCGAUCUGACCAACCAACUAUUGACAAAAUCCAUAGCCUAUUGCUUAGCUAUGACUUCCGGCUUGAACAACAAAACUCUGUUUCUCUCCAUUCUGCCCAAGUCCAUAUGGCUCAUCUGAACAAGAAACCUUAUAAAUCAACUCCUCAACCUACAUUCAAUCAUAUUCACAUUCAACCUAGAUACUCUUCUCCACCUUUUAAGCCAACCACUAGUCAAUAUCAACCCAACAUUUUGGGCAAACCACAACCACAACCAUGACAGCCUCAACCUCAAUGGAAACCACAUUUUUCAAUCUAAAAUCAAAAGCCUCAGCGCCAAAUUUGUGGUAAAUUUGGACACACUGCUCUUAUUUGCUUCCAUCACACAAAUUUGAACUAUUCACCCCAACCUUCUCCUAAAUCUUUCAAUACUGUUCUCACCACAAAUUCCCAGCUCCCUAAUCCUCCAAAAUUUUCUUACCCUACAAUGGCUCAUCCUGCUGCUACGCAUAACACGGUUCCCGAUACAAAUUGGUACAUGGACUCAGGUGCUACACAUCACUUUACUCUGGACAUCAACGUGCUUGACACUGUGACACCAUUUAGUGGUUCAGAACAGGUGACAGUUGGGAAUGGUAAGCAACUCUGUAUCUCACAUCUUGGUACUGCAAAACUACCAUCUUCGUAUUCUCCUCCUGUUCUACAUCAGGUAUAUCACACUCCAAAAAUUUCAAAUAAUCUUAUUAGUGUUAAAAAAUUGUGUUCUGAUAAUAAAGUUUUUGUUGAAUUUUAUGCCACUCAUUUUCUUGUCAAGGAUCAGGUUUCGAAGAGAGUUCUCCUUUAGGGUCAACUUGAUAAUGGCUUAUACAAAGUUCAGUCGUCAUGCUCUCCUUCUGCUGUUUCCUUUCCUCCUCAAGUUUUCAUAGCCAACAUCAAGUAUCCAAAUCUGUGGCACAAGAGACUAGGCCACCCAGCUUUAUCUGUUGUUAAUCAAAUCUUGGAUUCUUGUAACAUUGCUCGAACACAGAAAAUUUGUUUUAAUUUUUUAAAUUCUUGUCAAUUAGCAAAGAGCCACAGGCUUCCUUUUUCUCUGUCUCCAUCCAUUGCAGAAAAACCUUUUGAGUUAAUUCAUACAGACCUAUGGGGUCUUUCGCUCGUUCGCUCUAUUUCUGGUGCUCUUUAUUUUUUACUUUUCAUUGAUGAUCAUACUCGUUUUACUUGGUUUUAUUUGCUCAAAACAAAAGAUGAAGCAUAUCCUACUUUUCUCAAGUUUCAAGCUCUCAUUGAAAAUCAAUUUAAUACCAAGAUUAAGGCUGUCCAAUCUGAUUGGGGAGGUGAGUUUCGAUCUCUCUCCAUACCGUUUUCAAAUAUGGGCAUUGUCUAUUGUUUAUCGUGUCCAUACACCUCACAACAGAAUGGGCGAGUUGAGCGAAAAAAUCGCCAUGCGAUUGUCCUUUCUUGCUUGCUCUAUGCCCUUAUCUUAUUGGCCUUAUGCCUUUCAAACUGCCACUUACCUUAUUAAUCGUCUCUCUACCCCUGUGCUGCAUCAUCAAUCCUCUUACUUCGCACUCUAUCACAAACUCCCAACUUAUACUCAUCUUAAGGUCUUUGGUUCCUCUUGUUUUCCGUAUUUGCACCCUUAUAAUACCCAUAAACUCCAAUACAGGUCACUAGAGUGUGCUUUUCUUGGUUACAGUUCACACCACAAAGGUUAUCUAUGUCUUGACAUUCAUUCUAGCAGGGUGUAUAUUUCUCGCCAUGUGAUUUUUAAUGAAGAUUCUUUUCCAUUCAAGAAUUUGAAAUCUUCUCUCUCUCAGUCUAUUUCUUCUUCCUCUUCUUUAUAAGUUCCUCUGUUCAUUCUCUUGCCUCCCCUUUCCCCAUCUCCUCUUAUUUCUUCAUCUAUACCUCAUUCUUUUCCCUCUUCUUCUUCUACCUCUAGUACUUGUUCCCCUCUCGUUGCUCCUACCUCUCUUCCUUCCUCUUCACACUCUGUGUCUCCAUCUAUUCCACCUCCUUCUCCACCUUCUCCGAGUGUGGACCUGCUUGCACCUUGUGUGAAUACAAAUUUACAUACUUCUUCUCGCACUCACAAUAUUCAUCCUAUGGUGACUAGAUCUAAGGUUUGUAUCUAUAAACCUAAGUUGUUGUUGAGUGUCUCCAUAGGUUCUCUCACUAAGCCUACUUCCUUUCUUCAAGCUAUUAAAGAUCCUUCAUGGAAGCAAUCCAUGGAAUUCGAGUUUGCUACCCUUCAACACAACAAGACCUGGCAUUUGGUUCCUUCACCUUCCUCAGGCGAAGUAAUCGGUUGUAAAUGGGUCUAUAAGCUAAAGCUUCAGCCUGAUGGCUAAAUUGAGAGAUACAGCCUGCUUAGUAGCUAAGGGUAUCAUCAAAUUGAAGUAUGGACUACUUCGAAACAUUCAGCCUGAUNNNNNNNNNNNNNNNNNNNNNNNNNNNNNNNNNNNNNNNNNNNNNNNNNNNNNNNNNNNNNNNNNNNNNNNNNNNNNNNNNNNNNNNNNNNNNNNNNNNNAGCUUCAGCCUGAUGGCUAAAUUGAGAGAUACAAGGCCUGCUUAGUAGCUAAGGGUUAUCAUCAAAUUGAAGGUAUUGACUACUUCGAAACAUUCAGCCUGAUUGUCAAGCUUUCUACUAUCUGUAUUGUGCUCAGUCUUACUUUUUCCCAGAAUUGGUGUAUUAGACAGCUGGAUGUUCAUAAUGCCUUCUUACAUGGUGACUUAGCUAAAGACGUUUUCAUGGAACAACUGCCUGGAUUUGUUGAUCCUCUCUAUCCUACUCAUGUCUGCAAGUUGGAUAAGUCUCUCUACUGUCUUAAAUAGUCACCUCGGGCUUGGUAUACUAAGCUGAGUACUUCUCGCUACACUUGGGAUUUGUUACUUCUAAGAAUGACUCUUCCUUAUUUAUUUGUCAUUCGUCUCAUGGGUUACUUCUUGUUCUUGUCUAUGUGGAUGAUAUAAUCGUCAUUGGGAGCCACUCUCCUCAGGUUACUCACCUUAUCCAACAGUUGCAUCAUUAGCUUUCUUUAAAGGAUCUUGGUCCUUUACAUUAUUUUCUGGGCUUGGAGGUUCAUCACACCCCUACUGGUAUUCACCUCAGCCAAGCAAAGUAUAUCACUGAUCUCCUUACCCGGGCGGCUAUGUUGGAUGCCAAGCCAUGUCCCACUCCUAUGUCCUCCAACACAUAUCUCUCUUUUCAUGAUGGAGUGGCUCUUGAAAAUGGUUCAGAUUAUCGAAGUUUUGUUGGUGCCCUUUAGUAUUGUACCAUGACACGCCCAGAUAUAGCUUUUGCAAUAAAUAAAGUGUGUCAAUUCAUGCACCAUCCCUCUAAUGUUCACUGGCAGGCUAUAAAACGUAUUCUCCGGUACUUAAAGGGCACAUCUCAUUUUGGUCUCUUCCUACAGCCUUCCUAUGACUUCAACAUCACUUGCUAUACAAAUGCCGACUGGGCUUCCUGUCCUGAUGACAAGUGUAGCACCAGUGGCUACUGCCUCUUUCUUGCCUCUAAUCUGGUUUCUUGGUCAUCUUCCAAACAAAAAGUGGUCUCCCGCUCCAGCGCCGAAUCAGAGUACCGAGGGGUAGCAAAUGGGGCUGCUGAAAUUGCUUGGACUGAAUCUCUUCUUUGUGAACUUUCCAUUACUCCCCCUCCCCUCAUUCUCUGUGACAAUAUCAGUGCCACGUACUUAGCUGCCAAUCCUAUUUUGCAUGCCCGCACCAAACAUGUGGAAAUCGACUAUCACUUUGUCACGGAACGUGUUCUUCAAUGCUCUCUUUUUGUCCAGUUUACACCUUCUGAUGAUCAACUUGCUGAUUGCAUGACCAAGCCUCUCUCCACCCAACGUUUCAUCACUCUACGCUCCAAGCUCACUGUUCUCACUAGACCAAUGAGCUUGAGGGGGGAUGUUAAGCCUAAAGAUGUAAUUAGUUAGGAUAUUCUUUUCCCUCUAGUCUUGUAGCUCCACGUGUACAGUUGGUUAGGACCUCAUUGUAUAUAAUGCCUGCCCUGUUAUUGUAGAAGACAACAGAGAUAAAUAAUAUUAACAUUUUUCCUCUCAUCUCUCUCUCUGUUUCCCUCUGUUUUCAUCUCCUCUCUCAUCUGAACCAAAUGAUCCAUGUUAACCUUGGCUUGGUUUGAUUUGGCUCUAUCUUAGAGAGCUCAAGGAUCACGUCAACUCUGGUUUCUACUAUUCAGGUCCAUUCCCAUAUGAACUGGUUCAAAUUUGAGAAAAUGGUAACAGACCUUUAGUGAUGUUGGUUUGGAGCCAGUUGCCAAACCCGCCCUGAGCUUUACCACUAAUGUCAAGGGAGAAAGCCAUUUGAACAAAAACAAUAGCUUCAAGGGACUGAAUCGUGGAUGAAAUCUGAUCCACAUUUCUUCUCAUUUUGGAAACAAAUGAGAACUUAACUAAGAAGAUUCUACGGCCUCAUAGUGCUUUUCCUGAUCUAAGGUUGGUUCGUUUCCCAAACUGUGAGAUGCACGUGCCAGACUUCAGAACUCUCACGCUCAGGAGUGUAUCCACGUGGUGGACAUAAGAUGGUGGCUUAAGAUCUGGUGUCGGUGGCUUUACUUUACUAGGAGAGUAGUGUGUCUUCAUCUCAUUCACUGCCGGAGGGUGGCGUAAGCAGUGACGCUAAGGUGGGGCACAGUCAAUAUCAUUUGCAUUUGACCAUUAUAGUUUUCUCCCGGCUUUAAAGUAACCUUAUCGUGAUAAAGGAUUACUAGCACUAGUUCAGAUGAUAGUCAUGUUAAAUUCGGACCAUGUUUGUGUCACAUUAUCAGCAACCAUGUGUUUAUGGUUCAUGCUUUCUGCAACUAAAAUUGAUAUAUAACCAGGUGAACUUCAAUCUAAAUUCUGAAAGUACUCAUGUGAUAGAUGGUGCCCGUCUGCAGAGUCCAUCAAUUGAAAAAUGGAGUGAGUGUAUCUAUAAGAGGGAAGGCUUGGAAAAUGUUCAGUUUUCUGGGAAUUCAACAAGGAUCUAAAAUAGAUUGUUUUCUUUGCUGAUUUCAAUGGUUGAAAUUUGAGAAGAUUGUGUCCACAUAACACAACUAUUACUGGUCCUUCUGUUGCAAUUUAUCCUCUAAAGCUCUAGCAUGUCUUCCAAUUCCCACUUCCCUGUUACUCCAGGAAAGCUAUUUCUGUCAUUGUGAAGAAGAAAAGAGAAUGUACAUAUCGAUGCUUUUAAGUGACUGGAGCAUUUAUAUCAGGUGGUCUGCAGCCAUAUAUGCCACUUUGUGAAGAUUGGAACAGUCAAUCACUAGGCUAUAUAUUAGUGUGGCCCAGCCACUUUAAUCAAGGACAAGUCUUCAUACUUAAAGUCAAAUUCUGCCUUUAGUCUCAUUAUAAAUUUCUGUUUAAAUAUUAAGCAAACAUUUGUUUAAUGCGAUUAAGACAGUACUAACUCAAUACCUGUUCUAUUUUUGGAUGCAAAUGCUUGAUGGUUUCAUCAUUGGAUGGGAUAAAGGUGCAUUCAUGAUUAGGAAUACUAGUAGUUAUAUUUUAAUUCUCUUUUUUCUCAAUGAGACUUGUUGGCACAAUUUUGCUGUUGAGAAACCUACCUCUCCAUGGAAAAUAAGUUGUGAUUGAUAGUACUGGAUAUAUUCAAGAAAUCUAAAUAUAGAUAGCACAAAAUAUUAUCGACAUAAAUAGCAUUAACAGCGUACGUAUGUCUCAGUGCUCAUCAGCUAUAAGCAUGGGGCAAACACUUACUAUGAGCAACUUACGUCAAAAUUCCAGAAUAGGACAUAGAAGUGACAGAUAUAGAACAUUGCAUAUGAGUCACAAGAAAGGAAAUUACGGGUGCAUAGCAGCUCUUAUUUUACAUACUACUACUCAUACUGAUCAAAGUCACUCAGUUGGGAUGGGUGGGAGUAGGAGGUUUGUGGGGUGGCUUGUGCGGAGGAGUUGGCAGCUUCUUUCCAGGACCUGGUUGCUUCUCUGCUGGAGUUGAAGGAGGCUUAAUCUUCCGAGGUGGCUUGUAUGAGUCUUCAGCAUUCUCAGCUGGAGGGUGACCAGGGUUGUGACCAUAAUGUGGUGGCUUCUCUCCCUUAGGUGGUUUGCCAACUGGGGUUGGUGGCUUGUAUGAGUCUUCAGCAUUCUCAGCAGGAGGGUGACCAGGGUUGUGACCAUAAUGUGGUGGCUUCUCUCCCUUAGGUGGUUUGCCAACUGGGGUUGGUGGCUUGUGUUCUGGGAGUGGCUUCUCCCCCUUGGGAGGUUUUUCCAAUGGGGUUGGUUUGUGUUCAGGAGGUGGCUUCUCCACUGGAGGCUUGUGUUCAGGAGGUGGCUUCUCCACCGGAGGCUUGUGUUCAGGUGGUGGCUUCUCCACCGGAGGCUUAUGCUCUGGUGGUGGCUUCUCGAAUGGGGGAUGCUUAGGAUAAUCAGCAAGUGAGGGGGCGGUGAGAACCACCAGGCCAAGCAACACCACUAGCAAAUAUGUAGGAGACAUCUUUGGGUUUGGGCUCAGAUGGUGCAAAACUAGGAGAAUUGGCUAGCCUUUUAUAGCGGAUCGUACCCAAUAAUGAAAUGACACGUGUCAUUAUGACCCAUGUGUAAUGGGGUCGAUUUGGGUCCUACAGUGUUGAAAACUUCGACAUCCACUUUUGGCCUUUUGCUUUCUCUACAGCCGCCUUGCUUUUUCCCUCUUUCCUUUUGUUUUCCUCCUGCCCCAUUCUAUCAACUAAACACAAUUAUGUAGUUGUUUAAUUCUUAAAUGAGAUAUUAUCCGUCAAUCGUAUUAUAUUUUAUCAAGAGAGAACGGAGUGCAAUGUGGCUGUAAUUUUAUCGUUUAGUUUUAUCUCUUGGACCACUGCAUUUUUGUUAAGAGGUGCAAUAAUACACGUCUUUAUCUGCCAUUCAAUAUUUACAGUAAAGAGAGGGCACAAAACUCUUCACUUCGCACCAUAAUUAUUUUGUUUUCUGGACACCCCGGGGCCCUUUGGUUGGUUUGGGGGUCAGAAAGUGAACAUCAUAGGGGGUUUUUCCCUUAUGUGCAUUUGUAUCUGAUGGCUUUAACUCGCCUUGUUACUACAAAGAAACUGUCACAGAUAGGAACUUAUUCCAGGCUGAGUAUCUCCUCAUAGACCCUAUAAAAGAAGACAAGUCAUAAUGAACAUCUAACCUUUGUUCAAUUUGAUUCAAUGCCCCCAUUGUGUCCAUCUCACAAAUCUGAAUUAUUAUAUCCAUUGAAUACAUAAAUUAAUGAAGAAAAUAUGAAACCCAAGAUACAUCUCUGCACAACCUCAACCCUGGUUGCUAUGUUUCCCUUCUAUUCACAUGAUUUGAUGCUAAUUGCCAAACUUGCAACAAGCCCUGAGUUUGACACCUAGUAUCGAUGGGCGAAUUUAAAGUCUCCUCCAAACAUAUAUUCCACAGCUUGAAGCUCACAGAAGAUGUUACAGGCAGGGAAAAACCUUCAGAGUUCGCUACCAAAGAUAAUUAUUAAGGAGAUAUCACAAAGAGAAUUCCAAGGGGUCUGAAUCAAAGACAAAUUGGUCGUUCGUGGGGGUUCUUACUUUCUUUUGGGUAUAACUCACUGAGGGCACUGUCUUUGUUAUUUGCAUUUCACAUUUAGAGUUCUGUUCUGGAAACAUAUAAAAGGAGCAUCAUUUUGUUCUUGGGUAACCCAUAGUCGUGAGUGGGUCCAUUUGCAUGCUACUUAGUUGAAAAGUUGGACCAUUUGCUCCGACGCCUACCUCCCGGAUUCCAUGCUCGGAUAAAACAAGAAUAAAAAAAAUAUUUAUAAUUUACAAAUGGGGGAAAGAAAAAAAUGUCAACAACAAACCAGGAAAAAAGAGUAGUAAAAUUCAUGUCACAUGCUAGUGAGAGAAGGGGUUGUUACACUCACUCGAAGUUCUUUCCAAAAUAUCGCAUGGUAUUUUAUUUUAUGUGUCAGCGCAGUUGUGAAUGGAACGUGCAAAAGUCCAAAUUGGCGUUUUUCCUUUUCCCGUGUAGGAUGGCGACCUUUAAUAAAUAUUUAAAACAAAAAACGAAAAAAAGGAGGGAAAAGGGAUCAGAAAAGAUAAAACAAUGUGUACAAGAGCUCAAUUAGUUUGCAAAUUACUGUUUGGAUUUUGAUAGUAUUUUAUUUGUCCAUCUAUAUUUGAUGGAAAAGAGAAUUUAAGAUAUUUCUGAAACAAAAGCAUUAGUGUAAAACUAAAUUAAGGUAUAAUUAAGUUAGUUCAAUGCAUUAAUUUAAGAAACUUGAUCUAUCCAAAGUACAAAAUUAGAUGAAAUCCAUUUCAAUGGUUAAAAUGAUCAAAAUCAAACUUUUUCUAAGUAUUUUUUAAAAGCAUCAAUAUUAAAAGACAAUUUUAUAUUUAGUCGGAGUUUGGACAAAACCAAAAAGCACACAAAAUCCAAGCGACCAUCUCUAGCUUGGAUAGUCACUUGAUCCCACCUAGAGAUGUGCAUGAGUAAAAGGAUUUGAAAAUGGAAAUUGACUAAAUAUUUAGUUGAUCAAUUAAAUUUGCAAUGUCAUAUGCAAUCCUAAUAGCUAGUCAUCUAAUCAAUUAGGUAGUCAAUCAAGUGUUUGUAAUGACUAUUUUGUACAAAAAACCACAUGUAUAGUUAAAUAUAAUGCAUUUCAUUUAUAAAUCUUCUAAUUCUUGAAUAACGAUCCUAUCAUCCUUUGAAAAUUUUUAUUACACCUUUUUUACUUUUGUUCUAAAACUUACAUAUCACCCUUAAUUGUACCAUGAGAACCUAGCUAUUUUUUUUUUUUUUGUAAUUCAUCAAAGUUAGCUUUUGUAUUCAUUGUUGUAUUAUUUUUAGUAUAACUUAGAAAGCUAGUGUUUUCAAGUGAGUAAAAUUAACUUGUAAAUAUUGUAAAGAUUCAUUGAUAUGUAUCUUAAACUAAGUGUACAAAUUAAAACAUUUGCUAGUAGAUUUUCUCAAAAUUUAGAAUAGAGCUUGAGGCUAUUGAAAUAGGUGGGGUUACACCAAACCACAUCACAUCGUUGUUUGCACCUUUUUUCACUCUCUUUUACUUAGUUUCUCUAUAUUUGUUGUCUAGUAAUAUCCUAUAGGCUUGAUGGGUUAGGGAGCAUCCCUUUGUGAAAAAAUUUCAUUCAAUUCUUAGUUGUAUUACGCAUAUAUAAAAUGCCUCAUUGUUUUAAUGGUAUUCAGUCGUGGCAUCACAGAUAUGGGCAUCUAAAUUUUAAAAGUUUGAAACUUUUGUAAAGCAUGUUGAUAAAAUCCAUGAGAGUUGUGUACUUGGGAAGCAACAUCGAGGUGACUUUAUUUUUUUUUCCUUUUAUAAUGCCACACCUAAGUCCGGUUUCUAAAUGCUAAAGUGAAAGGGUAGGUAUGGACCAUUGAAAUGUGAUCACAACUUUUGGCCUUUUCCUUUCUCUGCAGCCAUGUUGUCUCUUUUUUCUUUUGCAUGAUUUUCUUACCAAAACAGAAUCAUAGACUUGUUUAGUCUCUAAGCUACUAUAUUAUAUCUCGGUGGACUUUUAAGAGUGCAACCGACAUAGAGCACAUGCAAGUGGGCAUAUGGGACAUGAAAUUUCUUCUUACAAAGAUUGCAUGAUUUUUAUAUUAGAGUUGUUCACGUGCAAUGUAUUUAGCUUGUUUUGCAGUUAAAUUAAUUGGAUAAGUAAACAUUGGCAUUUCUAAAUCGACUGUGAAGUGCUUCAUGUACGUGUAAAGUAUUAGAAAUUUCUUUCUUGGCAACUUGUUUUUUCCUUGCCAUCUACUGGUAGGUUUGACUAAAAUUAUAUUCCCUGUCAUGCUAAUUAAUUUUCAUGUGCAUGCUCAAAAGAAGAGUAUGACCUUAGUGCACCAAAAUCACUUUGAUUAAUUUGUGAUAGGUUUUUUUGCAUCAUUUAGAUAAUGUUUAGUUCUAAGAAAAAUUUAUAUAAAAAUGGUUUAUUUAUCUUACAUAUAUAUAUAUAUAUAUAUAUUUUUUUUUUUUUCAUUUUUUUUUCUUCUAUUUUAUUUAUUUAUUUUAUUUUCCUUAUGUUUUCCUCACAUUUUCCGGAACUAAACAUAGUCUUACGAAAUCAACAAUUGCCUUCAACUGAGUAGAUUCUGUUGUUUUAGCAAUGUUAGGCUGCUAACUUGUGGUGGUACGAACCAAAUGACCCAUGUUAAUCUUGGCUUGGUUUGAUUUGGCUCUAUCUCAGAGAGCUAAAGGAUCACGUCAACUCUGGUUUCUACUAUUCAGGUCCAUUCCCAGAUGAACUGGUUCAAAUUUGAGAAAAUGGUAACAGACCUUUAGUGAUGUUGGUUUGGAGCCAGUUGCCAAACCCGCCCUGAGCUUUACCACUAAUGUCAAGGGAGAAAGCCAUUUGAACAAAAACAAUAGCUUCAAGAGACUGAAUCGUGGAUGAAAUCUGAUCCACAUUUCUUCUCAUUUUGGGAAAAAAUGAGAACUUAACUACAAAGAUUCUACUGCCUCAUUCAUAGUGCUUUUCCUGAUCCAAGGUUGGUUCGUUUCCCAAAUUGUGAGGUGCACGUGCCACUCUCACGCUCAGGAGUGUAUCCACGUGGUGGACAUCAGAUGGUGGCUUAAUAUCUGGUGUCGGUGGCUUUACUUUACUAGGAGAGUAGUGUGUCUUCAUCUCAUUCACUGCCGGAGGGUGGCGUAAGCAGUGACGCUAAGGUGGGGCACAGUCAAUAUCAUUUGCAUUUGACCAUUAUAGUUUUCUCCCGGCUUGAAAGUAACCUUAUCGUGAUAAAGGAUUACUAGCACUAGUUCAGAUGACCGUCAUGUUAAUUCGGACCAUGUUUGUGUCACAUUAUCAGCAACCAUGUGUUUAUGGUUCAUGCUAUCUGCAACUAAACUUGAUAUAUAACCAGGUGAACUUCAAUCAAAAUUCUGGAAGUACUCUUGUGAUAGAUGGUGCCUGUCUGCAGAGUCCAUCAAUUGAAAAAUGGAGUGAGUGUAUCUAUAAGAGGGAAGGCUUGGCAAAUGUUCAGUUUUCUGGGAAUUCAACAAGGAUCUAAAAUAGAUUGUUUUCUUUGCCGACUUCAAUGGUUGAAAUUUGAGAAGAUUGUGUCCACAUAUCACAACUAUUACUGGUCCUUCUGUUGCAAUUUAUCCUGUAAGGCUCUAACAUGUCUUCCAAUUCCCACUUCCCUGUUACUCCAGGAAAGCUAUUUCUGUCAUUGUGAAGAAGAAAAGAGAAUGUACAUAUCGAUGCUUUUAAGUGACUGGAGCAUUCAUAUCAGGUGGUCUGCAGCCAUAUAUGCCACUUUGUGAAGGUUGGAACAGUCAAUCACUAGGCUAUAUAUUGGUGUGGCCCAGCCACUUCAAUCAAGGACAAGUCUUCAUACUUAAAGUCAAAUUCUGCCUUUAGUCUCAUUAUAAAUUGCUGUUUAAAUAUUAAGCAAACUUUUGUUUAAUGCGAUUAAGACAGUACUAACUCAAUACUUGUUCUAUUUUUGGAUGCAAAUGCUUGAUGGUUUCAUCAUUGGAUGGGAUAAAGGUGCAUUCAUGAUUAUGAAUACUUGUAGUUAUAUUUUCAUUCUCUUUUUUCUCAAUGAGACUUGUUGGCACAAUGUUGCUGUUCAGAAACCUACCUCUCCAUGGAAAAUAAGUUGCGAUUGAUAGUACUGGAUAUGUUCAAGAAAGCUAAAUAUAGAUAGCACAAAAUAUUAUCGAUAUAAAUAGCAUUAACAGCGUACGUAUGUCUCAAUGCUCAUCAGCUAUAAGCAUGGGACAAACACUUACUAUGAGCAACUUACGUCAAAAUUCCAGAAUAGGACAUAGAAGUGACAGAUCUAUAUAUAUAGAACACUGCAUAUGAGUCACAAGAAAGGAAAUUACGGGUGCAUAGCAGCUCUUAUUUUACAUACUACUACUCAUACUGAUCAAAGUCACUCAGUUGGGAUGGGUGGGAGUAGGAGGUUUGUGGGGUGGCUUGUGCGGAGGAGUUGGCAGCUUCUUUCCAGGACCUGGUUGCUUCUCUGCUGGAGUUGAAGGAGGCUUAAUCUUCCGAGGUGGCUUGUAUGAGUCUUCAGCAUUCUCAGCUGGAGGGUGACCAGGGUUGUGACCAUAAUGUGGUGGCUUCUCUCCCUUAGGUGGUUUGCCAACUGGGGUUGGUGGCUUGUAUGAGUCUUCAGCAUUCUCAGCAGGAGGGUGACCAGGGUUGUGACCAUAAUGUGGUGGCUUCUCUCCCUUAGGUGGUUUGCCAACUGGGGUUGGUGGCUUGUGUUCUGGGAGUGGCUUCUCCCCCUUGGGAGGUUUUUCCAAUGGGGUUGGUUUGUGUUCAGGAGGUGGCUUCUCCACUGGAGGCUUGUGUUCAGGAGGUGGCUUCUCCACCGGUGGCUUGUGUUCAGGAGGUGGCUUCUCCACCGGAGGCUUAUGCUCUGGUGGUGGCUUCUCCACCGGAGGCUUAUGCUCUGGUGGUGGCUUCUUGAAUGGGGGAUGCUGAGGGUAAUCAGCAAGUGAGGGGGCGGUGAGAACCACCAGGCCAAGCAACACCACUAGCAAAUAUGUAGGAGACAUCUUUGGGUUUGGGCUCAGAUGGUGCAAAACUAGGAGAAUUGGCUAGCCUUUUAUAGCGGAUCGUACUCAAUAAUGAAAUGACACGUGUCAUUAUGACCCAUGUGUAAUGGGGUCGAUUUGGGUCCUACAGUGUUGAAAACUUCGACAUCCAGUUUUGGCCUUUUGCUUUCUCUACAGCCGCCUUGCUUUUUCCCUCUUUCCUUUUGUUUUCCUCCUGCCCCAUUCUAUCAACUAAACACAAUUAUGUAGUUGUUUAAUUCUUAAAUGAGAUAUUAUCGGUCAAUCGUAUUAUAUUUUAUCAAGAGAGAACGGAGUGCAAUGCAGCUGUAAUUUUAUCGUUUACUUUUAUCUCUUGGACCACUGCAUUUUUGUUAAGAGGUGCAAUAAUACACGUCUUUAUCUGCCAUUCAAUGUUUACAGUAAAGAGAGGGCACAAAACUCUUCACUGCUCUGCAUGUGUCCCAAAAAUGCGAUUGGACAAAUUAUGAUUUGCAUGCUAAAAAGAGGCAAAUGAGGUUAAUUCGCACCAUAAUUAUUUGGUUUUCUGGACACCAUAAAAAGAUGUUAUACAGGCAGGGAAAAACCUUCAGAGUUAGCUACCAAAGAUAAUUAUCAAGCAGAUAUCACCAAGAGAAUUCCAUAGAGUCUGAAUCAAAGACAGAUUGCUCGCUCGUGGGGGUUCUUACUUUCUUUUGGGUAUAACUCACUGAGGUCACUGUCUUUUUUAUUUGCAUUUCACAGUUAGAGUUCUGCUCUGGAAGGUUUGUUCUGGAAACAUAUAAAAGGAGCAUCAUUUUGUUCUUGGGUAACCCAUAGUCGUGAGUGGGUCCAUUUGCAUGCUACUUAGUUGAAAAGUUGGACAAUUUGCUCCGACGCCUACCUCCUGGAUUCCAUGCUCGGUAAAACAAGAAUAAAAAAAAAUAUAUAAUUUACAAAUGGGGGAAAGAAAAAAUGUCGGAAAAAAUAGUAAAAUUCAUGUCACAUGCUAGUGAGAGAAGGGGUUGUUACACUCACUCGAAGUUCUUUUCAAAAUAUCGAAUGGUAUUUUACUUUAUGUGUCAGCGCAGUUGUGAAUGGAACGUGCAAAAGUCCAAAUUGGCGUUUUUAUUUUUCCCAUGUAGGAUGGUGACCUUUAAUAAAUAUUUAAAACAAAAGACGAAAAAAAAAAGGAGGGAAAAGGGAUCACAAAAGAUAAAAUAAUGUUUACAAAAGCUCAAUUAGUUUGCAAAUUACUGUUUGGAUUUUGAUAGUAUUUUAUUUGUCGUUCUAUAUUUGAUGUAAAAGAGAAUUUAAGAUAUUUCCGAAGCAAAAGCAUUAGUUUGCUCUGUGAUGUCCCACAUCGAAUAGGGGAGAAAGUUUCUGGCGCUAUAUAUGUAGAGGCUCCUCUUAACCAAGUAGAUGCGUUUUAAAACCAUGAGGGCCCCCUUAGGUCCAAAGCGGACAAUAUCUACAUGAUUGGGUGUAAGUCAUUACAAAUGGUAUCAGAGCCGAUCCCCGACCCCGGUGUGGGGGUUUGUUUGGCCCUGUAAGGGGUGUUUGUCUGUUUGACCCCACAAUCCCAUGGGACACAACGAGGACGUUGUGUCUGCAUGGGGGGGCGUUUGUGAUGUCCCACAUCGGAUAGGGGAGAAAGUUCCUAGUGCUAUAUAUGUAGAUGUUUCUCUUAACCAAGUAGAUGCAUUUUAAAAUUGUGAGGGCCUCUUUGGGCCCAAAGCGGACAAUAUCUACAUGGUUGAGUGUAAGUCAUUACAUGCUCCAUGUCAAUUUCAGCAUUUCUCAUAUGUUUCACACAUACACAGAAGAGCAUCGUUUUUUAAAGCAUGCAUUUAUGUUGGAUUAAUUUGGAUUUUGUGGGAACUGGGGCAAGGAUCACAUGGAAGAGAGGUUGACUUUUUUCAGUACUUCAAUGGUUGAAAUAUGUGAAGGCUUGAUUGAUACUAAAGCUUGAAAUUGCGACUCUGUCAUUUGUAAAAAAAUAUGACAGCUUCCAUGCUCUCGUUUGGUUGCAUUGUCCGGUCGAGAGGUGCAAAAAGCAUUCUCUCUCUUCUAAUAGUCUUUUCGUUUAAAUCAAGGGAUUUGCCUUCCCGGUCGAGGUCCAAUAGAGGGUAACGGUCACCUACUAAACAUUAAAUGCUCCAACAACUAGUGAACUGAUCGACCCCAGCUCGACUAGUUGAGGUUACUUUUUGGUUUUCUUGUCUCCCGAGGUUAGAAACCUAUAAAUAGAGAGCUUCACUUCAUUUAUGAGUAAGAGAACACCUAAAUUUAUUUGUUUACCUACUUGUUUUUGCCAUAAAAGCUCUCAUUUCUUUUCUUGGUGUAUUAAAUCUCCAUUUGCAUAUCCUUUAGUGCACCUUUGUGAUUCAUUCUAGCCUUGAGUUGUAUUUAAGCCUUUGUUGAGCUAGGUUGAGAGUUUCAUACUUGUUUAUUGAGUGUUAAAGCCUUCAAGUGAGUUAAAACUUGAAGAGAUUGUGUAAGAGCCCAUUGGAGUCGGAAUCCAAGUGUAAAGGUGAUUAAAAGCUUGGUUGAAGCUUCAAGUUAGUGGAACUCUCACUCGGUUAUGAGCUUGAGAAGAGUGGACAUAGACAAGGCAGUGUCGAACCACUAUAAAAUCUGAGUUUGAUUUCUCUAACCUUAUCUCUUUAUAUUUGCUUCUCUUGUGCUUAAAUUUUUUGUGUUUAAAAAGAAUUUUUAAAAACUCAAUUCACCCCCUUCUUGGGAGUUUUUCUCUUUUAAGAUCAGCUUUUAUUUUCUCAAUUGGUAUCAGAACUAUGCCUCUUGUUUAAGACUUAAUCGUCUAAGAGGAAAUGGCUAAUCCAUCAAGUUCAUCUCACAUUGAAAGUUUUGCAACCAAUAGACUUCUUUUUUUUUUUUUGCGGGAACUGAUUAUCCCUAUUGGAAAACUAAAAUGACUUGGUUUUUACAAUCAAUUGAUUUAGAUGUAUGAGAUGCCAUUGAAGAUGACCUAACUUUUCCUUCAAAACUAGUUGAUGGAGUCAUGGUUCCAAAACCUAAGCAAGAAUGGGAUGAGCGUGAUUGAAGAAAUUUUCAAUUAAAUGCUAAAGUCGUUUAUACUUUGCAAUGCUCUAUGGACAGAAAUGAAUAUAAUAGAAUAUGUCAAUGCAAAUCGGUUAAAGAAAUUUGGAGAUUGCUUGAAAUAACUCAUAAAGGAACAAAUCAAGUUAAAGAGUCAAAAAUCAAUUUACUUGUUCAUAGAUAUGAAUUGUUUUUUAUGAAAGAUAAUGAAACUAUUGUUAAGAUGAUCACUAGGUUCACCAACAUUGUUAAUGGUCUUAAAGCCUUGGGAAAGACCUACAAGGAAUCCGAAAACGUGAUGAAGAUCUUGAGGUCACUUCCAUCAAAGUGGCAUACCAAGGUCACCGCAAUUUAAGAAGCAAAAGACUUGAUCAAGCUACCUUUGGAGGAGUUCAUAGGGUCAUUGAUGACAUAUGAAAUCAAUUUGGCAAAGAAGUAACAAAAAGGUGAAGACAAAAAGAAGAAGAACAUAACUCUCAAAGCUACAACUAAGGAAGAAGAAGUUGAAGAAGAAAAACAAAUUGAAGAAGAUGAAGAUUUAGCCCUCAUCACAAGAAAGUUCAACAAAUUCAUGAGGGGUGAAAGGUUUAGAAGAAGAAGGUUCACUUCUAGAAGAGACUUUUCUAAAAAGGAAUCUUCAUCUAAUGGUGACAAAAAGAGAUGGGAAGAGAAAAGAGACUUGGUGUGUUUCAAGUGCAAGAAACCGGGACACAUUAAAUAUGAUUGUCCUCUCUACAAAAGUGAAGUCAAGAGGAAAAAGAAUAAGGCAAUGAUGGCCACUUAGAGUGAAAGUGAAGAUGAAUCAUCCGAAGAAGAAAAUGAGAAAGAAGUGGCAAACAUGUGUUUCAUGGCAAUAGAUGAACUUGAUGAGGUAAAAUCUAACCUUAGUGAUUAAGAUAUACAUGAUGCAUUUGAAGAAUUGUAUGAGGAUUUUUAAAAACUUAGUUUGAAAAAUAUUUCUCUUAAAAAGAAAGUUCAACAACUUGACAAAGAACUUAGAGAAGUAAAAGAAAAAUUUUCAAAUGUUAAAGUUUCUAAAACUCAUCUUGAAAAAGAAAAUGAGAUUCUAAGAAAGAAAAAUGAAUAGUUGAACUCCUCUCUUUCAAUCUUUUCUUCUAGACAAAAAUCUUUUGAAAUGAUUCUAACUAGCUAAAAAUGUGUUUUUGACAAACAAGGGUUAAGAUUUAAAUCUUCAAAAAAUCAAAAGUAUUUUAAAAACUAUUUUGUAAAGGAAUCCACAAGUGCAAGUCCUUCCACUACUUGCAACUUUUGUGGAAGAGAAUGGCACAUUAGUAGUACGCCCUUUAAGAAAUGGUUCUCAAAAGAAUUUAAAUGCAAAAACUAAAAAAGAUUUGGAUUGAGAAAUCCAAGGUCACUAACCCUCAAGGACCCAAAAAGAUAUAGGUACCUAAAUCAACUUGAGUUUUAUGUUGUAAGGUUCAAAGAAUGAUAAGUGGUUCUUAGAUAAUGGUUGCUCAAGACACAUGACCGGAGAUGAAUCCAAGUUUGCUUUUCUUAAAAAGAAAAAUGGAGGAUAUGUUACCUUUGGAGACAAUGCAAAAGAAAGGAUGAUUGGUCAAGGCAACAUUGGUAAUGGCACAUCCUCUCUCAUUGAAAGUGUUUUAUUAGUAGAUGGUUUCAAACAUAACCUUUUAAGCAUUAGUCAAUUUUGCGACAAAGGUUUUUAAGUGAUUUUUUAAGCAUCUCAUUGCAUCAUCAAGGAUAUUCAAAAUGAUAAAACCAUUUUCAUGGGCCAUAGAUGUGAUAAUGUUUAUGCUAUAAAUAUUUCAAAAUAUGAUGGCCAUGAUAGAUGUUUUUCAAGCAUGCAUGAUCAAAGUUGGUUGUGCCAUAGGAGAUUGAGACAUGCUAACAUAGACCUCAUUUCCCAACUCAACAAAGAUGAACUUGUUAGAGGCCUUCCCAAAAUAAUUUUUUAAAAAGAUAAAGUUUGUGAAGCUUGUCAAGUGGGAAAGUAAAUCAAAAACUCUUUUAAAAACAAAAACUUCAUUUCCACAUCUAGGCCACUUGAGUUGUUGCAUAUGGAUUUAUUUGGUCCCUCUAGGACACCAAGUCUUAGAGGAAAUUCUUAUGCAUAUGCUAUUGUGGACGACUUCUCUAGAUACACAUGAGUCUUGUUUUUUAGUCAAAAGAAUAAAGUUUUUUAUGAGUUUUCAAAGUUUUGCAAUAAGAUUCAAAAUGAAAAAGGUUUUUCAAUUACUUAUAUAAGAAGUGAUCAUGGGAGAGAAUUCGAAAAUAUUGAUUUUGAAGAGUAUUGCAAUGAGCAUGGAAUUGACCACAAUUUUUUGGCUCUUAGAACUCCUCAACAAAAUGGGGUAGUUGAAAGGAAAAAUAGAACUCUUCAAAAAAUGACAAGAACCAUACUAAAUGAAAACAACUUACCAAAAUAUUUUUAGGCCAAAACGGUUAACACUUCUUGUUAUGUUUUAAAUAGAGUAUUAUUGAGGCUCAUACUUAAGAAAACUCCCUAUGAGCUUUGGAAAAACAAAAAACCCAACAUUAGUUAUUCCAAAGUCUUUGGAUGCAAUAUUUUAUAAUAAACACCAAAGACAAUCUUGGAAAAUUUGAUGCAAAAUUGGAUGUUGGAAUUUUCCUUGGUUACUCAACUUCAAGUAAAGCUUUUCGAGUUUUAACAAAAGAACCAUGGUUGUAGAGGAGUCCAUCCAUGUUAUUUUUUAUGAAUCUCCAAGAAAGAGAGAGGAUUGAUGAUGAUUUAGGUUUGAAGACCUCUAUAGGAAGAUUGCAAAUCGAAGAUAGAAGACAACAAGAAGAAAAUGGAGAGAAUCCAAAGAAAGAAGGAUCACCAUUGGCACUACCCCCUCAUCAACAAGCGCAAGGUGAAUCAAGUCAAGAGCUUCCUAAAGAAUGGAAGUUUGUCAUCAAUCACCCACAAGAUCAAAUUAUAGGCAAUCCAUCUAGUGGGGUAAGAACUAGAUCCUCUCUUAGAAAUAUUUGCAAUAAUCUAGCUUUUAUCUCUCAAAUUGAGCCUAAAAAUAUAAAUGAUGUUUUAGAUGAUGAAAAUUGGAUAAUUGCAAUGCAAGAAGAGUUAAAUCCAUUUGAAAGAAGUGGAGUAUGGGAAUUAGUACCAAGACCUUCAAAUCAAAGUGUUAUUGGAACUAGAUGGAUCUUUAGAAAUAAAAUGGAUGAAAAUAGCAUAAUUGUUAGAAAUAAAGCAAGAUUGGUAGCCCAAGGUUUUAAUCAAGAAGAAAUGAUAGAUUAUGAAGAAACCUUUGCCCCCGUAGCUAGGUUGGAAGCCAUUAGGAUGCUACUUGCCUUUGCAUGUUUUAAAGACUUUGUUUUAUAUCAAAUGGAUGUGAAAAGUGCUUUUUUAAAUGGUUUUAUAAAUGAAGAAGUAUAUGUUGAACAACCACCCGGUUUUCAAAGUUUCAACUUUCCUAACCAUGUUUUUAAACUUAAAAAGACACUUUAUGGUUUGAAACAAGCACCUAGAUCAUGGUAUGAAAAAUUGAGUAAAUUUCUUUUGAAAAAAAUGUUUUAAAAUGGGAAAAAUUGACACAACUCUUUUUAUAAAAACCAAAGAAAAUGAUAUGCUCUUAGUUCAAAUAUAUAUUGAUGAUAUCAUUUUUGGUGCUACUAAUGUCUCUCUUUAUGAAGAAUUUUCUAAGUGCAUGCAUAGUGAGUUUGAAAUGAGCAUGAUAGGAGAACUCAACUUCUUCCUUGGACUUCAAAUCAAGCAACUAAAGGAAUGAACCUUCAUCAAUCAAGCAAAGUAUAUAAGAGAUCUUCUCAAAAGGUUCAACAUGGAAGAAGCCAAAACAAUGAAGACUCUAAUGAGCUCAUCCAUUAAGCUUGAUAAGGAUGAGAAAGGUAAAUCCAUUGACUCUAUUAUGUAUAGAGGCAUGAUAGGUUCUUUGCUCUAUUUGACCACUAGUAGACCUUACAUUAUGUAUAGUGUGUGUUUGUGUACUAGAUUUCAAUCUUGUCUUAAAAAAUCUCACUUAAGUGUCGUGAAAAGAAUCCUCAAAUAUUUGAAAGGGACAAUGGACAUAGGCUUAUGGUAUCCUAAGAGUGAUAACUUUGAAUUAAUUGGUUUUUUGGAUGCUGAUUUUGUCAGUUGUAGGGUUGAAAAAUAAAACACUAGUGGCACUUUUCAUUUCUUAAGACACUUACUUGUCUCAUGGCAUAAUAAGAAGCAAAAUUUGGUAGCUUUGUCAACAGCAGAAGCUAAAUACAUAGCAACUGGUUUAUGUUGUGCACAAAUCCUUUGGAUGAAAUAAACACUUAGUGAUUUUGAUUUAUCUUUUGAGCAUAUUCCUAUUAAAUGUGAUAAUAGUAGUGCCAUAAGUAUAUCAAAAAAUCUCGUGCAACACUCUAGGACUAAGCAUAUAGAGAUUAGACAUAAUUUUCUUAGAUAUCAUACACAAAAGGAUGAUAUAACACUUGAAUUUGUAAGCAUAAAAGACCAACUUGCCGAUAUCUUUACAAAACCUCUAAGAACAUUUUGUUGAUAUUAGAGGACAAUUAGGAGUGAUUUCUUUAUGAUCUAAUGUGAUGAAUUCUUGAUGAAUAUACUUUUUGAUUGCAUGAAUUUCAUGUCAUAUAUGCAUCAUAUAGAAAUAUACUUAGAUAAUGGUCAAAUUUCGACCAAAAAUCAAAAUUCCCAUGGCAUUAGGCAUAAAAAUUUUGGAAUUUCAACUGAAAAUGGUAGGAGGAGGAUCACAAAAUGAGAAAGUAUGCAAAAAUUGAAAAAUCAAAACGUUGACCAAGCGGUCAAUCGGACUAGACCGAUCGACUAGUUUGUCGAGAUUUAGGAUUUUUAAGAGACUCCAACGCUUCAAUUUUUGCACCGUUCUCCUCUAUUUCUUCACGGUUUCUCUGAUUUUGUCUUUUAGAGACUAAUUUGAGUGCGUUUUGGAUCAAUUGAAGCAUUUUGGAUUGGAUUUUAGGAAGAUUGAAAGUUAAGGUUUCGGAUUUGGGUCGCCUUCUCUUCCUCUCGCGUGUCACAAUCAGCUUUAGCAUUGUUCUCUUUCCAUUUUCACACACCUAGGGUUUCAGUUGUGAGCAUCUCUCUCUCUUUACCAACCACUACUCCCUUGCUUCUUCCAUAUGGCUCCUAGGCGAGAGUCCGCUACUUCUAGGGCACAAGGCAAGCACCCAACUGAGUCGUCUCAGUCAAAGGCACGUCGAAAAGUGAGAUUUGACAUUGCCUUGUUCAGUUCCAUGGAGGACUACCAACUAUACAAGCAACACUUUGCUUAGAGACGAGUAGUUCCCAAGAGAAAUAUUAAUUUUCCUCAACUUCAGCAUUUCGAAUUUAAGGGUCUAUUUACUAGGAUGGUUGGUUGUCUAUUGUCACAAUUUCGGAGCCGGUUUUCCUGACCUUAGUGCGAGUUUUUUACUCGAGGGCGACUUAUGGCAUGGGUGGCAUGAUCAUUUCUACUGUUGGAGGAGUUGAGAUCUGUCUGGACCCAGAGAGCAUCUGCCAUAUUUUCGAUAUUGCUCUGGUUGGACUCAAAGUAUACAAGUCCAAAAUGUGGCCCAUUGUGCCAGGAUUUGAGCUUAGAGAGGUCAUUCAGAGGAUUUGUGAACUUCCAGACGCCCAGGAGAUGGGCAAACCAUUGCCACACAGUUUGACGGUCAUCAACAGGGUGCUACACCAUAUAUUGUGCUCUAUCUUUCUACCACGAAGUGGACAUUGAGAUGAGGUCUCUUAUUAUGAGGCAUUCCUUAUUGACUCCAUUCUAACGGAGAGACGAAUUCAUCUACUAUGUCAUCAUUCACUAAGCCUCCUCACAGUGACAUACCACCUCAUCAGGCACCUCUUGCUCCUGACCAUGCUCCAUUGAUGGAUUUAUUUACUCAUAUUAGCUCUCUAGGCACUCGCAUGAAGGAGUUUGUUGUAGUUAGUGAUACAUGGUUCUACUCCAUAGAGGAUCGCAUGGAUCAGUAUCAGACUGGCUUCACGUCACAGUUUGAGUAUCUCCAAUAGAGGAUUGAGCAUAUUGAGGAUCACUUGAGCAUGAGAAGAUGAUGGCUUUUCUAUGCUCUGUGUUUCCACCUCCACCUCGUCAACCUUGAUUUCUUAGAGACCCAUUGUUUUCAUUUUGUAAUGUUGCCAAAAGGGGGAGAUAUUUAGGAUCUAGGACUCUAUAGGAGACUUACAUGCAUAUCAUUUUCAUAUCAUUGUUUGGAUCGUACAUAUUGGAUAGUGAUACUUUUUACUUAUAUAUGAUAUGCCUAUAUGUUUCAUGUCUUACAUUGUUUCUUAUUGCAAAUUAUCUCUAACAUGUCUUGAUUAUCUUUUUUUUAACUUCAUAAAUUUUGAUUGUUAACCCAUGAUUGGUUUGAGGGGAAGAUUCUUCUUCUCCUAGAUAACCAAGGUUUGUCAUCAUAAAAAAAUUGGAGAUUGUUAGCCCAAGGGUUCUCCUAAUCAUGUUUUGAUGAUAACAAACCAUGCUUAAGUUACUAAUUGGUUUGAAUUAUAAAGAAUUUCAAGUGUUAAUUUGAAAAUUCAUCAAAGAACCUAAUGGAUGCAAGAUCAAGAUUUUUGGAAGACCUUUAAUCAUAAGAAACAUAUGUAAGAUGAAUGCAUGGGUGCACUUAAGAUUUGCAUAUCAUUUCAUGCAUAUUUGGAAAACACGGUUUAUGCUUUAAAGUUACAUUUCCAUCAAAAUUUGAGAUCCAUCAAAUGAACCUUAGGAAAAAUGUUUUAAAAUUGGCAUAUAAUUUUACCUAAAGACCUUGCCUAAGUGUUAGAAGCAAAAGGACAAAAAAAAUAUAGGUUUUCUGGUCAAAAAUGGUGAACCAGUCAAGGCAUUGUCUAAAUCAGCUCAAUCGGCCAAGGUACCGGUCGAUCGGUUUCCCUUUCCCUGUCGAGAUCUAGUCAAGAGGUACAAAAAUCACAAUCUCUGUCUCUUUCUCUCUUUGUCUAUCUUCCAGUAGUCUUUCCUUCCCGGUCGAGGGAUUUGCCUUCCCGAUUGAGGUCCGAUUGAGAGUAAUAGUCACUUGCCAAAUAUUAAAUGCUCCAACAGUUAGUGAACUGGUCGACCCCCACCUUGCCCAGUUGAGGUUACUUUUUGGUUUUCUUGGCUCCCGAUGUUAGAAACCUAUAAAUAGAGAGUUCCACUUCAUUUAUGAGCAAGAGAACACUUGCAUUUAUUUGUUUACCUACUUGUUCUUGCCUUAAAAGCUCUCAUUUCUUUUCUUGGUGCAUUAAAUCUCCAUUUUGAUAUCCUUUAGUGCACCUUUGUGAUUCAUCUUAGCCUUGAGUUGUAUUUGAGCCCUUUUUUUAGCUAGGUUGAGAGUUUCAUACUUGUUAAUUGAGUGUUAAAGCCUUCAAGUGAGUUGAAACUUGUAGAGAUUAUGUGAGAGUCGAUUGGAGCCGAAAUCCAAGUGUAAAGGUGAUUAGAAGCUUGGUUGAAGCUUCAAGUUAGUGGAAUCCUCACUCAAUUAGGAGCUUGAGGAGAGUGGACGUAGCCAAGGAAGUGUCGAACCACUAUAAAAUUUGAGUUUGAUUUCUCUAACAUUGUCUCUUUAUAUUUGUUUAUCUUGUGCUUAAAUUUAUUGUGUUUAAAAAGAAUUUUUAAAUACCCAAUUCACCCCCCUCUUGGGUGUUUUUCUCUUUUAAAAUUAGCCUUUAUUUUCUCACAAACUAUUGUAGUAUAGUGGUUUUUAGGUGUCAUCCAUUAGGAUGAAUUGUUCUCGGUAAUUAAGGCGUGAAUGAGAGGAGAAUUAAUGAUUGUGAUUAAGUAAAAUUGAUUUGAAAAUUCAUGGUGAAAAAUCAAUUUAACAAUGGUUUCUAAUUGAGAAAAACAAUGAAAUGUGAAAUAAAAUAAAAUUAAUAGGAAAUGAAAUUCUCGAAGUUAGAAUUUUCUAAAAAACAAAUUCCAUGGUGAAUGGAUGUUGAGAUCUAAUUUUCAUCAAGUUAGAUUGAAAACCGAAAUUUUCAUAUAAACUGAUUUUUUAUUUAGUUUUAGGUCUAGAUUUAAUUUCCCUUAAAAUUAGGUUAUUUAAUCCAAGAAAUCAAUUCAAAUCAUAUAUUCAAUUCAUCUUAAAUUAUCUUCCAAUUAUUCACACAAUGCAACUAUUCAAUCUCAUCAAAUCUAGCUUUUAAGAAUUUAAUGAAUCUACCUAGUUUGCAUUGUAAUAGUCAUCCAUGACAAUUUGAAGAGAAAAAUAAUUCAAUUAAUCAAUCACUUGGAUCAAAUUACCUUUGCAAUUAAAGUUCAUUUCUCUAAUUCACCACAGAUUUUGUCUCUAGAUCCUCCUUUCUCAAAGAAAAAUGAGAUUUAGCCACACAUGAUUGGAGAUUUGGUCUCAUAAGGCAUGUUUAGCUAGUGAUAAAAUGAGAGAAAAUAAAGAAAAAUAGAGAAUUCGAUUAAGAAAGAAAAUCUAAAAAAUUCUACAAUUAGAAAUGUCCAAAAAGCUUUUUCAUGAGAAAAUCAAGUUUCUAUUUAUAGGCCAAGGUCAAGUGGACACUUGACAUCAUCUAAGAGGUCUUCCGGAAGCUUCUUCAUCAAGAAAUCUGGAGUUUAAUAAUAAAAUGGUCAUUUCACAAGAGCUCAAACAAUUUCGCAUGAUUAUGUGAAAUAAAAAAUGCAACAACAGCAAUUUACAUCUUCUUGGAGCAUUUCGCAUGACUGUGUGAAAUUUUCACAUGAUCAUGUGGAAUCGACUUGACAACUCUCAUUUAGCCUACAACAUAAUUCCACCUUUUGGUCCAUUUUUCAUAGUCAUGCGAAAUGGAAAUAUUUGAUUUUUAAGUUUUCUUUUGUCAUUUCUUUCAUUUCCUUCUCUUGAUUCCACUUCAACUACCUCCGAAUCCUGGUCCAAACCAAUUGCAUUACUUCUUUCAUUAUGCAUUUGGAUCAUCAUCAACAUUAUUUGUUCUCUUCAAUUUGAUUCAUCUCUUUUGUCACCAAUUUAUCAAAAUCAUACCUUGAAAUGACUCCAAAACUUCAUAAAACUUGUUAGUAACUCUUGCAAGGGCAACAACAUAUUAAUUAAGUGUUUUAGGCAUAGUUACUACUCAAAAGAUGCGAAACUCAUGAUAAUUAUUAUAUAAAAUAUGCUCUUUUUGAGUAGUAAUCAACUUUCUUGCAUAAGCAGACCUUUUAGGGUGGAGUACUAAAGACCAAUAUGCUUGUCCUUGUUGUAAUAAAGAAACUUGCUCUUAUUGAUUGCACCAUGGGAGAAAAUUUUGCUACAUGAGUUAUCAUCAAUUUCUUCCCACCAAUCAUAGAUUUAGACGUGACAAGAGGCCUCUUAAUGGCAAGGAGGAACUGACACUCACACUUAUACAAUUAUCGGGCAUUGAUGUGUUGCAACAAUUAGAAUAACUUACACCAAUUAUGUUGGGGAAGUCACAAAAGGCAAACAUGAAAACUAAAAGGAAAAAAGAAAAAUGUUACAUAUCACCACAACUGGAAAGAAAAAAGUAUUUACUUUCAUUUGCCAUAUUGGAAAGCACUUAUUUUACAUCAUAAUAAUUUAGACAUAAUGCAUAUUGAGAAAAAUGUGUGACAAUAUAAUUGAGACAUUGUUCAGUAUUGACGAAGAAACAAGGACAACCUAAAUAGUCAUCUCGAUUUACAAGCUCUAACUAUUAGAAAUGAGAUUCACCCAAUAGAAAGCAGGACCAAAUUUAUUUUGCUUGCAACAUGCUACUCACUCACCCCAAAUGAGAUUAAGGAAUUUUGCAAGUUUUUGAAAUCAAUAAAGGUCCCCAAUGGCUAUUCUUUCAAUAUCUCUCGUUAUGUGCAACUCAAUGAAAGGAAGAUAUAUGAGCUCAAAUUGUAUGAUUGUCAUGUCCUAAUGCAACAACUUCUCUCACUUGUAGUUCGUGGAGUUCUACAUAAGAAUGUUUGUGGAGUUAUCAUAGAAUUGCGUAAUUUUUUCAAGCAAUUGUGCUCAAAGGUGUUAGAAACAAAUCACUUACACCAACUUGAGAACAAUAUUAUUGUCAUACUAUGUAAAAUGGAGCAAAUAUUUCUUCCAUCAUUCUUUGAUAUUAUGGUGCAUUUACUUGUGCAUCUAGUAAGGCAAAGGUUGCAAGACUUGUGCAAUAUUGUUGGAUGUACCUAAUUGAACGAUAUUGUUAUAAUUUCAUAUGAAUCAUUUAAUUUUAUUUUAUAUUAUGUUCAGUUCAUUAACAUGUACAUUGGUCUACAUAUGGAUGAUGAUAGGUACCUAAGCACUUUAAAGUCAUAUGUGCGUAAUAGAACUUUUCUAGAAGGUUCUAUUGUAGAAAGGUACCUUGCAAAAGAAUGUACAACAUUUUAUUCUAGGUACUUGAAUGAUGUGGAAAUAAAGUAUAAUCACAAUGAUAGAAACUUUGUUGGUUUCAACACUAGAGGAGAUGAAAGGGGUUAUCUUUAAACAUAUUGGACAUGCAUUGGGAAAGCCCAUAUUUCAUUAACUUAGUUCAAAAGAGUGGUCACAAGCACAUUUAUAUGUGUUGACAAAUUGCGAAGAUGUCAUACCAUUCAUUGAGUAAAAAAUUUAUUUGAAUUUUAAUUAAAGCUCUAGUUUAUAUCCUUAAUCAAUGUUUUUUAAAUUCACAAGGAGCACAAGCAAACCAUCAAGGCUAGACCACAUAUACGUGUUUGAGACGUAGAUUUAAUUCAUAACAAGGAAUUUAUCAAGUGGUUUGAAAGACAUGUAAGUAUAUUCCUUAUUAUAAGGGAUUUAUUUCACAUUAUGUUUAUAUUGAAUCCAAACCUAUUAUUGAAUUGUAGGUUGAACAAUUACAUAAUGAAGGUCAUAUAUCUGAACACCUUCUCACAUUAUCAUGUGUUCCAAAUUCAUUAGUUACAUGCUUCAAAUGAUAUAUUGUCAAUGGAUUUAGAUCCCACAUUAAAGAACGUGAUAAAAAAGUUUUUAAAAAAAGACUCAGAAUAAUGGAAUUGUUGUAGUUGCAAAAACGUCAAGCUUUACAAGUGCAUGUGAUAUGAGUCCAAUUAUUAGUGAUGCUCUCUACUAUGGUGUUCUAACUAAAGUUGUUGAGUUACAUUAUCUUGGUGAAAAUAAGGUUGUUUUAUUCGAGUUUGAUUGGUGGGAUGUUACAAAUAUUGGAAAAUUGAUAAAAGAUGAUGAGUACAAUUACACAUUUGUUAACUUUGCAUGAAUUCUAACCACGAACGAACGAUUUGUACUUGCAUCUCCAGCAAAGUAAGUGUUCUAUGUGAAGAAUGCGAAUGAAUCAGAUUGGCAUACUAUCAUGGAGAUGCAACCUCAAGACCUCUAUAAGAUGAACGGGAUAGGAUCCAAUGGUGAUUUUGAACCAUUUCAACAAAGUGAACUACAUGAUCACUAAUAUAUCUCAGAUUUAGUUGAUGAAGAUAUAAUCAAGUGGAACAAAAGUGAUGUUUUAGGACUAAUCAUCCUAAAAAAUAUUGUAGUUUCUUAAAAAAAAAAUGAAAAUGAAGAAGAUAAUUGAACCUUUGUCAUACUUUAAAAAGCAACUAUGCAUUGUUCAUUUUGUAUGUUUUGGUUUUCUUCAUUUAAUUUCCUGAUUUUUGUGAUUCAAUGUCAUAUUAUUGAUCUUGAAAUAUUUUUCUAAUUUUUCAUUCUACGAUGGUUUCAACAAGGAUGACAUCAAGUCAAAAAAGGAAAUGUGGUCCCACACACAAUAUUGCAUUACAGGGAUUAAGGUCAGGGAAGAAGGUAAAAGUUGCAUUUAAUGAGUACAAUCAAUUGGUUAAACAGAAAAAUGGAAAACACUUAUCGAGCUACAUAGGGACACUUGUAUCUAACCAACACAAUGUACCUCUCCAAGCUAGUGAUUGGAAAAAUGUUCCAAAUGAUGCAAAAGAGAAAGUAUGGCCUUUGUUUUGGUAUGUUGUAUUUCUCACUAUAUGAUGUCAUUUCACUGUUAUUCUAUUUUGUGACUAACGUUUGAAUCAUAUGUAAGAAAAAUUUGAAGUAGAUAAAGACUGAAAAGAUUACAUGUUGGGUAUAGCCUCAAAUAAAUAUAGAAGCUAUAAAAAUAUGAUGAAUGCAAAAUACUAUGACCCUUGGCAUAAGGAUGCAUGAGGAGAGGUUAAUACAUAAAUCACCAUUUGUCUCUGAUGUUGAUUGGAAGUGGCUUGUCUCUGAUGCAUAAACCAAAUCCCCCACUGAAUGUUUGAUAUUUGAUAGCAGGAAAAACACACCCGCAGCUAUACACCUCCAUCAUUCAGAUAAUUAUAGUGGGGGAGAUGAUUCAUGGUUGCCCUUAUACCCUUUAUUUGCACCAUCUAUUGAGAUUCUUUAUCAUGGCCAGGUUUUACUGCAGCAAUAAGAUAUGGUGGCAACAAUUUUAUCUAUAGGUGCGGUUCCAGACCGCCUCCAUAGGUGCGGUUCCUGACUGCCUCCAUAGGUGCCUCUUCUUGUAAUGUUUGUUCUGGGAAUUACACUUGAAAGCCUUAUCGUGAUAAGGGAUUACAAACACUAGUUCAGAGGACAGCCAUGUUAAACUUCCACUAUGUUUGUGUCACAUUAUCAGCAGCCUAGUGUUUAUUGGUCAUGCUAUCUGCAACUAAUAUAACCCGGUGAACUUCAAUCUAAAUUCUGAAAGUACUCAUGUGACAGAUGGUGCCUUUCAGCAGAUAUCAUCAAUUUAAAAGUAGUGUGUGUGCCUAUAGGUGGGAAGGCCUUGGCAAAUGUUCAGUAUUCCGGUAAUUCAAGAAGGAUAUAUCUAAAAUAGAUUUUCUUCUUGCCCAUUUCAAUAGUUAAAAUUUGAGAAGAUUGUGUCCACAUCACACAAAUAUUAUUGGUCCUUCUGUUGCAAUUUACCUCUGAACAUGUCUUCCAAUUCCCACGGUCCUGUUACUCCAGGAAAACUAUUUCGGUCAUAUUGAAAAAAAAAAUAUUAAAGAAGGUACACAUGCUUUUAAGUGGACUGGGGCAUUCAUAUCAGGUGGUCUGUAUCCACAUAUGCCACUUCGUGAAAGGUGGAACAGCCUAAUCACUAGGCUAUUUAGUGUGGCCCAGCCACGUUAAUCAAGCACAAGUCUUCAUACUUAAAGUCAAAUGGUGUCUUUAGUCUCAUUACACAUCGCUAUUUGAAGAUUAACUCAUCACUAGUGUAAUGCGAUUAAGACAGUCCUAACUCAAUAUUUGUUCUAGUUUUGGAUGCAAAUGCUUGCUGGUUUCAUCAUUGGAUGGGAUAAAGGUGCAAUCAGGACUAUGAAUACGUGCAGUAAUACUUCAUUCUCUUUUUUCUCAAUGAGACUUCUUGGCACAAUUUUGCUGCUCAGCAACCUACCUUUCCAUGGAAAAUCAGUUGUGACUGAUAGUAAUGGAUAUAUUCUAGAAAGCUAAACAUAGAUAGCAUUCAAUAUUAUCGAUAUAACAUUAACAGCGUAUGUCUCAAUGCUCAUCAGCUACAAGCAAUGGACAAACACUUUGAGUAACUCACAGCAGUCAAAAUUCCUAAACAGGACAGACGUGACAGAUCUAUAUAUAGAACACUGCAUAUGAGUCACAGGAAAAGAUAAUACGGGUACAUAGAAGCUCUUAUUUUACAUAUUACUCAUACUGAUCAAAGUCGCUCAGUUGGGAUGGAUGGGAGAAGGAGGUUUGAGGGGUGGCUUGUGCGGGGAAGUUGGCAGCUUCUUUCCGGGAGCUGGUUGCUUCUUUGCUGGAGUUGAAGGAGGCUUAAUCUUCCGAGGUGGCUUGUAUGAGUCUUCAGCAUUCUCAGCAGGAGGGUGACCAGGGUUGUGACCAUAAUGUGGUGGCUUCUCUCCCUUAGGUGGUUUGCCAACUGGGGUUGGUGGCUUGUUUUCUGGGAGUGGCUUCUCUCCCUUGGGUGGUUUGCCAACUGGGGUUGGUGGCUUGUGUUCUGGGAGUGGCUUCUCCCCCUUGGGAGGUUUUUCGAAUGGGGUGGGUUUGUGUCCUGGUGGUGGCUUCUCUCCCUUGGGAGGUUUACCAAUUGGGGUCGGUGGCUUGUGUUCUGGGAGGGGCUUCUCUCCCUGGGGAGGUUUAGUGGGUGGCUUGUGUUCUGGAGGUGGCUUCUCCACCGGAGGCUUAUGCUCUGGUGGUGGCUUCUCGAAGGGGGGAUGCUCAGGGUAAUCACCAAGUGAGGGGGUGGUGAGAACCACCAUGCCAAGCAACAACACUAGCAAGUAUGUAGUAGACAUCUUUGGGUUUGGACUCAGACAGUGCAAAACUACGAGAAAUCGCUAGCCCUUUAUAGCGGCUCGGACCUAAUACUGACAUAAUAUAAAAUAAAUAUUAUAUUUUAUCAAGAGAGAACAGAGUGUAAUUUUAUCAUUAAUACCGAUCGAGGCCAAAGAAAGAAGACCCAUAAUCCAUUUCCCACAAGCAUACACAAUGCAGCUGUAAUUUUAUCAUUUACUUUUAUCCCUUGGACCACUGCAUUUUUGUUGAGAGACACAAUAACACAUUUUUAUCUGUCAUUCAACAUUUACAGUAAAGAGAGGGCACAAAACGCAAUUAGAUAAAUUAUGUUUUGCCUGCUAAAAAGAGGCAAAUAACUUUAUUUGCAACAUAAUUAUUUUGGUUUCUAGUGACCCCGGGGCCUUUCGGUUGGUUUGGGAUCGGAAAAUGAACAUCAUAGGGGGGGUUGUGCCCUUAUGGGCAUAUAUAUCUGAUAGCUUCAACUGGCCUUGUUCCUAGAAAGAAAUUGCCAAAGAUAUAAACUUAUUCCAGGCUGAAAGUAGAUGAGAGUCAUAAUGAACAUCAACCUUUGUUCAGUUUGAUUCAAUGCCCCCAUAGUGUUCAUUUCACAGAUCUGAAUGAUUAUAUCCGUUGAAUACAUAAAUUAAUGAAGACAAAUAUGAAACCCAAGAUACAUCUCUGCAUAACAACCCCAACCCUGGUUGCUAUGUUUCCCUUCUUCUAUUCACAUGAGGAUACUGGUUAUAAUUGUCAAACUUGCAACAAGCCCUUUGACACCUAACGUCAAUGGACGAAUUAAAAGUCUCCUUCAAACGUCUAUUUCACAGCAUGAAGCUUAUAAAGGAUGCUGACAACCUUCAGAGUUAGCGACAAAAGAUAAUUAUCAAGGAGAGAUAGUUCCAUGAGAAUUCCAAGGAGUCUGAAUCAAAGACAAAUUGCUCACUCAAGGGUUCUUAUUUUCUUUUAGGUACAAAUCUCUUGAGUGUUGUUAAAGAAACACGUCACUGUCAUUUUGAUUUGCAUUUAACAUUUCACUUUUGUUCUGGAAGGUUUGUUCCGGAAACAUAUCAAAUGAGCAUCAUUUUCUUCUUCGGUGACACAUGGUCGCGAGUACGUGGGUCCAUUUUCAUGCCACUUAGUUGAAAAGUUGGAAAGAAAAAACAUGCCAACAAGAAGAUAGUGAGAGAAGGGGCACUUCAAGCCUUUAACAUGAACAAACAGUAAAUAAAAGAUGUUUCUCCACUCAUAAAAGUGUGUUAGAUAGCAAUAUAACGAAUCACAUCCAAAAUCUUUACUAGGCUCAAACAUAAAGAAGACUCAUUUUUAAGAAAAGAUAAAAAUGGCAUUGUCUGAUAGUAUCCAAUACACGAGAUGGCACUUAAUUUGUACAAGAUCUGUCAAUGCUGACGCACAUUUUCUGAUUAAAAAAAAACUGAUCAGUCAAAAGCAAUGAAGAGAAGUGAUGACAAUGAAUGAUGCUUCCAAUAUUUUCACCCCUUAUAGUGUUCUUCAUGAUUCAGAUAUAUAAUUGGAAAUAGAACAACCCUAUGCCAUACAUUCGUCUAAGUAUGGUGUCUAAUUUUUUGUGUCAGCGGUUGCGAAUGGAGCGUGCAAAAGUCCAAAUUGGCGUCUCUCCAUUUCCACAUAGGAAGGUGACCUUUAUUGACAAAUACCCAAUAUUUGUAGACAUUCCUUAAAUAUCAUAACUUCUUGUUGAUUUGAAAAUCAUUUUUCAACUACCAUGUUUUAAUAAAUAUUUUUUAAAAUGUAUUUUUAUCAAAGUCCACCAUGAUGGAUAAUAUUCACCAUGCAAUAAUUAAUAAAGUACAAACUAAGCGAAAUGAAAAGCAUUUUCUUUGCUUUGAGUUGAUUUUGGUUGCAUUGAGUUGAUUUUGGUUUCAUGGUUUUUUCAACUCUUAUUUUGAUUGGAAGAUGUCAAGAAAAGAAAACAUAAAGAAAAAUUAAAAGGGAAAAAAGAAGAAAAAUAAAAAAAAAUAGAUUUAAAAGUUAAUAAAUUAUUUUUUAUAUUUAUUUUAAUUCAUUUCACUUAUUUUUCUUUUACUAUAUAAAAUUUAAAUAAUUUAAAUUUUAUAAUUAAUUUAAUUACAUUUCAUUUUCUUCUAUAUUUAAAUAUUGGAAAAAUAUUUUACUUAAUAUUUUUUUCUUUAAUUUCUUUGGCAUUUUGGGAACCAAACUUAGCCUUUAAAAUAAAAAACAAAAAAAAAAUGAAAAUAAGGAGGGAAAAGUGAGAAAAGAUAAAAACAAUAUGUAAAGGAUUUGAAAAGUAUUAGUUUGUAAUUACUAUUUGGAUUUCAAUAGUAUUUUAUUUGUCUUUCUAUAUUUCAUGUAAGAGAGAAUUUAAGAUAUUCCCCAAGGCAAAGCAUUAGUUACCUGCAAUCAGUGGUGAUAAGGCUCCAAGCCAAUUUUGGGCCCCAUAUCUUAAGACAGUACAAUUUCCAUUUCAACAUUUCUGAUUUCUCAGAUGUUUCACAUACCACAGAAGAACAUUGUUUGUGAAAAUAUGCAUUUAUGUUGGAUUUUGUAUGCUGUGGGGACUGGGGCAAGGAUCAUAUGGAAGAGUGGUUGACUUUUUCUGUACUUUAACGGUUGAAAUAGGAUAAGCACGGGCAUUUGUGAGGCUUAAUUGAUUUUGAAGCCUGAAAUUGCGUUUCUGUCAUUUUGUCAAAAAAAUGGCAGAUUCCAUACUCAUAUGUUUGGCCUGUGGCCAUGUACAGAUGCCAUUUAGUGACCAGUUUGUAACUGUCAAUCGUUGCGUUUUGACUCUGCCUCAACAACAUCUGCCAUUGACGGGUUUUCAUACUUGCAAAUCAAAUAGUCUUUCGUCCCAUCAGGAAUUUCGGUUUAAAUAUUAUUAAGCAUACGUUUGGCUGACAAUCAUUAUCCAGUUCAUGAUUUGGUUUCUUACCCUUAAUCAAUGGUUUCUAAGUGAAUAUAUGUAGAAGGAAAUCCGAAGUGUAGACAGUAGUAUCGAUAACUCUCAAUAUUCUCUAUAUAAUAGAAUAAACAGCGUCAUAGUGAUCGUCGCCUACAAGCAAGGUACAAAUACCAAAACGAGUGACUCACAUAGACAUCUCCCAACAAGAUGUAGUAGUGACUGACACAUGGACACAAUUAACUCGUAGAAAAGGAUAAGACCAUUGCACAGCAGCUCUUAUUUUACAUACUACUUAUGCUAACCAAAGUCAAUUAGUUGGGAUGGGUGGGAGAUGGAGGUUUGUGCGGUGGCUUGUGGGGCGGAGUUGAUGGCUUCUUUCCAGGAGCUUCUGGCUUUUUCAUCGGAGCUGAAGGAGGCUCAAUCUUAUGAGGCGGCUUGUAUGAGUCUUCUUUACUCUCGACAGGAGGGUGGCCAGGGUUGUGAUCAUAAUGUGGUGGCUUCUCUCCCUUAGGUGGCUUGCCAACUGGGGUUGGUGGCUUGUGUUCAGGAAGUGGUUUCUCUCCCAUGGGAGGUUUAGCAAUUGGGGUUGGUGGCUUGUGUUCUGGGAGUGGCUUCUCUCCCUUGGGAGGUUUAGUAGGUGACUUGUGUUCUGGAGGUGGCUUCUCCACCGGAGGCUUGUGCUCCGGUGGUGGCUUCUUGGUUGGAGGGGGCUUGGGGUAAUCAGCAAGAGAUGGGGUGGUGAGAACCACCAGUCCAAGGAACAACACUAGCAAGUAUGUGGGAGACAUUUUUGAGUUUGGGCUGAUCAGAUGAUGCAAAACUAAAGCAUUACGUGACCUUUUAUAGCAUGUAGCUCCCAAUACCCACUAAGUAUUGUGGGGUCCAUUUGUGCCCUACGGGGUUGAAAACUUAGACAAUUGGGCAAGGACCCACCUGACUAUGGAGGACUAGUGAGGUGUGAUCAUAGCUUUAGGAUUUUUCUUCCUCUGCAGCCGUCGUGCCGUUGGCAUGAUUUUCUUAAUCUUAAAUAAAGGCAUAGUUAUAGAGUUGUUUAAUCUCUAAAUGGGAUUUUAUAUAUAUCUUCAGAUAGCCAUUAAUAUAUUUGAUGAAGAAAGAAAGACAAGUGCAUACAACAUGUAUACGACUAGCUUUCAUGGAGUUCAUUUAUGAUCAGUUUUCCUGUACAUGUAAACCAGGAUCAUAUAUAUGUUUCUGUUCCACAACUAUUUUGGAAUCUUGUUUAUCAGUUUUUAUCAUUAUAAUGUCACAUAGGCUGCCAACUUGGGCGCUAAAAGAACCAGUUGGGCUAGUUCGUUUCAGAAUUUCAAUGUGGAUUCAGGAAUUGUUUUGUAAGAUAUGCGAAAUAGUAGAGGGAUGAAUAGUGUUUCAUUAAUAAAAGUGUCCUGUAAAUUAGAAGGUGUCAUAGAAACUAUAAUCAAUAAAUAACUUUUUUUCCCCACGGGUGGUGUUUCUUGUGGGGAUCAGUGACUGGUUUAGGUUCACCCAAAAUGAGUUCAGACUAAAAUUGGUUUGAGUCAAUGCCGUGUCUCUUUUUUCCAGAAAUCAACUAUUUUAUGCAUUGAAUAAAUCAUACAAAGAAAAUAUGAACGCCCGCAAAACCUAAACCCUGGUUGCUAACUUUCUAUGUUUCAGUUCUAUUCACGCAAGAAUAUUAGUUUAAGUUUGGGAAAAAUGGCAACUUACCUAGUGAUUACUUGGUUUUGGUUUGCGACUAUUUACGCAACCAACCAUGAGUUUGACUUUAACGUCAUGGGUUGAAGCCUCCUACAGGAAGGGAGAAAGCUCCACAGCUAGCUCCAAAAGAGAAUUAUCACAUUGAUAGCUCCAGAGAUUCCCAAGGGGACUGAAUCAAAGACAAGUUCCUCACUUUUUCUUCUUUUGAGGCCAAAUAUGAACCAAGGAUCACACAACCUCAUUCAACUUCAUAAGUUUGAUUUCAUGCAGUUGAACACUGGGUGAAGGCCAUGACAAGAAUUGAUUCAAAAAUUCUAUCACUCUUUUAAGUAAUGGAAGAUUAUUAUCUCUGAUUGGCAUCACAACAGCACAUGCUCCUAGAUCUUUCUAGACACUCCAUGCAAUGAAAGCACAAUGGAUCUUGUAACGAUAGAAACUAAGCCAUGCUACAGUACUAGAUGAUGAGGUAAAACUAGUAGACACGGGUGGCAGCCUAUAUGGGAGGGACACAAGUCUAAUUGAUUUGCAUUUCAGCAUUAUAGAUAGGUAUGUUUUGGAAGAUUUGUUCUGGAAAUACCGCACCAAGUAGGAUUCUUUUUCUCUUUAGUGGGUCCACUUGCAUGCCAAUUAACGAGUUGAAAAGUAUGAGCACCUACCUCGUGCUCGUGGAACCGAAGGUCAGUGAAGUGGGGCUCCUUUUGGCCUCGUGUAAACUUGAUUCAGAAGUGAAGUUAAUAGUCUUCCAUUCAGAUGGAUACAUGGGAAUUUUUCUCUUUUAUUUAUUUAUUUAUUUUUUUUUUGUGUGUGUAUGUCAAAGGAUAAUGAAUGAAGCGCGUUAGCUUGUUUUCUGACUGGAACCGCAGAUGUCCAAAUUGGAGUUCCUUCAUUUCUUACUUAGGAUUGUUACAUGUAUAAACAAGGUAUAAGAAAUAUGCCAACGUGUCUUGAGGAGUUAUUGAUUAGAAAUAACAAGUCACCCGACUGUAGAGUUCCAAGAUUUGAAUCUUCAGACCCUAUAGCAGCCUCUGGGGUACGUGGCAUCCUAUAGCAUAUUAAUGAAGGCUUUUUCGAUUUAGACUUCACAAUACCAAUUAAUAUGUAUGCACAAAAUGGAGAUGACCCCAAAAAAAACAGAAUCGCCAUAGUUUAUGAGGUUAAGGUGAUUCUCCACUUAAUAUCUACAUUAGCUAAUUAUGUAAAUCAAAUGAACUUCUAUUUUUCCUUUUUUUUUUUGGUUUAUGUCAAAUAGUAGCCCAUAAUUAACCCAACCAUUAGCCUGUUUGAAUUGAUUUCACAUGCACAAUGUUGUAGUAGUUCAUAUUUUGAAUUUUAUUUUUACAAAGGUAGUUAAGGAAAAUGAAGUAUAAUAAUUAUAAAAGCAGACUAUAUACACUACAAUAAUUGUUAGAAUGGUAUCUCAAAUUCUAAUUUAAAAUAUUAUUUUUUGUAAAAGAAAUAUUAUAUAGAAUAUUUCCUAAUUUUAUAAAUGAUUAUAAUUAGAUCUUUAUAAAAUAAGGAAAGUUGGUAAGAAUAUCUUUAUAAAUAUUUUAGGUCAUGAGAGAAAGAAAUGGGAUAAAAAUGUGAUGAAGAGGUGAAAUAAGAGAGUUGAUUAGGAUAUAGAUGUGAAGAAGAAAGGGAUUCAAUAUAUAUAUAUCUUUCAAUUACCACAUUAAAACCCUGUGAACCUUUUAUAUGGUUUACUUUAUUUUUAUAUUCCUCCUUUAAUAUAUUUACAUUAAUGCUUCCAUUGGCACAACAAUAACGAAUUACAAAUACAAGCAACAAGUCCCAUGUUUUAUUACCAAAAGCAGGUAAAAUCCACCUAAUAUAUUACAAUAUAUUCAUCCAAUAUUUUAGACCAAUUCUUCACCAUAAAUAUCAUAAUGUGGCUUUUGUUCUUUCUUAAAUUUAAAUUGAAUUGUCUUAUAUCAAUUUGUUUGUGAUUUUUUCAUUAACUUCACUUUCAUUUGGUUAUCUUUGGUUUUUGAAAAGUAUUAAGGAAUUAAUUAACAAAAUAAUGUUAAGAAAAAUAAUUUUCUCUCUUUUGAUUUUGAUUUUGUAGUAGAAAAAUAUAAUUAAAAUUAUUUAAAAAGUAUGUAAUUUUAAAUUAUUUAAUAUUUAGAUAAAAAAAAUAAGUCUAAUGAGUUUAAAAUAACAUAUAAAAAUAAUUUAUUUAUUUUAAAUUUAUUUUUUAUUUUCCAUUAUGUUCUCUUUCUCUUUUACUUUUUCAUAUUUUUUCUUACGAAGAAUCAAACACAACCUCAUAUUAUAUGUCAAGUGUUUGUCUAUAUUUGAGCAAUGUUAGAUACGGCCAUGGAUUCAUCAAACUAAACUGAUUUUAAUAGAUACUUCACAAAUUGAUUUAUACACUAAAUCAUUGGAUAGCAAUGAUGCAUUGGAAUUAAACGUAGGAUGAAGCUCGAAGAACACUGUUUGUGUAACAACAUAUUUAUGAAAUUAUGCAAAGGAUGAGCUUCGGGGUAGUAGUACAAGGUCAUUAAUGGAGAGCCGUGUUAAACCUUGAUUGUGAUUGGAUUCCGUUAUCAGCAACAGCAACCUUGUUUGUAACCUUGAAAGUCAUUCUGUCCACAUCGAAACUCCAAUUUGACGUUUGUAAUUACCAUUCCUGGAGUGUUCCUUGAUUGAAAUUUAAAUAAUAAUUGCGGCCCACAAGGAAUAUUUUCGAUUCUGUGGGAAUUUGACAAGGUUUGUUAGAGAAGACUGGUGACAUGUUGACUUCAAUGGUUCAAAUAGGAGACGUAUGUGGAUUUGGGGGGUUUAAUUGAAACUGAGUCCCUAUGGCUUUUUAAUAUUUGCAUUGAGCAGUCUCCAUGUGACUUCCUAAUUCCCACCAACCCUCCUGUCCAUGCUGUGAAACUAAAUUGUAAUUUAUCAGCCUUUGUCAAUGGUUUCUAAAUUAAAGAUAUAGACCAUGCAUGUACUUUAAUAAAAGCAAAUCUAAAGUGUAGAUAGCAGCAAUGGUGACACCCAAUAUUCUCCAUAAAAUAGAAUUAGAAUAAGCAGUGUUACAUUGUUCAUGAUCACCUACAAGCAUACAAGAACUUCCAUGAAUAACUCAUAGCAAUUGCCAACAGGGCGUCGUAGAGACUCAUACAUAGAACACUAUCCACCCAGAGGAAAGGACAAGACCAGUGCGCUGCAGCUCUUAUUUUUCACAUGUAUACCACCACUCGUAAUAACCAAAUUCACUCAGUUGGGAUAGGUGGGAGAUGGUGGUUUGUGGGGUGGCUUGUGGGGAGGAGUUGGAGGAGGCUUUAUUUUCUGAGGCGGCUUGUAUGAGUGUGCAGGAGGAUGCCCGGGAGUGUGACCAUAAUGUGGUGGCUUCUCUCCCGUAGGUGGUUUGCCAAAUGGGCUUGGUGGCUUCUCUCCCUUAGGAGGUUUACCAAUUGGGGUUGGUGGCUUGUGUUCUGGGAGUGGUUUCUCUCCCUUGGUAGGUUUGCCAAUUGGGGUUGGCGGCUUAUGUUCUGGGAGUGGCUUCUCUCCCUUGGGAGGUUUGCUAAUUGGGGUUGGCGGCUUAUGUUCUGGGGGCGGCUUCUCUCCCUUGGGAGGUUUGCCAAUUGGAGUUGGCGGCUUAUGUUCUGGGAGUGGCUUUUCUCCCUUGGGAGGCUUGCCAAUUGGGGUUGGCGGCUUAUGUUCUGGGGGUGGCUUCUCUCCUUUAGGAGGUUUGCCAAUUGGAGUCGGCGGCUUAUGUUCUGGAAGUGGCUUUUUUCCCUUGGGAGGUUUGCCAAUUGGGGUUGGCGGCUUAUGUUCUGGGGGUGGCUUCUCUCCCUUGGGAGGUUUGCCAAUUGGAGUCGGCGGCUUAUGUUCUGGGAGUGGCUUCUCUCCCUUGGGAGGUUUUGUUGGUGGCUUGUGUUCUGGAGAUGGCUUCUCCCCUGGAGGCUUGUGCUCCGGAGGUGGCUUCUGAAAUGGCGGGGGCUUGGGGUAAUGAGCAAGAGAUGGAGUACUGGUGAGAACCACCAUUCCAAGCAACAAUACUAGCAAGCAUGUGGGAGACAUCUUUGAGUAGUUGUAGCUAAGAUGGCGCAACACUGUAGGCAUUGGGUGGCCUUUUAUAAAGGGCUGGACCCAACAGCCAUAUGACACGUGUCAUGAUGACAAAUGAAGUUGAGGGGAUCCAGAUGGGUCCUACUGAGUCGAAAACUUGCACUAAUUGAUCUGGUGAGAUGACUAUUUCUGUCCUUUUGCCCUUCUCGGCCACCCUGUGCUGUUUUCCUUUUGCACGAUUUUCGUUGCCAAACAAGCAAAUAAUAUUUCGCCAAGAAAGAGGAGAGUGAAUGUGGAAUGCAUCAAGUCCCAUCAAGGAUGGCAGAGAAGAAAUAGAAGAUUGCCCAACUGUGAUAAACAUAGCAUACACGUAGCACCAGGAACUUCAUUUACUUCCAUCUAAUGGAACAUAACAAUCUUCUAAAGUUUUUGCAUGAUUUUGUUAUAUGUCUCUUAGCCUAAAGUUGGAAAUGCGCAACAAAUUUUGUCACUUCUCUAUUUCCCACUGAUGAUGUUAAUUAGCCUUCAUAGAUAUCAUCCUUUCUACAAAGUGCUUCAUUUGUGUGUUAUUGUAAAGUGUAAGAAAAGUAAUUGAACAUGUUCUUUUUCCUUUCAUAGAUGACUUUUGAUGUGCAUUUUAAAAGCAGCGCUGUGAGUCGGUGACCUUGAUUCACACGGAAACUAAGGCUCCUAUAGGACCCACUUUUAGCUGGUUAGGGGUGAAGAAAAUAUCAACUUUUCAGAGUGAUUUAAGUCAAGGCCAAGCCUCACUGUGUCAUUACUCGUGUGAAUUUUAUAUGCACAUACAUACAUAAAUAAAGUAUGAGACCCAAAUAACACCUUCCCUUUACAAACUUAACCCCAGCCGCUCUCUUUCAAUUCUUUUCACACAAGGGUAUUGACUCUAUAAAGGUCAAGAAAAUCAUAAUUUCCUAGGGUUUACAAGGUAAUUGGCUUAAUGCUAAUGUGAAAACAUAAAAGAUAAUAGUAUAUUGUAAGCUAACGAAUAUUCUAUAGUUAUAAUUAUUUGUGAUGUGCAUAAAUAAAUCUUCAUAUAUAUAAUGGAACAAUGAAUAAAGAACCAAUGAAAAAAUACUAUAUAUCAUUGCUUGGCAUUUAAACCGUAUAUGCUGCUCUUUCUAGCUACUCCAUCCACUGAAAGACAACAAGGUAAUCCAUGUUAUAAUGAUAGAAGAUACUGUCUCUAGGCUUUUUGUGAUGAAAAAUAUAAGAUAUGGGUAGGGUUGACCCUUGUAUGUUUGUCCUAUAAACACUUCAAAGUAACAUAUUUUUCUUCUUUAGCAACUCAUAAUGAUGGGGUUCAUUUGCAUGUCACUGAGUUGAAAAGUUGGACAAUUGCCCAUGUCGCCUUCCUCCUAGAUUCCGUAGUUCACGGGAAGGUAACUCAAGUUUGACAUAUUUUGAAUUCUUUUCACUCGGACGUCUUCAUAACCUGACAAAACAAAAAUGAAAAACAGAGGAUUGGUAUAUUAUUCAUGGUAAGCCUCAAAUUAUAGUAGUAUGAGAAAGGAGAAAAAGAUUUUGGGAACUCCAAUCUGGAUAAUUCUCGUUUCUUCUCUUGAAUAAAAAUUUCACUUACCUAACUUCGUUUGGAGAAAUGGCAUAUUUUAAUUUUGUACGUCAUUGCUAAUAAAUGGAGCAAUUUAGCAUGUUUUGUGACUGAAACUGCAAAUGUCCAAUUGGCAUUUCUUCAUUUCCCACUUAGGAUCUGAUCUUGUAGACCAUAUAACGAUAUGUAUCUGUGCAAGCAUUGAAAACUAAUGUGAACUAUGAGGAGUUACAAGCCACUGGACUGUAGAGCGAGUGCCAAGAUUUAAAUCUUCAGGCUCUAUCUGGGUAAGGGGAGGAUAGCGACCUAACCUUUUACCAAAGGCUUAGAAUUUAGACUUUUGGAAAAAAAUUUCUCAUGUUUUGGCUGGAUUUCUUGUGCUUGGCGCAAAAAGGAGAUGGCCUCAAGAAAUAGCAGACUCACUUUUGUUUUCAGCCCUUAAUAAUUCUCCACUGCUUUCCAUAACUACAUGGGUUAUACAUGCAGUCUGCUGCAAUAUUCCAGUUAUAUUUAUUAUUUCAAAGAGGGUGAAUGACUUCACAUGCAAUAUGUUGCAGUAACAACCCAAAUUUUGGCACACCAUCUUAAGAAUAGAAAAGUAUAAUAAAAGAAAUCAAUCAGAGAAUCACUUUGCAUGCAGUUCAUAGAGUUCGCCCAAAAUGGAGCCACAUGUACGGACAACCCCACAAUAGACAAUCUUCUCUAUACAGUAAUAAAAUACAGAAAUGGUUAAUGAAGCUCUGUAUUUCCUUAUCAUAUAUGACCGGUUGAAAACUCAGCAAGUCUUCCUCAAUCACAGACAGUUGGAGUUGCUUCAUCAAAAUCAUGCCUUCAUUACUGGCUUCAUUUUGGUUUCAAUGUCUGUUCUACCCUUAAAUUGGGUCUCUGCUUACUACCGGGAUAUCCUUUAGCGUCCUGCAAUUCUACUAGAUUAAAGAGAAUGACUUAAUUCUGCAUUCUGCCGUCCCUAGUCCAAGUGGUACUAGAAUUGAUGUUUCCUUUAGUGUCCUUUCUUCAUACUUUCAGGUUCUUCCCUUGUUUCAAUAAUGCUGUUUUCCUUCAUGUUUAACCUCUGUUGAACCACUUAAAACAACACAAUUUGCACACCAAUGUUUCUUUACAGAAAAGACUGUUUGCAAAAAUGCACAUGUUAUAAGGUUAAUGGAAGAAUUAAUUUGGGGAUAAGGGACUAGGAUUGGGCCAAUGAAGUUUGGUGUUAAAUUUUGAUUAUGAUUGCUUUUCAUUAUCAGGUACCUUAUAUUUGCUGAUGCUAUCUGGAACUAAAUUCAAAUCAGACAUUAUCCGAUUACUAACAGGACAUAUCAUGUCCCUCUGCAGAGUUUCUAAACUAACAUGUAUCGAAAUGUGGCCCCAAAAGGAAGGCUAGGAAGAUGGAGGAUUUUGUAGGAAUCGACCAGAAUCAGAUGGAAGAGAGAUAGUCCUGUUGACUUUAAUGGUUGUGAUAGGAACAUGCAUCAUUAUAUGAGAAGUUGCAUGAAUUUAUGUAUCCUGUUAUCGUUCCUUGACGAUUUCCCAAUGCAAUUUCACUGUCCACAAGACUAACCUCUCCAUGCAGUCAAAUGAAUUGUAAUUUCUCUAUUGGUACCAGUAGUACAUUUCAUACCAAACAUAUAGUAAAUAUAAAAUAUAAAUAGAUCAAGGAAAUCUGAAUUGUAGAUAGCACUGCAAGUAACACUCAAUAUUCUCUAUAUAUAAUAAAAUAAACAGUGUCACAAUACUCAUCACCCAGUGGCAAGGGAGAAAAACCUACAAUGAGUACUCAAAUCACCAUUCUCAAACAGAAACAUAGCAGUGACUGAUACAUAGAACCUAUAUGCUCACAGGGAAAGAAUAAGAUGACCAGUGCACAGCGGGCAGCAGCUCUUAUUUUACGUACAACUCAAAUCCCAAACUAACCAAAGUCGCUCAGUUGGGAUGGGUGGGAGAUGGUGGUUUGUGGGAUGGCUUCUGGGUAGGAGCUGGUGGCUUCUGUCCCUUUGGUGGUUUGCCUAAUGAGCUUGGUGGCUUGUGCUCCGGGAGUUGUUUCUCUCCCUCGAGUAGGUUUCGAGUCUUGUCAGAUGGCUUGUGUUCUGGUGGUGGCUUCUCUCCCUGGGGUGGUUUGCCGAAUGGGCUUGGUGGCUUGUGUUCGGGGAGUGGCUUCUCUCCCUGGAGAAGGUUACGAGUUUUGUCAUAUGGCUUUUGUUCUGGUGGUGGCUUCUCUCCCUGGGGUGGUUUGCCGAAUGGGCUUGGUGGCUUGUGUUCGGGGAGUGGCUUCUCUCCCUGGAGAAGGUUACGAGUUUUGUCAGAUGGCUUGUGUUCUGGUGGUGGCUUCUCUCCCUGGGGUGGUUUGCCGAAUGGGCUUGGUGGCUUGUGUUCGGGGAGUGGCUUCUCUCCCUGGAGAAGGUUACGAGUUUUGUCAGAUGGCUUUUGUUCUGGUGGCGGCUUCUCUCCCUGGGGUGGUUUGCCAAAUGGGCUUGGUGGCUUGUGUUCGGGAACUGGCUUCUCUCCCUUGGGAGGUUCAGUUGGUGGCUGCUGUUCCGUAGGUGGUUUCUUCACCGGCGGCUUGUGCUCCGGAAGCGGCUUCUCUACCUGGAGAAGCUUACGAGUUUUGUCCGAUGGCUUGUGUUGUGGUGGUGGCUUCUCUCCCUGGGGUGGUUUGCCAAAUGGAGUUGGUGGCUUGUGUUCGGGGAGUGGCUUCUCUCCAUUGGGAGGUUUAGUUGGUGAUUGGUGUUCCGUAGGUGGUUUCUGAAGUGGGGGAUGCUUGGGGUAGUCAGCAAGAGACGAGGUAGUGAGAACCACCAGUCCCAGCAGCAACACUAGCAAGCAUGUGGAAGACAUCUUUGAGUUCAGGCUGAGAUCUGUGCAAGGAUAACAGAAUUAGGUGGCCUUUUAUAGAGGCCUGGACCCAACACCCAUAUGACACGUGUCAUGCACUCAUGGUGACACAUAAUUCUAUGGGACCAUUUGGGUCCUACAGAAGUUGCAAAGUUGGACUACUGAGGUGUGAUCACAACUUUUGUCCUUAUUGCUUUCUCUGCGGCCAUUGCACGAUUUCCUUUAGCAUCAUUUUCUUGGCUAAAUAAGCGUAUUAUAUUUGUGGCAGACCGUCCACGUGUCAUAAACAGAUAUAUUAUAAUAAUGUAGUAUGCUUUUCUCCAAUGGAACAUGACACUCUUCUAAGUCUUGUUUUAAAUAUUGUGCAGGAUUACUUUAUACGUUGCAGUUCCAAGUCAAAAUUGGUGGGCAAACGUUGGCCUUUUUUCAUUUCACCUAAGAUUAAUGCUCACCUGGGAUAGGCACUACAUGACUUAUCUGCUCUUUUACUGUAAAGUUGCUUUGUGUAUGAGAUACACCUCCCCUGCACACCCUCAACAUUCGUUGCUCUGUUUUCCUUGUGUCCAGACGAGGAUAUUAAUUGGAGGCUGACAAAACGACUGCUAGCCCAGGAUUUACAAGGUCCUGGUUUGAGGCUUCGGUGAAAGUAUUUUUGAAAAGACACACAUAGAGAUAGUGCGUUUGGUGCAAUGCAGCACUGUGAGCCAUUCUGACGCGUUCUUAAUUUCAAAACUAAUGAAUGCUUCAAAAUUUUAAGAAGUGACAUUUCCAAAUAUUUGAGUUCGUUUAAUUGAACAUUGGAUAACUAGUGAUCAUAGAUUAUUAUCUGUGCUUGGCACUAUAAGAGGGUAUAUGCUUCUUUUUCUGGCCCCUCCUUCAAGGGAGGAGGGACAAUGUGAUCUGUAACGUUAGAAGCUAUUCCAUGUCAUCUUUGGGCUCAGUUCAAAACUAAAAGAUAAUGGGGGGGGGGGGGGGGGGCAUAUCAUUUUAUAUUUCUUCUAGAAGGUUUGUUCUGGAAAUAUUUCACAGGAGCAUAUCUUUUUCUUCUAUUACGUCAUCCGCAGCCUCCAAUAGGUCGGUUAACAAGCCACCGAGUUGAAAAGUUGGAAAAAUGGGAACACAGCCCGCCUCUUGUAUUCAGUAGUUAAAUAAAAGGUCACUAGAAGUGAGAUCCCUUUUGGCGUCUUGAUUUUCAAUCCAGCACCUCUGUGACCUGACAAACCAAAAAAACUAAAAAAUAAAAAACAGUACGUGGGUUGGUGUUAAGCAUCAAGACAUGUUAAUGAAAGAAGGUAGAGAAUAGGAUAUUGAAAUCCCAAUCCUGAUAACAUGAUUUUCUUUGCUAACAACCAUAUUAUAUUUUAUCAAGAAAGAGUAAUGCAUGUGGCGUCCAUCAAGACCCAUUAGAGUUCCGCUAAAGCUAUAGUUCUGUCAACGUUAUCAUUUACGUUUCCUCUAGAUAAUGGCAUUUUCCUCUAAAGCUCUUGCACCAUUAGGCUUCAAGUCAAAAUUUCACAUGUGAACUUUGGAAAUUUUCUCCAUUUGCCCCUAAGGAUACAGUUAGAAUUGACUUAAAAUCCUGAUUGAUAUGUACUAUUAACCAAAGAAUAUUGUAUAUAAUAAUUGAAAUAUUGUUGAUUCAUCGUGGAAAUACAUUUUGUAAGGAAAGUUGUUGAGAAUUUAGUAUGCUAUAUGGAGAAAAAAGUCAUGACUUAAGGUUGUGUAUGUAUAUUCUAUAUCAAAUAUUAGGUAGGAAUGUGGGAAAGAGCAGAGUGUAAUGAUAAGAAACAAAGAAAUAUAAGAUAUUCUUGAAAGUGGAAAAUAUAAAAUGGCUAACGAGUCAAAUUUAUGAUGCGUAAGGGGGAUCAUGUCACAUAAGAAAACCAUGGCAUACUAAAGACGUACGUGUGGUAUGGAGUAAUAAUUUUGUUAAAAUAAGUUUCUUGUUGGAGUACAUUAGGUGACUAUUCAUAACGUAUCAAAUUAAAGAGUCAAGUGCAUCAAUGAAGGCAUAUGUAGAAAAUUUGUUUGUGACAUGUACCAUAAAGAUAAGAUUGACUUGAUAGAAUUUAGUCUAAGUAGGAGUUGUUAAAGGUGUCUUAAAUUUCUAAUUGAUGUAUAUUUUUUUCUAAAAAAAUAUUAUAUAGAUAUUUUAAUAAAUGAUUAAUUCUUUGUAAAAAUACUUACAUAAUAAAAAACAUCAUUAAAAAUAUCUUUAUAAAUAUUUUAAGUUACAAGAAGGAAAAAAACCACUGUGAGAUAAUGAUGAACAUGCAACACUGUACCAAGUAAAUAAAAAUGUGAUAAAAAAAAAAGAGAAACACUCGAUAAAGGAAGGCUCGUAUAUAAAGAGUAAUAUUUUUAAUCAUAUGAUAGAAUGAUUUUCUCUCAUUCAUGAAUAUAGGCAAGAUUGGGGAACCAUUAUAAAAUUUUGUACACCUCGUGUAAAUUGAUGUUUGUCUUCAUAUUUUACACCAACAAAUGACAUUGAAGUUGUCAUUGAUAAAAGGGAAAAGGCAUGCCUCCACACCAUGUGCUUGAUUCGAAUGGUUCAAGUUUGAAGAAUUUUCUCCGGAAGAUCUAAAACAUUUUCGCCUUUAAAUUUCAUUUGAUUAUUAAUAUCCGAAAAAAUAGUUAAAUACUCUUUCUAUUUUUGAGUUGUUGAAUUUUUUGAAAGUUUUUAUAUUUGUUAUCAAGAAUUUCUAUUUUAUUAAGGGUGAAUAUUUAUAAAUAAGAUAUUAUAUAAUAUUUGGAUAAGAGAGAAUGGUGGAAUAUAAUAAAGUUUUAAUCCUUCCCAAUUUUGAACCUUUUUUUUUUUUUUUGAUAUAAUCGCCUUUCUCUUGCAAUCCUAUUAUCAGGUACCUUAUAUUUGCUGAUGCUAUCUGGAACUAAAUUCCAAUCAGGCAUUGUCCAAUUACUAAUAGGACAGAUCAUAUCUCUCUGUUUCUAAACUAACAUGUAUCGUAAUGUGACCUCAUAAGGAAGGCUAGGAAGAUGGAGGAUUUUGUGGGAAGCGACCAGAAUCAGAUGGAAGAGAGAUAGCCCUGUUGACCUAAUGGCUGUAAUAGGAGAAGCGUGUGGUUUUAUGGGACUUAACUGAUACUAAACCUGUAUGAUGCUUGGAGUGGUGUUUCUUUCAUUUUGUUAAGAAAAUAUGGCAGCAUACAUGCUUUCAACUGAGUGCAUCAGAGCAUCCAUAACAGAUGGUCUGCAACCCUAGGUGCAUGCCACUUUCUGACUGAUAAUGAAAUUGUCAGGUACCUGGCCUUGACUAAGCUCAACAGCAUCACAUAAAGAGAAGCUUUCAUACUUAGAUUACUGUUUAAAGUUUUUGCUUAUUUGAUUUCUUAAUGCCAUUAUGACAUUAUUGAUUCAAUUCUGCUUCCGAUUUUCGAAGUUCUGGGCAUCUACUGAUUGCAUCAUUAUAUGAGAAGUUGCAUGAGUUUAUGUAUCCUGUUAUUGUUCCUUUGCGAUUUCACUGCUCACGGGACUAACCUCUCCAUUCAGUCGAAAUGAAUUGUAAUUUCUUUACUGGUAGCAGUAGUACUUUUCAUAGCAAAGAUAAUAGAAAAUAUGAAAUAUAAAUAGAAGGAAAUCUGGAUUGUAGAUAGCACCAUAAGUAACACUCAAUAUUCACUACAUAAUAAAUAGACAGUGUUACAUAGGUAGAGAAACCUACAAUGAGUACUCAUCACCAUUCUCAAACAGAAACAUAGCAGCGACUUAUACAUAGAACCUAUAGGCUCGCAGGGAAAGAGUAACAUGAUAAGUUCACAGCGGGUAGCAGCUCUUAUUUUACGUAUUACUCAAAAUCUCAAACUAACCAAAGUCACUCAGUUGGGAUGGGUAGGAGAUGGUGGUUUGUGGGGUGGCUUCUGGGUAGGAGCUGGUGGCUUCUUUGUUGGAGUUGAAGGAGGCAUAUUCUUCUGAGGUGGCUUGUAUGACUCUUCGGCACUCUCUGCAGGAGGGUGCCCAGGGUUGUGACCAGAAGGAGGUGGCUUCUGUCCCUUUGGUGGUUUGCCUAAUGGGCUUGGUGGCUUGUGCUCCGGGAGUUGUUUCUCUCCCUCGAGUAGGUUUCGAGUUUUGUCAGAUGGCUUGUGUUCUGGUGGUGGCUUCUCUCCCUGGGGUGGUUUGCCGAAUGGGCUUGGUGGCUUGUGUUCGGGGAGUGGCUUCUCUCCCUGGAGAAGGUUACGAGUUUUGUCAGAUGGCUUUUGUUCUGGUGGCGGCUUCUCUCCCUGGGGUGGUUUGCCAAAUGGGCUUGGUGGCUUGUGUUCGGGAACUGGCUUCUCUCCCUUGGGAGGUUCAUUUGGUGGCUGGUGUUCCGUAGGUGGUUCCUUCACCGGCGGCUUGUGCUCCGGAAGCGGCUUCUCUACCUGGAGAAGCUUACGAGUUUUGUCAGAUGGCUUGUGUUGUGGUGGUGGCUUCUCUCCCGGGGGUGGUUUGCCAAAUGGACUUGGUGGCUUGUGUUCGGGGAGUGGCUUCUCUCCAUGGGGAGGUUUAGUUGGUGGUUGGUGUUGCGUAGGUGGUUUCUGAAGUGGGGGAUGCUUGGGGUAGUCAGCAAUAGACGAGGUAGUGAGAACCACCAGUCCCAACAGCAACACUAGCAAGGAUGUUGAAGACAUCUUUGAGUUCAGGCUGAGAUCUGUGCAAGGAUAAAAGAUUUAGGUGGCCUUUUAUAGAGGGCUGGACCCAACACCCAUAUGACACGUGUCAUGCACUCAUGGUGACACAUAAUUCUAUGGGACCAUUUGGGUCCUACAGAAGUUGCAAAGUUGGACUAUUGAGGUGUGAUCACAACUUUUGUCCUACUUGCUUUCUCUGCGGCCAUUGCACGAUUUCCUUUAGCAUCAUUUUCUUGUCUAAAUAAGCGUAUUAUAUUUGUGGCAGACCGUCCACGUGUCAUAAACAGAUAUAUUAUAAUAAUGUAGUAUGCUUUUCUUCAACGGAACUUGACACUCUUCUAAGUCUUGUUUUAAAUACUGUGCAGGAUUACGUCAUAAGUUGCUUGUUCCAAGUCAAAAUUGGUGGGCAAACGUUGGCCUUUUUUCAUUUUCCCUAAUAUUAAUGCUCACCUGGGAUAGGCACUACAUGAUUUAUCUGCUCUUUUACUGUGAAGUUGCUUUGUGCAUGAGUUACACCUCCCCUGCACACCCUCAACAUUUGUUGCUCUGUUUUUCUUGUGUCCAGACGAGGAUAUUAAUUGGAGGCUGACAAAACGACUGCUAGCCAAGGAUUUACAAGGUCCUGGUUUGAGGCUUUCACGAAAGUAUUUUUGAAAAGAUACACAUAGAGAUUGCGCGUUCGGUGCAAUGCAACAAUGUGAGCCAUUCUGAAGUCUUAAAUUUCAGAUUAAUGAAUGCUACAAAAUUCUAAGAAGGGCCGUUUCCAAAUAUUUGAGUUCAUUCAUCCGAACAUCGGGUAUAUGCUUCUUUCUCUAGCCCCUCCUUGAAGGGAGGAGGGACAAUGUGAUCUGUAUCGUUAGAAGCUAUUCCAUGUCGUCAUCUUUGGGCUCAGUUCAAUACUAAAAGAUAUGGGCGGGGCCCUUAUCAUUUUAUAUUUCUUCUAGAAGGUUUAUUCUGGAAAUCUUUCACAGAAACAUAUCUUUUUCUUCUCUACGUGAUCCGUGGUUUGAAAGUUGGAAAAAUGGGUCCGUUAACAAGCCACCGAGUUGAAAAGUUGGAAAAAUGGCAACACCGCCAACCUCUUGUAUUCGAUAGUUAAAUAAAAGGUCACUGGAAGUGAGAUCCCUUUUGGCCUCUUGAUUUUCAUUCCAGCAUCUCUAUGGCCUGAUAAAUUAAAAAACUAAAAAAAAAGACAGUACGUGGGUUGGUGUUAAGCAUCAAGAGUCAAGACAUGAUAAUGGAGAGAAAGGAUAUUCAAAUUCCAGUUCUGACAACAUGAUUUUCUUUGCUGAACUACCAUAUUAUAUUUGAUCAAGAAAGAGUAGUGCAUGUGGCCAGGAUCAAGACAUACAUUAAUUUCCACAUGAUGAAGACAGUUUCUGAGAGUUUCUUCUAAAGCUCUUGCGCGAGUAGGCUUCAAGUCAAAAUCUCCCAUGUAAACACUGGUUUUUCUUUCAUUGCCACUAAGGAUGCAGUUAAUAUUGACUUAAGAUCCUACGUGAUAUAUUUUUUUAAAAGAGCUAUAUUGUAGAUAAUAUUUGAAAUAAUGUUGAUUCGUUGUGGAAAUAUAUUUGUAAGGAAAGUUGUUGACAAUUUAAUAUAGUAUAAGAAGAAAAAAGUUAUCAACUAGCUAGAGAUGAGUAUGUAAAGUGAGGCUCACGAUUCAACGCGUAAAUAUAAGAUAUUUUAAGGCUCAAUAGUUAUGAUAUCUAUUUUAUUUUUUGUAUCUCAUAUAUUCAAAGAUAUAGUAAAAUGAUUUUACAUAUAUAUAUAUAUAUAUAUAUGAACAUAACUAUUUGUGCCAAUUGAUUUUUAUCUUUAUUUUGUAUAUUAGUAAUUAUAUUAAAGUUUUUACUAAUAUAAUAACUAAUAUAAAAGCUUUUUCUAAAAGAGUCAACAGAGCAAAACACUUAUUAUAAAAAAUAAUUUUGAUUGAAGGUGGAGUCAAUUAUUCUUUAUUUAACAUGUAAUGCAUACGGCGUGUACUUCAUAACUAAAGUAUAUAAGUGUAACAUCUCUUAUAUAUUCUCAUUCAAUCUCGAAAGUGGAAAUUUUAAAAAGAUUAAACGGUUCAAAUUUGUCGUGCAUAAAGGGGAUCAUGUCACAUAAGCAAACCAUGGCAUACCAAAGACAUAGGUAUGGACUAAGAAUUUUUUUCAAAUAAGUUUCUUAUUAGGGUACAUUAAUAGGUGACUUUUUAUGACAUAUCAAAGGAGUCAAGUGCACCAAUAAAAACAUAUAUAGAAAAUUCAUGCAUGACAUGUAUCACUAAGAGAAGAUUGACUUGAUAGAGUUUAAUCCAAAUAGGAGAUUGUUAAAAGGUGUCUCAAAUUCUUGAUUGAUAUAUAUUUUUUUUAUUAAAAAGGUUAUUAUAUAGAUAUUUCAAUAGACUAUUAAUUCUUUGUAAAAAUAGUUAUAUAAUGAGGAUGGUGAUUAAAAAUAUCUCUAUCAAUAUUUUGGAUUAUAAAAAGAAAAAAAAUGAGAUAAUGAUAAACAUAUAAAACUUGUACAAGUAGAUAAAGAUGUGAUGAAAGACACUUGAUGAAUGAAGGCUUUGUAUUUCAAGAUAUAAAUAUAUGGAGCAAAACUCUUAAUUAUAUGAUCAAAUGAUUCUCUCAUAUUCAUGAAUAUAAGCAGGAUUGGGGAACCAUGAUAGAAUCUUAUAUGCCUCUCCAUGUAGAGUGAUCGAUGUUUAUCUUCAUAUUUUACACCAGUGAAUGACAUUGAAACUCUUAUUGAUAAAAGGGAAAAGGCAUGGCCUCCACCCCAAGAAAAACAAGUAACCUCGGUUUAAAUCACUAGUCUACACCCCGAAGAGAGAACUAGCCAAACCUACUAAAAGAGAAACUUAACAAUUUAGAAAGAAACCGUCCAUGAUAAAGGGCCCCUAAAGGUCCAAUUCAGUGAGGUCGUGAACAAAAACACUUUCAUGUCAAAACAGAGAUAGGUACCACCAAAAUGUAAAGGGAAAGAUGUAAACCACGUCGAACUUUGGUAAUCAAUGGUAAAGAUAGCAUGAUAGCUAAAAGCACUAAAGCUGUGCUUGGUAUGCAAAAAUGAAAAGUGGAAAUCAGCGUCUUAUUCUUUUUCACCUUUAUUCACAUAUUAGGAUAACUAAUAUCUAAUGUUUUUUAUGUCUCAAAUUCUAUUCCAUGUUAUGGUAAACUUUCAUCUUGUUUAGAUCACUUUUGUCUGGUUUGGGCUCAAGACGAUAAGCCUAUAGAGACUUCAUAUUGGGUUGAAUCGAUGCCCUUGAUCUGAUCUGUUCGUUAGAAAAAUCUGAAUUAUUAUAAGCAUUUAGAUAAAAAAUAAAUAAAUGUGAAACACAAACUACUCCCUGCACAACCUUGACCCUAGUUACUCAGUUUCACUGCUCACAGGACUAACCUCUCCAUUCAGUCGAAAUGAAUUGUAACAAGAAGAUUUUUGACAGGAGGACGGUAGUUUAAAAUAAUAAUUUCUAAAGUACUUUUGUGAAAAAAAAUAAUUCCAAACGUGGAUUUUAUCAAGUAAAAAGAAAAAAAAAAGUUAUUUUCUUUUAAAAUCUGUUCUUCUAAAGAUGAUAUAUAUACCAAAAAAAAAAAUUGUUUUCUGAAGGUAAAAUUUUUAAAAUUCAUUUUUAAAAAAAUUUACACACUAAAAUUAUCUUUUCAAGAGAAGAUUUUUUUAAUUUUAAAUAAUUAUUAAUUUAUAAUUAAUUUGUUAUUAAUUAUUUAUUAAUUUUUUUAUUUGAAAAAUGCAUUUAUAAAAAACAAAUUUGUUAUUAAUUUAUUAAAUAAUUUUUACAAAAUAAAUAAUUUUUUUUUAUUUUAAUUUUAAAAUUAAUUUUAUUAUAUAAAUUUUAAAAUUAAAAAUAUUAAUAUUUAAUUUAAAAUUUAACUAUAAAAGGAAUAAAAUAUAGAAAAAUAAAUUAAUUUAUUAUUCAAUAAAUUAAUUUUCAAUAAAAUUUUCAGCAUUAAGAGAUAAAUUUUUAAGUAUUAAUCAAUUUAAAAAGAAAUAAUGAUCAUUUGUAUAUUAAGAUAUUUUAUUUAGUAAUUAUGAAUGAUAAACAACUAAAGUAAUUUGAAAAAAUAAUAAAAUAUUUAAAAAAUAAUAAUUUAAUACACGUAAAAUUAGAAAUGAUUAACUAUUUUUUAUUAAGAAAAAAUUGAGGAAAUAUUUUGUUAUUUAAAAUUUUUUAUUUGUUUUCAAUUUUUAAUGUUAUAGGUUUCAAGAAAAUUGAUCAAAUAAAAAUUAAGAAGUCAUUUUUUCAAAAACUAUAUAUCUAAAUAAAAGCCUUGAAAUUCAAAUACACAAUAUCAUAAAUAUAAACACCAAGUCAAUCCUUAAUUAUCAAAUGUUUUUAAUAUUAAAGAAUCAAAAUCACCUACUAUCAUGAUAAUAAGAAAACCAAUAAUAUUGUUCAUAUAAAUACUAAAAAGCUAACAAAUAUCCCAAACAAUUAAUAAAGUAUCAAACAUGAUAAAAAGUCAAUUAUUAUCAUGAAUGCAAAAAAUCAAUAAUUUUGUUUAUAUGAACCAUCAACAAAGAAAAAAAAAAUCAAUAUCUAAAUAUUAAACAUAAUUUAUAUUUUUAUAAAUAUUAUUGUUGAUAAAUAUCUUAACAAUUAUAAUUUUAGUAAAUAAAAUUAAUUAAUUUUAGUUUAAGAAUUAUUUUUUUAUACUUUCGUAUUCUUAUCAAAAAUCCCCAUUUUGCAUGUCUCCUUUGGCAUGACUUUCUUACCUAAACAAGCAUAUAUAUAUAUAUAUAUAUAUAAAAUAUUUGGUUAAGAAAGAGUACUAAAGUUUAUAUGGCACACAUCAAGAUAGAAACAGAAGUGGAAGAUAAUCCAAAUGUAUGAACAGAUAUAUUAUAUCCAUGUAGUGGUAGUGACUUCAUUAUUUACUUUUAUCUAAUGGAGCAUGACACACUUCUUCUGAAUAUUUUGCACGAUUAUGUUAUGUGUCAGCUUGUUCUAAGUCAAAACUAGUGAUAAAAAUCGGUUUUUUUUGCAUUUCCUUCAUGAAGAUGGCACCUGGAUGGGGCACUACAUGAGUGGCAUAGCACGAAGUGAUUUAUCUGCUCCCUUUACUAUAAAGUGCUUUGUGUAUAAGUUACACCUCCCCUGCACUGCCUCAACAUUUGUUGUUCUGUCUUCCGUCUGUCCAAACGAGGACAAACGUAUGUUGUAGGUUGACAAAACCACAGCUAGCCUAGGAUUUGCAAGGAUCUAGUUUGAUUCGUAUGCAAAAGGAUUGGUGAAAAGAUUCACAAAGAUAAUGCUUUUUGCAAUGCAAUCUUGUUCUAAUUCAACAGUGUGGACCAUUUUCAUGUAAUGCUUCAACUAGAUGUCAGUUUCAUGAAUUUUUGUUCAUCUAAUUGAUCACUGGAUAGGCCAUAACCCGAAGAAAUUCAAAAUUCCCUUCAGUACUGUAGCUAAGGAAAGAUCCCUAUCUACCACUGGGAUUUUAAGAGGGUAAAAAUGUAGGUGGGUGCCUAUAUCAUUUGCACUUCACUAUAGGCCUCUUUGGGAAGAUUUCUUCUGAAGACAUUUCAAAGAAACAUAUUUUUCUCUUCUCUCCGUAAACGGCAGCUGCAAGUCAGUCCAUUCACAGGCCACCGAGUUGAAAAGGCUGGAAAAUUGGCCAAAGCACCCGCCUCCUGGAUUCCAUGGGUAAGGAAAAGGUCACUGGAGGUGUGAUCCCUGUUGGCCUCUUGAUUUCCAUUCCGCCAUCUAUAUGACCUGAUAACCCAAAAACACAGAAGGAAAACGUCACCUGGGUUCAUAGUAAGCAUCAAGUCAUGAUAGAGACCAGACAACAUGACCAACAAAGAGUAGCGAAUGGGGCCAACAUCAAGCCCCAUUACGGUUAGAAGAUGGAAGAAGUAGAAGACAAUCCAAUUCUGAUAGAUUCGGGCAAAUGUAGUGCUGUUCAAACUUAAUCAUUUACUAUUUCUUCAUGAAUCACGGCAUUUUUCUUCUGAAAAUUUUCCAAGAUUAGGCCUCUGAAGAAAAAUUUCAUAUGUAAAUUGGUAUAUUAAGGAAAAGGCGUUACAAAGGUGAAAAAAAACCAAUCAAAUCUUAUAUAUGACAUCUCAAAAAUAUGAACUUGCUAUAAAUAUUUAAAAUCAAAAUCUUGCACAUCACCUCGUAGUACGAACUUGCUAUAAAACUUGAAAAUCAAGAAGAAAGGGGCAGUAUUGGACGAGACUACUUAGCACAUAUUAUUAUGAUGUUUUUUCAUUUUCUUAAUGUUGUUUUUAUGUCUUAAAUUCUAUUAUUCUAUGUUACGGUAAACAUUCAUCUUGUUUGUGUGGAAUAGGAUCACUUUUCUCUGGGUUGAGUCGAUGCCCUUAGUUAAUUUGUUCAUUUGAAUAAACUAAAUUAUUAUAAGUAUUUAGAUAAGAAAAACGUGAUACAUAAAUUACGCCUCUCGGCACAACUUCAACACUGGUUACUCUGUUUCAGUUUCCUCACACAAGAUUAUUGGUUCUAGGGUUUAUUUGGUUUUGGUUUGAUUCUAAUUGCUAAACUUUCUCAAGGAAGAUGUUAUAUAGGGAGUGAGAAACCUUCACUCUUGGCUACCUCCAAGAGAAGAGCAAGUGGUCUGAAUCAAAGAUAUACUGCUCACUUUUUCUUCUUCUAAGGACAGCUAUGACCUUGCUUUAAGGUUCGAAUAGCCUAAUGCAACCUCCCAUUUCUCAAGUCAGCUGAUGAUGUAAGUCACCUUGGCUUUCCACAUUCAUACGGUGAGGACGUUUGUGGGUGUAAUUCUCUUAACAGUUUUCAUUUUAUAUGGAAAAAUUCAUAAUUAAGGGUAAUUACUGAUUCCAUUUGACAGUGACCAAGUUUAAAAUAUUAAUUCAUAUAUUAAAUGCACAUUAAAAAAUCAUGGAAUAAAUAUAUUUACUAAUAUAUAGUUCUUUUGCCAUGUUCUGUCACAGAAGCAUCGAACUUUCCCUAGAAAUUUUUGCAUGGUAUUCUACUUAUGAUUUUGAAAACUCUAGGCACCUGAGGCCACUAAUUGCAUGGUUGGAUGAGGAGCUGCAUGAGAUUAUGUAUCGUGUUGUUCCUUAACUACAAAUAUCAGUUUUAAGUAGCAUCUCCAUGUGACAUUUUCCUGAUGCAAUUUCGCUGUCCACCAACAAAUUUCACCAUGCAGCAAGAUGAAUUGUAAUUUCUUUAUUGUUAUCAACAGCUUUAAUUAAUCUUGAUAUAUAUAUAUAACUUAGUAGAAGUAUAUUAAUCUAGAUUGUAGUUGCACUAAGAUAAUAGGCAAUAUUAUAACAGUGCCACAAUGCUCAUCGCCAAAUAGAAAGGUAGAAAAACUACAAUGAGUAACUCACAACAUUCUCAAACAGGACAUAGCGGCGACUGAUACAUAGAACACUAUUGGCACUCAGGAAAUGAUAAGAUCAGUGCCCAGCAGGCAGCACGUCUUAUUUUACAUACUACUUAAAACUAACCAAAGUCAUUCAGUUGGGAUGGGUGGGAGAUGGUGGUUUGUGCGGUGGCUUUUGGGUAGUUGGUGGCUUCUUUCCUGGAACUGAUGGUUUUUUUGUUGGAGUUGAAGGAGGCUUAAUCGUCUGAGGUGGCUUGUAUGAGUCUUCAGCACUCUCUGCGGGAGGGUGCCCAGGGUUGUGACCAUAAUGGGGUGGCUUCUCUCCCUUAGUUGGUUUGCCAAGUGGGCUGGCUGGCUUGUGCUCCGGGAGCGGCUUCUCUCCCUUAGGUGGUUUGCCAAAUGGGCUUGCUGGCUUGUGCUCUGGGAGCGGCUUCUCUCCCUCAAGAAGUUUACGGGUUUUGUCAGAUGGCUUGUGUUCUGGUGGUGGCUUCUCUCCU